CAGCGGUUGCACAGGCAAACAAUGCUGCUCAACCAGCACCUCAACUUUACUGGAACUCCGUCCUGCCAAACACACAGAUGCCAAGAUCUAUCAGUGAACUUCUGCAUCCUGGUUUGUGUUGAGCUCUUUAGAAUCUUAGAUAUCUCUUCUACCUGCCAUUUUACUUAAAUAUGUUCGACCACAUAUUUAUCAGUUAACUACUGUCAUUACAUGAGUGACACAUAUUCACAAAUCGGCUGAUCACUUAUUUUCCAUUAUGACGUUGAUAUAUAAUUUGCAGACUCCACAAAUGAAGAAAAGAGCACAAAUGACGUUGGCAAACCUGAAACUUUCCCAUUGGGCAAUCAAAAUUACUCCAGUCAAAAAAAUUAUGGAACAGGCAAUAAACGUUACUGCAGUCAAAAAAGGUAUGGAAGAGGCAAGAAACGUUACUGCGAUCAAAAAAAGUAUGGAAGAGGUGCUUCUCCAUCUGACAAUCAACUACUCCAUUAUAAAGACUUAGCUAUUUUCUUCUUGGAGAAGGACAUGCGCCCUGGCACAACAAUGAAGUUCCAAUUCUCUAGAAAUUCAAACACGGCUACUUUCUUGCCACGAGAAAGCGCUCAAUCGAUCCCCUUCUCCUCUAACAAACUACCAGAAAUUUUCAACCAUUUUUCAGUGAAGCCAACAUCUGAGGAAGCCAAAACAAUUAAGCAAACAAUCGAAGAGUGUGAAGCUCCCGGCCUUAAGGGAGAGGAAAUAUAUUGCGCCACAUCUUUAGAAUCAAUGGUUGAUUUUAGCACUUCGAAGCUUGGAACAAGAAACGUUGAAGCAAUCUCGACGGAGGUAUUGGAAAAAGGAGCCACCAUGUCCAUGCACAACUAUACAACAAUGCCGGGACUGAAGAAGUUGGCCAGUGACAAAGUCGUUGUGUGUCAUAAGCAGAACUAUCCCUAUGCUGUGUUUUUCUGCCAUGCAAUAAAACAUACAGCAGCUUAUGUUCUCUUCCUGAAAGGCGAUGAUGGGGAGAAGGUUAAAGCAGUAACCAUCUGUCAUCUAGACACAUCAGAAUGGAACCCAGAGCAUAUGUCCUUCCAAAUCGUCAACGUUAAGCCCGGAACCAUUCCCAUCUGCCAUUUCAUUUCCACUGAUGCUAUUGCCUGGGUUCCGAACCACAAAUCUGCAUGAUCAUCACUUAGCACUGUACGUAUAAUUAUCUCCUUACUUAUUUCUGCCUCUUCAUCAUGUGGUGUAAGAUAUAUGAUGAGAUGAAGUUUUUGGGAUUAGUGGUUGGGUUGCCUGAAAAACACAGAUUACAGAAACUGCUUGAAAUUAACCCGAUCAUGUUUUCUCUUGUAACUAUAUAGACUUCAACUUGUACUCAUAAUAAAGCAUGCUAUAUUUAUGAAGAGAUAUUAAUCUAUAUAUAUUUUUUAUAUAUGCUUUGGCUUUGUGGUUCUACCCAAUGUUUGAGUGUUGAAUUGUUACGUUGGAAUAGGCUGCUAAUGCAUGUAGUUAGAGAAGCCUUCAUUUAUAUCAAAGUCCUCAAACUAUCAAGAACUAAUGUAUCCAGAAACAUAUACCAAGACGCAAAACAACAUAUUUUCCAUGCUCUGUCUGUAACACCAAAGCAAACUUCCUUGAUCACAAAAGGAUCAAAUUCCAGUACUAAUCUAAUCCAUCAUGUAAAGCAUACAAGUGCCUCCCUAAAUACUAUACUCUUUUUGUUAUUUCCUACUAUACUAUUUAAGAUUUAAAAUUCAGGUCAACCCAUAGAUUUCUCGCCUUUUUCUUCUUCAUCUCGUCGGGCUUGUCUUCUUCUUGAGGAUUGUAUAGGCCAAGGAAAUGCUUUGAGUUAGUUUUUGCGCUUUUGCGUUUUGGGCCUUGGAAGUUGGGACCCAAACCAACUUCACAAAAAGAAAACGCUCAGACUAUAAUGAGUGGAAAGUUAUAAGGGGUAAGUUAUAAGGAGUUCACUUUAUAGCCAUCAGAUCAAUCUAAGGGCUGGGGAGAAUUGAGAUAAAGUUUUAAAAUCGGGUAGGUGAGGAACCCAAACCCGAAUUGAAUAUCCAGCACGUCCGAAAAAGAAGAAGAAGAGGCAAGCACGUCCGAAAAAGAAGAAGAAGAGGCAAGGUCGAAGUUUGAACAGAAAAAACUCAUCUCUUUAAAACCCAUAGCUCUGAGAAACGGUUGAAGGCAACGGUUAACGACGGUUGUUGAAGCCACUCCGUUCUCCAGACCCUGAAAAAGUAUUUAUUUUGAGUAGAAGGGGCAAAUGUGUGGAUUCCGAAACAGUGAAGGGGCGAAGCAGUGGAAGGGGAAGGAGAGAAGCCGUAUUCGUUGGAAGUGGUAGGUUCCAUUUGUGGAGCAAAGCAACACAAAGACCCCGCACAGACACCUUGCGAUUGUUCAAUAACCAGCAUUUGGUGAGUAAUUUAUGGAAUUUGAGUUUAGGGUUAGAGUAAUGGUUUUCCCCAAUUUGUACCAUCAAUUUUGUUGGAUUUGGCAUCUCUUCUUUGUGCUUCAGUUGCAUGUUAAUUUUUGCUUGGGUAUAUGUUAAAAAAAGAAUGAAAAUCAAGUCAAUAACAAGUGAAUAACAUGUCAAUAAUGAUAUGAAUAAGAUAAUGGUGUUGAAUUGGAGGAGGCCCUCAAAACAUUCCACAUUUGAAGCAGUGCAUAGUGCAGAUUAUCUCUCUGGCGCUAGAAUAUAUAUAUAUUUUGAAAUAAAUAUGAUUUCCUUUGUUACUAAAUUUGCCUGAGAAACAUGAGAACAGAUAAUAAUAAACUCAUGAAUAGAAGUGCAAAGCAUUUGAUGAGUAAUUUAUGGAAUUUGAGUUUAGGCCCAGGAAAUUCCUUGACCCCAAAAAAAAAAAAAAAGUUGAUUUAAAAUUCAGGUCAACCCAUAGAUUUCUCGCCUUUUUCUUCUUCAUCUCGUCGGGCUUGUCUUCUUCUUGAGGAUUGUAUAGGCCCAGGAAAUGCUUUGAGUUAAUUUUUGCAUUUUUGCGUUUUGGGCCUUGGAAGUUGGGACCCAACCCAACUUCACAAAAAGAAAACAGAUUUGCCAAAAAUCAAAUUUCAAGUCUCUCCUCCGAUCGAAAUUUGGAUUUGAUGAACUAAAGUGGUUUUACUUUCUCCAUCAGUGUUUGAUAACUUAAUUUGUUAUUUACUUUUUUUUUAAAAAACUUUGGCUUAUAUAUAUUAGUUUUCUUUUUUCCUUCAUAUUCACCACCUUUAUGUUGCAUAAGUAUUUCAGUCUUAAUGGGUUUCCAUCUACCACUCAUCUUUGCUCUUCUCAGUGUAAGCCUUUUUUUUUUUUUAAAGCACAAGAUUAGAGGGGAGGGGGAUUUCUCAAUGUAAGCUUUGCAGUUUCAUAAUUAAUAUUUCCAAUAUCUCACUGUUAGUAAAAUACAGAAAAAGUACUAAUAACAUAUGCACAUGUUACUAAUUUAUUGAGAUAAAACACCAUUUUGCCCCUAGAAUAUUUUAUUAGGUUUAAAGUUGACUUUUUGACCAGGAAGGAAUUUGGGUAUUUAGACUAUAUCGUUGCGUAGAGCAUGGCGAGAUGAGUCCGUAGACACAUGAUUGGCUCGAAUCAGAGUUAUAAUGAGAGAGAUACGAUCAAAAUACCCUCAGUGGUAUAACCGUAAUUUUGGCUUAAAGGGUUUGAUAAAAUAUAAUUUUUCUUUCUUUCUUUCUCUCUCUCUCUCUCUCUCUCUCUCUCUCCUCUCUCUCACGACGGCAGUGAUAGCCGGCCACUUUUUGGCCAGCCAUGCUCUCGUCCGGCCACUAAAGUUGACGGGGCCGGUACCAAAAUGACCGGGCCACCAUCCUUUUCCAACCCCAGCCAGGCCCCACUGCCAGCAGUCGUGAUUUUGCUGAAAAAUGGAGAAGAAGCGGCCGAUUUCGUUCGAACUUCUCCGACUUCGUUCUCUCUCCUCCGGCCACCGAUUUCGAUGAAUGAGGUAUGGUUUCUCACCUACUUUUUAUGCUCUAGCUGCCUGUUGGGUAGGAUUCGAUCAAUUCCUUGCGUAGGUAGCUUGAUUUUCGAAUUGGAUUUCGGCCGGUUUUGGGAUCUCGAUUCCGGCCACUUCCGGUCAGUUUUUGGGGUACAUCCCAAAACAAAAGUGGUUCUAAAUAGGGUGUUAUACCUAGGGUAGGAACCUUGAACCGUAAUUUUGAGAAUUUUCGGUGAUGCCUAAUCGCUUUGGACACCUACGCUAUGCCUGCGUGUGGGCACUAUAGAAAAAGGGCAUUGUGUCCCGAUGCAAUCCCCUUGUUGUCUUGAGCGCGUAGGUGUGCUCGGAUUUCAAUUUGGAUACCGUUUGAAUCUCGAACGAAUAUCGCAUAUUGUGCGUUAUUCGGGGUCGAUAGGUUUGAACUGUUGGAUAGUCUUAGAUUUAUAAUAUGUUAAUCUAGACAUUCUUAGGAUCGAAUGGGAUUAAACGGAUCGUAAAACGGAGUCCCGGAUACUCCAAAAAUGCCAACCCUAGGGCUAGGUUCCUAGUAACCGUCCGAUCGUGCGAUCGUGAGCGAUCCGACCGUUUGAUCCGAACCAAACUUGCAGGACGUGUAUCCUAAACCUUGUAGAACCCAUAGGAACUUUCGGAUUAGAAUUUGGAGGUCGUGGGCCCCUUGGGCCGUUUGACUAAGUUUGGGUAGUUUGACCCUUGGCUGAUCGUGAGUCUUCAGAGGUCUUGAGCGUUGUUGAGCUAUGUUGACUAGGUUUAGACUUUUAGAGUGUUUAUUAUUAUCAUAGGAAACUAUUAGAUAUUAUUUUAAUAAUUGAAAUUAUCAAAUUUAUGUUUAUGUGCAUGAUUGUUGGUCUAAAAAUAACAUUGUUUUCUUGAUAAAAUUACGUUGCAGUCUACUAUAGACUGGUAUCACUAAAUGGAGAUUACCUCUAUUAUUAGUUUAGAUAAUUAAGAGUAUGUCAGUUUGAAGUGCUAUAUGCACUACCCUAAGUACCACCCUGUGAUUGUUAGGUCCCAUGUGGUGUAGAUUAUACAGCGUCAGGACAGACCCCAUACGUGGCUUUGGAUGUUCUGGCGCAUGGGGGAGAUUAUGUAAUGGUUAGGUCAUACGUGGCGUAGGUUAUUCAGCGUGUUGACAGACCCUAUACGUGGCGUUGGAUGUUCCAGUAUGGAAAGAUUUUGUGAUUGUUAGGUCCCACGUGGCGUAGAUUAUCCGGCGUGAGGACAAACCCCAUUCGUGGCUUUGGAUGUUCCUGCGUAUGGGGGAGAUUAUGUGAUGGUUAGGUCACACGUGGCGUAGGUUAUUCGGCGUGUUGGCUAACCCCAUAAGUGCCGUUGGAUGUAACGACCGGUCCUAAAUAAAUUAGUGAAUAUUAAUUUAUUCAGAGAAAAUACCAUUUUGCCCAUAGAGUAUUUUAUUAGGUUCAAAGUUGACUUUUUGAUCAGAAAGGAAUUUGAGAAUUUCGAUUAUACCGUUGCAUAGAGCACGGCGAGAUGAGUCCGUAGACACGUGGUAUGCUCGAAUCGAAGUUGUAACGAGAGAGAUACGAUCAAAAUACCCUCAGUGGCAUAACCGUAAUUUUGGCAAAAAGGGUCGAUAAAAUCAUAUAUAUAUAUUUUCUCUCUCUCUCUCUCUCUCUCUCUCUCUCUCUCUGCGAUAUUGUCCCUCUCUCUCUUUGAUUCACUGCCAUCUGCCCACGGCAGGACUUGAGACUGGUCACGUUUGAACCGGCUCGAUGUCCCGAUCACGUCGCACCCAAAAUGCAAAUGGAAACCUUGAAUUCCAGCCACGGCUUCGACUGGUUUGAACUGGGUUUUUCCCGGCGUUGCGCCACCGCCUCCGCCGCCCAAUUCCGGUGAAACAGGUAUAAUUCCUCACCUAUUUUUCGAGAUCCAGCUGUUGUUGUGUAGGAAUUAGACGAUUUUCAUGUUUAGGAACUCGAUUUAGAAUUUAGGUUUUGGUCGAAUUUUCAAAGUGAAAUUUCGGCCACUUCCGCUGGUUUUUCGGGGUAUGUCUAAGAACAAAAGUGGUUCCAAAUAGGGUGUUAUACCUAGGGUAGGAACCUUGAGCUGUGAUUUUGAGAAUUUCCGGCGAUGCGUAUUCGCUUUGGACACCCACGCGCCGACAGCGCGUGGGCACUGUAGAAAAGGGGCAUUGUGUCUCAAUGCGAUCUGCUUGUUGUCUUGAGCUCGUAGGUAUGCUCGAAUUUCAAUUUGGAUACUGUUUGAGUCUCGAACGGAUAUCGCAUAGUGUACGUUAUCCGGGUUUGAUAGGUUUGAACCAUUGGAUAGUUUUGAAUUUGAUAUAUGUUAAUCUAGGCAUUUCUAGGAUCAUGUAGGAAUUCAGGGAUCAUGAAUCAGAGCCCCGGAUGUUCCGAUUUAAUAACUUAAAGUUUAUGUUUAUAAUAACUAUCAGAUCGUGCGAUCGUGAGCGAUCCGACUGUCUGAUCUGGACCAAACUUGCAGCACGUAUAUCCUAAACCUUGUGGAACAUAAAAAAAUUUCGGAUUAGAAUUUGGAGGUCGUGGGCCCCGUGGGCCCAUUUAACCAAUUAUGGGUAGUUUGAUCCUUGGUUGACCGUGAGUCUUCCGAGAUAGUUUUACCUUCCUAGGAGGAUUAUAAUGACCCUAGUGAUAGGUCUUGACCGUUGUUCAGCUAUGUUGACUAGGUUGAGACUUCUAGAGUGUUUAUUAUAUUAUUGUAGGAAACUCUUAGAUAUUAUUUUAAUAAUUGAAAUUAUGAAAUUUAUGUUUAUGUGCAUGAUCGUUGGUCUAAAAAUAAUAUUAUUUUCCUGAUAAAAUUACGUUGCAGUCUACUAUAGACUAGUAUCACUAAAGUGGGAAUACCUCUAUUAUUAGUUGAGAUAAUUGGGAGUAUGUCAGUUUGAAAUGUUAUACCCUAAGUACUACUCUAUGAUUGUCAGGUCACCCGUGGCGUAGGAUUUUCCGGUGAGAUGACAGACCCCAUACGUGGCGUUGGAAUUUCCAACGUAUGGAGAGAUUAUAUGAUUGUUAGGUUUCACGUGGCGUAGGAUUUUUCAGCGGGAUGACAAACCCCAUACGUGGCAUUGGAAGUUUCAGCGUAUGGGGAGAUGAUAUGAUUGUUAAGUCACACGUGGCGUAGGUUAUUUGGAGUGCUGACAGACCCCAUACGUGGCGUUGAAAUUUCUGGCGUAUGGAGAGAUGAUAUGAUUGUUAGGUCACUUUGGAUGUUCUAGCGUAUUGGGAGAUUAUGUGAUUACCAGUGAGAUGAAUAAAGGAUUGUUAUGUUAUAUUGGGAAAAACAUGUUUGUAGAAAGAAUUACGUGUGGCUUGAUCCCUCAGUAAGGGUACGUAGGCAGCCUAGGGUAGUGCCUUGGUGCAGUCGCUGACUAAACAUUAUAAUGUUGUUUUUAGGUUUGAUUAUAUGGUAUUAUGGGGCAAGGCCCCUAGGACUAUUGGUGAUAAUUCAUAGAUGGUAGUGGAUGCAUGCUAGAAAUUUGUAGGAAGUUAUUUCAUGUGGAUUGCAGUGGUACUCGUAAAAUUUAUUUGAGUUCCUUAAUUGCAUUGUUAAUAUAUUAAUUUACUUAAGAGUACUGCUAGUAGUUCUGCCUUGAUUUAUUUGAAGGCUGGAGGCCUUGUCUGGAAACUGUGUGCAAUUAGAUUGUGUGUGCUGGCAGUUGACUUUUUAAAUUGUGAAUUUUGUGCAGGUUGAAAUUUGGGAAAUGUUCAAUUUACAGGGGAGACUCUGCUGAAAUUUCGGUAGAAAGUCUUGUGCCCUUAUUCCUUUUUGGGGAAAAGGAUAUAGUUUUAGAAGUGGCGAUGUCGGGAAUUUCCACAGGAUUCGUCUCGGGUUUCGGGAAAUUCGGGGCGGGUCUGAAAAAGUUGUUUCAGUUUUGGCAAGUAUCGGAAAAGACCAAAAUUUUCCGACUUUAUUAUUACUAGAAACAAGGUCGAAGUAUUUACCAAUCAUGUGGCCUUCCAAGUGCUCUAGGUUAAGCCAGGAACCGUUCCUAUCUGCCGUUUCCUUCCCAACUAUGAUCAUGUUGUCUGGGUUCCAACCCACAAAUCUACAUUGGGCUACGUAUUUGAAUUUGUACUAAAGCGUGAUCUAUAGUAUGCAUAUAUUGGAUAAGUUUGAGAUCAGUGGCUUGGGUGUCCGCUGAGCUUGAACAAGUUUGGGUGUGCUGAGUGUUUCCAUGGGUGUGUUGAUGAUCAUGGUUAUUAGAUUUGUGAUAGUUUGGGCUCAAUUUCAACAGAACUCAUCUCAAGCCUAGAUAGUUGAUUCUUAAGUUUAUCAGGAAAAAAAAUUAAAAAUUAAAAAAUCUAAAGUUAAGCCCAAGGCGCCGAACUUGGACUUCUCACCAAACUGUGCAUAAAUUGAAAUAUUUAAUAGAAGCCCAAGAUUUUUGAAGCACAUAAUAUCUACAAAAAUCUACAAAGUGUAAUACUUUACAAACUUCUUAUGUGUACCAAUUUCUGCUCAAAUUAAUUUCUCUGUGGUGCUGAGAUUCAUCAUAAUUUUAGUAGAAAUUGGAAGUUUUCAUCAUUUUUGCUUUAAGUCUCUCCUCCACUCACUAAUAAAGAUUACUCAAGUGAGUUUACAAAACAUUUUUUUUCUACUCUCUCCUGAAGACUACACAUCUUCUCAAAAGAUUAGAUCACUUCACAUCUUGUAUAUGUGAAAACUAAUGCAAAAAGUUGAAACUUUAUCAUAAAACCUCGACAAAAAUUAGCUCUACUUAGAACAUUAAAUUUGGAUUCGUUGAUUUAAAUGGCAAUUUGACACUUCAUAGAAAUUUUUACAUACAUGUGUUAGUGUUUGAUCACUUCACUUAUUACUUACUAUAUUUAUUCCAUGAUUCUCCCUCAAGUUAUGUAAAUAUUAUUAUCAAACAUUUCAAUUCAUUUGUGAUAUUUCUUGUCCAUCUUUCAAUGUACCCUGAAAUCCAUUAGCCACAUAUGAUGACCAAAAUCCACACUCUGUUGUUUGCAAACGUUCAAUAUACGACUUGCAUCCACAGUCCUGACCCAAAUGAAAUGCGGAAACUGUCAAGCUAACUGUAGGGAGGACUAUAUUUGAUUUUACCUUAAAGACUGAUCCGAAACCACCUUCUCCAAGUUUAUUGUUGUUUGAAUAGUUUUUGGUUGCACAAACAACAGCGGCCAAGUCAAAUAAUGGCAAUUCCAGAUCUUCCUUUUGGCCGGGCUUCAGUUCUCCUGUGAAGUACGUAGUGAAGUAAAUAAUGUAGCAUGGAACCUUAGCUUAGAAACCAGAGAGGCAACAGCAAAAAUUUUCUAUAGAACUGAACCUACCUAUCUUAGAAAAUGAAGGGGCAGAAGAGUAGAAAAUCAAAUAGCUUACCAUAUUUUUGUUGCUGGUUCUUCCUCACAUAUAAUAGCAGGGUAAGGCCCAGGGUCAGCAGUCCAGUAGACAACACAGUACUGGUUACUAUGAUCUUUGUAUUGUGUCCUUGAUCUAGGAAUGAAGUAUUUGAAAGCAGAAGAUUGAGGAGUCAGAAAUUCAUAAAGAAAAAAUCUCUACUUUUUAUCAUCCAACGAACAAUUAAUGCUAGUUUCUGAGACAGUUCUAAAGAAAUAUUUUUCUAACAAUGUCAAAAGUUUUCUGGCUCUAUCUUGUUUCUAAUCAUGUCACUGUUGGAAGAUUUCUUUCUUCUUUUUUCCUUGGUGGCUUUUAUUUUUCUUUCAAACUUUGUUUUAAACAGCAAGAUGAUUCCAUACCUAGUUCUGACGAAGCCAUUCUUAUGUAAAUAUCUUGCCCAUUUAUAUUGGAAUAUCUUAUAUCAACCAGAUCGCUGAACCACAGCAAGGACCCCCUUCCUCCAUCUCGGAUAUCCAAAUUUGAAAAAGCGGCGCAGGAGCAGUUGUUCAUGCACAUCAUCUCACAUUCCUUGAGGUUCAUAAUUGUGUUAUACUAGGAUUGUUCUGUACUUUAUUUCACCCCAGUGUACUUCUUAAAGAUGUCUCCACUGCAAUUCAGUUGGCUCUUUCUCACAGAUCUAUAUGACCAAUCCACCAAGUCCCAGUCUUGUUGAAAGUCGGUAUAAAUCCUUUCAAGCAGCUACGUACUGGGGACUUGUCAAUACAACAUGCACCAUUCGGACCACAUAUUCCAUAUUUGUCGCAGAUAUCAGUCGUUGCUCUUAGAUAAACAACCCAACCUUGGUUUCCAUCACUCCCGAUGUAGCUCAGCCCAAAUCCAUCUUGAGUUAACGCCAGCCUGAAAAGAGUUGAGCUGUUGAGAAGCUUAUAACCAUAAUAUACUUCAUCAUCAUUAUCCAACACAAAAUCAUAUGUUGGAUUUAAAUUAUGCAUCCCACUAAAUUGGAUUCCAUUCCAUGGUGCAGUCCGAUAUUUUAUAACAGAACCCUCCCUCAGAAUUAAUUCAUGGUACCCAUAAGGACCAAGUUGAUAUGGGUAAUGUCCUUGAGAAGGAUCCUGGGGGCUUUUCCAGGGUGUAAGAUGCCAAUUAAAACCUGUGAUUUUGUUCCUAACAAGCUUCAUACCUGGUAUUAAUGUAUCUCCUGGGUAAUCAAAACUCUGCCAUAAAAUAUUAUCAGAGUCAUUACGACCAUUGCCAUCUAUCACAACAAGAUUUCCGGAAUCCAAAAUCUGUGCCACUGGAUUCUAUGAAGAACUUGAUGUGUUGGAAGACCUGUAGUGUUCUUUGUUGAAUAUUUGGAUUGCAAAGGGAGCAAGAAAUGUACUGAGAGAGAAAGAGAGAGAGAGAGAGAGAGAGAGAGAGAGAGAGAGAGCAGUGAGCCUUAGAUUGUUCUAACAGUUUUCUUACUCUGCAUGAACAUAGCAGCAGAGCUUAUAUUCCUUCAUGACUGUUACAUGUUCUCUCUUACAUCAGUAGAUUCAAAUCUAACGGUUUGUAAUAGUAAGCCAAUGUGAGUAUGACACAUGGCAAUACACAGCUGUCCUAACAGCUGGGAAUUCAAAACAGACUCUAGCAUUGCACCUGGCAUAUAAGCACAAGGCACUCAGCUAACACAAAGAUUAAAAACAGAUUGAAUAUAAACUGACAUAGAACUUACUAACUAAUCUGAAAUUAGCUAGACAGUUUACAUUUUAACACUCCCUUCUAAAGUGCUAGCUGAUUUCACUCCAAGCAUUCUCCUCAAAUAGUCAAACCUGUCUUUGGGAAGAGCUUUGGUGAAGAUAUCAGCAAUCUGCUCUUCUCCUUUGCAGUAGAGCAGUUCAAUCACUUCUUCUUGUAUUGCAUCUCUAAUAAAAUGAAACUUCCUUUUAAUAUGCUUGCUCCGUUGAUGAAAAACAGGAUUUUUAGCCAUUGCUAUGGCUGAAGUGUUGUCACAAAACACAGUUGUUGCAGUGGUCUGUUCUUCCCCAAAAUCUUCAAGAACAAACCUGAGCCAAAUGGCUUGUGAUGUAGCUUCUGCUGCACUCACAUACUCUGCCUCUGCAGUAGAGAGAGCCACACUGUGUUGUUUGACUGAUGCCCAUGAAAAAGCACCACUUCCAAAUGAAAAUGCAUAUCCAGAAGUGCUUUUCAUAUCUUCCUCAGAUCCACUCCAGUCACUGUCACAGUAACCAACUAAGAGUGCAGAUUUUCCUGUCACAUACUCAAUUCCAUAGUCAAUUGUGCCUUGUAUGUACCUUAGAACCCUUUUAGCUGCCCCAUAGUGCAUCUUAGAAGGGUUAUGCAUGAAUCUUGCAAGCAGGCAGGCAGAGAACAUGAUAUCUGGCCUGGUUGCAGUAAGGUACAGCAGGCUGCCUACAAUUUUUCUGAACAAACUUUCAUCUGCAGCAUCACUUCCAUCCUCUCUUUUCAAUUUAUCAGUAGCCACUAAUGGAGUGCUUACUGACUUGCAGUCUUUGAGUCCAAACUUAUCCAAGAGAGUGAGAGCAUACUUCUUUUGAUGAAUGAAGAUGCUCCCUUCAGUUUGUGUUACUCCCAUACCAAGAAAAUGGUGGAGUAAACCCAAAUCAGACAUCUCAUACUUGCACAUCAUUUCAGCUUUGAAUUCUUUCAUCAUUUCAUCUCUACUUCCUGUGUACACUACGUCAUCUACAUAGAUUGACACUAUUAGUGUUCCCACCUUCCUUUGUUCUCACAUAGAGAGUGGCUUCACUUGGACUUCUGUGAAAACCACACUGAUUCGAGUAGGUGUCAAUUUCACUAUACCAGGCCCUUGGAGCCUGCUUCAACCCAUAGAGGGCUUUUCUUAACCUAUACACCUUAUCCUCAUCAUCUUUAACCACAAAACCAUCCGGUUGAUCAAUAUAAACUUCUUCUUCAAGGACACCAUUUAGGAAGGCUGACUUGACAUCCAAUUGCCAUAGUUUCCAGCCUUUCUGAGCAGCAAGAGCUAUGAGAGUUCUAAUGGUGUCUAACCUUGCUACAGGAGCAAAGGUUUCAUUGAAAUCAAUCCCUGGUUUUUGUGUGUAUCCCUUGGCAACAAGUCUUGCUUUAUGUUUUUGAAUGGAGCCAUCAAGAUUAAGCUUAAUUUUGAAUAUCCACUUCACUCCCACAAUUGGUUUACUACUUGGCCUGUCAACCAAUUCCCAACUGGAGUUUUUCUCUAUCAUAAGUAUCUCCUCAGUCAUAGCCUUCCCCCAAGCUUCAUCUUUGACUGCUUCUUCAAAAUUUUCAGGUUCAAUGAUGCUCAUCUUGCAUUGAGCAUACACUUCACUCAAACUCUUCCAUUUCUUUGGGGUGUUAUCAUAAGUUUCUAAUGGAGCAGAGUCUUGAGUAGCAUGCACAUCAUUACUUGUUUGUGUUUCCAUAGGAGACUGUACAAUCUGUUGCUGUAACAGAUUUGGUUAUGAAUCCAAAUCUGAUACAAUUGAACUUACUCCAUCACCCCAAGACAUAGGGAUUUGCAAUGCCUCAUUGGUUUCCCAAUUCCACAUUGCUUCUUCAUCAAAAAUAACACUCCUAGACAGCUCAAUCUUUUGAGUUCUCAAGUUGAGCACUCUAUACCCCUUUUCACAUACACCAUAUCUUACAAAUACUCCCUUCUCACCUGUGUCUUCCAGCUUGUGCCUUUUCUGUGUGGGGAUGUGAAUAUAGCAUAGAGAACCAAAUAUUCUCAAAUGCUUGACACCUGGUUUUCUUCCACCGAACUUUUCAAAUGGAGUGGAAUUGUCCAGUGCACUUGUAGGACAUCUGUUCUGCAAAUAUACAGCUGUAUUGACAGCUUCUGCCCAAAACUUCAAAGGGAUUUUCUUCUCAUACAUCAUGGCUCUUGCCAUUUCCAUCACAGUACGAUUCUUUCUCUCUGUAACUCCAUUCUGUUGUGGAGAGUAGCCUACUGNNNNNNNNNNNNNNNNNNNNNNNNNNNNNNNNNNNNNNNNNNNNNNNNNNNNNNNNNNNNNNNNNNNNNNNNNNNNNNNNNNNNNNNNNNNNNNNNNNNNNNNNNNNNNNNNNNNNNNNNNNNNNNNNNNNNNNNNNNNNNNNNNNNNNNNNNNNNNNNNNNNNNNNNNNNNNNNNNNNNNNNNNNNGGUGUGGUCAUCAAUGAAGGUGAGGAAAUAUCUGUUCCCUCCAAGAGUGAUGGUCUGCAUUGGACCACAAAUGUCUGAGUGAAUCAGUUCUAGAGGUUGAGUGGCUCUCCAAGCUCCUUCCUUAUCAAAAGAGCUUCUGUGAUUCUUGCUUUCAGCACAACCUGAGCAGACCUUCUCAUGUUCUUGUAAAUUAGGCAUUCCCUGAACCAUAUCUCUCUCUUGUAACAACUUCAAACUAAUAUAGUUUAGGUGCCCAAAUCUUCUGUGCCACAGCCAGGAUGUUUCUCCAACUGUUGCUCUGUUUGCCAUAGGAGGAUUAACAUAGUCAAGAUUUAAAGGAAAACAUUUGUUUCCCUUCAUUGGCACUCUUGCAAUGCAAUCUUCCAACUGCCUAUCUCCAUAGAUAUCAACUGCAUUAUCACCAAAUACAAGCCAAUGCCCAUGUUCUAUCAUUUGACCUACACUUAGCAAAUUUUCAUCUAAACUUGGUACAAUCAUGAUUUCUUUGAUAUAUCUAGUCACACCCUUCAUUUCUAUAGCCAAAGUCCCUUUGCCUAUUAACUGCACUAGAUCACCAGUCCCCAUUUUGACUUUACUCUUCAUACUUUUAUCAACAUUUACAAGUAAUGACUCAUGGGAAGUCAUGUGAUUGCUGCAUGCACUAUCAACAUACCACAUAUUCACAUUCUUUCCAAUUGUUGCAGCAUGACAUGCAUAGAACAUAAUGGCAGGUUCAGUUACCUGAUUUGCAAUGUUAGCAAGUUUCCCUGCCUUGUUUGCUUGGUCACAGUCCUUAACAAAAUGACCAAAUCGAUUGCAGCCAUGACACUUUGGUUUUCCUUUAAACCAACACUCACCAUAGUGUAACUUCUCACAAUGUUUGCAUUUUCCAGAUUUGUCUCCUUGACUUGGUUUUCCCCCUUGAUUGGCACUGUUUUGGGGUUUAGAAUCCCAUUUCUUAUCCUUGGACUUCCAAUUCUUCUUUGAUUUAUUAGAGCCAGAACUAGAACUUGAUUGAGAUCCUUUUGAGUUUAUGCUCAUGCUGCUGAAAGCUUUCUCAGUGGUGCUUUCUGCAUGUCUGUCAAGGCGCUGAGCAAAACCUCUUAAUGCUGCAAUUACCUCCUGCACUUCAAUGGUUUCAAUGUCUCUAGUUUGCUCAAUCACAUAGCAGACUGGAUCAAAUUCCUUGGUUAAGCUUAUUAGCAGUUUUUGAACUAUCCUCCCUUUGGUCAGAUCUUCCCCAUAUCCCUUCAUCUGAUUUACAAGCUCAAGUAACCGAGUGAUGUAUCCAGACAAGAUCUCAUCAUCCUUCAUCCUGGUGUACUCAAAAUCUCGACGCAGACCCUGCAACAUGAUGGAUCUGACUUGCUUAUCACCAUGAAACUCCUGAUGCAAGAUAUCCCAAACACCUUUUGAGGUUUCUUCAUUUGAGAUUCUGGGAAAGAUGUCAUCUGAAACAGCACCUUGGAUAAUACCAAGAGCCUUAGCAUCUUUCAUCAACAAGGACACCAUCUCUGAAUCUGAUGACCCUUCUUUAUCAGCUUUUGAAUCUGGAACUUGAAGGCCUUUCUCAACCAAAUUCCAGAUUCCAUGAGAUUUGAAAAUUGUUCUCAUUCGAAUCUUCCAAAACUCAUAGUUCUCCCCAUUGAAUAUUGGAGCUCUAAGAUCACUCCCUCCUGACCCAGCCAUCUGAGACCAGACUCAAUGAGUUGAGAGUAGGAAAUUUCCCGUUGGAUUUCCAGACUCAGCUCCCACAGCUUCAACGCCCUCUAUCCAGAUCCAACCUGCGCACCUGAUACCAUGUUGAAUAUUUGGAUUGCAAAGGGAGCAAGAAAUGUACUGAGAGAGAGAGAGAGAGAGAGAGAGAGAGAGAGAGAGCAGUGAGCCUUAGAUUGUUCUAACAGUUUUCUUACUCUGCAUGAACAUAGCAGCAGAGCUUAUAUUCCUUCAUGACUGUUACAUGUUCUCUCUUACAUCAGUAGAUUCAAAUCUAACGGUUUGUAAUAGUAAGCCAAUGUGAGUAUGACACAUGGCAAUACACAGCUGUCCUAACAGCUGGGAAUUCAAAACAGACUCUAGCAUUGCACCUGGCAUAUAAGCACAAGGCACUCAGCUAACACAAAGAUUAAAAACAGAUUGAAUAUAAACUGACAUAGAACUUACUAACUAAUCUGAAAUUAGCUAGACAGUUCACAUUUUAACAUUCUUAUGGUCGGCAGGGACAAGAAUUCCAGGGCUGCUCAACUUGAAUACACCUGAUGAACCAGUGAGGGGUGUGUUUCUUUUAGUCUGCACUAUAUAUGCAGGGUCUGACUCUAAUUAGAAGAUAAUUGUAUUAAUUUGGUAAAGCUUUGUCUGUAACUGUCUCGCACCUUAAAAAAAUUUCACAAUUAGCAGCAUUGGCAAUACUUGAUUAGAAAGCAGAAACCCUACAGUAUAUAGUUAAGUUGAGUAGCUGGGAAGACAAUUAGUAAGCUUUCAAUACUAAAGUUGAAUAUUGGGGAGACAAAUUACUAGAGCUUCAAGUUCAGAUAAAUAGGAUGAAUUUCUCUUAAGGGAUCCCCUUUCACUGUAGCUUGGAGUAGAAUUCAUUUUGACACAAUAUCAAUUAUCAAUGUAAACACGUUACUGAUGCACUAUUGACAAUAUCGAUGCACGUCAUAUCAUAUUUGUGGGAGUAAAUUUCCUCACGAGAAUAUUUGGUUCAAAAGAUUCCCCUUUUUUUUUUUUUUGCCGCCUCUUUCUCCUUGCAAAAUAGAACAAAUAAGAGGACCACACCCGGGGGGUGUUGGCCAAAGGCCCUCCGAUGCUAAAUUAGUUCAAGUAUUUGUAAGAAAAAUACUAGCUAACUAGGGUACAGAGGUGUAUUUAAGGUGUAAACCGGGCAGCCGAAGUCUUAUGUAAAAGAGAGAGAGAAAGGAGGUGGCUAGCGUUUGAGAGGAAUUUUCUGCAGAGUUUUUAGUAGAGAUUUCAGACGUACCUCAACCAUUGUGUGUGGCCAUCUUUUUAUAGUGGUCUUGGAGGCUAGGGUUUCAGAGGAAUAAUUCCGUAGAUGGAAAGGAAUUAUUCCUCCCCUAUUUGGAAUUGAUUUGAUUAAUUAGGGAUUUGAUUUAUUAGGGUAAAUCAAAUCCCUAAUUGUGGUAGGUAUCAAAUCAAAUCCUUUUUUAAUUAGGUAACUCCUCAUUUAAUUGGGAAUUGUGGUAGGAAUCAAAUCAAUUCUCAACCUAAUUAGGUAACGUUCAAUUUAAUUGGGUAAUUCCCAAUUAAAUUGAGUAACUCCCAAUUAGGUUGAUUAAUUCCCAAUUAGAUCAAAUAAUCCCCUAAUUGAAGGAAUUAUUUGACCUAGGGUCUGAUUUAAUUCGAUUCCCACAAAUGCCCCCCAGCUUCUGCAUGGUGCAUGGUGGCACGUAGGAGAUGUAAAUUAUCUGUUGGGCUGUCCAGCUGUAACUGGGCUUCCUUCGUGGACCUGGGCUCCCGAGUAGAGGAGGUGUUUGACUUGCCAAUUUUAUGAACACCCAAUUGGAAAGGGUUUGAGAUUCCUUGUAGGUCAAGGAAUUUUGCUCCUUAUAAAUGUAGGGCUCCUCCAAAUUAUUCUCGACAUCAGAAAUCUACUCCUCCAAAUUUGUUAGUGAGAGAGAGAAGACUUUGGAGAAUUUUUCAGCGUGCUUGAGACUUCAUCUUUGCAGCCCAUCCAAGGUAAUUUGAUAGGAAGAAUUUUAUUUUGAGUUGCUAUGACUUUUGGCAGCAAGCUGUGAGACUAAGGGCAUGUCUUGAGGUGCGCGCUAGGGCUUUAGGCAUGGCAAGAGACUCGGAAAGGCUAGCAGGUUCGUUUCCACCUACGCUGGGCUCAAGGAGAAGGCAACAGGGCUUCAGGCCUUGUGGAUGAAGUGGGCUUUCGCUGGGAGCAAGAGGCCUGGAGCUGAGGCAAGGAGACAAUGGGCCUGGUACGAGGUGUGGGCUGAGCAUGCCAGCUUUGGAGCAAGGGGGCCAGGACGACUGCUGGGCAGGAGGUGCGCUGGGCUGCAUGCGCGAGCUGCGCCGAGUGCUGGCUGGAGGAGCGAGCUGGGCUGCGCGCUAGGCCAUUCAUGCUGGGCUACUUCCGUUUUUUUUUUGUUUUUUUUUAAAUUUUAUUUGCUGUUGCUGCUUUUUUUUUUGUUUUUUUGUUUUUUUUUUGUUUGGUAUUCUAACUCGUAAUUUUUUUUUUCUUCUUACAGCUACUUGUUGAUCAACCAUGUCUUCCGGAGAUGGUAGCAAGGCUCCAAGCUCUUAGGUCCUUUUGUAUUUAUGGGGAGGCUCCAUAGUGCAUGGCAAGAAGUUUGUGGUCAACUUGCAUCGCGUCACGACUUAUGCUCAGUUCCAGAAGUGGCGGGCCACUUAUGCGUCUGCCAUUCCAGAUGACGUGCUGGUCAAGCUAUUGAAAUCUCAAACUGAUAACGAGCCUUUGGUGGACGUGAGUGAUCAUGAUGCUAGGAUCAUUACCUUCCGUCCUUUUUACUUCUCUUUAGGCUUCAAAUUCCCGUUGUCAAAGCUCUUCAAGAAGGUGUUCUGUGCCAUGGGGUGUGCUCCGAGCCACUGUACUCAUGUGCUUCAAGAAUUUGAGUCGUUUCUUCAUGUUGGAGCUGACGAUGCGAGAGUUCUUUUAUUUUUUUCGAAGUGAGGCACUUUGAGCGGUACGCCCAAGUUCGUAUCUACAAGGCCAAGCUGUUCCACGGUCUCAGUCAAGGAGAUCACGCUUGACAUGAAGAUGUGUUGGAGGUCAGCAGACGGUGGGAGGGUGACGUCGGUGACGGCCCACCUGUUCCCAUCACCUAUUGUGAUGGUAUGUCUCUUUACGAUUUUUGAUAUGCUCCUUUUAUUUGAAUUUCUUGAAGUGUGGCAGACUAACUUCUAUCUUCUGCUCGUAGUGAGUGACAUUAGCAAGCAAUUGGAGCUCCGACCAGACAUGGCUAAGGUCCGUCGUGCUUUGAACAUCCCUCUAAGGUUUCACGAGUGGCGCUGGCUGUUGAGUGAGUACCGGGAGGAAGACGGUGGUUUUCUCCUUGCCGAGGAUGUCGAAAGGUGGAAGCAGAACGAUCCUGACCCUGAUGAUCUGCUUGGCAGACAGGAAGAAUGUUCUGCUUAAUCGCUCUUAAAGAGAAAGGCUGCUGCCAAAUCUUUGAGAUGUGAAGCUACUUCUUCGCAUGCAAAGGAUGGGUCUCCAUCGAGGAAGAAACCAAGGCUCCCUUCUGCUGAGAAGACUCAAGUGGGGUCUGCUCCCUCAUCAUCUGCCAGGGUUAAGCAUCUCGUGGGUGCAGAUAGCAAGAAGGUUGGUGGUAUGCAUGGUACUCGGGGUGUUCUGCCCAAGCUUCCUGCUGACACGCUCGAAAACCAUGAUAUACUUCGUGAAGUGGCUCGUGCCCAACCUAGUUCUGCCAAGCGUCAAAGAGAUGUAGACAUUCCUCCUAGAAGUUCGAGUUGUCUGCAUCGGUCAAAAGAUGGAGACCGAAGCGGGAGGUCUGCUUAUGAUCCAGCAUUAUUGACUCAUUUGGAGAUGAGGUUGGCGAAGGCUAAGAAGGUGAAAGAGUCAUCUGCCCGGGUUAAGGGUUCUUCCUCGGCGUUGGUAGUUGGUCCCAAGAUGAACAAGUCUAGCUCUGUAGGGGAUGCAUGCGUAUCUGAUCUGCUCAAGAUGAACUUCCUAUCAAACCCGUCCUCUUGUGUUGAGUUGGUUGAUCACAUCCCUCAAGCGGGCGAUCUAGGCACUUUCUCGUGCCUUUCCUUAGAAAAAUGAAGGAAAAUGACAUUCCAUCUGAUUCAAAAAGGACUGGUUUUUGCUACUGAGACUAUUUGGAACUCAUCUGCUAUUGCCCCUCUUCUGUCCAACUCAGCGAGUUGGAGAAGAAGAAUGCUGAUUGGCUAGACAGCUUUCCGCCGAGCAGGCCCGUUACGAGAAGAAGAUGUCUGAUUUGAGGGCGAUGAUAUCUGAGCUGAAAAGCUCCCUUACCGAGAAGGAUUUCGAGCUCAACUCUUCUGCUGCUGAUUUGGCUAGUCGAAAAGAUACCUUCUUUCGUCUUGAGCAUAAGAAUGCUGACAUCUUCCUUAGCUAUAACAAACUCCUGGCUAGAUUUCAUGCCUACCAUAAGUCUGCUAAAGAAUCCAAGACAGAUGGAGCUGCUGAAGGCGUAGCCGGUCAGGUGGAUGCCGAAGAGGCUGCAGCUUAAAAGUCUUCUGCUGGCGUCUCAGAGUAGAUGAAGACUCUUUUUUGUUUCUUUUCAGCUUUUGUAGUUUGCUUUAUUGUUUAGAAUAACUGGUCUUAUUUGACCAUCUUCUUUUUGUUGAACUUGGCUGGUUGGUCUGUUUGUUAGGGAAAUUUCAGUUACAUUUUCCAACUUCAAUUUGCAUAUUUGACUUGUGAACUGCUUAAGUAACCAGCCUGUGUUUUGAUUGCACAUCCCCCUUUAGAGAUUUGUGAGUACCAGGGUCCCCCUUGGAGGACUCCGGCCAUGCACAGUAUAUCUCGUAGGAUGGUUCCCCUUAGGAAGUUGGCGAGUACCAGGGUCCUCUUUGAGAGACUCCGGGUGUGUUCUGCACAUCCCGUAUGAUGCCUUAAUCGUCGCCUUGCUUCUCCCGUAGGACGCUGCUUAUAGGCAACUAUAUGACUAUCCUGCCUUUCUUAGGAAACGGAUAGGAACCUGGAUAUUUCCCGCAUGAAGCAUGGAGACCUCCUUUUAAGAAAUUUUUGGUGCACCAUGCUUCUCCCUUAGGACGCUUUUUUCGCAGGCUGGGUCUCCAAAUGGACGCUUUUAGUCGUUGCCCUGCGUCUCCCUUAGGACGCUCCUUAUGGGCAACUGUGUGACUAUCCUGCCUCCCUUAGGAAAUGGAUAAGACUUGAAUAUUUCCCGCAGUAAGCAUGGCGACCCCCUUUUAAGAAACUCCUGGCGUACCCUGCAUCUCCCUUAGGAUGCUUUUUAAGAGGGCUGCUUCUCCAAACGGACGCUUUUAGUCGUUGCCUAUGUCUCCCCUAGGAUGCUCCUUAUGGGCAACUGUGUGACUAUCCUGCCUCCCUUAGGAAACAGAUAGGAAACUAGAUAUCUCCCUUAGGAAAUUCCUAGCGCACCUUGCGUCUCCCGAAGGACGCUUUUUUAGCUGGCUACGUCCCGAAACGGACACUUUUAGUCGUCGCCCUGCGUCUCCCUUAGAAUGCGCCUUAUAGGCAACUGUGUGACUAUCCUGCCUCCCUUAGGAAACGGAUAGGAACCUGGAUAUCUCUCUUAGGAAAUUCCUGGGGCACCUUGCGUCUCCCGAAGGACGCUGCUUAUGGGAAAAUAUUGUGUUUCGUGGGCAGAUGAGACAUUUUGGAAUGAGAAACUGAACUUAUAUUGAUAUUCAUAAGAUUACAGUCCUUUAUUUGAAAAUGGAAAUAACUUGGUUCAAAAACUUAGAACUUCUAGCAGCUACGAGGAAGCACUAUGGAUAAUACUUUCGGAGAUGGUGAGCAUUCCAUUGUCGUGGUAUUUCCUUCCUAUCCAUGGUGUCCAGUGUGUUGCUUCCUCUGCCCCGGACCUGCUGAUCACAUAAACGCCCUCCCAGUUAGGAUUCACUUUUUUUGACCCGUGUCUUGGUGCAGUAAUGAAAGCCUUAGCACGAGGUCGCCUGGUUGAAACUGUUUGACCUUAGCUCUUUUGUCGUAGUAAGACUUCAACUGCUAGUGAUAGGAGGCGACCCGAAUAAUGGUCUUCUCACGCCUGCCCUCAAGUAAGUUGAGGUUGAGCCUCAUCUGCUCGGAGUUCUGAUCAACACUGCCUACCUUAAGACUUAUAGAGAGGACAGUGAUGUGAGGUGGUAUGAUCACUUCUGUUCCAUAGGCGAGAGAGAAUGGGGUUUCACCAGUCGAUCUUCGCUUGGUGGUGUGAUAAACCCAUGGUACUCUGGGGAGUUCAUCCACUCAUUUCCCUUCAGCGCCUUCCAGCCUUUUCUUUAAGCAGUCCAAUAUGACUUUGUUGGAUGCCUUGGCUUGUCCAUUUCCUUGUGGAUACCUCGGGGUGGACAAGUGUUGUUUGAUCUUGUAUUUCACAAAAAAAGCGGUGAUCUGCUUGCCAAUGAACUGUGAGCCAUUGUCGGUAACCAACGACUGUGGGCAGCCAAACCGGCAUAUGAUGUUUCUCCAGAUGAAUCACUCCACAUCGGCUUCUUUAGUAAAUGAUAGAGCUUCGGCCUCGAUUCAUUUAGUAAAGUAGUCGGUGGGGACGAUCAUCAUUUCUUUCUUGGCGGGCGCUAGUGGCAAGGGAUCCACUAGGUCGAUGGCCCAUUGCAUGAACAGCCAUGGACUGUUUUGCGGAUGAUAGACUUCGGCAGGCAAGUUAGGGAUCGGCUUGUAUUGCUGACAGCGUCACAUUUCUUGGCACAUUCAGCACAGUCGUGACGUAUGGUAGGCCAGAAGUAGCCUAUGUUUAGAACUUUCUGGGCGAGUGACCUGCCCCAGAAUGGUUGCCAUACUCGUCGUCGUGAAUUUUACAGAUAAUCUCAAGUGUUUGAUGGUACUUUAUGCAGGUGAGAUGAAGGCCGGAGUAUGAUCUGUGGAUGAGCUUGUUGCCGUGCAUGUAGUAUCUCUCGGCCUUUUGCUGGACUUUUCUAGCUUCGGACUUGUCCGUUGGCAGGUUUCCAUUCGUGAAAUAGUCGAUGAUGAGGUCUUGCUAGCUGGGGUCCUCGUCAAUCUGCAUGGUAUUAAUCGGCUCUAUUUCUUCAAUGCUUGGUCGGUCAAGGUGUUCGACCUAGAUGGAGUGUUUGAACUGGGUAUCCAGCGUUGAACCUUGGCUUGCCAGUGCGUCUGCAUGCGCGUUCUUUGCCCGGGACACUUGUUGGAUAGUGAAGGUAGGAAAUGCCUUCAACAGCUCUUGGACUCUAUCAAGGUAUAAGAUCAUCCUUGGGUGCUUUGCCAUAUAUUCACCUGAGGCUUGAUUCGUGAUCAACUGUGAGUUUGAGUAGAUGGCUAGCUUUUUGAUUGCGAGCUCCUUUGCCAAGCGUAAGUCGGCGAGUAAUGCCUCGUAUUCUACCUCGUUGUUCGAGACCGAGAAGCCAAGCGUAAUAGCUUGCUCUAACAGGGUUCUAUCCAGGGUGGUGAUAACGACCCCUGCUCCAGCUCCUUUUUGGUUCGACGCUCCGUCUACACGCAACUGCCACAUGUCUCUGGGAUGGCUUGGUUCUGCGGAGGUCCUGUCUGCUUUUGAACUUCCCUCCUUUUGGUUGACUAACUUCUCUUUUUUGGCUGAUGGGGUGAAUUCUGCGACGAAGUAUGCUAAAGCCUGGGCUUUUAUUGCAGUUUUUGGCCCGUAGAGGAGGUCAUAUUGGCUUAGCUCUAUAGCCCACUUCAUGAGUCGCUGAGAAGCAUCAGGGCUGUGGAGGAUUGAUCUCAAAAGAAAGUCAGUCAUGACUAUGACUCGAUGAGCUUAGUAGUAGGGUCGCAGCUUUCUCGCAGAAACUACAAGAGCCAAAAUAAGUUUCUCCAAUUUCGGGUAACGAGUCUCUGCAUCGAGGAGAGCUUUUGACGUGUAGAAUACCGGAUAUUGGGCCCCUAUCUCUUCUCGGAUGAGAGCUGAACUGACAGCUGAGUUGGACUUACCUCACUAGGGACUGGAUUUGAGAGCAUGGAAGGUGAGGUGAGGUAAGUCUUCAGAUUAUGGAAAGCUACUUUGCAGUCCUCAUCCCAUUUCUCUCUUUGUCCUUUCUUCAAAGCUUUGAAGAGUGGUCUGCACUUGUCGGUUGAUCUCGAGAGGAAUCGGUUGAGAACCGCUGCUUUGUCCGUCAGACUUUAUAUCUCUUUCACCGUGGAAGGCGACUUCAUCUCUAGAAUGGCUUUGAUUUGACGUGGAUGUGCCUCGACACCUCGUUGCGUGGCUAGGUAUCCCAAGAAUCGGCCGGAGGAUACACCAAACAGGCAUUUACUUGGAUUCAACUUCAUGCGAUACUGGCGGAGCAAGCUGAAUGAUUGGGUAAGACUUCCGAUGUGAUCUGCACGUUUUGGGGCUUUGACCAGCAUGUCAUCCACGUAGACCUUCAUAGUUUUGCCGAUCUGCUUAUUGAAGAUUUUAUUCCCGAGCCUUUGAUAGGUUGCUUUGGCGUUCUUCAGCCCAAAGGGCAUGACCUUAUAGCAGCAGGUCCCUCUCUCGAUGAUGAAAAAAGUUUUUGCCUUGUCAUCCUCGUGCAUCAGGAUUUGUUUAUAGCUGGACUAGGCGUCCAUGAAGCUAAGCAGUUGAUUGCCAGAAGUGGAAUCCACGAGUUGGUCGAUUCUCGGCAAUGAGAAGUUGUCUUUAGGGCAUGCUUUGUUGAGGUCUGUGUAAUCGACACAAACUCUCCAUUUGCCAUUUUCUUGUUUUGCCACCAAAACAACGUUGGCAAGCCACUCUGAGUAGGAGGCCUCUUCGAUGAAGCCGACAGCUAGGAGUUUGUCAAUCUCGGCCUCGAUGAUAGCAAGUCGCUGGGGUGCGAAGUUGCGUCUCUUCUGCGCCACUGGCUUGCAGGCAGGGUUGAAGUGGAGUCAGUGACAGAUGAUGUUCUUGUCGAUGCCAGACUUGUCUGACGGCAACCAUGCGAACAUGUCUCUGUUGCUCUGGAGGAAGGUGGUAAGCUCCACAUUCUCUUCUGGCCUUAGGCGCGAACCGAUCCACUCUUUCCUAUCUGGUUGGUCAGGAUCCAAGGGUAUUAACUCGACGUCCUCCUUGGGUUUCCAUCCUUCUUCAGGAAAGACCUAUGGACGGAUUUCCUCGACUUGGUCCUGACGCUUUAAUUGCUAUAAGAUAGCAAGAUCCAGUUGCUCAACCUCCUCCAGAUCUGCCUGGCUCACAGGGAGAAACUGCGCUUGUUUACCUUUCUUUAGCCCUUGGGCGGAGCAUUUCCUCGCCAUUGCCUAAUCGUUGUUGAUUUGGCCGACACCGCCCCCAAGGAUUGGGUACCGAAUUUUCUAAUGUGUGGCGGAGGUGAUUGCAUUAAUUUUGCCAAUCGAUGGUCUGCCCAGAAUGCCGUUGUAGGGUAAGACCUUAUUAAUGACCAUGAAGGUUAUGAGCUGAUUAUAAGUGGGGAGUAGACGUCGAGGUCUAUCAUGCCCACGGUAACCGUUGUUGCACCAUUAAAAUCGCUCAGCAACCUAGCUAAUUUGUAAAUCUUUGUCUCCAAUCCCAUCUGUUGAAUGACCUCCAGUUGCAGGAUAUUGGCUGCGCUGCCCUCGUCUGUGUGGAUUCAGUCUACCAUGACCUGAGCAAUUUGAAUGCUGAUGACAAGGGCUUCGUUAUGUGGCAUGUAGAGGCCGAUCAGAUCUUUCUUUUGGAAGCCGAUUACAGGAUCGUCUUCUGCUGGUGGAAGGUCGGUCGAGAUUUGGGAGAUCACAGUGGUCUGUUUGAUCUUCCUCUUUUUUUCCUUUCUGGUCAGCCCAGACUCCUCGGAGUCAGCUAGGAUUGUGUUAAUUCUUAUGACCUUCUGAGGCGGCUCCUUGGCGAUGUCACGAUCUUCUAUCCGCUGGAUGACCUUCUUUGCAAUGAAUUCUGUGCAGUGACCUUCUCUCACGAGUUCUUCAAGAUGUGCUUUCCAAGCGAAGCAGUUGUUCAUAGUGUGUCCGUGCAUUUCAUGGACGGCACAGUAUUUGCUAGUAUUCCUUUUGUCCGGAUCUUCUUUCAAGGGUGGUGGUCUUCUUACCCAAGGUUGUUCUUCACUUGGGCUAAGAUUUGAUGUAUGGAGAUGGUGAACUUGGUGUAGUUCUCUCCUGCCGUAGCAUCCCCUUAUGGGUGCGACCUGCGCUUGUCCUUGUCCCUGUUGCUAAAUCCGUCGCUUCUUUGGCCUGCCCCCUUAGUCGGCUGAUCUUCCUGCUUAGUAGAGUUCUUUGCGGCGAUUCGAUCGUCAUCCCAAAGCGCAUAGCUUUCCGCGGUCUCGUAGACCUCUGCCAAAGUUUGGCUGGGAGUGAUGGUCAGCUCGUGGUACAAGUCGUGCUCAGUCGAAAGGUCUUUCUUGAAAGCAGAGGACGCAAUUUGGUCAUCACAUCCUACAAUGUUGGCCUUUUCUACUUUGAAUCUCUUGAUGUAAUCUCUAAAGGAUUCGUCGAACUUCUUGCGCAGGUUAUACAGGUGGUCAGGGUUCUUCUUGAUUGUUCGGUAAGAGGUGUAUUCUUUGGUGAAUAAGUAAGUCAGCUCCUUGAAGCUGCUGAUCGACCUGGAUGGCAGAGUAUGGAACGAGUCUUGGGCUUCCUCACAAGGUCAUUGCAAACACCUUGCACAUCAGCGCGUCGUCAACCUUGUGGAGGAUCAUGACACUUUUGAAGUGUUUUAGAUGGCUCUCAGGAUCGGAAUCCCCCUUGAAGUGUGUGAAUGUGGGCGUUGAGAAUCGCUUCAGGAGAGCAGCCUGCUCGAUUUUGGCAGUGAAAGGUGUAGAGUAUGCCUGGUCUACCUCAUUUCGUACAUCUUCGAAAUUUCCACCGGUCUUCAAGUCUCGAAGUUGGUCAUUCACAAGCUUCUCUACGUCUUCCGCACACAUUGCUUGUCGGCCACAUUGGCGACCUUCACGAAUUGUUCGAUGCUGACUGACUUCCUCGUUGAUUUCCGAGGAUCGACCUUCUUGUCUGCAUUGCCUAGGUGGAGUGUUGGUGGAUUGCGCCUACGAAAGAUUCUCUGUGGCUUGUCAAUGAGAAUCGGUUCUUCGAGAGUGAGUAACGAAGUGCCUUUCCUCAUGGUCCUUAUUGUGAGGGUUAUCCAGCUGACCUCCCUGGGGCCUAGCCUUUCCUGAAUGCUUCUCUGCGAGUAGACAGUUGAAUGCUUUUCUUCACGAUCCUCGUUGUGAUGGUUGUUUGGCUGACCUCCUUAGGGUCUUAGCCUUUGAUGUACAUUUCCCUGCCUGCCCAAGUAGGUGCGGACGUCGAGUCGUGGGCCCAGCCUUUCGUGCACGUCGUUCCUUAAACUCAAUCUGCUCUGAGUGUGGCUUGCAGAUGCUUGCGACAUGUCGGCAGGUCGAUCACGUUGUUGUCCCUCGACUUGUCUGCCCACUCUUGCUUGACCUGCUUGGUACUCGUUGAGCUGUCUACCGGCCCGUUCAUCCUUCCUUCUUUCCUCGCCUGGUUGUCCAAGGCCAAGGUUUUGAGCAAAGCUUAUUUGGUUGAGGAGCUGCCUCAUUAGAUUGUUUUGGUCGUCCAUUCUUUAAGCUAGCUGGUCAACUCUCAGAUUAAGGUCUGCUUGAUUUCAUGGAUCAGGAGGAGAGAAGUGUGUGGAGCUCAACUGCACAUAGGCUAGGGUUUCAUUAGAGGUGUAUGCGGGAGCGUGUGUCGAGCGUGGAGGCAAUAGAGGGAAUGCUUGGAGUUGCUCCAAGACCGGCCCUAGGUCGGCGGUGGUAACGAGUCCACCUUGAUGGGAAGUUCCACCAUGUUUGGCGGCAGUGACCGAUGCAGUGGUGAGAGGUGGUGGUGCCACCAUGUCGAUCGCGGGAUCGUUGGUGGAGUGGCUUUGGGCCGUCGCAAAUCUAGCCAUCAUGGCGGCUUUGCCUCUCGUGUUCAUGCUUCCAACCAUGGUUGUUUGGAAGGCUUAGGUGGAUUGGAAAAUUAGAGGAACGGAUUCCUUGAGCACGCAUUGAGUAUAACUCGUGCUCUCAAUGAAAGCACCAAUUUGUGGGAGCAAAUUUCCCCACGAGAAUAUUCGGUUCGAAAGAUUCCCCUUUCUUAUUCGCCGCCUCUUUCUCCUCGCAAAAUAGAACAAAUAAGAGGACCACACCCGAGGGGUGUUGGCCAAAGGCCCUCCGAUGCCUAAAUUAGUUCAAGUAUUUGUAAGAAAAACACUAGCUAACUAGGGUAUGGAGAUGUGUUUAAGGUGUAAACCGGGCGGCCGGAACCUUAUGUAAAAGAGAGAGAGAAAUGAGGUGGCUAGGGUUUGAGAGGAAUUUUCUGCAGAGUUUUUAGUAGAGAUUUCAGACGUACCUCAACCAUUGUGUGUGGCCAUCUUUUUAUAGUGGUCUUGGAGGCUAGAGUUUCAGAGAAAUAAUUUCGUAGAUGGAAAGGAAUUAUUCCUCCCCUAUUUAGAAUUGAUUUGAUUAAUUACGGAUUUGAUUUAUUAGGGUAAAUCAAAUCCCUAAUUGUGGUAAGUAUCAAAUCAAAUCCUUUUUUAAUUAGGUAACUGCUCAUUUAAUUGACAAUUGUGGUAGGAAUCAAAUCAAUUCUCAACCUAAUUGGUAACGUUCAAUUUAAUUGGGUAAUUCCCAAUUAAAUUGAGUAACUCCCAAUUAGGUUGAUUAAUUCACACUUAGAUCAAAUAAUCCCCAAAUGGAAAGAAUUAUUUGACCUAAGGUAUGAUUUAAUUCGAUUCCCACAAUAUUUAGAUGCAUAAUUGAAUGCGAAUAAACAUCACUCUCUCCAGUGUGAAAUGGCGAAAAUUCUCUUCAAUCAAAAGUGGGCUUACUUCAAAUUUAGUUGAAGAAUGAUGGUGUGUCUUGCCUGACAAUUGACAAUUAGGUUUAGGAGCGUUCCUCUAGUAGAAAAAUCUAAAUCAUUUGUGGUCAUCCACUCACUUGGUUAGUCUUCCAGAAUCAAAUACCAAAUCAACCCAAAGGAAGCUGCAAUUUUCUGAAUUGUAUACUUGUUUUAAUUCUUCCUAUCUUUUUCUCUCUUUCAUUUUUUUUGUCUCCCUCAAGUUAAUACUUAAGUGAGUUGCCAAAUGGGGGUAAAAAAGAGAGUAGAAGAGAUGAACCCCACAUUUGACUUUAAUAGACAAAUGCCCAAGAGAAGUACCAGUAAGAGCAUCUCCAAUUGGGAGGUGCUAUCCUAUAAUUUGACACACAUUUCUUUUUUCUUUUUUUUCAAUUCUAACAACAUGUCAUCUAUAUCGCAAUAGGCCGUUGUAGUUAAAUUUUCAAAUAACCAAGUUGCUCUCUAUUUUCCAAAGAAGACUAGAAAACAACUUACCAUCUAUCUGGUGCUGCUUCUUCCAAACAUUAGAAAAAACAGAGCUACACCCAGGAGGAGCCCAGGAGAUGACACAAUACUGCCUACUAUGAUUCUUACUUUCUUCACAUUCAAUGAGACUAUAAAAUAUAACCCAAGUGGUCUAACCCCCCAGGGCGGAAAUUGGGUUUAGCAAGUUUAGCACUGAUUGUUGUAUAGUCUUAAACAGUCCUGAUCUCUUGGACCCCUGUAGUCCAAGAGAUUUAUGGUCACCCACCGUUGGAUGUAAAUUCAACGGUUGACUUGAAUCGGGUAAUAAUAAUUUAUGUCAUAUUGCAUUUAUAUAUAUCAUUUUGAACCAUUGGAUUAAUAUCCAACGGUGGGUGACCACAAUCUCUUGGACUCCUGUGGUCCAAGAGAUCGGGACUGUAGUCUUAAAAUAAGUAGUUUAGCGAGUGCAAACUUCGACUUAAAAAAACUCUCAUGUAUAGCCGCGCGGCUAUACUAUUUACAUAUAAAUAUAUAAAAAAGCACCCCCUAGUCACGUGUCACAAAUAGUAUAGUCGAAAACAGUAGAGCCGCGCGGCUAUACUGUUUUUAAAAUAAAAAAAACCAUAUUCGAUUCUCCUUAUAUUUAAAAGGGGUAUAGCCGCAUGGCGAUACUAAUUUUUUUUUUUCAAAAAAAGGGACCCCAGUACUCCUUUUAUAUAUUAUAAUAUAUUGUCUAAUAUUUGGAAUAUUUACUCUAAAAUAAACAAUAUAUUAGGUUCUUUUUGUCUACAAAUUGACCAUUAAACUUCUUAAUCACUCUUAUACUUUCAAUUAAAUCUACUAGGCUAGGUUAUGAUAUUUUCACUAAAAAACUCCUCCUUUUUUUCUUCUCUUUCUCUUCCUGUUUUGUUUAACUUAAGCUUAAGUUUUGUAAUUUUUUUUCCCGCCCUUUUUACAUGUUUGAGUAGGGUACUUUAAUAUUGGGAUUUAUGAACUUUUUUUGUAUUUCUUCUUUAUAUUGGAAUAUAAAUUAUUAACUUUUGAGUCUUUAAUAGUGUAGAUGAUGAGAUUAUUAUUCAACCAUUUUAUAAUAUGAAAUGAAGGACAAUCAUGAUUGUGAUGAAUGGAUUAUUAAUCAAUAUGAAAUGAUAUUAUGAAGUGGGCUAAAUCGAGUAGUUAGUAUCGUAUUGUUGAGACCCAAAAAAUCCAAGGCUAGGCCCAAAUAUAUUAUGAAGUGGGCUAAAUCGAGUAGUUAGUAUCGUAUUGUUGAGACCCAAAAAAUUCAAGGCUAGGCCCAAAUAUAUUUCCGGUCCAAUGCGAUACCUUACCGAGAAGAAACCUUAUUUGGGCACGCGAAAGUUCGUCAUAUGCUCUUGCACACAUGCCAUGCCAAGCAAAUAAGCAACAUGCCACGCUACAAGCUUAAGUGGGCCCAAGCCACGUGAAUGCCUAGGGCCUGCUGAGUGGGUUGUGGUAUGGAUGGUUAUGAGUAUUCACGAGGCCCAUUGAUGGUCUAAGGAGUGGAAGUUUUGGGCUACUUGGGAGCACCAAAACUCAAGCCCAUUCAUUGAGCCCAAACAUAUGGGUAAGCAUGAGAUAAAACCUAGUAGCCCAUCACCUUAAGAAAUCCUAAUAGCCCAUAACAUGUGAGAAAAUCCCACAUCAACCAAAGCUUCCAGCAGUCUGACGAAAUCAAAGGGAACUCACAAGCCGUUGGAAACAAAACAACCCAACACUGUAACACCCCGACCCCAAAUUUCCCCAAAUUUAACCCUUAUUUAAUUAUUUAAGGGUAUUUUAGUCAUAUUUUUAACCGGAGAGAGUUUGGGGCAAUGACUAGUAUUUUUGGAUAGGUCGUACUGAGACGAGUUUAUGGACACGCAGUGAGCUCGAAUCGGAGUUGUAACGAGAGAGAUAUGGUCAAAAGAAGCCCAGUGGCACAAUCGUAAAUAUUUUGAAAUGAGAUUUUUUAUAAAAAUCUGGUUUUCUCUCUCUCUCUCUCUCUCUCUCUCUCUCUCUCUCUCUCUCUCUCUCUCUCGCUAGCGACCUCUCUCUCUCUCCCCCGUCGGUCUCUCCCCUCUUUCUCCUCGUAACUCCGGCCACCGGCCCCGGCUGUGGACGGGGCCGGUACCAAAAUGACCGAGGCGUCGUCCUCUUCCUACCCCAGCCACCUCCCACCGCCAGCCGUCGCGGAUUCGCCGGAAUCUGGAGAUGAAGCGGCCUACGUCGUCCAAAUUUCAAAGCUGCCGAUCUCCCUCCUCCGGCCACCAAUUCCGUCGACCCAGGUAUGGAUUUUGAACUUCUCGAGCUGCUCUAGCUGAUGGUUGGGUAGGAUUAGAUCGAUUCUUAGCUUAGACAACUCGAUUUUCAAAUUGAAAAUCGGCCGAACUUCGGCUGCCGUGAUCGGCCAUUUCCGGCCACUUUUUGGGGUAGGUCCAAGAACAAAAGUGGCUCCAAAUAGGGUGUUAUACCUAGGGUAGGAGUUUGGAGCCGUGGUUUUGAGAUUUUCCGGCGAAGCGUUAUCGCUUUGGGCACCCACGCGCUGCCGGUGCGUGCGGCGGCGCGUGGGCACUGUAGAAAAAGUAGCACUGUGUUCCGAUGAGAUCCUUAGGUUGUCACGAGUGCGUAGGAUUUUGCGGAUCUCAAUUCGGACGUCGUUUGACUAUCGAACGGAUAUUCGCAUAUUGCGCGUUAUUCGGGUUCGAUAGGUUGGGACCGUUGGAUGGACCCAAAUUUAAUAUAUGUUAAUCUAAUUAAUUCUAGGAUCGUGUAGGAAUUCACGGAUUGUGAAUCGGAGCCCCGGAUGUUCCGAAUAAUAAUUUUAAAGUUUGUAUUUUAUAUUAAUUGUCAGAUCGUGCGAUCGUGAGCAAUCUGACCGUUCGAUCUGAACCAAACUUGCAGGACAAGUGUCCUAUACCUUGUAGAACCCAUAGGGACCUUCGGAUCGGAAAUUGGAGGUCGUGGGUUCCGCAAGUCGGUUUGACCAGGGUUAGAGAAGUUUGACCCUUGGUUGACCGUGAGUCUCCCGGAGUAAUCUCACCUUUCUAGGGGAGAUUAUCGGGUACUAGAUGAUUGUGGACACAAUAUUAGAAUUAAUUUAUAUAAUUAUAAUUAUAUAUGGUUGUACAAGGGUACAACAGAGUCUAGAAUGUCAGUUUGGAGUGCUAUACGCACUACUUUAGGUACCUCCCCGGAUGUUGGGAUUUACUACAAGUACCACCAAGUGAAAUUGAGGUCCCGCGUGGCGUAGGUUAUCCAGCGUUGGGAUAGGUCUCAUACGUGGGGUUGGUUGUACCGGCGUAUGGGGAGAUUUGUGAUAUUAUGUUCAGGUCUCACGUGGCGUAGGUUAUCCGGCGUUGAGACAGGCCCCAUACGUGGUGUUGGUUGUACCAGCGUAUGGGGAGCUAUGUGAUAUUGUGUUGAGGUCGCACGUGGCGUAGGUUAUCGGGCGUGUCGACAGACCCCAUACGUGGCGUUGGUUGUACCGGCGUAUGGGGAGAUUUGUGAUAUGAAAUUGAGGUCCCACGUGGCGUAGGUUAUCCGGCGUUGGGACAGGCCCCAUACGUGGCGUUGGUUGUACCGGCGUAUGGGGAAAUAUGUGAUAUGAUGGCAUGGUCGCACGUGGCAUAGGUUAUUCGGCUUGUUGACAGGCCCCAUACGUGGCGUUGGUUGUACCGGCGUAUGGGGAGAUUAUUUGAAAUGCAGAGAAACGAAAUAUGGUAUCGCCCAAAUGUGGAAUUGGGUUUUAGGGAAGAACUACGUGUGGCUUGAUCCCUCAAGGAGGGUACGUAGGCAGCCUAAGGUUAAUAGGUGCAGCCGCAGACUAAAUGUUAGUCAUAAUUGAUAUUUGAAUUGUUUGGUAGUUGGUUAAGAAUUAUUGGAAGGCCGAAGGCCAUUUGUGUGAAUUGCAUGAAAUUAUAUUGUGCAUGCUGCCAGUUGGGAAUAUUAAAUGCGUUUUUAUGCAGGUAUAAAUUUUAGGAAAUGUCCAAUUUAUAGGGGAGACUCUGCCGAAUUUUCGGCAGGAAGUCUCAGUUUUUAGUAUCUGGGCCUGGCAUCGGGAGGAUGUCGGGAAUUCCAAAGGGUCGUCUCGAGUUCUGAAAAAUUCGGUGCGGGUCCUUUCAAACACCUUAUAAAAUAUCCAACGCCGUGCAUCUCUGUUAAAACCAGAUCACAGCCAAACCACCAAAACCAUGCAAACCCAUAUGCUGAUCACCAUUUUUACUAGCACCCUUACCCAUUCUUUCCUCUUCAAGCUUUGGUGAGAAAACAAGAAACAAAAGUGGGCGGAUCUUCACCCACAUGGAGAAAUCCAGCUGCCUGAGGGCCCUGGAACUCCAAAAAACUUCUUACCUACAUGCUCAGGCUAGGGAAGUUUCACCAAAUAAGCAAGAAUGGAAGAAAGUGAAGGAAAAGGGGAAAGGGUGGCUUGACGAAAUUAAGGUUUUCAGCACUUAUAAAAGGAAACACUUUCUAUCCAGCAAAAACAACUCACCCUGGUUGCUGCAAGCCUCCUAGCAACCAUGAGAAUUCAUUGAAGGCAAGCAUCCCCUUUGGAACCCUUCAAUUUCAUGCUUUGUUCUUCCAUCUUCCUCCUUUCUCUCUCUCUCAAAACCCACAUCCAGAGAGAGCAAGCAUCAUCUCUCAUCUUUGGAACCCUUCGAUUUGAAGCCUUGUUCUUCCAUUGCUUCCCAUUUUCUCUUCUGUCAAAUCACCUAGGAGCUUGACGAAACUUUCGUCAAGCUGCUGGAAAUAUGGUAAAGCCACCCAUGCUUCCAUCUUCUUCCUCUCUUUCCAUAAACACACAUCCAAAGAGCAAGCUUCAUCUCUCAUCCUCUAAACCUCUGCAAUUUCAAGCCUCAUUCCUCUAUCUUCUCCCAUUUUCAGCGGUAGUGAGAAUGAUUUCUGCGUGUGCAUGGGAAGGAUUGUAACUCAGAUGAGGAGGAGAUGGUUUGGAGUGGGGUGAGGCAGUUGGAUAGAGCUCUUGGCCUUUUCAAGUUUGGAUGGGAAAGAGCAGGGAUGAAAGAAGCUUUACAACUGCAAGGGCAUAUAUGGUGCGUAGGGGCUGAAGGCAGAACACUUACAUAUAGAGGAAACACAUUUUUUGUCCAUGGGAUUCAUGUUUGACAAACACUUGUCUUAGACUAUGAGUUCAAAUUUCAAAACCUUUUUUUUUUCUUUCUGAAAUCAGGACCAGUGUGGAGAACUAGCAAGGAUUGGAGAAACAGAUUUUUGGGCGUCACUUGACCACAGAUUGUUGAUUGCUCAAAUGUGUAGAAUUGGCCAUCUUAAAUGUCAAAAUGAUUUAUCAAUUGGGGUUUUUUUAGAAACGUUUAUGUUUGUCAAUAGAGACAGAAGUCAGAGAACAUAAACCUUUCUCAGCAAAUUGAAAUUCUCAGUGCAUGCUCUGUUCUUCCAUGGCUUUCAAACCUUCUCUGCCACGGUGAAAUGGAUCGAUAGAGAUAGUUUAGGCCGUUCCAUUUGUUUGAUGAAGCAUUCGUUCUAGGGAUUCUGUAUAUUCAUAACAAAAUCACUAGAAUGAUUCUUAGAAAUUCAUCACUGCUAAAGGCAAUGGGUUCAGCAUAAUAACUUCUUAGUCUUGCUUCUUGGUCCUUUAUUUUCUUUGCAUAAUACUCCAAGUUUACCUGGGUUCUACAGAGAAAAUCUCGUAGAUACCUCUUUUUGUGGUCUUCCAUGGCAUUUAAGUGCUGCUUUCCAUGGUGAAGUGGGCCUAUAGAGACUACCUGAGGUGUGUAGGCUUUGUCAUUUCCACGCCGUAAUCGCUCAGGAACUCUGUAGAUACACCUUCAAGGGGGACAAGGGAGACAAACUAUCCAAUUCCUUGCGCCUUACAAAUAGAUCGCAUGGGUUUUCUAUUUCAUCUGCAGCUUCAUCAAUUCCUUCCAUUUUUCUCCUGAUCAUCAUGCGCGGUGAUUCAAAUAUUUCAUAAUGAACAUUGAAAUGAGAUGCUACAAGCAAACUUAUGAAAAGAAACAGAAAUACCAAAAAGACAAAUCAAUGUAGAUGGUUUAGAAAAUCUAAACAUUGCAAUUAUACUCCUUUGCCCAACUUCUAGGAGCAAACGUACACAAAGACCUUAUUGCUUCCAACUUUUCCAACAGAAUUUCAUAUGAAUUGCUCCAAGUGAAAUCCGUAUGAAAAAUCGGUAGUUGGAUUUUCAUCCUGCUUUAAUAUGAUUAUUUAACUUCUAACAAAAAAACUCUUAUUACUUGAGCAAGUAAAAUACUAUUCCAGGUUUCUCCUAGUUCUAUAUGCGCUUAUAAUUGGUAUACUCUAUAAAUACCAUAAUCUGAAUUUCUCUGUUUUGAUUACUUUAAUUUAUUACUUAUGUUUUAAUUAUUGUUUACUUAGUGAAUUAUUAGUAUUUAAGAGAAGGCCUUCCAUCGAUUAGGCACCACGUGUCUAUAAUAAGUAAAGCCGUCCGGCUAUACUUAAAAAAAAAAAAAAUUGUAGUAUAGCCGACCGGUAUAGCCGCGCGGCUAUACUAUUUAAUACAUUAUAUUUAAACGGUAUAGCCGCGCGGCUAUACUAUUUAAUAAAAUAAAAAACAAAAGAAAAAGAAAAAUUACCCUCCUAUUUCAUUAGUUUGUACUUUAUAGAUACUAGCCCCUUGACACAUGCUCACGCAUGUGCCAAUUGGUUUUCUUUUUCUUUUUUAUUUUUAUUUUUAGAAUUAAGAAAAAAUAACAGGAUAGUUAUGUUCCAUAAAAGUAGGACCUAUUAUCUUAUUUUGUUUUUAAUUUUAAUUUUUUUAAUAUUAAAAAAAUAUGAAUUUACGAUAUUAUCCUCAUUUAAUUAAUAAUUUCAAUUCUUAAUGUUUGAAUUAACAAAGGGCAUUUUCUGGUAUUUUGAAUGUUUCACCAUUCUCUGCCUUUUGCUUUAUAUAUAUAGAUUAAUUUGCCAGUUUCAAGAUAUCCAAAGUACAUAUUAGACUUUCACUAUAUAAAUUUCAAUAUAUAUUUUUUAUAACAUGUGUUGUUCUUAUUCAAUAAUAUGUGAGAAUUAUUUGUAUAAUACGUGAAUUUUGUGUGUCUUACUGAAUUUUUUUAAAUACGUGUAUUAAACGUUACAAAUACGUACAUAUAUGUACAACACGACUAUUGUAAGUUUGCUAUAUAAAAAAAAGUGAGAUGUAUCUAGAACACGAAUGUAUUAUCGAAAAAUAUAUAUGUAUGUAUAUAUAUAUAUAUAUAUGUAAAAGCCUAUAGCCUCUCACCUAUACUAUUUAUUAAAGACAAUUUAAAAAUUACAACAACAAAAAAACCAGUACAGCCACAAAGCUAUACUAUUUUAAAAAAAAAAAAUAGAAAAAAUAUCAAGUACUACACAGGGCAAAGGCCCAGUGUAAAAUAGUAUAGCCGUACGGCUAUACGUUUUUAAGAAGAAUUUAAAAAACUAAGUAUAGCUCACCGACUAUACUAUUUUUUAAUAUAAAAAAACAACCCCAUCCAUUAGGCGCCACGUGUCAACAGAAGUUUAUUUUUAAAAAAAAAAAUUAAAAGACAAGGAGUAUAGCCGGGUGGUUGUACUAUUUUUUUAUUUUAAAAAGAAGACAGUCCAUCGAUUAGGCGCCACGUGUCCAUAAUAAGUACAGCCGCUCGGCUAUAUGUUGGAUAUUUUGAAACUAGCAAAUUAAUAUCAAUAGCCGGUCGUAACCUAUGCUGUCCACGUCACUCAUGUUUUACCAGAGUUAAAGCAUCCACAAUGAGCUCCCCAAACCAUCUCUUUAGACAAAUUUUAGGGAGAAAUUGGAAAAGUACAACUCCAACCAUGCUCCCUAUCCACCAACUAAAAUAGGGAGACCUCUAGGAGCUCCUAAAUCUGAGGAGAGGGAAAGGACUCUUAGUGACUCCCUAUAAUUUAAUGUUGCUUUGUUUUAUGCAUAUUUUAAACUUUUAAUUAAAUCAAAUUAUUAUUUUAUAUUAUUUUGUAUACAGAUGGACCAAUUAUAUUAAAUUAAAAAAUAAUUAAAGUAUUUGUGACUCUCUAAACUAAGGAGUAUGAUUAGAGUUCAAAUUUUAUAAAAAGCUCUUAAAAUAGCUUUUGUGUGUUUUUAGCUAAAUUUUAACUAAAAAAUUUGAAGAUUCUUUAUUUGGGUUUCUUUCAAGACGAAAACCAUAUCCACAACAGACAUCUUUGGCUGUUCAUCACAAUUGAGAGACAAUGAAGAAGACAUAAGGGAGAGGCUGCCAAAUACUUAUCACCUUAGCCACCACCAACACCACAAGACCAAUAUGUGUAGGCCAGGAGGCUUUCCAAUUUUAAUAUAUAUAUAUAUAUAUAUUAAAAAAUAAAAUAAAAAUCAAUCUAUUAUCAUAUAUAUUAUAAAAUAAAGAUUAUUGCUCCAUCCUCCAUGCACUUGCGUGCCCUCUUACAAAGUAUGAAGUAGAUUUUGUUAGCUGGAUUUAUAAGAUCUUUUGUUUUUUGGAAAUUUUCUGAAAUAAGGAAAAUCAAGUAAAAUUAAUAAAGCAUAAAUUGGAAAGGGAAAAUAUCUAGAGGAUGCAUUGUAGGAUUGCUCAAGCCAAUAAUUGUACCCUCUAAAUAUAUAGGGACAUAUUUUUUUUGUUUUCAUGACAUGUCGUCCUAAAAUUAUUGUUCUUAGCGGGCUCUCCACCCCCUCUCGAUUGAAAACCUAUUGUGUAAAUCUUCAAUCCUGAAUUAGAAAAGUACAACUCCAACCAUGCUCCCUAUCCAUCUCCUAAAAUAGGGAUACCUCUAGGAGCUCCUAAAUCUGAGGCGAGAGAAAGGACUCUUAGUGUCUCUUUAUAAUUUAAUGUUGCUUUGUUUUAUGCAUAUUUAAACUUUUAAUUAAAUCAAAUUAUUUUUUUAUAUUAUUUUGUAUACAAAUGGACCAAUUAUAUUGAAUUAAAAAUAAAUUAAAGUAUUUAUGACUCUCUAAACUAGGGAGUAUGAUUGGAGUUCAAAUUUUAUAAAGAGCUCCUAAAAUAGCUUGUGUGUGUAGGGGUCUUUUUCUUCUGGCAACUACAGAUGGGUUGGGCUACCGUAAGGAGCAAACUGAAGAAAAUAUCCCCUGUGUCUGAGUUCAAAGAUUCGGCCCCAAAAUAUUUCGAAAAGGCAGUAAAGCCUUAGGAAACACCUUAGUUACCUUCACCAACGAAAAUGACGGCUGCUUACAGGUAGAUUCUUAGUGCUUACAGAUGAAUUCUUAGCUUAGCAUGAGGAGAUCGUGGCAUGGAAGCAAAGUUAGCAUGAGUUUAGCACUAAAGAGAAAAUUAUGUGUUCUUGGGAGGAAGAAGGGGUGUCCAGGUAAAUGGGAAAAGGUUUUGCAAGUAGAUUUGGCUAAGAGAGAAGGGAGAGAGAGAAGAGGGUGGCUAGAGUGCUUCUUCCGGCAGCUUGACAGUGACUCUGUCAAAUGUUAGAGCAAUCUGCCAUAAGAGGGAAAAUGGGGAAGAAGGAUGAACAGUGCACAAAAUUGCUAGGUUUUUGCAAGUAAGAGAGGAAGCUUGCUCUCUGGAUGUGGAUGAUCCGUUGGGUAGAAGAGGCCCCAUUUUAUAGCCGCUGGAAACUAUCAUUUCUCAAGAAACCCUAAUAGUUUCUACCCAAUUUGGUCAAGCUUUUCCCUUCCUUUCUCAUCUCCUCCCUUGACUUUUCCUAUCUUGGUGAAAUUUCCUCUGUCUAUUUGCACAAAAUCAGGAGCUCAAGGCCUCCCUUUCCCGCAACUGUUCAAUGGGAGACUCCAUUCUUAGCUAUUUUUCUUCUUCUUUCCUUCCUCCUUCCCUGACCAAAUCUGAUGAAGGAAAGCAAAUAGGUGCACACAUUGGUUUGAAGGGUGCUUCUCCUUCUAGCAGCUUACAUGCCAAUAUCCCUUGGGUCCUUGCAUGUUUUUUGCUUUGAAACUUGUUUCUUCCUUCCCGUCAACUCACGUGGUCUUCCAUGCUUCUUCAUGGCUUUAUCUUUCAGCCAAAAGAUGGAGUUUUUACUGCUUGCUACUUUUAAUUGUAUGGGUCUUCUAGGAUAGGAAGUCAACCUACCAAACAAAUGGGCCACCUUUAUCAAAUAUUGGGCUGUUGGGGUUAGUUUUAGUGGGCCAUUUUGACUGGGCUUUUUGGUUGGGUUAUUUAAGUUAUUUUCCCUUUUGUGCUCACCCAUGUAUUUAGGCCUAAGAAAUGGGCUUGGGCUCCGAGUCUCCCAAGCAACCCGGAACCUCCAUUUCUUGGCCCAUUAAUGGGCCUCAUGACAACCUAUUACCAUCCAUACCACAACCCACUCAAGCAAGCCCCGGGCAUUUGAAUGGCUUUGGCCCACUUUAGGCUUGUAGUGUGAUUGGGUGUGGCAUAACGAUUUCUCGCUUGGCAUGGCAUGUUGCUUGGCAUGUUUUUUCAUUACGAUGCUUGAUGGAUUUGUAGAGCUACCUAUUUUUAUGAUCUUAAUCUUGAUUCCUAGCAUGACAAAUUUAUUUAUUUGGCAUGGCAUGCGGAGCGUGACUUGUGCGUGGCGAGUUUUGUAUGCUCCAACUUGGGCCUUUCCUAAAUAAUGUAUCAUUUUGGGUUAUGAAUUCUUUCGGGCCCAACCGUGAAUUUUUUGGGUUUCAACAGUGUGUUUUUAGCUAAAUUUUAACUAAAAAAUAGGGAGCAUGAUUGUAGAUCAUCUUAUAUACCUUAAUUUGAAGAUUCUUUAUUUGGGUUUCUUUCAAGAUGAAAACCAUAUCCACAACUGGCAGACAUCUUUGGCUGUUCAUCACAAUUGAGAGACAAUGAAGAAGACAUAAGGGAGAGGCCGCCAAAUACUUAUCACCUCAGCCACCACCAACACCACAAGACCAAUAUGUGUAGGCCAGGGGGCUUUCCAAUUUUAAUAUAUAUAUAUGGAGUGAAAAAAAUAAAAUAAAGAUUAUUGCUCAUCCUCCAUGCACUUGCAUGCCCUCUUACAAAGUGUGAAGAAGAUUUUGUGUGCUUCAAGUCAUUGACUAGAGCUGAAACAUGGUUAGCUGGAUUUAUAAGAUCUUUUGUUUUCUGGGAAUUUUCAGAACCAAGGAAAAUCAAGUAAAAUUAAUAAAGCAAAAUGGAAAGGGAAAAGAUCUAGAGGAUGCAUUGUAGGAUUGCUCAUGCCAAUAAUUGUACCCUCUAAAUAUAUAGGGACAUAUUUUUUUUGUUUUCAUGACAUGUUGUCCUAAAAUAUUUGUUCCUAGCGGGCUCUCCACCCCCUCUCGAUUGAAAACCUAUUGUGUAAAUCUUCAAUCCUGAACGAUGCUCCUAAAACUCAAGUGUCCCAGGCCAAUUAUUGCUCUCAUACCACUUGUUGCAAUACACAUCCACUCAUUCUCAGGGAAAGAAACCCAUCGAUAUUAUCUCAAAUUUAACCACUUUAGUCUAUUAUGAUUAACUAUGUAUUUUAUGGAUCAAUGCAGUUGUGAGGUUUUAUACCCAAUUAGAUCGACCAAUACAGAGAUCACAUGUGGACUGAAAAGCGCCAUCGGUAGGGGAGUGUUUGGCACCCUUUACUGCCGAGUGCAACACAAGACCCCUUACCAGGAACUUAUCUACUAGGACACGUGAAGCCACCACAAGUAAUAUCAACAGUCCCACAUCGAAGUUUAACAUAACAUGUACACUCCCCAGGACUGAUAAAAGUGGGCACAAGUCCCAAAAAUGGGGGAACUUGGACUUUCAGCAAUUCAUCCAUUAUUAUGUCCAAAUUACUAUACACUCCGUACUUAUUCUUACUUAAGCAUUGGAGAGCCUUCGGCCGGUACCACACCAGUGCCUAAGGGCUUACCGAGCGUUCUCUAUCUUGCAUAUUGAUCGCUCUACUGAAGCCCAUAAAGAGUUAAAGGUCAAGACAUCACUAAGUUGAGCCCAAAAGUGCUGAACCACAUCAAAAAUAUGUAUAGAUUGAAAAAAUAAAAUAAAAAUCAAUCUAUUAUCAUAUAUAUUAUAAAAUAAAUAUUGGAUAAAUUACUCAAAUGGUCCUCAAACUUAUACUCGAUUUACAUUUUGGUCUCUCAAUUAAAUUAUUUGUUCAAAUGGUCCAUCAACUCUAUAUUAUUUCUGCAAAAUCUACAAAGUGGUGGGAGGCAGACCAACAAAAAAAAUUAGCGAAGGCUUAUAACUCUGGUAAAACAAGAGUUACUUGGAUAGAAUAAUGUUACGUCGUACUGAAGAUUUUUGGGUUUCUUUAAUUGGUUAAGUGAAGAUUCUUUAUUUGGGUUUCUUUCAAGAUGAAAGCCAUAUCCACAACCACAACCACAACUGGCAGACAAUCUUUGGCUGUUCAUCACAAUUGGGCGACAAUGAAGAAGACAGAAAUUGGAGUACUGUAUGUUAUCACCCACACCACAAGACCAAUAUAAGGAGGAUGGGGAGGCUGCGGAAUACUUAUCACCUUAGCCACCACCUACACCACAAGACCAAUAUGUUGUAGGCCAGGAGGCUUUCCAAUUUUAAAUUAGAUAAAUCGGAAACUGUUUCGAUAUCCAAUUGUAUUCUAUAAAAUCAAUGAACACGGUGCUUCAAGAAAGUAAUAAAAUUUCAAUAAUUCAAUUGAGUGGUCAAAUUCAAGUGAUUUUUUGUAGUGAUGAUCUUUGAAUGAGUAUCUAUAAAAGAGACGGUUUGGAUUAGUGAAAUACAAUAUGGAGUGGGCCCUACCAGCAAUCCACGACAAAAUGUCUGCAAGCUUUCGUAAUAUAAGGAGGAUGGGGAGGCUGCGCAAUACUUAUCACCUUAGCCACCACCUACACCACAAGACCAAUAUGUUGUAGGCCAGGAGGCUUUCCAAUUUUAAUAUAUAUAUAUAUAUAUAUAUAUAUAUAUAUAUAGGGAUGUGAUUUCUCUACUCCCCUUUUCUCUACUUAUACUCCCUUUUGCUUUUAAAUACUUUUUAAUCAAUUUUUUUUCCGCUUUCCUAUUAAUAUUCUACCAUUUCCCUACAUUAAUUUCUUUUUACUUCACUUUUAUAUUAGUUCUUUUUCUUUAUACUUAAUUUUUCAACUUGCACUCCAUUUUCAUUAUUUUUUUCCUAAUCGAGUAAGAAAUUAAGUUUUUUUUCCCCAUUUAAUACUGAAAAUGGAGUGUAAGUUAGAAAAUUAGGUAUAAAGAAAAAGAAAUAAUAUAAAAGUAAAGUAAAAAAGAAAUUAAUGUAGGGUAAAGGUAGAAUAGAAAAGAGAAUGAACAAAAUUGAUAAAUAAAUAAAAAAGGUUUAAAAAGCAAAAAGGAGUGUAAAUGGAGAAAAGGGGAAUGAGGAAAUCAGCUCCAUAUAUAUAUAGAUUGAAAAAAUUAAAAUUAAAAUCAAUCUAUUAUCAUAUAUAUUAUAAAAUAAAGAUUAUUGCUCCAAGGAAAUGACAUCUUUUGUUUUCUGGGAAUUUUCUGAACCAAGGAAAAUCAAAUAAAAUUAAUAAAGCAUAAAUUGGAAAGGGAAAAGAUCUAAAGGAUGCAUUGUAGGAUUGCUGAUGCCAAUAAUUGUACCCUCAAAUUAUACAUGGACAUAGGGGUGGGCAUUCAAAUAGGCAAACUAGAAAUCCGAGCUGAACCGCACCUAGGAAAACCGGAAAAAAAACCGAGUUGACCAAAAAGUCAACAACUGGUCAAAAAUCGAACCGGACCGAUUUGGACUGGUUUUGGAUUCAGUUUAUAUGCAAUGCUACAUUUUUAGUCUCAUAACUAAUAUUUAUCCAAGUUCAAUUUCAAAACAUCUUUCUUUUUUAGCUUUAAUAUUUAUUUUUAUAUGAAAUUAAAUAAUUUAUUAAUUUUCAAGUAAAUAAAAUAAAAUUUCAGUUGAAAUUUAUAUUAAAAAAAUAAUUUUAAUAAUCCAGUUCAAAACCAAACCGGACCAUCCAGCUGUGAGGUACAUUUCUCCCACAUGCCACAAUUGUAUAUUCACAAUUACGUCUGAUACAUCACAUCAUGCCACUUGCCUCAAAUGAAUUUAAGUGAGUGUGGCAGUGGAAAGUAAUUAAGCUCUAUAUUGGUGGGUGGACUGUUACUUCUGGGUUCCCCUCAUCAUUCGUCUAUAAAAUGGUGAAGGCAGUUGCUAUUGUUACCAUAAGAGCCAGCUCCGACUUCCUUUAAUUUCUUGCUUCAUAUCCACUAGCUACAUCUGUUACCAAGUUAAUUUCAGUCCUAAUGGGGUUUCAUCUCCCACUCAUCUUUGCUCUUCUCAGUGUAAGCUCUGCAAUUUGAUUAACUUUUCCAUUCUCUCUCAUUGUACUCUAUAUAAACGAAAGUUUUGUGUUCCUAUAAUUCUCUCCGAUUUUAUUUAGUACGUACUUAAGUGUCGUCCACUAAUUAAUUACACUUUGUGAUUUGAUUUUAAUUUGAGUUCGAAUUAAUGUUGCAGCUAGCAGCAGUGGCACUGGCAAACCAUGCUGCUCAACCAGCACCUCAACUUUACUGGAACUCCGUCCUGCCAAACACACAGAUGCCAAGAUCUAUCAGUGAACUUCUGCAUCCUGGUUUGUGUUGAGCUCUUUAGAAUCUUAGAUAUCUCUUCUACCUGCCAUUUUACUAAAAUAUGUUCCACCACAUAUUUAUCAGUUAACCACUGUUAUUACAUGAGUGACACAUAUUCACAAAUCGGCUGAUCACUUAUUUUCCAUUAUGACGUUGAUAUAUAAUUUGCAGACUCCACAAAUGAAGAAAAGAGCACAAAUGACGUUGGCAAACCUGAAACUUUCCCAUUGGGCAAUAAACAUUACUCCAGUCAAAAACAUUAUGGAAGAGGCAAACCUGAAACUUUCCCAUUGGGCAAUAAACAUUACUCCAGUCAAAGACAUUAUGGAAGAGGCAAACCUGAAACUUUCCCAUUGGGCAAUAAACAUUACUCCAGUCAAAGACAUUAUGGAAGAGGCAAACCUGAAACUUUCCCAUUGGGCAAUAAACAUUACUCCAGUCAAAAACAUUAUGGAAGAGGCAAACCUGAAACUUUCCCAUUGGGCAAUCAGCAUUACUCCAGUCAAAAAAAGUAUGGAAGAGGUGCUUCUCCAUCCGACAAUCAACCACCAAUUCCAUAGAAAUUCAAACACGGCUACUUUCUUGCCACGAGAAAGCGCUCAAUCGAUCCCCUUCUCCUCUAACAAACUACCAGAAAUUUUCAACCAUUUUUCAGUGAAGCCAACAUCUGAGGAAGCCAAAACAAUUAAGCAAACAAUCGAAGAGUGUGAAGCUCCAGACCUUAAGGGAGAGGAAAUAUAUUGCGCCACAUCUUUAGAAUCAAUGGUUGAUUUUAGCACUUCGAAGCUUGGAACAAGAAACGUUGAAGCAAUCUCGACGGAGGUAUUGGAAAAAGGAGCCACCAUGUCCAUCCAAAACUAUACAACAAUGCCGGGACUGAAGAAGUUGGCAGGUGACAAAGUCGUUGUGUGUCAUAAGCAGAACUAUCCCUAUGCUGUGUUUUUCUGCCAUGCAAUAAAACAUACAGCAGCUUAUGCUCUCUCCCUGAAAGGCGAUGAUGGGGAGAAGGUUAAAGCAGUAACCAUCUGCCAUCUAGACACAUCAGAAUGGGACCCAGAGCAUAUGUCCUUCAAAAUCGUCAACGUUAAGCCCGGAACCAUUCCCAUCUGCCAUUUCAUUUCCACUGAUGCUAUUGCCUGGGUUCCGAACCACAAAUCUGCAUGAUCAUCACUUAGCACUAGUACUGUGCGUAUAAUAUGCCUGUAUAAUUAUCUCCCUACUUAUUUCUGCCUGUUCAUCAUGUGGUGUAAGAUAUAUGUUGAGAUGAAGUUUUUGGGAUUAGUGGUCGAAAUUAACCCGAUCAUGUUUUCUCUUGUAACUAUAUAGACUUCAACUUGUACUCAUAAUAAAGCAUGCUAUAUUUAUGAAGAGAUAUUAAUCUUCAGGCAAAUAGAUAUUAUGAAAACAUAUAUAGCAAUUUAUCCAGAAGAAAUAUUAUGAAAUGAAAAGAAUAAAAAGUAAAAAAACAGAAGGAAAGGAAUUCGCACCUGCUAUGUAUGAAAGGACCAAGAUUGUUUUCCCUUUGGUUAAUGACUAGAAAAGCUCACUUGCAGAUUGCUUUCUCUGACCGUAGAUGCAACAGAAAUUUUCUCUUAAUAAUAGCACAAUGAUCGGGUAAUUGUAAGAACAAGUUGAUUUAAAAUUCCUUGACCCAAAAAAAAAAAAAAAAUCAUUUCAAAUUCAGGUCAACCCAUAGAUUUCUUGCCUUUUUCUUCUUCAUCACGUUGGGCUUGUCUUCUUCUUGAGGAUUGUAUAGGCCCAGGAAAUGCUUUGAGGUAGUUUUUGGCCUUGGAAGUUGGGACCCAACCCAACUUCACAAAAAGAAAACAGAUUUGCCAAAAAUCAAAUUUCAAGUCUCUCCUCAGAUCACUAAUACAGAUCAAAUUUUGGAUUUGAUGAACUAAAGUGGUUUUACUUUCUCUGUCAGUGUUUGAUGACUUAAUUUGUUAUUUACUUCUUUUUUUUUUUUUACUUGAUCUUUGUAGGGGUUUUUUUCUUCCGGUAACUUAAACGGGCUGGGCUGCCGUAAAGGGUAGAUUGAUGAAAUUGUCUCCUUUGUCUGAGUUCGAAAAUCAAGCCCCAAAAGCGCUUCGAAAGGGCAGUAGAGCCUUAGGAAGCGUUCUAGUCAUCUUCACCAACUAAAACAACAGCAACUUACAGAUGAUUUCUUAAGGCUUACAGAUAAAUUUUCUAGCUUGGCAUGAGAGGCUUGUGACAUGGAAGCAAAAUCAGCAUGAGUUUAGCACCAAAGAGGAAAAUAUGGCUUCCUAGGGAGAAAUGGGAGUGUUUAAGGUGAGGAAGAAGAGGUUUGCAGGCUGAUUUGGCUGAGGAGAGAGAAAGAAAGAACAAUGUUCUUCCAGUAGCUUGACAAAGCUUCUGACAGAUGUGAAAGUCGUCUGCCAUAAGAGGAAAAUGAAGAAGAAUGGUGAAUAGUGCAUGAAAUUGCUGGGUUUUUGCAGGUAAGAGAGAAAGCUUGCUCUCUGAAUUUGAGUUGGUUUUUGGUUGGGUAGAAGAGGCCCCCUUUUAUAGCUGCGGGAAACCAUCUUUUUUCAAGAAACCCUAAUGGUUUCUAUCCAUUUUGGCCAAGCUUUUCCCUUCAUUUCUCUUCUCCUCCCUUGACUUUUCCUAUCUUGGUGAAAUUUCCUCUGCCUAUUUGCACAAAAUUAGAGAUUUUGAGGAGCUCAAGACCCCUUUCCCGCAGCUGCCUCAGUGGAGAAUCCCCAUUUUCAGUCAUCUUUCUUCCUUCUUUUCUCCCAUCUUCCAAGGUUAGGUCUGAUGAGGGAAAGAAAUGGGUAUGCACACUGGUUUGAAGGGUAUUUUUGCUUGAAACUUGUUCUCUCCCAUGUGCUGGAGCUUCCCAGCAACUUACACACAUGGAUAUUUUGGCUUUCAUCGUGGCUUUUGUUUUCAGCUAGGUGCUGGAGAUUUCGCAGAUAUUUUCAUGAGUUGCUUGGGCCUUCUAGGACAAUAGGUUGGUUUAUCAAGUGAAUGGGCUAACUUCAUCAAUUGUUGGGCUAUUUUGGUUGAGUUAAUGGACUAUUUUGGUUGAAGUAAUGGGCUAUUUUGGUUGAAUUAAUGGGCUAUUUUUCUCUCUUUGUGCUCACCCACAUAUUUGGGCCUAAGAAAUGGGCUUGAGUUCCGGGGCUCCCAAGCAACCCCGGGACUUCCAUUUCUCGGCCCAUCAAUGGGCCUCAUAUCAACUUAUUACCAUCCAUAUCACAACCCACUCAAGCAAGCCCUGGGCAUCUUGCGUGGCUUGGGCCCACUUAAGCUUGUAGCGUGACGUGUUGCUUAUUUGCUUGGCAUGGCAUGUGUGCAAGCGCAUAUGACGAACUUUAGCGUGCCCAAAUUGGGUUUAUUCUCGGUAAGGUAUCGCAUUGGGCCGAGAAUUUAAUUGGGCAGAACUGUGGAUUUUUGGGCCUCAACAAUCUUAUAUAUAUUGGUUUUCUUUUUUUCCUUAAUAUUCACCACCUUUCUGUUGCAUAAGUAUUUCAGUCUUAACGGGUUUCCAUCUACCACUCAUCUUUGCUCUUUUAAGUGUAAGCUUUUUUUUUUUUUUUUUAAGCACAAGAUUAGAGGGGAGGGGGAUUUCUCAAUGUAAGCUUUGCAGUUUCAUAAUUAAUAUUUCCAAUAUCUCACUGUUAGUAAAAUAUGGAACAGGAAAAGUAUGAAUAAAAUACACACAUGUUUUAUUUAGCAAAAUUUUGACAAGAUACAACUGAAAAGUUUGGCCACUAUAUAAUAUUUUGAUAUAAUUUCUACACUUCUUCUCAAAAGAUUAGAUCACUUCACAUCUUGUGUAUGUGAAAACUAAUGUAAAAAGUUGAAACUUUAUCGUAAAACCUCGACAAAAAUGAGCUCUACUAGAAAAUGUUCAAUUUGGAUUCGUUGAUUUAAAUGGCAAUUUGACACUUGAUAGAAAUUUUUACAUACAUGUGUUAGUGUUUGAUCACUUCACAUGUUACUUACUAUAUUUAUUCCACUCAAGUUAGGUAAAUAUUAUUAUCAAACAUUUCAAUUAAUUUGUGAUUUUUUUAUUAUUUAAUCAAUUAUGAAUUAAUGGAUUCUUCUUGUUGUUUUGAAGACCAAUAAAAAAAAAAGGGUAAGGAUGGCUUAUAACUCUGAUAAAACAACAGUGACGUGGACAGCAGAUGUUACACCGUACUGAAGAUUUUUGAAGAUUCUUUAUUUGGGUUUCUUUCAAGAUGAAAACCAUAUUAUCCACAACCACAAUGAAGAAGACAGAAAAUGGAGUAAUUCAGAUGUUACCAGCCAUCCACGACAAACUGAAGUCUGCAAAGCAUUCGUAAUCUAAAGGGAGACUUUGGAAAAGCCCAAAGGAGAGAGAAAAUUUUUAAAAGAAGCAAAAAUGGACAAAAUUGCCCUUAUUUAUUUUUUGAUUUCCUAAGAAAUCCUUUACAUUUGCAUGUCUUUGGUUUGAAAGUUGAGAGGUUAUUCUGUCUUUUUUCAAAAAGCUUUGGCUUUUUCCAAAAGUGAAAGUUUUUUUAUGGGUAAAACCUAAAUUUACUUAAUCCCUAAAAAGGAUGGGGAGGCUGCGCAAUACUUAGCCACGUGUAGGCCAGGAGGCUUUCCAAUUUUAAUAUAUAUAUAAAUUGAAAAAAUAAAAUAAAAAUCAAUCUAUUAUCCUAUAUAAAAUAAAGAUUAUUGCUUCCAUGGGCAGUGCUAUGCACAGGACAGUGCCUGCCCAGCACAAAUUUUUUUUAAAUAAAAAAAAAAAAUCUACAUAUGUUAUAAGCUCAUCCAAAAAAAUAAAAUAAAAUAAAAGUAAAUUCUACAUAUAUGUUGCCCAUCUAGGUGGUUCCAUAUCUUCUCUCUCCUUCUCUUUUGGCUAUUAGACUUCUUGUUUCUCUCUCUCUCUUUGCUACCUCACAUCAGCAAGUUUCUCCCUCUCUUUUUUUGGGGUCAAAUUCUUCCUCUAUUGACAAAAUCUUCUAUUAUCUUGGGUGGGCAACUUGGCAACAACAUCUUCUCUUCUCCUUUUGUCAACAACAAGUAUUAUUCUCAUUCUCUCAUUUGCUAUAUAUCUUUAAUUAUAGUUUUAAUUUAAAAUUGAGUAUUCUAGGGUUUAAUUAGGGAUGAAUUAUAAUUUUAGAAUUUUGUUGAAAUUAAUUAAGGCUUCGAUUAGGGGUGAAUUAUUCUACUGCUUUGGUUUGGAAUUUUGUUAAAAUUGAGUAUUAUAGGGUUUAAUUAUGGAUGAAUUAUAAUUUUUGAUUUUGGUAUUAUUGAGAUGUUAUUAUGAGAAUUUGUUUCAUUUUUUUAUUGGUAUAUUUGAUUAAAAUUCUUUCUACAUAUUAUUCAUAGGCUAUCUUUUAUUAUGUCGGAUCACAAUCGGAAUCCCAAGAGAACAAAGAAUUUGAAUAGUGUUGUUUUGUAUUGCAUUGCAUUUACUUUUGGUUUUAGUUUUGCUUUUAGUGUAAAUUACUCAAAUGGUCCUCAAAUUUGUACCCGAUUUACAUUUUGGUCCAUAAACUAAAUUAUUCAUUCAAAUGGUGCACCAACUCUUUAUUAAUCAGUGCUUUGGUCCUACCGUUAUGUUUUCUAUUAAAUUUAGUCAUGUGAGCAGCACAUGCUACAUUUGUAGGGGUAAAUAAGACUUUUGACCACUUUAUCACCUAUGUAUCACCACUUUAUAACCUAUUUGGAGAACAUAGGUCAGUUAUGGACGGUUUUACAAUUAUAUUUGACGGCAACAUUAACAUAAUGUAACAGUGGGAUCAAUGGAGCGAUUAAUAUAGAGUUGAUGGACCGUUUGAACGAAUAAUUUAAUUGAGGGACCAAAACGUAAAUUGAGUAUAAGUUUGAGGACCAUUUGAGUAAUGUACCCUUCGCUUUUAUAUUUGUUGAACUUUUAUUUAUGGAUAGAUAUGCAUUUGAGGGUAAGACCCAUUAUGUUCCCCCUGACUUGGUGUAUCUUUUUAUGUUUAUUAAUGAAAUUCACUCGAACUGUUGAGUUUAGUAUGUAAGUUUUGCCUAACCGGCUUUUGAAUCCUAGAACCGCCACUGUUGCUCCAUCCUCCAUGCACUUGCAUGUGCUCUUACAAAGUGUGAAGUAGAUUUUGUGUGCUCCAAGUCAUUGACUAGAGCUGAAACAUGGUUAGCUAGAUUUAUAAGGACCCAUCUCUCUAUUUCCUAGACAUAUACCCAUCUCUCUAUAAAUCUAUAUGUAAAACUCAAUUUCAAACUUAAAUGACCAGUAAGAUAUAAGAGGUCAUAGUAUUCCUAUGUUUUUACAUCGUUGCCACCAGACUUCUUAUUUUAUUUAUAAUUUAUUUCAAGCAUUUCAUUAACUGCCAUAAUUGUAAUUAAUACUCCAUAUUAAUAGCAUAUCAAUCACCCCAUUUCUUUUGAUUGCCAUUCCCUCUAACAUAUCGCCCCUUAAAAUUGAAAACCAAAAAAAAAAAAAAUGUAAAUUACAUAUCCAAUAAUGUACCUAUGAAAAAUAUAAAUAUAAAUAUAUACGUAUAAAAAUAUAGGUUUAUUAUUUACCAAAUAAAAAAUAUAAAAAAACUAGGUCAGUUGCUUUGUAAUUGAAAUUUCUAUACAUUUUCCACAAAUUAAAAAUAGGUACACAAUAAUUUAUAGAAAAUAUAGGUGCAUUAUUUAUCCAUAGGUAAAAAUACCUAUAAAUGCACAUAGGUAAAUUAUUUACCCAUAUAUUAUUUUUUUGCUAAGGAUUUACCUUAGUUUUUAGUAGAUUAAUUUACCUACCUAGAGGCAUAGGUAGCUUAAAAAAAUUGUAGCACCUUAGUUGGUUGCAUACUAAUUUACCUACCUAGAGGCAUAGGUUGCUAAGAAAAAAUGUAGGUAAAUUCAUGUACCUAAACACAUAGGGGUCAAAUAGAGAAUAACAUGUUAUUUCCCUUCGAACAAAUUAAUUUCAAACCAUAACAAUAAUUGAAUUCGGAAAUUGGUAUAAAUAAAAGGAAAUAAAUAAGCUAUCAAUUUGAAAAUUAAAAUAAGAAAUGAUCAAGUAGUCAUAUUUGAAAAAAAAGAAAAGAAUAUAUUCUUGGUUUUUAUAGGAACAACGUGUAUAUUCAAACCAAAUGGCAGUAACUACACCAAGCUUUAAUUACUUUUUUUUAAGGCCAAAAGUCACUUUUGGUCUCUGUAGUUUGACACUUCUAUUACUUUUGACGCUGUAGUUUCAAUUCCGUCAAUUUUGCCAUUGUAGUUUCAUAUUUGUAGCAAUUCAAGGACAUGUUAAUAUUAAUGUCAAUUUGUUUAAUGAUGCAAGGGGUAAUUUCGUCAUCCCAAAAUCCUUGAGCAUAAAAGCUUGUCUGAAAUUCUCCCCAUUUCAUAUUAGGGCUCGAAAUUCAACCACUAAUCCCAAUUUUUGAAGAACCCUAUACCCAAAUGACCAAUUUCAAGCCCUAAUAACAAAUUAGGGAAGUUUUAGAUGAGCUUUUAUGCUCAAGGAUUUUGAGUUGAAGAAAUUGCCCCUUGCACUGUCAAAGAAAUUGAUAGGAAUACUGACUUGUCCUUGAAUUGCUACAAAUACAAAAAUACAGGGUCAAAAUUAACAGAAUUUAAACUAUAUGGUCAAAAGUGGUUAAAGUGCCAAACUACAAGGACCAAAAGUGACUUUUAGCCUUUUUGUUUAAAUAAGGAAAAAACUUACCUAUUAAAUCCUUGGAAUCUAUACAAAAUUGAAACACAGUUAAUCAGCAUUGAAUUGCAGCUAAUUUCUUAAACAAGGGUAUUAUAGGAAUUUAAAAAGUAUAACAUUUAAUCCAUUGAGCUUGAUUAGGAAUCUUGAUGAGUUGGAUCCUAGUUAUAUAGUUUCUCUUAUAAAAAUCGGGUUUUAUUUAUAGACAAAUAAAACAAUGGGUUGUAGGUAAGAAAAUAUUAAUUUGAAGGGAAAGUGUCACAUCCUGGGAUCGGCUCCGCCGUAGCACGAUAUUGUCCGCUUUGGGCCCCCCUCUCUGCCCGCACGGUUUUGUUUCUGGGAGCUCACGAGCAACUUCCCAGUGGGUCACCCAUCCUGGGAUUGCUCUGGCCCCCAACUCGCUUAACUUCGGAAUUCCUAUGACUCCGAAGCCAGUGAGCUCCCAAAAGGCCUCGUGCUAGAUGGAUGCGGGUGUGUACAUAUAAGACACAUCACCCCCUCUCCGUUGGUUGAUGUGGGAUCUUACAGAAAGAGUCAAAUUUACUAAAUUAAUAAAGCAUAAAUUGGAAAGGGAAAAGAUCUAGAGGAUGCAUUGUAGGAUUGCUCAUGCCAAUAAUUGCACCCUCUCGAUAUUGAAAAACCUAUUGUGUAUUAUUAUCUUCAAUCAUGAAUGAUGCACCUAAAACCCAAGUGUCCCAAGCCAACCAUUGCGCUCAUACCACUUGUUGCAGUACACAUUCACCCGUUUUUAAAGAAAGAAAUUCUACCAAUCGAUAUUGUCUCAAAUUUAAUCACAUAGGUCUAUUAUGGUUAACCAUAUGUACUUUUAUCGGCCAUAUAGAGGUACCUUUUUCCAACGUGCAACAAUUGUAUUUGAUUCACAAUUAUGUCUGAUAUACAUCACAUCAUGCCACUUGCCUCAAAUGAAUUUAAUUGAGUGAGGCAAUGGGAAGUAAUUAAGCUCUAUAUUGGUGGGUGGAGUGUUACUUCUGGAACCCUCAUCAUUCGUCCAUACAAGGGAACAAUUCCCUUCCUUCUAUAAAAUGGUGAAGCCAGUUGCUAUUGUUUGUUAGAGUUUUAGGAUCUGAGUGUUAGAUUUUGUGAGAAGAGAGAAGAGAAUUUAGUGAAAACUUCCAAUACUGCUCUGCUAUACGUGUAGCAGAGAGAACAUUCUGUUUUGUUAUAUAUUUUCAGUACAACAACACACACUUGGUGUGAGAAGAAAAAUGACUGUUAUGCACAGUACCAGCUGGAUGCUUUCCAUCAAAGUAAUCUCAGCCAUUCACUAUCUAACCAAUCAAGCUAUGACACCUGGACUAAGUAUAAAGAAAUACAACUAAGCAGAAAACAAGACUCUUAAUCCUGAAAUCAACUUAAGCACUUAUAAUUCAACACUCCCCUUUAAGUCUUGAGGUGAUUUCACUCCAAGCAUGCCUCUGAGAUAAUUGAAUCUGUCUUUGGCCAGAGGUUUGGUAAAAAUGUCAGCCAAUUGUUCAUUUGUAGGACAAUAUUCCAGAUUGAUUACCCCUUCUUGCAAUGCAUCCUUGAUGAAGUGAUACCUCCUGUCAAUAUGCUUUGUCUUCUGGUGGAAUACAGGGUUUUUAGUGAUUGCAAUUGCUGAGAUAUUAUCACAAUGCAAUGGAGUAGCUUCAGUUUGAAGCUCUCUAAAGUCUUCUAGCACAAAACGGAGCCAAAUAGCUUGAGUAGUAGCCUCAGCUGCACUGAUGUACUCAGCUUCUGCAGUAGACAGUGCAACACAGUUCUGUUUCACUGAGGCCCAAGAAAAUACUCCACUUCCAAAACUAAACGCAUACCCUGAUGUGCUCUUGCAAUCACCAACUGAUCCUCCCCAAUCACUGUCACAGUAACCAACUAGAAUUGAUCUUUUGCCUUUCACAUAUUCAAGACCAUAGUCCAGAGUUCCUUUGAUGUAUCUCAAAACCCUUUUAGCUGUUCCAUAGUGUCUAUUUGUAGGACAGUGCAUGAAUCUAGCUAGCAAGCUUGAGGCAUACAUGAUGUCUGGUCUUGUAGCAGUUAAGUACAGCAAGCUACCAACAAUGCUUCUGUAUUGUUCUUCAUUUGCAGCUCAACUCCCAUCAUCCUUAGCUAGUUUCUCAGUGGCAACAAGGGGUGUUGUCACAGGUUUGCACUCAGUCAAACCAAACUUGCUCAACAAGGUGCUAGCAUAUUUCUUUUGAUGUAGAAAUAUACUAGACUCAGUCUGAAUAACUCCCAUGCCAAGAAAGUGAUGAAGUAAGCCCAAAUCAGUCAUCUCAUACUUAGCCAUCAUGUCUUCUUUGAAUUCAGCCAACAAUGCUUGACUGCUCCCUGUAUACACAAUAUCGUCUACAUAGAUAGACACAAUUAGAAUCUCCUUAUCUCCCCUUACUUUGGUAUAUAAGGUUGUUUCACUUAAGCUUUUCACAAAACCACAUUGAGUGAAGUAGCUGUCUAUCUCUCCAUACCAAGCCCUUGGGGCUUGCUUCAGACCAUAAAGGGCUUUAUGCAAACGAUAAACCUUGUCUUCUUUACCUUUAAUUACAAAACCUUCAGGCUGACUGACAUAAACUUCCUCUUGCAGCACACCAUUAAGGAAAGCAGACUUCACAUCAAGCUGGAACAAUUUCCAAUCCUUUUGAGCAGCUAGAGCAAUAAGUGUUCUAAUGGUGUCCAAUCUGGCUAUAGGUGCAUAAGUCUCAUUAUAAUCCAGUCCAGGCUUCUGAGCAUACCCCUUAGCCACUAAUCUUGCUUUAUUCUUUUGCACUGAGCCAUCCAAAUUCAGCUUUGUCUUGUACACCCACUUAACUCCAAUCACUGGUUUUUCAGUUAGUCUAUCUACCAAUUCCCAUGUUUCAUUCUUUUCAAUCAUCUGCAGUUCAUCUUCCAUAGCCUUAAGCCAAGAUUCAUCCUGAGCAACAUCAGCAUAUUUUUCUGGUUCCAUGAUACACAAGUUACACUGAGCUAGAACAUCAUCUAGCCUUCUCCAUUUUAGAGGGGUGUGAUCAUAAGCUUGAGUUCUCCUUUCUUCACUGCUUAUAUCACCUGGAGUUGAUGAAAUGCUCUCUUGCAUAUCCAAAGUUUGAGGUGUACCAGUAGAAUUCUCAUUAGAACUGUCAGAUUUCAAGUCCAAAUCAACUUGGUUUUCAAUUGAGUAUGUUGUCAUAACUGAACCAUUUUUGUUUGUCCAAUGCCAAGCAUUUUCUUCAUCAAAUGUCACAUCCCUUGAUAGUAAAAGCUUGUUAGAAACAGGAUCAAAAACUCUAUAUCCUUUUUCACAAGUUGCAUAUCCCACAAACACUCCCUUUGUACUCUUAGGAUCCCGCUUGUGUCUCAAUUCAGUUGGCACAUGAACAUAACACAGAGAACCAAACACUUUCAGAUGUGCAAUUCCAGGCUUCCUUCCACUAUAUGCUUCGAAUGGAGUAAUGUUGUUGAGAGCUUUGGUAGGACAUCUGUUCAGCAAAUAGAUAGCUGUAUGCACAGCUUCUGCCCAUAGGAAAUAAGGCAUUCCCUUCUCAUGUAACAUUGAUUUUGCCAUCUCAAUGACAGUUCUAUUCUUCCUCUCAACUACUCCAUUCUGCUGAGGAGUAUAGGCCAUUGUAAGCUGCCUUUGAAUGCCAUUAGCUUCACAAAACUCCAAAAAAUCAGUAGACAUAAACUCUCCACCCCUGUCACUUCUUAUGCACUGAACCUUGUGUCCAGUUUGUAAUUCAGUCAUGGACUUGAACUUCUUGAAACAAAAGAAGGCUUUUGACUUGUUUCUCAAGAAGUAUACCCAAAUCAUUCUUGUGAAAUCAUCUAUAAUCAGCAUGAAAUAUCUGUUCCUUGCAACAGACUCAUUUCUCAUGGGACCACAGAGAUCCACAUGUAUUAGCACUAGUACUUUGCUUGCUCUUUGAGCUUGAUCUUUUGGAAAAACAUUUCUGUGCUGUUUUCCAAAUUGGCACCCGUCACACACACCACUUUGUUCUUCCAAUUUUGGUAAACCAUGUACCAUUUCUUUAUCACUUAGCUGCUUCAAUCCUCCAAAAUGCAGAUGACCAAAUCUCUUGUGCCAAAUCCAUGUGGAUUGAAGAAAACUAGUCUUCAUUAGUAACUGUUUUUCAGCUAGAAAAGAGACAGGAUAGCAUCUGUUACUCUUCAUUUGCACCUUUAUGAUGAGAUAAUCCAUGGAUGGGCUAUCAAAUACCCUGCACAUCCCUUCUCCAAACACUAGACAGUACCCAUGUUCAUCCAUCUGCCCAACACUUAGCAGAUUUUCUUUCAAUCCUGGCAGAUACAUUACUUCUCUGAUGUAUUUCCUGCCCUUUGCUGUAUCAAUACUCAGUGAGCCAAUACCAGCUACACUCACUAAUGCACCAGUUGGCAUUUGUACUCUCCCAGCUACAUUAGUUCUCACAUCAACCAGCAAAUCUAAAUUUCCUGUCAUAUGAUUGCUGCAGCCACUGUCAAUGUACCAUUCAUUGGUUUUGAUCUCAGUGGUUGAGCAAUUGGCAUAAAACAGGUUUCCUGUAACCUCCAUUUGAUUUACACAAUUAGCCUUCUGCACAUUUUUGCUCACUGUACAGUCUCUAGCAAGAUGUCCAACUCUGUCACAGUUAUAGCAUUUUGGUUUUCCCUUAUACCUGCACUCACCAAAAUGAUGCUUUGAACACACCUUGCAUUGAGGCUUUGUGUUUUCCUGAUUUGAGAACUGUGUUGAAGUGUGGUUCUGUGCAGAAUAAUUAUUCUGCUGUGUCUUGUCUUUUGCCUCCCAUGACUUCCCUUUAGAGUUCCAGCUUCUCUGUGACUUAGAUGAACCAGACUGAGAAGCAUUUUUGUUCUGACCCUUUGAAUUCACAGUGAAUGAGGCAAAUGCCUUCUCAGCUGUAUCAACACUAUGCAUUUCAAGCCUUUGCUCCCGACUCUUCAAAAUGGCAGUUACUUCCUGCAAAUCCACAGUUUCUAGUGUCUUUGUGUUUUCAAUCACAAUGCAUAUAGGGUCAUACUUCUUACUUAGACUAAUUAACACCUUCUGAACCUACCUCUCAUUUGACAGAACUUCACCAAAUGUUUUCAUUUGGUUAAUCAAUUCAGUUAGUCUAGUAAGAUAUUCAGAUAAGGUUUCACUAUCACGCAUCCUACUGUAUUCAAACUCACGUCUAAGGUUUUGAAGCUUUACCGAUCUAACAUGCUCUCCACCAUGAUAUUCUGAGUACAGCAGAUUCCAAGCCAUCUUUGCAGAGUCAGCAUUGGCAAUUCUGGGAAAAAUCUGAUCAGAAACAGCAUUUUGAAUGAUACCCAAGGCCUUCGCAUCCUUCAUGAGAAUCGCAGCUGUUUUCUCAUCAACUUCUUCUUCUGAACCAUCCUCAGAUUCCUGCUUCGUCUUUGAAUCUGGGAUUAAAAACCCCUUCUCUACCAAACCCCAUAAACCAUAUGAUCUGAAUAUGGUUACCAUCUUAAUCCUCCAAAAUUCAUAGUUCUCACCUGAGAAAAUGGGGAUUCUAGCCUCUGAACUUCCAGAUCCAGCCAUUACGAAUUUCAGAUUCGCCUGGAAACAAGAUGUUUUCAGAUUUGACCCUUGAUCGAGCUCAAUCAGCUUCGUGAGCUUAGAAUGAGCUCACCUCGAUCGAUUUUCUUCACAGAACAACGCCCAGCUUCAGAUAAUCAAACUUGGCUCUGAGGCCAUGUUAGAGUUUUAGGAUCUGAGUGUUAGAUAUUGUGAGAAGAGAGAAGAGAAUUUAGUGAAAAUUUCCAAUACUGCUCUGCUAUACGUGUAGCAGAGAGAACAUUCUCUUUUGCUAUAUAUUUUCAGUACAACAACACACACUUGGUGUGAGAAGAAAAAUGACUGUUAUGCACAGUACCAGCUGGAUGCUUUCCAUCAAAGUAAUCUCAGCCAUUCACUAUCUAACCAAUCAAGCUAUGACACCUGGACUAAGUAUAAAGAAAUACAACUAAGCAGAAAACAAGACUCUUAAUCCUGAAAUCAACUUAAGCACUUAUAAUUCAACAUUGUUACCAUAAGAGCCAGCUCCGACUUUCUUUAAUUUCAGUCCUAACGGGGUUUCAUCUUCCACUCAUCUUUGCUCUUCUCAGUGUAAGCUCUGCAAUUUGAUUAACUUUCCCAUUAUCUCUCACUGUACUCUAUAUAAAGGAAUAAGUGUCGUCCACUAAUUAAUUACACUUUGUGAGAUUUGAUUUUAAUUAGAGUUCGAAUUGAUGUUGCAGCUAGCAGCGGUGGCACUGGCAAACCAUGCUGCUCAACCAGCACCUCAACUUUACUGGAACUCCGUCCUGCCAAACACACAAAUGCCAAGAGCUAUCAGUGAACUUCUGCAUCCUGGUUUGUGUUGAAUAAAUAUAGUAUGUUACUGGAGUACGUAUGGCAACAUAUUCACAAAUGUGUCACGUAUUUUCCAAUAUGACGUUGAUAUAUAAUUGCAGACUCCACAAACGAAGAAAAGAGCACAAAUGUCAUGAAUGCUGUUGGGAAUGGAAAGCCAAUUGACCACAAGGGCAACCUGAAAAUACUGUACUACCACAGCUUGCACGACGCCCAUUUUCUUACAAGAGUGAUGAUCGUCCCACUGACAAUCAACUCCAUUAUAAAAACGUAGCUAUUUUCUUCUUGGAGAAGGACAUGCGCCCUGGCACAACAAUGAGCUUCCAAUUCCCUAGAAAUUCAAACACGGCUACUUUCCUGCCACCAGAAAGAGCUCAAUCGAUCCCCUUCUCCUCUAACAAACUACCAGAAAUUUUCAACCAUUUUUCAGUGAAGCCAACAUCUGUGGAAGCCAAAACAAUUAAGCAAACAAUCGAAGAGUGUGAGGCUCCAGGCAUUAAGGGAGAGGAAAUAUAUUGCGCCACAUCUUUAGAAUCAAUGGUUGAUUUUAGCACUUCGAAUUUUCGAACAAGAAACGUUCAAGCAAUCUCGACAGAGGUAUUGGAAAAAGGUGCCACCAUGUCCAUGCACAAGCAUACAACAAUGCCGGGACUGAAGAAGUUGGCAGGUGACAAAGUCGUUGUGUGUCAUAAGCAGAACUAUCCCUAUGCUGUGUUUUACUGCCAUGUAAUAAAACCAACAGCAGCUUAUGUUCUCUCCCUGAAAGGCGAUGAUGGGGUGAAGAUUAAAGCAGUAGCCAUCUGCCAUCUAGACACAUCAGAAUGGAACCCAAAGCAUUUGGCCUUCCAAAUCCUCAAAGUUAAGCCCGGAACAAUUCCCAUCUGCCAUUUCCUUCCCACUGAUCAUAGUGUCUGGGUUCCGAACCACAAAUCUGCAUGAUCAUCACUUAGCACUGUACGUAUAAUAAGCUUGCACCCCUGUAUAAUUAUCUCCCUACUCUACUUAUUUCUGCCUCUUCAUGUGGUGUAAGAUAUAUGAUGAGAUGAAGUUUUUGGGAUUAGUGGUCGGGUUGCCUUAAAAACACAGAUUACAGAAACUGCUUGAACUUAACCCGAUCAUGUUUUCUCUUGUACUCGUAAAGCAUGCUGUUGUGGUUCUACUUAAUUUCGUUCUCCCCAAUGUUUGAGUGUUUAAUUGUUACGUUGGAUAAUGCUUGUAGUUAGAGAAGCCUUCAUUUAUAUCAAAGUCCUCAACUUGUAAAGAUAUCAAUGGUCCUAGUGCUGCCACGUGUAAGAAGAUUGAAGAAUAAAGCUGUUGAGAUAUUGUUAGACCUGUUAUGCAGUUUAGGAAAACUGUUAGUAUUGAUAAGAGAAGGUUAGAGAUGUUAGAGAGGUUAGAAAACACGUGAACAAGGCUUUAACUCAGCUGAUAUAAAGUCUGUAGUUGUGCUCAGUUGAACUUAAUGAGAAAUACAACAAGUCUCUUCUCUAUCUCUGAAAUUCUCUCUGCUCUCUCUGCUUUACUUCUUUUGUCUCUGCUCUACAUUUUUUUUCAAUCUUCCUAUCUUAACAAAACUAUCAAGAAUUAAUGCAUCCAGAAACAUAUAUACCAAGACGCAAAACAACAUAUUUUUCAUGCUCUGUCUGUAACACCAAAGCAAACUUCCUUUAUCACAAAAGGAUCAAAUUCCAGUACUAAUCUAAUCCAUCAUGUAAAGCAUACAAUCUACAAGUGCCUCCCUUAAUUUGUCCAUUGGAUAUAUAUGUCACUUUUUGGUAAUUUGGUAUAGCAGCACCACGUAGUCUUGAAAUAGUAGUGCGGCUAUACCAAAUAUACCAUUUGCCCCUGCAUUUAACAGAAAAGUAAACAAAAUUGACGGUAGAACUAUUUGUCCUAACGAAACUGCAGUUGAAAGACCAUGAGAACGAUUUUGAAAAUUGAGGGACUCAAAUGAAAAUUGGGUCUAAGUUCAAGAACCAAUAAAACGAUUAACCCAUAGAUUUUGGAUCCAGUACCACAUCCCAAAGAGAAAACCACAAGUUUGCAAGCAAGUUUGUCCAUAAUAACACUACGUACAGUAUGGGCAGUGCGCUAGACUCAUCUCACUUUCUCAACCUAUCCUAUAGUUGUCUAAAAGAGUUUCUAAUUUAAUGUACUGAGAUUUACGAAAGAAAUAUCAGAGAAACAAUUUUCAGGCAAUAAAAAAAUGUCUUGGCAAGAAAAUGUACAAUUUGUUACAUAACUUAUUAAAUAUGAACAGUUGAAAGAAAAAAGAAUCUGGAUGAGGGAUUUGCAAAUUCCUAUGGCCCAAUUACCUUUUUUUCUUUGUUGUUUUUUUUUUUUUUUUUUUGGUUCUUUUGAUCCAGUAGCAUAUUCCAAAGAAUGAAAACCACAGGCAUGCAAUGCAAGCUCUUUUCCCACGUUUUCCUCUGUUUUUCUCCUAUCAUGGAAGUGAUUAAAACACACCUCUAAGCUUGUUUUGCGUUUGGUAGCCGAGUGUAAAAGCUCAAUGCAAGAUAGUUUGAGGUAGAAUUUUCUCCUAUUUUAUUAGGACAAUGAUAAUUAAAAAAAAGUGUGAUUCAUUGAAUAUUUGCGGGGUUUUGUUCAGACCUGACAAAGUUCUAAGUCAACACAUCAAAUUCCUUUUUCCAACAUGCAACAAUUGUAUUUGAUUCCCAAUUUUUUCUGAUAUACAUCACAUCAUGCCACUUGCAUCAAAUGAAUUUAAUUGAGUGAGGCAAUGGGAAGUAAUUAAGCUCUGUAUUCGUGGGUGGAGUGUUACUUCUGGAACCCUAAUAAUUCGUCCCUACAGGACUCUAGAACUCUCAAACUUCUUACAAGGACUACUUAACUCUAUAGCUUAAUGCAUAUAGCAUAUAUAUGCAAACACAAUUAGAAAUUCUACAACAGAAGCAAGAUCAAUCUCACUAUGCCUUCUAAACAAACAAACAAAUAAAACAAGCAUAUUAAUUGCUUUAAUCACUCUACUAACAUCAACACAGCACACUUAGUUUACUAACAGAUGAUAUAGAAAGGAAAAAAAAGGACCAAUAGGGAGAAAAUGGUGAACUAAGGAGAGACUAAUACUUCUGGUCCUUAGAAGGCAUAACAGAAAUAAUAGAGCACACUGCUUGAAUGCAAGUCAGUAUUAGGAGCAAAACAGCUGCAAUGAAAGAAAUAGUUGCCCAAGGUGUAUUGAAAUAAUGUUGCCUCAAAUUUGCCUUCCAUUUGUUCCAAGGCUUUCUGCAGUAGCUAUUAAGGCGCUCAGAAAGAAUAGCAAAGUAGAAGCUUUCACGAUACACUGCAAUUCCUUUUCCGAGGUUGUUAAUCAGAGUGCACACCUCAUUGUAGUCACCAAGCAUAUUUUUGACAAUCCCAUCCUUCAGAAGGAACUCCACAUCCUUUUCGGUGUUCACAAACUCAUCCAUGAGUGAAACAUAAUCACUUAUGUAAUUCUUACGGCAAUGGCACUAUUCAAAGGCAAUGAGGUUACGGAGUGUGAGCUCUGUGUAAUCGUGUAUUUUUAGUUUUGGAAUUUCUAGAAUCCCAUCGUUGAAUUGUGUUAACGCAGCUUUCCUUUCCUAGCCUACACGGAAGUCAACUUCACAAUCUCCUCCUAGCAAUUAGUCUUUCCUGCUGUAAAUCAGAUUUCCUACUGUAAAUCGGAUUGUAUUCAUGUCUAUAUUAUUUCCUACUUUAAGUAGAUAUCUUGUACUAGUAUAAAUAGGGACUUUGUGUAAUCUGUUAAAUACAAGGAAAUAUAUACUCUGCAUGGUAUCAGCCUAACCUAGGGUUCUCUCUCUCUCCCUUAUUCGAUCCUCUUCUCCUUUAGGUCCACCUCAUGGCUUUGUCUGAAUCCACCAUCUCCCUCCCAAGCCCCAACUCUUCUAUUUUAUCAAGCUUAUUGACUCCAACUAUCUUCUUUGGCUCCGCCAACUCAAACCCUUUUUAGUCGGCCAUGACCUCUGGAAAUUUAUCGAUGGCAUUCAUAAACAACCUUCUGCCCACACCUCCACCUCUACCACCGCAACACCCACAACCACCACCACUCUUACCCAAAUCAAUCAUGCCCAUGCUCAGUGGUACCAACAAGACCAACUCAUUGUUAGCUACAUCACCAAUACACUCUCUGAGUCCAUUCUCUUUCUCACUGUUGGUUGCACCUCUGCCCGGGAUCUCUGGGAGUGUCUCCAACGCCACUUCUCUCAAUCCAGUAUGGCCAGUGAAUCUACUCUUCGUUUUAAACUCAUGGAUUUGCAAAAAGGCUCUGAACCCACUUAUGCUUACAUUCGUCAUGCUAAGUCCUUUGCCGAUUCACUGGCUGCCAUCAAUGAACCUGUCUCCCCAAAAGAACUUGUCACUACUGUGCUUUGGGGUUUAAGACCCUAUUGCAACAUCCUCGUCACAGCAAUUCUCAAUUUCCCUCUGCUUCCUAACUUUGCUAAUCUUCGUGCUCGUUUGUUAGCAUUUGACGCACAGACUCCUUGAAUCUCUCCUGAUCAAAACACAGCGCAAAUGGCCACCCAAUCCUCUCCUCACACCACCGGUCAUACUUCCUUCCCUUCUCACCGUGGUGGUGGCUCUUCCAACAACAGGCGUGGUGGCCUCGGUGGCUGGCGCAAUAGCGGCCGGGGUGGCUGGCGCAGCUUCUCAUCUUCCUGGAGCAACCCGUGGAAUGGCUUCCAGCAGCUCCAAUGACCUAAUCAACCAUGGCCUCCUUUUGCUCCAAGUUCUGGAUCUCAAAGCAACUGGCCUUCCUUUCAGCCUCCUUGGGCCUAAUCUGCCGCUUCUAUCAAACACUUUGCCCGGCCCAACUCAGCUCCUGGUGUCUUGGGACCCGCUUGGUGCACUACCUGCAAUACCAAUCACAUACUACUACAAUAUGUCCUCAUCGCUACAAUGGCCCAGAAUCCUUUCUUUGCUAGGGCUCAAUUCAUGUAGCCACCUGACUCUACUUGGUACCCUGACACAAGUACCACUCAUCAUAUGAUUGGUAGUCCUUCUAAUCUCCAAAAUCAAUCCUUCUAAUCUCCAAAAUCAACAGCCAUAUCAGGUUCAUAAUUCUGUAUUUCUUGGUAAUGGAGAUUCUCUCCCUAUCUCUCAUACUAGCUCUCUCUUUUGUCUUCCAUCUCUUCGUACUAAUCUUCUUUUUGUUGCCCAUUUUACUUGUGAUAAUUUAGUUUUCUUUGUCUUUACUCUUGACUUUUAUCAAAUCUAUGACUUAUGUACUGGUUCGUUACUCUUUCAGGGCCCUUCUAAAGAUGGUCUUUACCCACUUUCCAUCUCCUCUCACUCAUCCAUAGUCCCCCAUGCCCUUACCACCGUGCACUCUCCUGCUUGGCAUCAUUGCCUUGGCCAUCCAUUCCAUCGUGUGCUCUCUCAUUUAGCGCCAUCUCUAGGCUUUAAAGUUUCUCAUGCUUUCUGUAAGGAUUGUGCACUUAGCAAAUCCACCAAACUGUCAUUUCUUAGUAAUAAAACCUUUGCCCCAUCUCCCUUUUAUUUAAUUCACUCUGAUGUAUGGAUGUCCUCGGUCAUUUCUGUCACUGGUUAUCGCUAUUAUGUCUUGUUUACAGAUGACUUUUCUCGUUACUCCUGGAUCUAUCAUAUGCACCGUAAAAAUGAGGUCUUUUCUCACUUUCAAACCUUUCUUGCUAUGGUUAAAAAUCAAUUUCACACCACUGUACAAAUUCUUUAAAGUGACAAUGGCACUGAAUAUGUUAAUAAUGCUUUCUCUGAUCUUUGCAGUCAACUAGGCAUCCACCAACGUUUCACAUGUCCCCACACUCCCCAACAAAAUGGCCUAGCUGAACAUAAACACAGACACAUUGCCACCAUGAUCUGUCCCCGGUCAUUUAUUCAACCAUCUUGACCUUUUGCUUGAUCAUUUUCCACAAGCAACCGUCCACGUACCCCAAUAAUUUAAAAGGGCUGAUGAUCUUUAAUUUGGUGAAAGCUUCUAUCUACCUACCGUGCUAUAUAUGAGCUAUGCAAUCGUGACCGUGUUACAUGACGUCCCAAUGUCGUAGGGAUAAAAAAAUAAUAGUCAUGGUUUUCUUAUUAAUGUCAAUACAUUCAUAGCAAAGAGCUUGUAGCUCUAGUGGUUAAGAGCAAUUACCCAUGCACUUGAGAUAUUUUGUGUUUAAAUCCCCUCUUCCCCAAUAUUUCUUGUAUAAAAAUAAAAAUAACAAUAAUAAUGACAUUAAUGUUGUAUUCUAUAAAGUGUUGGACAUGUUUUAUACCCCUUUCUUGCAAAUUACAGUUUGCCACGUGUACAAAAAUAAUAGAUAAGUGUUGGACAUCAAGAGCACUUACAUAUAGGUUUAAUAGGUAAGUUUUGAAUAUUUCUGUAUUUAGCUUUAAAUAUUGAAAAUCAACCUAUUAGCAUAUUAAAGAUUUGUCCAUAUUCGACGUACAUUCUCUUAUUUUUCUCUCAUUGAAGUAAAUACAAAACUAAGCACAUAGUGGGAAAGUGCGUCACGAUUAGGGGUGGGUUUAGUCUAGGUUGGUUCAUUUUUGGGCUCAAUUUGAACACCGAACUGUAAGCUUCGGUUUGGCUAUUUUGGAAACCGAAACCAAACCAUAAUUGAUGAAAACCGACCACUUCGAUUACCUUCUGGUCUUCCAACCAGAAGAAAACUCAAAACUUUAACCAUACCAAGUGCAACAGAAUUACACCAGGCUGGAUUCAAGUUUAUGAUGGUUAAAGAUAAAAACUUAUUUGACAUACAAUUUGAGAAUGGAAUCCUCAAAAUUCCACACCUGCGAAUACGGGGUUUAACAGAAAUUUUCUUCCGCAAUCUUAUUGCCUAUGAGCAGUGUGAGCUUCAUGAUCAUUACAUCAACGACUAUGUCUUCAUCAUGGACCGCCUGGUCGACAGUGCCAGGGAUGUGGAAUUGCUUGUGAAGAGUGGAAUUCUUGAAUCUAUGCUACCGGACAGCGAGGCAGCAGGGGAAUUUAUUAAUUCUCUUGACUUGGGGCCUAUUUUAGGCAAGCUUGAAACAAGACUAUUUCAGUUCACCAUGGGCUGGCCUGUCUAUUAUUGUAGCCGCUAUACUAGUUGUGCUCACAUUUAUUCAAACAGUGUGCUCCGUAAUGGCGCUGUAGGUUCUUCAUUUCCUCAAUUUCAUGUUUAGUGGUUGCAGAUUUGUUGCUCAUGUACGUGUUUAUCUAAAGUUAAAUAAGAGUGAUUGACUGGAUUGACUGUUAGUCUGUUAGUUUGUUUUUCUGGGGUUUUUCCCCCCUGUUCGUCAAAAAAAAAAAUAAAAGAGUGAUGGCUUGUGCCUAUGAAAAUUACUUAGGAGUAUGCUCCACAGAGCCAAAAUAAAUAAACUAGGGAAGUGGAGGUUCUUCUGUUUGUAUAUAAAUGAGCAAUUCAAACUCUCAGUGCCAAGGGAGUUACCCUUGAUACAUUUGUUAAAAAUUAUAUAUUUGGUCUUACAUCAAACAAAUAAUUUGAAGGGCUUUUUUGACAACUGCUGACAGCGUUUGGCAGAAAAGUUUAGAAGCGCUUCUACGCUUCUAGAUCAUAAAAGUGCUUUACCAAAAAGCACUUAGAUUUCUUAUGAAAAUUUCAACAUUUUUAUAAUAAAAGCGCUUGCUAGAAGCACUUAUAAGCAGAAGUGCUUCAUAGAGAAGCAGUCCCAAACGAGCUUGAUUUUCAAAUGUGCUGCUUAAGAAGAAAUUUAAUACGUUUUGAAAACAAAAAAAAAUACGAAAUUUAAUACGUUUGUUUUACAAAUUGUAUUAAUUGUUAUCAAUAAUACUUGUGCACACCCACAACAUACUUCUUUCUUUCUUUAUUUUCCUUCAGUACAGUUCUGCCUUUCUUUAAUUAUUUUUAACGAAUGCAAAGAGUUUGUCACAAAAUCAAGGAUUGAAAAAAAAAGAGAGUAAAUUAUGUGCUAGAGAAACUUUCCUGCAGAAAUUGAAGAACAACUCUAGUUUCUCUCUUUCGCCUUGUACUCCCGCACUGAGGUUAGUAUUGUUAUAAUGUGCAGAUUAUACGGUCACUCUUGUAUAAUGGCGAGAAGGCUCUAAUUAUAUUUUUGAACCUCUUUGACAGGACCCGCCCCGAAUUUCCCGAAACCCAAGACGAAUUCUGUGGAAAUUCCCUACAUCACCCCGAUGUUGGGCCCACUUCUAAAACUAUAUCAUUUUUCCUAAAAAGGAAUAAGGGCACGAGACUUUCUACCGAAAUUUCGGCAGAGUCUCUCCUGUAAAUUGAACAUUUCCCAAAAUUUCAACCUGCAUAAAACACAUUUUAUAUUACCCAACUGGCAGCAUGCACAAAAUAAUAACAUGCAAUUCACAUAAACGGCCUCUGGCCCUCCGGUAAUUCAGAGCAAUGCAAACUAGCAACUCUAAACCUAAUAAAACAACAUAAGUAACAUUUAGCCAGCGGCUGCACCCAGGCACUACCCUAGGCUACCUACGUACCCUUACUAAGGGAUCAAGCCACACGUAGUUCUUUCAUACAAAAUUUCCAAAUCCAUCAACAUGCAAUCAAUUACAGAAUCCCAAACAAAAUCUUUCUCAAACAUCAUUAGUUCCCAACUCAGUAUAAUAAUCCUUAAUUCAUCUCUGUAAUAAUCACAAUAUCUCCCCAUACGCCGGAACUACCAACACCACGUAUGGAGCCUGCCUGUACGCCAGAUAACCAACGACACGUGGGACCUCAUCAUCAUAUCACAUAAUCUCCCCAUACGCCGAAACUACCAACACCACGUAUGGGGUCUGUCAACACGCCGGAUAACCUACGACGUGUGACCUCAACAUCAAAUCACAAUAUCUCCCCAUACACCGGAACUACCUACGCCACGUAUGGGGUCUGUCCACAUGCCGGAUAACCUACGACACGUGGGACCUCAUCAUCAUAUCACAUAAUAUAUUAACGAUCAAGAAAUAUCACUACGGUCAUUUAAUCCUCCUGGGAAGGUAAAACUAUCUCAGGAGACUCACGGUCAACCAAGGGUCAAACUACCUCAUACUUGGACAAACGAGCCCACGGAGCCCACAACCUCCGUUUUACUAUCCAAGAGUUCCUAUAGGUUCUACAAGGUUUAGGAUACACGGCUUGCAAGUUUGGUCAAGAUCAGACGGUCGGAUCGCUCACGAUAGGACGGUUACUGCAAACCUAGCCCUAGGGUUGGCAUUUUCGGAGUAUCCGAAACUCCGUUUUACGAUCUGUCGAAUCAUAGACGAUCCUAAGGAUUUGCAGACUAACUAUAAUAAAUUCAAGACCAUCCAACGGUCUAAACCUAUCGAACCCGGAUAACGCGCAAUAGGCAAUAUCCAAAUUGAAAUCCGAGCACACCUACGCACUCGUGAGGACUAGGAGAUUACAUCGGGACAUAGUGCCCUUUUUCUACAGUGCCCAUGAGCCGCCGCACGCACCAGCAACGCGUGGGUGCCCAAAGCGAUUAUGCAUCGCCAAAAAAUCUCAAAACCACGGCUCAAGACUCCUACCCUAGGUAUAACACCCUAUUUGGAACCACUUUUGUUCUUGGACCUACCCCAAAAACUGAUCAGAAGUGGCCGGAAUGGCUGAAAUGUAAUUCAAAAAUCAAGCUACCAACGCUCAAAAUCGAUGCAAUCCUACCCAACCAUCAACUAGAUUAUGAAGAAUGGAUAAAUUUCCAUACCUUGAUCGCCAACAAUGGCGGCCGGAGGAGAGAGAUCUGAUCCGGCGAAGUUCGAGUGAAAACGGCCAAAAAUCAUCUUUUUCAGGCGGCUGGAGGGCGACCGAUGUCAGGGAAGGGCAGGGUCGUGACGCUAAGGCUGAGCCUGUCCUUUUGGCACCGGUCCCUUCCGCAGCCGUGUCCGGUGGCUGGAGUUUCGAAGAGAGAGAGAGAGAGAGAGAGAGAGAGAGAGAGAGAAAUCUGAUUUUUAUCAAACCUUUUUGCCAAAAUUACGGUUAUGCCACUGAGGGUAUUUUGAUAGUAUCUCUCUCGUUACAACUUCGAUUCGAGCCCACCACGUGUGUACGGACUCAUCUAACUGUGUUGUACGCAACGGUAUAGUCGAAAUUCCCAAAUUAUUUCCUUGUCAAAAAGUCAACUUUAAACAUUAUAAAAUAUUUUAGGGAAAAAAUGGUAUUUUCUCUCAAUAAAUUAGUAACUAAUUUAUUUAGGACUGGGUCAUUAUACUCUUUUUCGCUUCAAUGGAUGGGAAAAAAUUUUAUGUAAUAUCCCACAUCGACCAACGAAGAGGGGGCGAUGUGUCUUAUAUGUACAUGCCCGCCUCCAUCUAGCAUAAGGCCUUUUGGAAGCUCACUGGCUUCAGAGUCAUGGGAACUCCGAAGUUAAGCGAGUUGGGGGCUAGAGCAAUCCCAGGAUGAGUAACCCACUGGGAAGUUGCUCGUGAGCUUCGAGAAACAAAACCGUGAGGGCAGAGAGAGGGGCCCAAAGCGGACAAUAAGGCCUCGUGCUAGAUGGAGGCGGGCAUGUACAUAUAAGGCACAUCACUCUCUCUCCGUUGGUCGAUGUGGAAUGUUAGAAUGGAAUUGUUACCUUUGGUGUGGAGGUGUUCUAUCAUUUGAGCAAGAAAUUCCCACAUAUUCUUCAACUAUUUUUCAAGCAUGCAUAUUCCUCCCUAUCAAUCUUUGGUUUCUUCCUUUACUGUGCAUAGUAAGGAUCCAGUCAGGGACGGACCGUCGCUAUGACUAUCCUGGGCUAUAGCCCAGGCAAAUUAUUUUUUUUUCUAGUCUAAAAUAGCAAUCCCACCGCUUGCUGUAGUACUUGUUCAGUUCGUCACAAACAUGAGCAUAAUAGAAGUUAUCAACAUCUAUAUAGGAACCCCAAUGAAAAGGCUGUUAACUAAUAAUGAAGUUAACCCGUCAAUUUUUCCGCAUAUCAGAUAUCUCUCAGAAUAUGCGAUUCCAUAUUCAAUAAGCCACUCCACAUGCCCUGAGGUUUUCAUCAAACCACCCAUUAAGGAAACAUACUGACUCAUGUAAUUAUCAUUACUCAUCGGGUAAUGCAAUUGUUCAAAGGCAAGGACAUUUCUCAUUAUUUAUGUAGCGAACCCCAAUGGAAAUGGUGGGAUCUUCAGAACCCCAUCGGUGCUACUGAAUUGUAUGUCAAAUAUGUUUUCACCUUGUCACGCCUCAAACUUGACUCCAGCGUGCUGUAAUUCUGUCAAGCUGGGUAUGGAUGAUGGGAGUUUGAUGCAGGAGCAUAGGGGUGGAUCAAGAUAGAUAUUUACUAUUUAAUUAGUUAUUUCAUGAUAUAUUGUUAUUUUCUUAUUUAGGUAGUUUUAUGAUAUCUUUUAUUAUUUAUGUGUGAUUUUAUAAUUAAUUAGUAUACUUUUGGACCAAGUAGCCUUGGUGCUCAAGUCUUGUAAAGCCUAUAAAUAAGGCUAAUGUAAUAGUUGUAGAAUAGAUGUCGAUGAUUAAUAAAAUCGUUUAUUUGUGGCAUGGAUUUGCUACGAUAUAUGUGAGUUUGCACUAGCCCUAGAUUUCAGUGCUCGUGUAUGUGGUUGGUGACCUGUGUCCGGAUCCCGAUCCCCAUCAAUUGGUAUCAGAGCUAUGGCUCAAGAUCUGCUAUAUCGGGGAGGUUUUUGGAUGGAGGGUCGUUUUAACAACUACAACGACAUGGAGGAAAUUAGGAGGAUGCUACGGCAACUUAUGGAACACAUUGCUCGCAUUGAAGCUCGAACCCAGAUAGGUAAGAGUUCUGACGGGGAGGGAUGUGUGAACCCUUAUCUGAACCGAGUAGCUCGCAUCGACACUCUAAGCCGUGAGAGUCUCGACGGGGAGUACGAGGGAGAUAGCCCUUUUCAUUAUUGUGCUCCGCUGUGUGAGUCAAGUGAAGAGGGGCACGGUUAUUCUCAUUGUGUCUUUGAAGGUAUAAAUGAAUUUAGUAAUUUUGGUGCAUCUUGUUAUUCAUCAAAGUUAUUAAAUUUGGAUUUACCUCCAUUAUUUGAUCCUUGCAAUUGUGAAAAUUGCAAUAAAAAUUGUUUGGGUGUUCAAAGCAAUUUUGAUAAGCAAUUUAUUGACCAGAACAGUGAAGAGAUGAGAAUUGAGAAAACUUUCGAAGAUAUUAUUGAUUUUAUGGGCAUUAAUAUUUUCACUUGGAAGGUUGCCAAAAAUCUGGUUGAUUUUGUCAAUCGGUUGAAGAUUCUAGAGAGAAACAUUUGCAUUGCUAGAGGGAGUAAGAAGUCAAGAAUAACGAAAUAUUCCAAAUAUCUUUUUAUUUGGAAAGGAAGGUUUCAAUUGGAUGCUAAAAGAUCCAAAAUUAAUAUGCAGCAAUUGAAGAUUCUACUCGGAUUUUCCUUAAUCAAAGGCUUGAAUUCGAGGACGAAUUCUUUCCAACUAUGGGAGUCUGAUGCAGGAGCAUAGGGGUGGAUCAAGAUAGAUAUUUACUAUUUAAUUUGUUAUUUCAUGAUAUAUUGUUAUUUUCUUAUUUAGGUAGUUUUAUGAUAUCUUUUAUUAUUUAUGUGUGAUUUUAUAAUUAAUUAGUUUACUUUUGGACCAAGUAGCCUUGGUGCUCAAGUCUUGUAAAGCCUAUAAAUAAGGCUAAUGUAAUAGUUGUAGAAUAGAUGUCGAUGAUUAAUAAAAUCGUUUAUUUGUGGCAUGGAUUUGCUACAAUAUAUGUGAGUUUGCACUAACCCUUGAUUUCGGUGCUCGUGUAUGUGGUUGGUGACCUGUGUCCGGAUCCCGAUCCCCAUCAGAGUUCCCCUCCAGCUUUUGAUUCCAACGGUUGAUAGAGUUUAAAUAUUUUCCUGAAAAGAUCAAUAAUAUGUGCCACUGAUCUAAAAGUCUCCAAAUUGUCUUCCAAUUUGUCAACAGGCAAUAGAUGUUCGAAGAAACUGAAAGAAAUACAAAUUAUUGAAAGCCCCUCAGUAAUGCUGUUAUUGUCAGCAUUAGCAGGGAGUGUAAUUUUCUGUGGGUCGAAAAGAUCCUCGAGAAUGAAGAAUGGCAACUGAUUUUCAAGCAACCACGUAUCUGUCCAUGCAUCUUGCAACAUACCUGGUUUGUCAAAUAUGCGGUCAUUUUCGUCCCAAAAUUUGAAGUAGUCCUUCAAUAAGGGCUCAAUAACGAAGGCGGCGCCCACUAGAAUGAUUGUUACAAAUUCAUCACUGCUAAACUUGAUGGGUUCUCCAUAACAACGUCUCAAUCUUGCUUCGUGGUCCUUUAUUUUCUUAAUAUAAUCCUCCAAACUCACAUUGGUCCGACCUAUAAAAUCUUGCAGGUAUCUCUGUUUGUUCUCUUCCAAUACGACAUUCAAGCCUUCCUUUCCAUGGUGAAGUGGACCUAUAGAGACCGACUGCCUGAGGUGUGCAGAGCUUUUCAUUCACACAUACGUAGAUAAAAUGUCUGGGGGCUCAGAGAGUGAUGAAUGUGCAACAGCUAAUGGGAGGGUUUAUAUUCCUGAAGUAAGAAAUGAGGAAACACCAGCAGUUGGGAUGAAGUUUGACUCGCUUGACCUCGUUUACAAUUUCUAUAAUAGAUAUGCAUUCUUGGCUGGCUUUGGUAUUCGACUUCAUUCUAGCUUUUGGGGGAAAAAUAAGAAAGAGAUUUUGAGGAAAGAAUUUGUAUGUUGCAAACAAGGUGCAUACAAGAAGGAUGAAACUCGGGAGAGAAAAAGACAACGGGGAAUAAGUAGAUGCAAUUGCAAAGCAAAGAUUGUGGUUGUGAAGACAAAUGGGAGCAAGAAGUAUACCAUUUCUCUUUUUGCAGAGGGACACAAUCAUAAGAUGACACCCUCAGAAAGAAUGCAUUUAUUGAGAUCACACCGUCAUAUUUCAGAUUCUACAAAAGUACUCACAAAACAGUUGGGUUCAGUUAAUAUUCCCAUUCAUCAGAAGGUAAGUAUAUUCGAGGUGCAAUCCGGAGGAAUGGAUAAAAUCGGUUUUAUCAAAAAAGAUAUCUACAAUCUUGAAUGUAGUGUGAAUGGGAAGCUGAGGAACCACGAUGUUGAACUAGUGACCGAGUAUUUUAUGGCUGAACAGAAAAAAAAUGAGGCUUUUUAUUUCAAGAUUGAGGGAGAUGGGCAUGACAGGUUUAGUCGAUGUUUUUGGGCAGAUGCAACUUCUAGACGGGCGUAUGGGUUUUAUGGAGAUGUUGUUGUAUUCGAUACCACAUUCAACACGAAUCGAUACGACUUGACAUUUGCACCAAUGUUGGGAGUUAAUAACCAUGGUCAGACAAUUGUCUUAGCAUGCGCAUUUUUGAGCAAGGAAACGACUGAGUCGUUUGUUUGGAUGUUUGAGGAGUUUAAGAAAGCCAUGCCAGGUGGGGAACCUAAAACGAUCAUUACAGAUCAAGAUGCGGCAAUGGCCAUAGCGAUUUCAAUAGCCUUCCCGAGUACAUUUCAUCGACUUUGCAUAUGGCACAUCACAUCAAAGUUCUCUGUUAAGUUACCACGUGACGCUUAUAAGGAGUAUUGGCCUGAAUUUCAGAAAGCCAUAUGGGAUACUGACAAUAAGGAUGAGUUUGAUGCAAAAUGGAAUAUUGUGGUUAUAAAGGCUGGUUUGACUGACCAUCCAUGGCUAAGUUCAAUGUUUGAUUUAAGGGAAUCUUGGGUUCCAGCCUACGCACGACAAUUUUUUGCCGCUGGAAUGUCAAGCAGCCAAAGAGCGGAAGGUUCUCAUGGUUUUUUCAAGCAAUACAUAUCAAGGAGAAAUUCGUUGAUGGAUUUCAUAAUACGAUUUGAGAGGGCAUUUUCUCAUCAACGUGAAAAAGAGUUAGUUGCUGAUCACGUAGAUGCAUUUGAAGUGGCUCAAUGUCUUCUACCGAUGCCAAUGAACAAACAAAUGGCUACCUUGUACACAAGGACAAUGUUUCAAAAGUUUGAGCAAGAACUAAUACAAAGUACAGCAUGUUUCCUAGAGCUCAAAACAGAGGAUGCAUGUAAAGUUGUGUUCAACGUGAGCGAAAGGAAAAAUUGGGAAACAAGAGUGGCAGAAGUCGUAUAUGUCAAAGAUUCUGACCACGCAUCGUGUAGCUGCAAAAGAUUUGAAUUUGUUGGAAUUAUUUGCAAGCACAUCCUAGCAUUGUUCAGAAGGGACCAGAUUGAAUAUAUGCCCGAUAAAUAUAUUUUGAAGAGGUGGAAGAAAACUGCGAAAUGUGGAUUGGUGUCAGAUGCAAAUGGCAACGAAAUUAAAGACUGUGCAGAUCCUGGCCUUCUAAUAAAGCGGAGUACAAUGUCUCGACUUGCUUCAAAUGUGGUUGAGGAUGCAUUAAUGAGUGAAGAAGGAUGUGAGCUACUGUCAGAGACUCUAAAAAGUUUGCAGGUGAAGUUGAAGUUGCUGAAGGAUGGACCAAGUAAUAACGAAGUUGGAGGGUCCAGCUCUCAAACACAAUAUAUGAAAGACCCUAAGAGAGUGAGGUGCAAAGGAAGGUCGAAAGGAAUAACGGGAGCAAAGGAAAAGGCAAUGAAGCGAGGGAUUAGACACUGUCGGGAGUGUGGACACAUUGGUCAUGAUAGAAGACAAUGCCCAGCCUUGAACACACCGUAAGAUGCUACCACUAUUUGUAAUAAUAUCUAAAAUAUGAAAAGGUAAAAUUUUUAUGUGCUUGUGUUUGAUGUUUAUGCAGGACAUCACCGUCGAACAAUGACAAAUCAACUCCAAUACAUCGUAGUGACCCAUUAUUCGACGAUUUUGACAAGAUGCACAGACCAACUGAAUGAUUGAUAUUUGUAUUAGACGAAAUGUGGUUGUUAUGAAGAUUAAUGAUCAAGUGAAGUUUUAUAGAUUCAGUUUUUGAAUGUUAUUGUGUUUUUGUUCAUGUCCACCGAUGAGCUCUUACUAUGUCCACUGGUAAUUGAAAUGAAAAUUUUCUUGGUUUCAUUCUUCCAAGACAUUUGGAGACAUGUUAAUUUUACGUCUUCUCCCUAUUUAUAAAUUUUCAUAGACAUUUGAUCAAGUUUGAAAUUUGUAGUUAUGUGAAGAAGCAAUGACUCUUACCAUGUAAAAUGGGCAGUUUAGGGUGAAAUUUGUUUUAACAGAGAUUCAUUUUUCAAUUCCUCAGGGUAAUGCAGCAAUUACAGCAGCCAGCUGUUGUUUCCAUUACCAGUAAUCAUUUCCAGCAGCAGCCACUUUUUCCGACUGGUUAUUAGGGGCACGAUUUUGUACACUUUUGUAAGUGAAGGAUACUCGAAGCACUUUGUUGGAACAGAGCAAAUAGAAACCAGCGGGUAAAAAAAAAACAUAACAUUGCAGCUAAUUACAUUUCGAUACAUAGGUGAAAAAUAUUAAAGGGUACACUAACUUACAUAAAUACUCAUAAUUCCACACACAAAAGAACAUUUGAUUGCAAAACAUAUUAUGUGCUUCCUCAUAGCAAUACCACGAUCUCCCCAACCAACUGAACAACGGUAGCCACAAUCACUGGGUCGUACUCGUCAGCUUCUUCUUAGCAGGUCUCACAUGCUUAUGGCCACUCAUAUCCCUAGUGAUAUACACGAAAUAAAUCUUCAGCAAUAUUUGGAAUUUUAUUAUAUAUAAAUAAACCAUAAACCAUUCAGUAAACAAUGUAUAGCACAUGUUAUGUAACUUAUGACUCACGUGUCAGUUUUUUUUUUAACACAUUAGUACUCCAGCUCUUUAAUGUAAAUGGACAUGAUAAGGAGCAUUUACUGAUUCCCGGCUUUCUAUGAUAUUGACUGCUUCUUGAAUAAUAUUUCCAUAUUUGCAAAAUAUAAUGUUAGACAUUAUAACACAUGAUGACUUGCAAUACAUAGUCCCAAUAAUUAUAUAUCAAGCAAAUGAAACUGAUAUUUGUGUUAUUUUAAGUUAGAUAAUGACAUUAAGGGAGUAUAUGUGCAAUACCACGGUCACCCUCAACCAACUGAACAGCGGUAGCCGCAAUCACUUAGUCGUAUCGGUCGGCUUCUUCCGAGCAGCUUUGACGUGCUUAUGCUCAUUCAUGUCACCCCCAUCGUCUAGUAUCUCUCUCACAGCAUCAGGGGACACAUAGUUCCAAUCAUAACUUGUAUGAGUAGUUGCCGCAAAUGCUCGGAAUUUGUCGAAUCCUUCGUUGAAUGCCAACUCCAGUUCAGUAUGGUGCUCUUCGCAUCGCAUAUGGUUCAUCAAACAACCUUUGAUUUCAUCAUUCAUUACUGUAUCCAACUCCUCAGCUUUCAGCUUCCUGCUAUGACUCAGCUUCAAGUACUUGUUCUUUUGGGAUAACGCUUUGUUCACCCUAAUGUUAAGAUCAGCCAAAAUUGCCUCGUCUUCAACACAUUUCUCGUGCCAUGAAUUGAUCAGUCUGGAAUUAUAAUCCAGCUUGCCACUGACUGCAUGUAUUGCCUGUAAUGGAUCAUCGGAGUCCCCCUCACUCCCAAAUGAUGUUGAAAAAGGAAGGGGUCGGCGAGUACAAUGUGGAAAUAGAACCUGCCACUCCAAUUUGUCAUCUUCGAUUGUGUUGUUGGCGCCUGAAGAGGUUGACAUGCUUGAAUAAUCCUCUUUGUUUUGGGAGGAUGAGGAUUGCAUAUGCAAUUUCGUUUGAGAAAGGGAACAUAGGUUUAUAGACCAACAUACCAAAGCUUGUGUGUAGUCAACAUAUGUACUUUUUGGCGGGAAUUUUUUAAAAAUAGGUGUUAGGUUUUGCUUUUCAAGCAUGUCAACCUCACACUCUCCUGACACCACUGCUAGUGGUUGAAACAAAGUCAAUGGAAGUGACAUCUACUUAGUUAACUCAACCAAACUAGUUAGGAUUAAACUUAGAUUGUAUCAGACCAAAAAAUAAUUUCUACUUUGUCAACCAAAUAUUUUUUGGCGGGAACCCUUUUCUUGGUAUUACUAUCACCCCUUUCAUAUAAAAUCUCCUUCCACACAAAACUCACUCCUCCACCGAAUCUGUCUCCAUCUACCGAUACUCUCUCAAGCAAACAAACUCAUUCCCCCCAAAGAAUGAGCAUAAGCACAACCAAGUUUGAUGUGAGCAUAAUAAACACCCCUCCAAACAAAGACCGGCUUCGACACGCAAGUGAGUCACCGGACAAGCAAUGUCACAUUGCUAGACAGAAUGACCAUUUUGUUGGAAGUUUUGAGUCUGAAAGAGUUGUUGCUUUUUGGAAGGAGAGGCAUCUUCAACUUGGUGAUGAAAUCCAAAGGGCAAGGGCACGUUUGGAAUUUGUGGAAGGCCAAAUUGAAGAUGACAAAAGGCAGGCCAAUCUGGAUAGGGCGAAGUUGUAGCGCAUGAAGCGUAGACACAAACGACUUCGGAGUGUAGCUGUUCAAAAAUACAAGAACUCAUCUAAUGUAGUGGAGUCAAAGAAGCGUGUGAUGCAAGCUGGAUUCGACUACUUCCGAUCCUAUGCAAAACUCGUCGUACCCGGGUUUGAUUGGUCAUCUAUUACCGUUUCCGACGUCACCAAAUAUACUCAGCAAGGGAAGUAACCAUUUUGGUUCUCGUGUUUUAGCAGAGGCAAAUAAGUGGAAUUGGAAUUUUGGUUACACUCUGCUUCAAAGCUAUUUUGAUGCUAACUACUAUGGAAGAUUUAAACCUUAAUAUUUUGAUGUCUUUAAUUACGAAAACAGAAGAUGCAAAGAGCUCAUCUACUUCAGCCAUAUGUUGCUGCCAUGUCCAUUUGUUUUUGAUCACUUAUCAGAUUUGGACAUGGUUGCAUCAUAUGCAAUGUUGCCUUUAUUUAUUAUAUGUUAGGACAAGGUUUAUGGAAAAGCUUUUGUGAGUGCGUUUGUGACAAGGUUAUGGAAUUAUUAUGUACACUUUAUAUAUUGUUUUUUGUACUGGUUCAUUUCCUACUAUUUCUUGCUUUCUUUAUAUUUUAUGUUUGUGGAAUCCCUCUCAAAGUUAACAUAUACUGUGAAAAAAAUAUUAUGCAACUGAUUAUAUAAUCACUCAUAUAGACUAGGACAAAUAUUCACUAAGGGUUUUAAACUUGCUUCACUUGUGUGAUGUUAUUGACAAAAAGUAUGGCAUUAUUUAUGUGAUUUGACAUGAUUGAAAAUAUAUUACUGAUUCCCAAUGCGGCGUCAUAUGGACAACGUAUUGAAUACCUGUGACGUGUUAAUAACUCAAGGUGCAGUUGCAUGUGGACAACUUCUUGAAUACCUCUGACGUGUUGAAAACUCUAGGUGCAGUUGCAUGUGGACAACUUAUUGAAUACGAACUGACGUCUUCAAAGCUCUAGGCGUAGUUGCAAUGAUGGCUUCAAAGCAUGUGCAAUUAUUUUUUAUGUACAUUAUUAUAACAAAACAUAUUAUUGUAUAUAGUGAAACUAAAUAUUGUAUUAUUAGAAAUUAUAUUUCGAAUAUUAUCCGAAAUAUACGUGUUAACGUGAAUUUGGGUUAAGAGGAAAGUGAGUUAUGUACAAAUAAUUUUCAUUUUCUCAUUUUCCGGGCAUUUUUUGGAUUUUCGUAGAAUUUAUUACCUAUGUCCACAGAUUGUUGCACUAAAAAAGCCAAAAUAAUAGCAAGAGGACACCUGGAGCGAUCUCAGCCCGUCACUGAUGACUACUUGCACAAGUGUACGUCAGUCAACAUGGCCACACCCUCCCAUUUUACCCUAAAUUAUUAUUUUAUUACUUUUCCUUACAAAAAUCAGAACUAAUUACACACAAAAUAAAAAAAUUAUCCGAAAAUUGCUACGAACUCAUUGACACUCCAUCUCCGUUGCUGAAUUCUCCGAUUCAUUGUUACGUAUUUGUAAAAUUAAUUCCCAACAUUAACGGGAGAUGCUUGUUGAAGUAGGUUAUUCAAGUUGAAGUUAACAAACAUCAAUACUUAGGGUUAAGAGGAAAGUGAGUUAUGUAACACAAUUUGGAUUAUUUCAUUGCGAGACGAAUGAUUUAUAGGUUCUCCUAGUUUUAUGACGUCACAAGUAGGCCGGAGUAAUUUUUGGGGCAUUUUUACGAUUUUCCUACUAUUUUUUACCUAGUUUCAAAGAUUUUUGAACAAAAGAAUCCAAAAUGUAAAAGAAGAUGACACCUGGCGCGAUCUCAGCCCGUCACUUUUCACUACUUGCACAAGUGUACGUCAGUCAACAUGGCCACAUCCUCUCAUUUUACCCUAAAUUAUUAUUUUAUUACGUUUUGUCUUGGAAAAUUCAUAACUAAAUACACAAAAAUUCAAAAUUAUUUCUGAAAAUUGCUACGAACUCAUUGACACUCCAUCUCCGUUGCUGAAUUCUCCGAUUCAUUGUUACGCAUUUUUAAAAUUAAUUCCCAACAUUAACGGGAGAUGCUUGUUGAAGUAGGUUAUUCAAGUUGAAGUUAACAAACAUCAAUACUUAGGGUUAAGAGGAAAGUGAGUUAUGUAACACAAUUUGGAUUAUUUCAUUGUGAGACGAAUGAUUUAUAGGUUCUCCUAGUUUUAUGACGUCACAAGUAGGCCGGAGUAAUUUUUGGGCCAUUUUUACGAUUUUCCUACUAUUUAUUACCUAGUUUCAAAGAUUUUUGAACAAAAGAAUCCAAAAUUAACAAGAAUAUGACACCUGGCGCGAUCUCAGCCAGUCACUUUUGACUACUUGCACAAGUGUACGUUACCGAACAUGGCCACAUCCUCCCAUUUUACCCUAAAUUAUUAUUUUAUUACCUUUUUUCUUGGAAAAUUCAUAACUAAAUACACAAAAAUUAGAAAAACGAUCCGAAAAUUUCUACGAACUUAUUGCGAUUUCAUCUUCCUACUGCAUUCCCUGUUUAAUGGUUAUGCUACAUUAGUAUUUUAUUAUUAUUUAUCCACAAUUAUUAUAAUUAUUAUGAUAUUACUUUUUAGGCUGUCCAUUUGUUAAUUAUACCACAUCCAACUUGUUGAAAACAAUUUUAUUUUCCGUGCGAAUAGGCCAUUUGUAGUGCUUAUCGGUUUCUCUGUUCUUCAAUUUGUUAAUUUUUUUAUUUUUUAGGUUGAAGGGAUGUUUUGAAACAUAAUAUGGAAAUAUACAAGUCAUCCAUUGUACUCCUUCCACACAAAAAAAUAGUCUACGUCAUUCACUGUUCAACACCCUAGGUUAAGACACGUGUAACCAAAUCCGUUCGGAUAUGCUAAGUGGGAAAAUGUCAUUCCCAAGCACUGGUGAAAAGACACUUAUUUACUCCAUGCAUGACUUUUGGUUUACCAAAUAUGAAGAUUGGGGUCGGUGAGCAAAAUAUCUGUGUCAGUAAAAUGUCAUUCCUAGCCAUCUAUGAUGUAAGUAAUAAUUCCGCUAUAUAAUAAAUAUUAUACAUUUAUAUAUAAAACGGUUUAUGACAAAAUACCAACAUUUGAACAACAUUUAAACUGAGAUAGGUAUAACGUAGCCAGCCAACCUAGAAGUGAAGAGAAGCAAGUCCACAAUGCAUCAAAACUGUAAAUUCGUACUAAAACUAAUGCAAAAAUACGUGAUUCCCUCGCACAACUUACUCACGCAGGAUUUUGCACCAAAAAAUACUCUCACGGUGCCAUUUGCAUCGGUUGCAGCAAGUCCAAAACGCAGGAUUUAUCUUGUCUUCACUAGGCCACCCUGGAAUAACAAAAUACCAUUCAUUGUUGUUACAAGCGCUGCACCGAUUGAACUUAAUCUUCCCAUAGUCAAACAUAUCUACGAUAUGUCUUGCAACAAAUGCUCCGCGACAUCUUCCUGUUAAAGCAUCCCUGGUUCCUUUCAUAUCAAUGUUGUUACGUUGAUUCAAAGAACACAAGAAUUGUAAUGCAUCCUCUUUUGACUGACCAAUUCCGGACAUACCAAGUAGUCCAACUACAUAUGCCGCUUCCAUAUGGCCUGCCGUGGCUGCAAUGCGCAUCCCAUACAACGCUUCCACCUUACCGUCUGUGAAAAAACCUUCGAAUGCUUCUCUAAAUAUGGACUCAGGGUUAUCGCAAGCCCUGCAUUGUUGCAAGAAAUGCUGGACUGCAGGUUUGGCACGGUAGCAGAUAGGAUGGUGUGGGUACUUUGCCAUUGAAAUGGUGUUCCACACUUGUGGACUGUUUGCCAAAAUGUUGAACAAUCGGCACACACAUGCCAUACGGAAGAGAUCUUCCGAUGAUUCGGUUGCCACGUAUAACAUCACUUGAAACCAAGCGGACUCCGGGAUAAAGGCUUCGGGCAUAUCGAAAUGGAGAUGCUUCCUUCUCUUUCCUCCGACUGUAGUGAAGUGUUUCGAAUUCAUUGAAAAGUUUUUGGAAUGGAACGAUUUGAGGAGUGGCAGAGGGGAUAAAUGAUAAUAUUUGGGGUACACGUUCUACUUCCGAGCCUCUGUUUAUAGUGUUUUGAAAAGGUGUUUCCAGUUGGGGUUUUUCCAAGUUGACCCUUUUGAAAGAAACUGAAUCCAAGUGAAUUAAAACUUAAGACAAAAGAAGGGAAAACGUCAUAACGGUGCAUACAGAGUCAGACAGUUAAAAAGUUAAUUAAAUGGCUAUUUGCAUAGCCAUUUUUGGGUUUAUCCCACUAUCAAAUUCAUUGAUACAAAUGUGAUGGAUUACUGACUAGUGACAGAAGGUCCCAUCAUAUACUUUUUCAUUUUCGCACACCCAACUAUCCCUAGUAAUGUUAUUAAAAUGGAACCAAUAAUGACGGAUUCUUAUCCAACUAGUUGCCUUAAUGAAAUAUAAAUAAAUUAAUAAAAUUGAAGCAGUGUCCCGUCAUUAGUCAGAAAAUAUAUUUGGUAGUGAAGUAGUUUCUAUUGCUUUUCGGGCUAAAAGAUGUCACAAUGCUGACGGUACAGGUGUCGACAUCGUGACCAACCCACCAAAUGAUCCCAAAAAAAAGUAAUAUAACUCGAUUUGGGCAGAGAUGAGAGAGAGCUGAGUGACAAGUUUAGGGUUAUGAGUGAAGGGGUAUGAAUGACAACUAUGAGUGAGAAGGUAUGAGUCCGAAGAGGUUUCAGUGAGAAGAUUUGAGUGAGAAGAGGUACAACUGAGAAGAUUCAACAUGUCUUCGUCUUCAUCUCCUGCUCAAACAAAGAGGUGUCAGUAUUGUGGAGCUACAAUGGUGCUUCGGGUUUCAAAAUCUGAAAAAAAAUCGAGGGAAGCCAUUCUGGAAGUGUCUAACCUCCUAUGUAAGUUUUAAUUUAAAGAAUAUGUAUGUGGGUGAAAAAAAACCUAUGUCUAACUCUGACAGAAUUAUAUUCCAUAUAUGAUGCCUGCAAUUAGGGAGCCACCAGUUGCAAUGGAUUCGAAUGGGUUGAUGUAACCUCCGCUGAAGCAGAACAUCAAGAUGACACGUAUGAUGUUAGAGUGCUGAACAUGCUGAAGUCCAUUAAGGACUUGGUAUUAGUUUUAUUAGUUGUAUUAAUUGUCAUUUUAUUUGUUCUUUUAAUGAUCAUUUAACUGCACGGUUUAAAAGAUUGUGAAAGUUCUCUCGCACAAGACAUAUUGCACGCACCACCAAUGAGACCCUAAACCCAUUUUGUAAUAUUUGGUAACUGCAUGUAUUUCGCAUGUUAUUGAAUGUUUAUUGAAGGUUUAUUGAUAGUUUGCUGCAUGUAUAUGGAAUAUCAUUGCCCCAAAAUUGGAUGUUUAUUGGGGCCACAAGUAUCACUCAAGUAAGAAUGAAGGGGAGAAACGGACCUUAUUCUUUCUUAUAGUAGGAAGAACAACUGUUAAGUUUAAUAUCCUAUUCAAUACGACUUCCCUAUGGUUGGUGUACUUGGGGACUGAAGUAUAUUGCAUCAUUAUUGUGGGCAAGGGCAUGUCUAUUGUGUGUGUUAAGGGAGUAUUGUGUGGGCAAGGGCAUGUCUACUGUGUGUAUAUUGCAUGUCUACUGUGUGUAUAUUGCAUAUCUAUUCUCUGUAUAUGGCAGGCCAAGUUUGUGUAUAUUGUUUGUCUGUUGUGUGUGUAUUGCUUGUCGGUGCGUUUGUGAAUUGUGGUUCAUUUUGUGUAUAUUGUCUUUGUUUCUACUUUUAUGCUACUGAGCUGCGGAAAACCUCGCAUGUUUAGACACCUAUUAUGAUGCAACACAUUGCGAUUAAUGGUGGCUUGCAUCAACAAUGACAUAUCACUUUGCAAUGAUGUAAUACACUUAAAAAGCCGUCUUCAAAUCCCAAUUCACAUAUGCAGUCUUAAAAUUCUAAUUCAAUGCAGUUUGGUUAACAAACAUGUAAAUGUCAUGAAGGAGUUAGCGGUAGAAUUCGAUAAGGACCCGUACGUCUCUAUUGUGUAUUUACAUUAGUUUGAGAAUGGACAUUCCCAAAACCUUCUCAUGUACCAUUUGUCAUCUUCAACCAAUAUCAUGGGAAGUAAGCAUCUCCCCUUGUUAUCUCCGCAGCCAAUUUCAACCGAAAAAAAGGCAUGUUGUGCGAGGUGCAAGUAGCUAACGGAAGCUUAGCGCUGAAAAGCUCAAUGUACUUUAACACAAACAUGCCACAAUCGCCUCUGAAGCAAAACAAGAACUCGAUCAAUUCAACUAAUGACAUUCUAAUGUAAUUGACAAUUGAAAGUAAUAAAAUUAAAUUGCAAGUUGUGCUUACUCAUUAGACUGUUGUGGAACAUCCACACGCUCUAUUGGCCACGGACACCACCAAUCUCGGCUGCAAUUGUUUGCAUAAACACCUUCUUCAUAAAAGUCGAUGGUGUUGAGAAGAUUUGGAAGCGUAAUUGAUAGCGGGCCGAGUUCUUCCUUUACGAUGUCAUCUGGAAUUAGUGAAACCUUUGAAUCGUACACUUUGAUUCACACAAUACCAGAUCAAACANNNNNNNNNNNNNNNNNNNNNNNNNNNNNNNNNNNNNNNNNNNNNNNNNNNNNNNNNNNNNNNNNNNNNNNNNNNNNNNNNNNNNNNNNNNNNNNNNNNNNNNNNNNNNNNNNNNNNNNNNNNNNNNNNNNNNNNNNNNNNNNNNNNNNNNNNNNNNNNNNNNNNNNNNNNNNNNNNNNNNNNNNNNNNNNNNNNNNNNNNNNNNNNNNNNNNNNNNNNNNNNNNNNNNNNNNNNNNNNNNNNNNNNNNNNNNNNNNNNNNNNNNNNNNNNNNNNNNNNNNNNNNNNNNNNNNNNNNNNNNNNNNNNNNNNNNNNNNNNNNNNNNNNNNNNNNNNNNNNNNNNNNNNNNNNNNNNNNNNNNNNNNNNNNNNNNNNNNNNNNNNNNNNNNNNNNNNNNNNNNNNNNNNNNNNNNNNNNNNNNNNNNNNNNNNNNNNNNNNNNNNNNNNNNNNNNNNNNNNNNNNNNNNNNNNNNNNNNNNNNNNNNNNNNNNNNNNNNNNNNNNNNNNNNNNNNNNNNNNNNNNNNNNNNNNNNNNNNNNNNNNNNNNNNNNNNNNNNNNNNNNNNNNNNNNNNNNNNNNNNNNNNNNNNNNNNNNNNNNNNNNNNNNNNNNNNNNNNNNNNNNNNNNNNNNNNNNNNNNNNNNNNNNNNNNNNNNNNNNNNNNNNNNNNNNNNNNNNNNNNNNNNNNNNNNNNNNNNNNNNNNNNNNNNNNNNNNNNNNNNNNNNNNNNNNNNNNNNNNNNNNNNNNNNNNNNNNNNNNNNNNNNNNNNNNNNNNNNNNNNNNNNNNNNNNNNNNNNNNNNNNNNNNNNNNNNNNNNNNNNNNNNNNNNNNNNNNNNNNNNNNNNNNNNNNNNNNNNNNNNNNNNNNNNNNNNNNNNNNNNNNNNNNNNNNNNNNNNNNNNNNNNNNNNNNNNNNNNNNNNNNNNNNNNNNNNNNNNNNNNNNNNNNNNNNNNNNNNNNNNNNNNNNNNNNNNNNNNNNNNNNNNNNNNNNNNNNNNNNNNNNNNNNNNNNNNNNNNNNNNNNNNNNNNNNNNNNNNNNNNNNNNNNNNNNNNNNNNNNNNNNNNNNNNNNNNNNNNNNNNNNNNNNNNNNNNNNNNNNNNNNNNNNNNNNNNNNNNNNNNNNNNNNNNNNNNNNNNNNNNNNNNNNNNNNNNNNNNNNNNNNNNNNNNNNNNNNNNNNNNNNNNNNNNNNNNNNNNUUUUCCUCUCCCUCAUCUCUAUUAUUUGGCCCUUCACCCCCUUCAAUCCCUUCAUCUUCUUUUUCCUCUCCCUCAUUUCUGUUACUUGGCCCUUCAUCCCAUUGAAUGUCAUCCAUUUCCCCAUAUCCCUUAAAUAGAUGUGAGACGACACAACGAUUCGUCCUCUGUUUCAGUAAAGCUAGGUCCCUCCUUACUUCCUGCUCAAACUGAGGACCUAAACAUUGGUCCAAUAGUUUUUCCAUCCGUAUGACCUUUAAGUGAAGGACGUCUUUUUCCCGCUUUUCUUGAAACAACUCGGACCUCAACAAGCUUACCACCUUGUUCAACUCAUCAAGAUCACCACAUGAAGAAGGAAUUGACUCUGCCGAGACAACAGCAGGGCGAUCCUGUGGCCAACUCCAAUAUGGCUGUCUCAUUUCCUCUUCACUUAGACAUAGCGCCCGCAACUGAACUGACUGUUUCAGAAUACAGACAAGAGUCAUAUUAAAUCAUUCUACUUCAUAAUUUCAUUCAAUCUUAUCAAUAGUUCUAAGGGCUGCAAACCAAACCUCUUUGCUCUGGAAAAAAUAAUUGUUCAACUUUCUCAUCUCUGGAACAGACGUAGUAGUUCUCCAUCGCAAAAUACGCGGGACAGCGGUCGGAUCAACAACCUUGCAGUAAUUCAGGUCCGCCAUUCUAGGAAUUAAUUCAUAUACCCAAAUCUACACAAUUCACAGGACAAAAGUCAUUAUUUAUGUUUUAAAGAAAAACAAAACAUAACUGACAUGAACAUUAUUACCAUGUACCUGGAAAGCAUACGUGAAACCUUUAAAACUCCAGCCACUCCUUUGCGCUUCACUAUGCUUAUCCUUCUUGCCCUUCUCAUUUCUCCGGCUUGUUCCCGUUACCUUACUUUUCCCCUUCCCUCUUCCCUCUUCAUUUUCCAAGCUUUUCACAUACUUUGUUGGUGCAGAAAAUAGACUGUCUUGGGUUUUGUCAAAGGACACCGAACCCCACGGAUACCUGUUGAACGCAUCCAAGUCCUCUACAAGGGUCAGGUAAUUUAGAUUGAUGUUCAAAUGUUUGUCCCUUCCCAAAACCACUAACUCAGCAAAGUAAACAAGAGGUAGCUUGAAGAUGUCAUCUUCCUCUGUGCACCUCACAAAUGCUUCUUCUAAAGCAUUGCAUGUAAUUCCUUCGUCUAUAAAAUAUCUUUUCUGAAGUCUGAUUUCAUUACUCUCUCCACUGGAAACUUCAGGCACUUCCCCAAAACGAAGCCCUGUGAUCAAACAGAAAUCCUGACGAGUGAACUGAGCAACGUCACACCCUAAUAAGAAACUCAGUCCAUCCAAGUCUUUCACACCCUGCCCCGCUACUCUACGCAACACAACCCCAUGCACAAUCUGUCCGCUAAACUGAAUCUUAUCUAUAUUCAGAAGAUGGCCAAAGCAUGAUGUCUUGAAUUGUUCUAAUUGUUCCGCACUCAACUUCGCUCGAAUUGCAGCUAGAGAUGAAUUUGCAUGUGAGCAGUUGUUCACCCGUGAUGAAUAUACCUCUGCCUCUGGCCAUACCAGCUCCACGUUGGAUCCCAUUUCCUCAAAUACAAUGUGAAAUAACGUGAACAUAUAUACUACCACGUAUUUGCACAAUCACAACUAGUCAACCAGGCACAUUACAACUUUUACAAAGUACAUGAGCAUAUGGAUUACUCAUCACAGGCUUUAACAUCAUCAAAGCAAUAUGACAAUUUUUGUGCAAAUACCUGUUAAUGCAAUGAUUAUGUGAAUUACAAACAAUUUCACGUGUUUUAUUUAUGGAUCCAUACUCGUGUGAGUGCAAUGUAGGCAAGUUCUGCACUUCACACACAUGACAAUUAUUGUCAUCUCAUACACAACCCAAAAUAAAUAAAUAAGAAAUAUAGUGGAAGGAAGCAAAGCAAAGCAUGUACUCUGCUAUCUGCUUGCUAAGCAAUUGCCACAUCCUUCUUUCUUUCUACCUUUUUCUUCAGUCACCCACAAUCGUCAUAGAUCAACCUUCAUUUCAAAUGCUUUGCACUUUUAUUCAUGAGUUUAUUAUUAUCUGUUCUCAUUUCUCAUAGGCAAAUUUAGUAACAAAUGAAAUAAUAUUUAUUUCACAAAAUAUAUAAAUUCUAGUGCCAGAGAGGUACUCUUCACUCUGCACUGCUUCAAAUGUGGAAGGUUUUGAGAUGUUAUUGACAUGUGAUUGACUUUAUUUUCAUUCGUUUUUUAACAUAUACCCAAGCAAAAAUUAACAUGCAAUUGAAGCACAAAUAAGAGAUGCCAAAUCCAACAACAUUGAUGGUACAAAUUGGGGAAAACCAUUACUCUAACCCUAAACUCAAAUUCCUUACAUUACUCAUCAAAUGCUUUGCAGUUCUAUUCAUGAGUUUAUUAUUAUCUGUUCAAAUGUUUCUCAGGCAAAUUUAGUAACAAAGGAAAUCAUAUUUACUUCAUAAAAUAUAUAUAUAUAUAUAUAUAUUCUAGCGCCUCUUCUUAAUCUGCACUAUGCACUGCUUCAAAUGUGGAAGGUUUUGAGGGCCUCCUCCAAUUCAACACCAUUAUCUUAUUCAUAUCAUUAUUGACAUGUUAUUCACUUGUUAUUGACUUCAUUUUCAUUCUUUUUUUAACAUAUACCUAAGCAAAAAUUAACAUGCAACUGAAGCACAACGAAGAGAUGCCAAAUCCAACAAAAUUUAUGGUACAAAUUGGGGAAAACCAUUACUCUAACCCUAAACUCAAAUUCCAUAAAUUACUCACCAAAUGCUGGUUAUUGCAAGGUGUCUGUGUGGGGUCUUUCUGUUUCUUUGCUCCACAAAUGGAACCUACCACUUCCAACGAAUACAGCUUUUCCCCUUCCCCUUCCACUGCUUCGCCUCUUCACUGAUUUGGAAUCCACACCUUUGCCCCUUCUACUCCAAAUAAAUACUUUCUCGGGGUCUGGAGAACGGAGUGGCGAAUCGUUGCCUUCAACUGUCGUUAGCCGUUGCCUUCAUUGGGUAUCUCAGACCUCUGUGUUUUAGAGAGAUGAGUUCUUUCUGUUCAAACUUCGAACUUGCCUCUUCUUCUUCUUUUUCGGACGUGUUUCCCUCUUCUUCUUCUUUUUGGACGUGCUGGAUAUUCAAUUCGGGUUUGGGUUCCUUACCUACCCAAUUGUGAAACUUUAACUCAAUUCUCCCCAGCCCUUGGAUUAAUCUGAUGGCUAUAAAGUGAACCCCUUAUAACUUACCCCUUAUAACUUUCCACUCAUUAUAGUCUUGGCCAGGUAUGGCGGCCAUGCUAGUAAGUGUUGGGUCUUUGACCCAACUUAAGCUAAAUGGGUCAUAAGAUGACCGAUCAUCUUAUCUCAUAAGGAUAUAUAAGUCAUGUUAUGAUUUAGGAUUUUAUAGGGUUUCCUUUGUAAGAGGUAAGAGAGAAACAAGCUCUCUCUCUCUCUACACAAGGAGGUCAGCCAUAGCAAGGGAAAGGCUCCUAGCACUCUCCUCUCUCUUAUUAUAUCAUCCUUCCAAGGACAGCUUUGGUAUGGUAAAGUUGGAGGUUGCACACUUUGUGCACUUUGGUAAGAACUCAUCCAAGGGAGCCAAGAUUAAAUUGGUUAGCUGUUGGAUUAAAUUGGUUAGCACGAUUCAACGGUUAAUAGAUAAAACUUCACAUAAAAGUCAUAUAUAAGGCCCUCACUAUAGAAUGACUCGUUAGUUUAGUCUCUUGUUACAUAUCAAAUGUUAGAGAUAUUUUUUAAUAAGGAUCUGCCAUACCACAUAGUUGGAUAAGACAUUAUACACGGCUUUUGUAAGAGCAUCUCCAGCGCUCCAAACUAGCCCAAGCAGCAGGGGGGCCUAAGUCUAGGAAGCAGCUCCAGCUCGCAAGAUUCAACCCAGGCAAGGUGUGGAACCCACGAGGAGAUCUAGCCCGUCACCUUGCCUUUGGGUUUCAGUCAAGCUGAUGUCAACGAAAGAAUUUCAAAUUUUUUUUACCGUUACAAUGUACGCGCCAACGAUAAAUUUUCUUUGGAUUUCUUGCAUUGAUCCACAGCUACCAAAAACCAACAGCUACAAGCCACGUGGCUUCUCCAGGAGCCUCCGAUCCAAAAAUCAUGUCAAAUCUAACGGCAGUCCAUUUUUUGGCUAAAAAUAUCAAAAAAUUAUGGAAACAUGUUCUAUAAAUUCCUACAAAUAUUAUUCACUUCCCACACCAAAUCUUCAUACAAAUUCAUAUCCUUUCAAUAUUUUUCACUUUCCAUACAAGAUUUUCUACUACUAAGUUUCGUUUGUGUAAAAAUACAAAUGACCUCUUCUAUCGAAGCCGGAGGCGCGUGUACAACCGUGGAAGAUAUUUUGUUGCGUGAGUGUUGGGUCAAAGUUGGUCAUUCCCUGAUCACGGGCAAUGAGAUGAAGUCCUCUCGUAGGAGUUUCUGACAUCGCAACGAAAGUAAGAUGUGAUAUGAAAAUGUAAGGAAUUUGAUGAGAGGAAUGGGAUUUGAGGAGUUUGAUGUAGGAAUUGAUGUAGGAAUUGAAUUUGGGAGGUAUGUAUAUAAGAUUUGAGGGUAUGUGUUUAGGGAUUUUGAUAAGAGGAUUUGAGGAAUUUAGAUUUGAAGGAUUUGGAUUUGGGGAAUUUAAAUAUGAGGAAUUUGAUUAGGGUUUGGGUUUGAAUAUGUGAAAUUUGAUAUGAGAGUUUAGAGACAACAGAUGAUCGAUUGCUCUGAUACCAUGCUAAAAUAUGAUAUGGUUUGAAUACUUUAGGUUGAGUUUUAUUCUUUUCCAUAAAAAGGUAUAUAUAGGAGUUUACAUGAGUGCUUUACAAAGAAAUAGAUACAAUAAUCAAUUAGGAUAAUAUCUCCUAAUUAUACAAUAAUUUGUCAACUAUAUAGAAUAGGAAAGUAAAUUCCUUAAUUAAUCAAGAAAAUAAAUCUCAUUGAUUAAUUAGGAGACUAACGUCAACAUUUAUAAGCCAUAAAAGAGCAGAAAAAGAGGUACUUAGGAGAUUUUAUACGUCGGACUAAGGUAAGCUUAAAGGACUAUAUCAAAAAAAUAAGGGACCAAGAAGCAAGACAGAGAAGUUGUUAUGCAAACCCAUUAAGUUUAGCAGUGAUGAAUUUGUAAAAAUCAUUCUAGUGGAUUCUGCCUUCACUAUUGAGUUCUUAUUGAGGUUCUAUCUGAAAGGAUCUGGACAUGAAGGAGACCGCUUAUUAAACAAACCGUGGAUGUUUACAGCCUGACAUGUGGUUGCUUGAAAAUCAGCUCCCAUUCUUUAUUCUUGAGGAUCUUUAUCACACAUACAUAAUAACCGACUCUUUUAGGAAUUAUUACAGUACUCAUGAUCAUGAGAGGCUUUCAAUAAUUAAUAUUUCUAAGAAUUUCUUCACAGCCGGAAUAUUGAAUUUGGAGGGGAAGGGAGACAAAUGGAACAGAAUAUCAUCUUCUUCUAGUGUUGGAAAUUUUAUAUUAUUUAAUAAUAUUUAAUUUCUAUUGUGAAUGAAAAAUAAGUUUCUUUAAGAAACGUGUGUCUUAGGCCAGUUUUUCUAACUGGUCGGCUUCCUUAGAUUUGUGCCUAUUGCUUUUCAAAGUAUAAUGAUGCAAUGGUUGUAUCUCGUUCAGGCAAAUGGAAGGUAUAUAGCAAUUUAUAGAACAAUACAGUAAUCCAGAAGAAAUAUUAUGAAAUGAAAAGAAUAAAAAGUAAAAAAAGAGAAAGAAAGGAAUUCCCACCUGCAAUGUAUAUGUAUGAAAGGAAGGACCAAGUUUGUUUUAAAAUGGUAAGAACAAGUUGAUUUUAAAUUGGGUUCAGAUCAACUCAUAGAUUUCUUGCCUUUUCUGUUCUCCUUCCUUGGACAUGAACUGUUUAAUCUUGGACUCUUCCCCAUCAUGUUGGGCCUGUCUUCUUCUUGAGGAUUGUAUAGGCCUAGGAAAUGCUUCGGGGUAGUUUUUGUGUUUUGGGCAUUGGGACCCAACUUCACAAAAAGAAAACAAAUUUGACCAAAACACAAAUUUGAAGGACAUUGAAAUUGUACCCGUAGGAUAGAUUAAAACACUAUAAGGGAGGUAAAUAGUACGUUUACAGAGUUUAAGUGUAAUAAAGGAAUAAAAACAUGCCCAGAGAAUUGAUAAGUGAUAUCAAUUCUUGAAUAUACGUGAAAAUUAUUUUAUGUGGUUAAACCCCACCUCUGGGGAAAAUCCACGGAACUUCUUAGUCCAACUUCUAUCACUUAUCCUAGACACAUUCUAGAUAAUGUUUGCCAACCUCUUCGUAACUCAACUUCUGUCACGAGAUGAUCUUUCAACACUUUAUGUCGAACGCAAUACUGGUCACGAUUUCUUCAAGCUCGCCGGAGUUCUUCCAAUUCUCCUUAUAUUGAAUCUGAUACUAGUCACGAUCGAUUCAAGCUCAUCGGAGAAAAAUCGCCACAACAAUCUUGGUGCCCUCAACCGUAUGAGUCACUGAACAUGCAAAUGAAUACAAUAUGAAUGAUAAAAGUGUUUGAUAAAUCACCAAGUUAUGGAACACUUGAUGAUUUAUCUCAAAUAAAAAUUCAGCUUUCCAAAGUUUAUGAAUUGAAAAUAUGACCGUUAAAGCUCUCUAAACAAAGAAGACGAAGGUCUUAUUUUAUAGACUUUUACUUUACAAGAAAGAAAACACGUUGAAAACCAAAUCUCCAAUUUCCAAGGCUUGACAGAAAAUCACAAAAUUAUCUUUCCUAUUCUAGAGAUUGGUCACAUGAAGUCCAACCAAUAGGAAAUGAGAUAUUUAAGAAAGGAAGAUUUUGAUCAAUAUCAAUAUCAAAUGAAUUCUUAUACGCCUAGUCAAUUGUUAUGGGUAUCUUGACUCCUUGAUAUUGUGAUAUGAUUGAAACAUGAUUUCCACGUUAGAAAAUUAAGGGGAUGUUAAAACAUGAAGGUAAUAGGAGAAUCAAAUUGAUUUGGGCCAAAAUUGCCUAAAAAGAAAACACUCCUUAAUAAACUUCAAUUUACUUUUAAAAAUAGUAAAACGUGAUUGAAUCGUUCUUUAAAACAAUUCCCUAAUAUACAUGCAUGAUAGUGAUAUCACUUACCUUUGAAUCAGAUGGCUUUCACGGGUCAAGCCACAAGUUUUUGUCUUGGGGAUUGCUGAGCUUCAUCAAUCCUGCCAAUGUCAAUUUUGCCCCUAAGCUCUCUCAAAGCACGUUUACAACCUAUGCUAACAUAUAUUAGAGUUUAUGUUAGUAUCAAGAAAAUGCCAACACUAAUUUCGUAACACGUAGAAAUUGUUAGAGAUUGAAGUUUUUAUCAUUUUUUCUUCCAGACUCUCCACCACUCACUAAUAUAGUUUACUCAUGUGAUGAGUUUACAAAACCUAUUUCUCUACUCUCACAAAGACUAUACUUAGGGGGGUGUAUUCAAUUAGGAUUCUAAAGCGUUUAAAAAGAUUUUGUUUAAGUGCCAGCUUUCAUAGAACUUGAUGGAACUUUAUAAUUCGUAUAGAACUUGAUAGACUUUCAGAAGACUUCUGUAUAAUUUUUUAAUAAAACUUUCUUAAGCUUUCAUAGAACUUGAUAGGCUUUCAUUCCAAACUUAUGUAGAUGGUAUAUUUCAUUUUAUCCCCAUCCUUGACAUUUAAAGAAAGAAACUUGAAUUUUUUCAAUCAAAUUUGUUUUUGUUACCAAAGCAGCAAAAACAAAAAGUACUUGUUUGCGAUGGAAGAACAUAUGCACAGUUCAAAAUGAAAAGAAUAAGAAGCAAAGUACCUAUUUGACCAAUGAAUGCUGUGUCAACUAGAGAAGCAAUUGGAUCGGCUGUCAAAGCCAAUGCUGCAGGCAAUGCAUCGAUGGUCCAAAUUGCAAUAAAAAAAUAUUUUGAAUAAUGGCUCUUGCAGACAAAGACCACAUAAAUUCUGAACUGGUCUAGCUUGAAUAAUAAGGUUAGAUUAGCCAAUUGAUGAGAUUAAAAGCAAAGCAAGUUGAUGAAUUUAUCAUCAACUAUUUAAUAACCACAGUCCUGAUCUCUUGGACCCCUGUAGUCCAAGAGAUUUAUGGUCACCCACCGUUGGAUGUAAAUUCAACGGUUGACUUGAAUCGGGUAAUAAUCAUUUAUGUCAUAUUGCAUUUAUAUAUAUCAUUUUGAACCAUUGGAUUAAUAUCCAACGGUGGGUGACCACAAUCUCUUGGACUCCUGUGGUCCAAGAGAUCGGGACUGUUAAUAACCAAUAGAGUAUUUAAACAUAAACAACAAUGUUUGAUCAACAAAACAAAUAGUCCAAAUAUCAUCCAAAAAACAAUAACAAAAAAUCAAUCAUUCCAAACAAACUAGUCAUUCUCAAAAACUCUCAAAAAACCCACUCAUUCCAAAUUGUAGGAUAUCCAAUUUGAGCACUCCUCAGGAGACAUUUUCAAAAAUGCAUCCUUUUUUGUGUUACUAUGCAACAAAGAGAGUGCUUUAUAACGAGCAUGUUCAUCCAAAUUUGGGGUCUCCUUAAUGGCAUCCCAUAUAUAACUCCGCUGCUCUCUCUCUUUUUCCCUUUUUGCCAAUAGGUUAUGGACCUCCCGGAAGUCGAUGACAAUUGAAUCAAUGCUAAGGCUAAUUCUUCCCAUAGCUUGCUGGGUGGUCACAUUUGAGAUAGCAUUCCCUUCCAAAUAUGUUCUAGUUCGUUUCCUCUAGUAACAAGCAUAAAUCCUAGUAACAAGCAUAAACCCUAACCCCAACCUAUAACCUAAUAACAAGAAGAAAACCCAACGAGGUAUUGAUCAAAGAAAAAUUAGGGAGCAUACCUUCACAGAUGGAGGAAGGAAGCUGUUCGUCUUCGCAGAGAGAAAAUCUAGGGAAAGAGAAAAACGUCUUAUGAAAUACUUGGGGGGGAGGUUGGAUUUAUUUUGGUCUUUUUUAUUUAUAACUCUCCCCUUAAAACCUACGUAAAUUUAUCACUUAAUGAAAUCCUUCCAAAUAUAUGACCUUUCGAAUACACCUAGAUUUGAUUCAACUUUUUUAUAAUCAUAAUUGAAUACACCCAUAUUUGAAUGGACUUUUUAAAAGUUCAUAUAGGUCCGAAAUGAAUAUACUCAAACUUGUAAAACCUCUUUUAAAGUUUGUAUAAAUCCAAAUUGAAUACACCUGGAUUUUUAAAAUCUUUUUAAACACUUUAUAAUCCUAAUUGAAUACACCCCCCUUAUUCUCAAAAGACUAUAUUACUUUACCUCUAUCUCUGUGAAAUGUAAAAAGUUGAAACUUUAAUGUCAAACCUCAACAAAAGAUGAACUUUCAUCAGUUACGUUGAAUUUGGAUUUGUUGAACUUAAGUGGUUUUAUUUUCUUUGUCAGUGUUUGAUGACUUAAUUUGGUAUUUAUUUCUUCUUUUUUUUCCUUGGAAAUGUGUUCCACCAACGUGAGGAAGAAAAAUAUGCACAAAUUAAUAUAUUUAAUAGAAGCCCAAGAUUUCGGAUGCAUAUAAUUUCUACAAAAAUCUACAAAGUUUUUUACUUUACAAACUUCUUAUGUCUACCAAUUUCUACUAAAAUUAAUUUCUCUGUGGUGCUCAAAUUCAUCAUAUGUGUGUCGUUAAUUUUAUUGAAAAUUGGAAGUUCCCAUCAUUUUUGUUUUUUGGGAAUUUUCUGAACCAAGGAAAAUCAAGUAAAAUUAAUAAAGCCUAAAUUGGAAAGGGAAAAUAUCUAGAGGAUGCAUUGUAGGAUUGCUCAUGCCAAUAAUUGUACCCUCUAAAUAUAUAGAGACAUAUUUUUUUUGUUUUCAUGACAUGUGGUCCUAAAAUUAUUGUGUAAAUCUUCAAUCCUGAACGAUGCACCUAAAACUCAUCCACCCAUUCUCAGGCCAAUUAUUGCACCUAGUGGGCUCUCGACCCCCUCUCAAAUUUAACCACAUAUUUUAUGGACCAUCCAGCUGUGAGGUACAUUCCCCCCACAUGCCACAAUUGUAUAUUCACAAUUACGUCUGAUACAUCACAUCAUGCCACUUGCCUCAAAUGAAUUUAAGUGAGUGAGGCAGUUGGAAGUAAUUAAGCUCUAUAUUGGUGGGUGGAGUGUUACUUCUCGGUUCCCCUCAUCAUUCGUCUAUAAAAUGGUGAAGGCAGUUGCUAUUGUUACCAUAAGAGCCAGCUCCGACUUCCUUUAAUUUCUUGCUUCAUAUCCACUAGCUACAUCUGUUACCAAGUUAAUUUCAGUUCUAAUGGGGUUUCAUCUCCCACUCAUCUUUGCUCUUCUCAGUGUAAGCUCUGCAAUUUGAUUAACUUUUCCAUUCUCUCUCAUUGUACUCUAUAUAAACGAAAGUUUUGUGUUCCUAUUGUUCUCUCCGAUUUUAUUUAGUACGUACUUAAGUGUCGUCCACUAAUUAAUUAUACUUUGUGAUUUGAUUUUAAUUUGAGUUUGAAUUAAUGUUGCAGCUAGCAGCAGUGGCACUGGCAAACCAUGCUGCUCAACCAGCACCUCAACUUUACUGGAGCUCCGUCCUGCCAAACACACAGAUGCCAAGAUCUAUCAGUGAACUUCUGCAUCCUGGUUUGUGUUGAGCUCUUUAGAAUCUUAGAUAUCUCUUCUACCUGCCAUUUUACUAAAAUAUGUUCCACCACAUAUUUAUCAGUUAACCAUUGUCAUUACAUGAGUGACACAUAUUCACAAAUCGGCUGAUCACUUAUUUUCCAUUAUGACUUGAUAUAUAAUUUGCAGACUCCACAAAUGAAGAAAAGAGCACAAAUGACGUUGGCAAACCUGAAACUUUCCCAUUGGGCAAUCAACAUUACUCCAGUCAAAAACAUUAUGGAGGCAUACCUGAAACUUCCCCAUUGGGCAAUAAACAUUACUCCAGUCAAAAACAUUAUGGAAGAGGCAAACCUGAAACUUUCCCAUUGGGCAAUCAGCAUUACUCCAGUCAAAGACAUUAUGGAAGAGGCAAACCUGAAACUUUCCCAUUGGGCAAUAAACAUUACUCCAGUCAAAAACAUUAUGGAAGAGGCAAACCUGAAACUUUCCCAUUGGGCAAUCAGCAUUACUCCAGUCAAAAAAAGUAUGGAAGAGGUGCUUCUCCAUCCGACAAUCAACAACUCCAUUAUAAAGACUUAGCUAUUUUCUUCUUGGAGAAGGACAUGCGCCCUGGCACAACAAUGAAGUUCCAAUUCCCUAUAAAUUCAAACACGGCUACUUUCUUGCCACGAGAAAGCGCUCAAUCGAUCCCCUUCUCCUCUAACAAACUGCCAGAAAUUUUCAACCAUUUUUCAGUGAAGCCAACAUCUGAGGAAGCCAAAACAAUUAAGCAAACAAUCGAAGAGUGUGAAGCUCCAGACCUUAAGGGAGAGGAAAUAUAUUGCGCCACAUCUUUAGAAUCAAUGGUUGAUUUUAGCACUUCGAAGCUUGGAACAAGAAACGUUGAAGCAAUCUCGACGGAGGUAUUGGAAAAAGGAGCCACCAUGUCCAUCCAAAACUAUACAACAAUGCCGGGACUGAAGAAGUUGGCAGGUGACAAAGUCGUUGUGUGUCAUAAGCAGAACUAUCCCUAUGCUGUGUUUUUCUGCCAUGCAAUAAAACAUACAGCAGCUUAUGCUCUCUCCCUGAAAGGCGAUGAUGGGGAGAAGGUUAAAGCAGUAACCAUCUGCCAUCUAGACACAUCAGAAUGGGACCCAGAGCAUAUGUCCUUCCAAAUCGUCAACGUUAAGCCCGGAACCAUUCCCAUCUGCCAUUUCAUUUCCACUGAUGCUAUUGCCUGGGUUCCGAACCACAAAUCUGCAUGAUCAUCACUUAGCACUAGUACUGUGCGUAUAAUAUGCCUGUAUAAUUAUCUCCCUACUUAUUUCUGCCUCUUCAUCAUGUGGUGUAAGAUAUAUGUUGAGAUGAAGUUUUUGGGAUUUGUGGUCGAAAUUAACCCGAUCAUGUUUUCUCUUGCAACCAUAUAGACUUCAACUUGUACUCAUAAUAAAGCAUGCUAUAUUUAUGAAGAGAUAUUAAUCUUCAGGCAAAUAGAUAUUAUGAAAACAUAUAUAGCAAUUUAUCCAGAAGAAACAUUAUGAAAUGAAAAGAAUAAAAAGUAGAAAAACAGAAGGAAAGGAAUUCGCACGUGCUAUGCUAUGUAUGAAAGGACCAAGAUUGUUUUCCCUUUGGUUAAUGACUAGAAAAGCUCACUUGCAGAGUGCUUUCUCCGACCAUAGAUGGAAGAGAAAUUUUCUCUUAAUAAUAGCACAAUGAUCGGGUAAUUGUAAGAACAAGUUGAUUUAAAAUUCCUUGACCCAAAAAAAAAAAAAAAGUUCUUUUCAAAUUCAGGUCAACCCAUAGAUUUCUUGCCUUCGUCUUCUUCAUCACGUUGGGCUUGUCUUCUUUUUGCGUUUUGGGCCUUGGAAGUUGGGACCCAACCCAACUUCACAAAAAGAAAACAGAUUUGCCAAAAAUCAAAUUUCAAGUCUCUCCUCCGAUCACUAAUACAGAUCAAAUUUUGGAUUUGAUGAACUAAAGUGGUUUUACUUUCUCUGUCAGUGUUUGAUGACUUAAUUUGUUAUUUACUUUUUUUUUUUUACUUGAUCUUUGUAGGGGCUUUUUUUUUUCCGGCAGCUUAAACGGGCUGGGCUGCCGUAAAGGGUAGAUUGAUGAAAUUGUCCCCUUUGUCUGAAUUCGAAAAUCAAGCCCCAAAAGCGCUUCGAAAGGGCAGUAGAGCCUUAGGAAGCGUUCUGGUUACCUUCACUAAUUAAAACAACAGCAACUUACAGAUGAUUUCUUGAGGCUUACAGAUAAAUUUUCUAGCUUGGCAUGACAUGGAAGCAAAAUCAGCAUGAGUUUAGCACCAAAGAGGAAAAUAUGGCUUCCUAGGGAGAAAUGAGAGUGUUUAAGGUGAGGAAGAAGAGGUUUGCAGGCUGAUUUGGCUGAGAAAAGAGAAAGAAAGAACAAUGUUCUUCCGGCAGCUUGACAAAGCUUCUGACAGAUGUGAAAGUCGUCCGCCAGAAGAGGAAAAUGGAGAAGAAGGAUGAAUAGUGCACGAAAUUGGUGGGUUCUUGCAGGUAAGAGAGAAAGCUUGCUCUCUGAAUCUGAGUUGGUUUUGGUUGGGUAGAAGAAGCCCCCUUUUAUAGCUGCGGGAAACCAUCUUUUUCCAAGAAACCCUAAUGGUUUCUAUCCUUUUUGGCCAAGCUUUUCCCUUCCUUUCUCUUCUCCUCCCUUGACUUUUCCUAUCUUGGUGAAAUUUCCUCUGCCUAUUUGCACAAAAUUAGAGAUUUUGAGGAGCUCAAGGCCCCUUUCCCGCAGCUGCCUUAGUGGAGAAUCCCCAUUUUCAGUCAUCUUUCUUCCUUCUUUUCUCCCAUCUUCCAAGGCUAGGUUUGAUGAGAGAAAGAAAUGGAUAUGCACACUGGUUUGAAGGGUGUUUUUCCUUGAAACUUGUUCUCUCCCAUGUGCUGGAGCUUCCCAGCAGCUUACACACAUAGAUAUUUUGGCUUUCAUCGUGGCUUUUGUUUUCAGCUAGGUGCUGGAGAUUUUGCAUAUAUUUUCUUGAGUUGCUUGGGCCUUCUAGGACAAUACGUUGGUUUAUCAAGUGAAUGGGCUAACUUCAUCAAUUGUUGGGCAAUUUUGGUUGAGUUAAUGGACUAUUUUGGUUCAAGUAAUGGACUAUUUUGGUUGAAAUAAUAGGCUAUUUUUCUCUCUUUGUGCUCACCCACAUAUUUGGGCCUAAAAAAUGGGCUUGAGUUUCGGGGCUCCCAAGCAACCCCGGGACUUCCAUUUCUCGGCCCAUCAAUGAGCCUCAUGUCAACUUAUUACCAUCCAUACCACAACCCACUCAAGCAAGCCUCAGGCAUCUUGCGUGGCUUGGGCCCACGUAAGCUCGUAGUGGCAAUGUUGCUUAUUUGCUUGACGUGGCAUGUGUGCAAGUGCAUAUGACGAACUUUCGCGUGCCCAAAUUGAGUUUCUUCUCGGUAGGGUAUCGCAUUGGGCCGAGAAUUUAAUUGGGUAGAACCGUGGAUUUUUUGGGCCUCAACAAUCUUAUAUAUAUUAGUUUUCUUUUUUUCCUUAAUAUUCACCACCUUUCUGUUGCAUAAGUAUUCCAGUCUUAGCGGGUUUCCAUCUACCACUCAUCUUUGCUCUUUUAAGUGCAAGCUUUUUUAUUUUUAUUUUUUUAUGCACAAGAUUAGAGGGGAGGGAGAUUUCUCAAUGUAAGCUUUGCAGUUUCAUAAUUAAUAUUUCCAAUAUCUCACUGUUAGUAAAAUAUGGAACGGGAAAAGUACGAAUAAAAUACACACAUGUUUUAUUUAGCAAAAUUUUGACAAGAUACAACUGAAAAGUUUGGCCACUAUAUAAUAUUUUGAUUUAAUUUUUUUUAUUUUUUUAAUAUAUAUUAUUUUUAUUCAAUAAUAUGUGAAAAAUAGGUGUACAAUAUAUGAAAUUUGUAUGUAUUAUUGAAAAAUUCGUAAAAAAAAAACAUGUUAUUAAAUGUGAAAAAUAUGUACGUAUAUGUAUAAAACAUGUAUUGUACAUUACUUUUUAACAAACUUGUAUUUUACCUAGUCUUUAAACCGUAUAUGGAAAACGGAAGUAUUAUUGAAAAAUACAUAUGUACGUAUAUGUAUAAAACAUGUAUUGUACAUUACUUUUUAACAAACUUGUAUUUUACCUAGUCUUUAAACCGUAUAUGGAAAACGGAAGUAUUAUUAAAAAAUACAUAUGUACGUGUAUAAUAUGAGUAUUAAACAAAAAAAUGUGCUAAGUACUUAUCUUUUAAUUUAAUAAUUCAUUUCAUUUUGUGAUCUCAUACGUAGUAAUGAGAGUUCAAAUUAAUGUUGCAGCUGACAAUGGUGGCUCUGGCAAGCCAUGCUUGAUGCAGGAGUAUAGGGGUGGAUCAAGAUAGAUAUUUACCAUGUAAUUAGUUAUUUCAUGAUAUAUUGUUAUUUUCUUAUUUAGGUAGUUUUAUGAUAUCUUUUAUUAUUUAUGUGGGAUUUUAUAAUUAAUUAGUUUACUUUUGGACCAAGUAGCCUUGGUGCUCAAGUCUUGUAAAGCUUAUAAAUAAGGCUAAUGUAAUAGUUGUAGGAAAAGAGAUGUCGAUGAUUAAUAAAAUCGUUUAUUUGUGGCAUGGAUUUGCUACGAUAUAUGUGAGUUUGCACUAGCCCUAGAUUUCGGUGCUCGUGUAUGUGGUUGGUGACCUGUGUCCGGAUCCCGAUCCCCAUCAAUGCUGUUCUCCCAGUACCUCAACUUUACUGGAACUCUUUCCUGCCAAACACAAAUGCCAAGAGCUAUCAGUCAACUUCUGCAUCCUGGUUUCUAUUAAGGGACUUUUCGUGAGCUUAUCAUCUACCCAAAUUUUACUCAUCCGACGUAAUUUUAAAAGUGAUUUGAUCCUUUGGCAAAGUAAUCUUGAACUACAAAAAAGGAGGGCACUCGAAUAGGCAUGCCAUUUGGUAUUACCCACCUCUAAUUUCUUUUAAAAUUUUAGUAAUUGAUUUUUAAGAUUAGAAAAUGGGAAAGUUCAAAACCGAAAAAGUUGUUUCAGUUUUGGCAAGUAUCGGAAAAGACUAAAAUUUUCCGACUUUAUUAUUACUAGAAACAAAGUCGAAGUAUUCACCAAUCAUGUGGCCUUCCAAGUGCUCAAGGUUAAGCCAGGAACCGUUCCUAUCAGCCAUUUCCUUCCCAAGUAUGAUCAUGUUGUCUGGGUUCCAACCCACAAAUCUACAUCAGUACCUGAACUAAUCAGUUCUACAUGAAUAUUCAUUCAUGGCAACCUUGGGCUAAGUAUUUGAAUUUAUGCUCAUAAAGCUUUAAUGCUUUUGAGGGCCAAUCGUUGUCUACAUAUGGUAUUGUAGCAUCUUUAGAUGGAAGAGGUCAGGGGUUCAAUUCUUGUUUUCCACUUCUUUAUUUGUUGGUUUAUCGAGUGUAGAGUGGAGUUGCACCUAUAUGUUCGUCUCUCACCCCAUCAUUUACCAUUGAUAUAUAUUUAAUAGAAGCCUAAGAUUUCGGAAGCACAUAAUUUCUACUUUACAAACUUCCUGUGUCUACCAAUUUCUACUAAAAUUAAUUUAUCUGCGGUGCUGAGAUUCAUCAUAAUUUUAAUAGAAAUUGGAAGUUUUCAUCAUUUUUGCUUUAAGUCUCUACUCCACUCACUAAUAAAGAUUACUCAUGUGAGUUUACAAAACAUUUUUUUUUUCUACUCUCUCCUGAAGACUACACUUCUUCUCAAAAAAUUAGAUCACUUCACAUCUUGUGUAUGUGAAAACUAAUGUAAAAAGUUGAAACUUUAUCGUAAAACCUCGACAAAAAUGAGCUCUACUACAAAAUGUUAAAUUUGGAUUCGUUGAUUUAAAUGGCAAUUUGACACUUGAUAGAAAUUUUUACAUACAUGUGUUAGUGUUUGAUCACUUCACAUGUCACUUACUAUAUUUAUUCCACUCAAGUUAGGUAAAUAUUAUUAUCAAACAUUUCAAUUAAUUUGUGAUUUUUUUAUUAUUUAAUCAAUUAUGAAUUAAUGGAUUCUUCUUGUUGUUUUGAAGACCAACAAAAAAAAAAAAAAGGGUAGUGAUGGCUUAUAAUUCUGGUAAAACAACAGUGACGUGGACAACAGAUGUUACGCUGUACUAAAGAUUUUUGAAGAUUCUUUAUUUGAGUUUCUUUCAAGAUAAAAACCAUAUUAUCCACAACCACAAGCACAUCCGGCAGACAAUCUUUGGCUAUUCAUCACAAUUGGGAGACAAUGAAGAAGACAGAAAAUGGAGUAAUUCAGAUGUUACCAGCCAUCCACGACAAACUGAAGUCUGCAAAGCAUUCGUAAUCUAAAAAGGAUGGGGAGGCUGCGCAAUACUUAGCCACGUGUAGGCCAGGAGGCUUUCCAAUUUUAAUAUAUAUAUAGAUUGAAAAAAUAAAAUAAAAAUCAAUCUAUUAUCAUAUAUAUUAUAAAAUAAAGAUUAUUGCUCCCAUGGGCGGUGCUAUGCACAGGACAGUGCCUGCCUAGUCCAAAUUUUUUUUAAAUAAAAAUAAAAAUCUACAUAUGUUAUAAGCUCAUCCAAAAAAAAAAAAAAAAAUAAAAGUGUUGUAAAUUAUAAGGUGGAGCCCACAUGUUGGAAGGCUUUGCCUACAAAAGGGUUCACACCCUCCCUUUGUAAUUAGACAUUGAGAAUACUAAGGAAGACAGAAAUGAAUAGAGAGAAAACAUUCCCUUCUCUCCAUCUCAAUUCCCUCUCCAAUUCCUCUAGAUUUAUAACACGUUAUCAGCAGCACGAAUCGCUUUCAAACAAUACCAGCUGAAUUUUAUGAUGAAACCCAGAUCUCUCAUCCAUCUCUGCUGCUCCACUACUUCAAAAUAAAUCCCACAGAAAAAGAAAAAGCCUCAAUGCUCUCUCUCUCUCUCUGUCUCGCUUGGGAGACUUGGACAAUUCCUCAUCCCCGUUACUGACAAUUUCAACAGCUUCAGGGGAAGCUAGUUUAUCUUCCUCUGCUCACGAAACCAUGACUCUUUCAGAGCCAAACAACAACACAAUAGACAACGCAUGGAGACCAGACUGGAGCUCGUCGGCUAAGGCACCGACGAUCCGACCCUACCCGUAUGGACCUUCCGGAUGUGGUUCCUGGGUCUUGUCUCAUGUGCCCUCCUCUCAUUUCUCAACCAAUUCUACAAGCAGCAGAGCUUCAAAUCAAACAGAUCAUGGCAUCGCUUUCACACCUCCCCAUCUUCCUCUUCCUCCUGUUCACCGCUUUCUAUUCUACAGCUUCGCAGUCCUUCAUCGGCGCAUCCAAAGGCGACAUACCGGCGCUCGCCUCAGAUCCGAACGCGGCGGCUCAGUGGGUGAACUCGAAUGUCCUCGCCUUCUACUCGGCCAGCAACAUCGACCUCAUCAACGUCGGCAACGAGGUCCUUUUUCUCCAACGACCAGGGCCUCAUCUCGCAGCUCCUCCCCGCCAUGCGAAAUGUCCAAUCUGCCCUCUCCGCCGCGUCCCUCGGCGGCAAGGUCCGUGUCUCCACGGUCCACUGCCUCGCCGGAUCGGGAUCCUUCCUUCAAGUGUUUCUCUGUCUUCGACUUGAAAAAGAAGGUCAUGGCAGGCCUAUGUAAAAAUUGCGAAAAGGAAGGCAAUCUUCAACCUUUUCUCCUGUCUCUCUCUUGAUCAAUUCAUGGAAGGCACAUUUGGGUCUUCCGGGGGCUCAUCAAAUGAGUCAGCAAUGUCAAAGGUGGAGGUGGUGGAGCAAGACUACGUGGGGAUGUCAUAUGAGGCAACCUCAUACCCAGCUGAGGCAGAGCUUGUGCUGGGCCUGGGCCUUGGCCUGAGCCUUCGUGGUGGUGGUGCAGGGAAGCAGCCAAAGCCAUGUGCAUGGGGUGAGCGUGGUAGAAUCUUGACUGCUAAAGUUAGGUGCUGAGUUACACUGUGUUCUCUGCUACUGACCCUAAGAGGAGUGCUAGAAACUUCCAUGUUCCGCCAUCAUUUCGCUUUCACUGUUACAAGGCACUGGAGUAUGUUUAAUUGAAAAGUGAGAUACACAGCAAGUUGAUCAGCCUAGUGGAAAGCAAAGGAUUAUUGCCAGGGAUAUGAACACCCACCGAAAUAAAGGGAUAAGUACUCUUUUUCCCUUCGACCAGUUUUUUUUUGUCCCACUGGGUUUUUACUGGCAAGGUUUUUCACGAAACAUAUUCCGUAUCAUUUGUGGUCUCUAAGAGGGAGUGUUGUAAAUUAUAAGGUGGAGCCCACAUGUUGGAAGGCUUUGCCUACAAAAGGGUUCACACCCUCCCUUUGUAAUUAGACAUUGAGAAUACUAAGGAAGACAGAAAUGAAUAGAGAGAAAACAUUCCCUUCUCUCCAUCUCAAUUCCCUCUCCAAUUCCUCUAGAUUUAUAACAAAAAGUAAAUUCUACACAUAUGUUGCCCAUCCAGGUGGUCCCAUAUCUUCUCUUUCCUUUUCUUUUGGCUAUUAGACUUCUUGUUUCUCUCUCUCUCUUUGCUACCCCACAUCAGCAAGUUUCUCCCUCUCUUUUUUUGGGAUCAAAUUCUUCUUCUAUUGACAAAAUCUUCUAUUAUAUUGGGUGGGCAACUUGGCAACAACAUCUUCUCCUCUCCUUUUGUCAACAGCAAGUAUUAUUCUCAUUCUCUCAUUUGCUAUAUAUCUUUAAUUAUAGUUUUAAUUUAAAAUUGAGUAUUCUAGGGUUUAAUUAGGGAUGAAUUAUAAUUUUGGGAUUUUGUUGAAAUUAAUUAGGGCUUCGAUUAGGGGUGAAUUAUUCUACUGCUUUGAUUUGGAAUUUUGUUAAAAUUGAGUAUUAUAGGUUUAAUUAUGGAUGAAUUACAAUUUUUGGUUUUGGUAUUGUUGAGAUGUUAUUAUGAGAAUUUGUUUGAUUUUUUGUUGGUAUAUUUGAUUAAAAUUCUUUCUACAUAUUAUUCAUAGGCUAUCUUUUAUUAUGUCGGAUCACAAUCGGAAUCCCAAGAAAACAAAAAAUUUGAAUAGUGUUGUUUUGUAUUGCAUUGCAUUUACUUUUGGUUUUAGUUUUGCUUUUAGUGUAAAUUACUCAAAUGGUCCUCAAAUUUGUACCCAAUUUACAUUUUGGUCCAUAAACUAAAUUAUUCAUUCAAAUGGUCCACCAACUCUUUAUUAAUCGGUGCUUUGGUCCUAUCGUUAUGUUUUCUAUUAAAUUUAGUCAUGUGAGCAGCACAUGCUACAUUUGUAUGGGUAAAUAAGACUUUUGACCAGUGGCGGAUCCACGUUGGGACAAGAGGGGUCGGACGACCCCUUGGAAGGCUGGAAAUUUGGCAAGGGAGUCCAUGAAAGCCCCCUUGGACAGCUGCUGGAAGCCCCCUUGUAUGCACACAAUGUGCUCGACGAAAUGCCCCAACGAAAUGUCCUGCGCAGCUGUGCUGCGCCUUGCGCGUAAUUUUUUUUUAAAACCAGCCUUGCCAAACGACGUCGUUUGGUCAAGGCUCAGUCAAAUUUUUUUUUAAUUAACCUGGCCUCAAAACGACGUCGUUUUGGGCCAGGUUUAAAAAAAAAAAAACAGAACAGUACACACGCACAGCAGCUCUGCACAGAUUCAUUUUCUCCAAACCUUUCAUUCCCAAUUCCACAGCCCCUCUUCCCAUCCUCUCAAACCCUAACCUCCCAACCUCCCAACCUUGGACAACCUCCAUCAACUCUUCACCGGUGGCCCAAUGCCGAUCACCACCACCUUCUACCGCCGUCCGCCGCCCAUUUUUUAAACUACAAGUAAGUAAGCAUGGAAAAUCUGAUAUUAAUAAUUAUAGUGAUAAUAUAUAUUGUUGAUAUUGAUAUUUUUUUUUUAUGUAAUGAAAUUUAUGGAUAUGAAUCAUAUUGAUUGAUUGAGUUUAUGCUUGAAAUUUAUGGAUAUGAAUCAUAUUGAUAUUUUUUUUUAUGUAAUUAAAUUUAUGGAUAUGAAUCAUAGUGAUAAUCAUAUUAAUGUAGAUUGAUUGAGUUUAUGCUUGAUUGAUAAUAUGAAUUGAUUGGGUAUAUUAAAUAUUGAUUGCUAUUUGAUAUGAUAAUUUGGUAUAUUGAAUAUUGAUUGAUAUGGGUUUAGGGAGUAUAUUGAAUAUUGAGAGUGGGUUAUUGAAAUUUUCAUAUUCAUAUGAUAAUUAGGAUAAAAAUUAAUGAUUGAUUGAAUUAAUUGAUUUGUAGAUUUAUGGAACGAUUCUUUAAAAGAAAAUUAUCUACGGAUAGUUCUUCUCUGUCUAAUCCGGGUAGUUCAAAUGCAAGACCAAUUGAAGUAGAUGAGAUCUUAGCUAAUCUUCAAGCAGACCCUGGACUAAGAACUCGAAUGGCGGAUUAUAGUCCUAAUAUUAGGGAUGAGAUCCGAAGAGCAUAUCUACAAAAGGGACCUUGUCAACCUAGAAGUUAUAAAUUCCCACAAACUAAUCAAUCAGGAAUUAAUAGACGCUUCAUUGCUCAUUGGUUUGAUGAUCAUGAUUGGUUGGAAUAUAGUAUUGCUAAAGAUGCUACGUUUUGUCUUCAUUGUUAUCUCUUCAAAUCUAAUUUUGAUCAAGUGGGUGGUGAUGCAUUCACUGGGGUAGGCUUCAAUAAUUGGAAGAAGGCGAAAGAAAGAUUUAACCUUCAUAUUGGACCGGUUGGUAGUGUUCACAACCAAGCUAGAGAAGUUGCUUACAAUUUGAUGCAUCAAACUACACACAUUGAAACAAUUGUGCUCAAGCAAACAAGCCAAGCUCGCACGGCUUAUCGCACUUGCUUGAAUGCAUCACUUAAGUGCACUAGGUAUUUGUUGCGGCAAGGGCUUUCUUUUCGUGGUCAUGAUGAAAGUGCACAAUCAAGUAAUAAAGGGAAUUAUUUAGAGCUCUUGCAAUUUCUUGCGGAUCAUGAUGAAAAAGUUAAGGCCGUUGUAUUGGAAAAUGCUCCGGGAAAUUUAAAGUUAAUAGCUCCUUCAAUUCAAAAAGAUCUUGUCAAUUCUUGUGCCAAAGAAACCAUUGAUCUUAUCUUGAGUGAUGUAAAAGAUAGAUAUUUUUCAAUAAUGGUGGAUGAAGCACGUGAUGUUUCAAUAAAGGAGCAAAUGGCAAUGGUGUUGCGUUAUGUGAAUGACAAAGGACAAAUAAUUGAAAGGUUUGUGGGGGUUCAACAUGUAACCGACACUACUUCAAGUGCACUAAAGGAAACAAUUGAUGAAUUCUUUUCUUCCGCGAAUUUGAGCUUUUCCAAGCUACGAGGACAAGGUUAUGAUGGAGCUAGCAAUAUGAGAGGUGAGUUCAAUGGCCUUAAGAGAAAGAUUUUGAGAGAACAACCUUGUGCAUUUUAUGUUCAUUGCUUUGCUCAUCAACUUCAACUAGCUCUUGUUGCGGUAGCAAAGAAAAACAUUGAUGUCAACUCUUUUUUCACAACGGCUAAUAGUUUGGUUAAUGUGGUUGGAGCAUCUUGUAAGCGUCGCGAUGCACUUAGAGCACAAUACCAAGAAGAGCUUGUGAGAGCUUUUGAAGAUGAUUGUCUUAUAACGGGGCGGGGCUUAAAUCAAGAAAGGACUCUCAAACGUGCCGGCAAUACACGAUGGAACUCACAUUAUGGUACGUUGAUUAGUAUCAUUUCUAUGUUCCCAUCUGUGGUGAAUGUGCUUCAAAUGAUUGUUGAUGAUAAUCUUAAUGAUAGUUCGGGUGAAGCCUAUAAGUUAAGGAGAGAAAUACAAUCUUUUGAGUUUGUGUUUCACUUAUUUGUAAUGAAAGCUAUAUUGGGAAUAACAAACACUUUGUCUCUAGCAUUGCAAAAGAAAGAUCAAGACAUUGUGAGUACAAUGAAUUUAGUGAAAACAUGCAAGGAAAACCUGCAGUUGAUGAGGGAUAAUGAGUUUGAAGAAUUGGUUGGGCAAGCAUCCUCGUUUUGUUACAAAUAUGAUAUUAUAGUUCCUACCAUGGAUGAGGAAUAUGUAAUUCCAGGGAGAUCAUGGCGUAAUGCUCCAAUGAAGACAAAUUAUCAUCGUUAUCGUGUGGAGAUCUUUAUUCAUGUAAUUGAUGGGCAACUUGCGGAAUUAAAUGAUCGCUUCAACGAGGUAAGUACUGAGUUACUUACUUGUUUGGCAUGCUUGAGUCCAAAAAAUAACUUUGUGACUUUUGACAAACGAAAGCUAGUUCGUCUUGCUCAAUUUUAUCCUUAUGAUUUUUCGGAUAGAGACUUAUUGAUGCUUGAAGAUCAACUUGGUGUUUAUGUUCAUCAUAUGCGUUCGAGUAGUGAUUUUUCUCAAUUGGAAGGGAUUAGUAGUCUUGCGGAAAAAAUGGUGGAGAAAGGAAUGCAUGAAAUAUUUCCUUUUGUAUUUGCUUCUUACAUUGGCUUUGGUUUUACCGGUUGCAACUGCAUCAGUGGAGAGGGCAUUUUCCGCUAUGAAUAUUAUUAAAAAUCCACUUCGCAACAGAAUGGGAGAUCAAUGGUUGAAUGAUAGCUUGCUUGUUUACAUUGAGAGAGAUGUUUUUGCUUGUAUUGAUAACGAAAUUAUAAUGCAAUGUUUUCAGAAUAUGAAAACUCGUCGUGGACAAUUGUAACUUGUAUUAUUGGUUUUGUUAUGAAUUAUGAAUGAAAGUACUAUCUUUCUAUCUUUUUAGCAUUAUUUUCUUUGUAGAAAAAUUUCAGAACUUUUACACUAAGCCCCCUUGGCUACAUAAUCCUGGAUCCGCCACUGCUUUUGACCACUUUAUCACCUAUGUAUCACCACUUUAUAACCUAUUUGGGGAACAUAGGUCAGUUAUGGACGGUUUUACCCUUACAUUUGACGGCAACAUUAACAUAAUGUAACAGUGGGAUCAAUGGAGUGAUUAAUAUAAAGUUGAUGGACCAUUUGAAUGAAUAAUUUAAUUGAGAGACCAAAAUGUAAAUCAAGUAUAAGUUUGAGGACCAUUUGAGUAAUUUACCCUUCGCUUUUAUAUUUGUUGAACUUUUAUUUAUGAUAGAUAUGCAUUUAAGGGUAAGACCCAUUAUGUUCCCCUGGCUAGGUGUAUCUUUUUAUGUUUAUUAAUGAAAUUCACUCGAACUGUUGAGUUUAGUAUGUAAGUUUUGCCUAACUGGCUUUUGAAUCCUAGAACCGCCACUGUUGCUCCAUCCUCCAUGCACUUGCAUGUGCUCUUACAAAGUGUGAAGUAGAUUUUGUGUGCUCCAAGUCAUUGACUAGAGCUGAAACAUGGUUAGCUAGAUUUAUAAGGACCCAUCUCUUUAUUUCCUAGACAUAUACCCAUCUCUCUAUAAAUCUAUAUGUAAAACCUAAUUUCAAACUUAAAUGACCAGUAGGAUAUAAAAGGUCAUAGUAUUCCUAUGUUUUUAUAUCGUUGCCACCAGACUUCUUAUUUUAUUUAUAAUUUAUUUCAAGCAUUUCAUUAACUGCCAUAAUUGUAAUUAAUACUCCAUAUUAAUAGCAUAUCAAUCACCCCAUUUCUUUUGGUUGCCAUUCCCUCUAACAUAUCGCCCCUUAAAUUUGAAAACCAAAAAAAAAAAAUGUAAAUUACAUAUCCAAUAAUGUACCUAUGAAAAAUAUAAAUAUAAAUAUAUACAUAUAAAAAUAUAGGUAUAUUAUUUACCAAAUAGAAAAUAUAAAAACCUAGGUCAGUUGCUUUGUAAUUGAAAUUUCUGUACAUUUUCCACAAAUUAAAAAUAGGUACAUAAUAAUUUAUAGAAAAUAUAUGUACAUUAUUUAUCCAUAGGUAAAAAUACCGAUAAAUGCACAUAGGUGAAUUAUUUACCAAUAUAUUAUUUUUUUGCUAAGGAUUUACCUUAGUUUUUAGUAGAUUAAUUUACCUACCUAGAGGCAUAGGUAGCUUAAAAAAAAUGUACCACCUUAGUUGGUUGCAUACUAAUUUACCUACCUAGAGGCAUAGGUUGCUAAGAAAAAAUGUAGGUAAAUUCAUGUACCUAAACACAUAGGGGUCAAAUAGAGAAUAACAUGUUAUUUCCCUUUGAACAAAUUAAUUUCAAACCAUAACAAUUAUUGAAUUUGGAAAUUGGUAUAAAUAAAAGGAAAUAAAUAAACUAUCAAUUUGAAAAUUAAAAUAAGAAAUGAUCAAGUAGUCAUAUUUGAAAAAAAAGGAAAGAAUAUAUUCUUGGUUUUUAUAGGAACAACGAGUAUAUUCAAACCAAACGGCGAUAACUACACCAAGCUUUAAUUACUUUUUUUUAAGGCCAAAAGUCACUUUUGGUCCCUGUAGUUCGGCAUUUCUACCACUUUUGAUGUUGUAGUUUCAAUUCCGUCAAUUUUGCCAUUGUAGUUUCGUAUUUGUAGCAAUUCAAGGACCUGUUAAUAUUAAUGUCAAUUUGUUUAAUGAUGCAAGAGGUAAUUUCGUCAUCCCAAAAUCCUUGAGCAUAAAAGAUUGUCUGAAAUUCUCCCCAUUUCAUAUUAGGGCUCGAAAUUCAACCACUAAUCCUAAUUUUUGAAGAACCCUAGACCCAAAUGACCAAUUUCAAGCCCUAAUAUGAAAUUACGGAAGUUUUAGAUGAGCUUUUAUGCUCAAGGAUUUUGAGUUGAAGAAACUGCCCCUUGCACUGUCAAAUAAAUUGACAGGAAUACUGACUUGUCCUUGAAUUGCUACAAAUACAAAACUACAGUGUCAAAAUUAACAGAAUUUAAACUAUAGGGUCAAAAGUAGUUGAAGUGUCAAACUAUAAGGACCAAAAGUGACUUUUAGCCUUUUUGUUUCAAUAAGGAAAAAACUGACCUAUUAAAUCCUUGGAAUCUAUACAAAAUUGAAACACAAUUAAUCAACAUUGAAUUGCAGCUAAUUUCUUAAACAAGGGUAUUAUAGGAAUUUAAAAAGUAUAACAUUUAAUCCAUUGAAUUUGAUUAGGAAACUUGAUGAAUUGAAUCCUAGUUAUAUAGUUUUUCUUAUAAAAAUCAGGUUUUAUUUAUAGACAAAUAAAACAAUGGGUUGUAGGUAAGAAAAUAUUAAUUUGAAGGGAAAGAGUCAAAUUUACUAAAUUAAUAAAGCAUAAAUUGGAAAGGGAAAAGAUCUAGAGGAUGCAUUGUAGGAUUGCUCAUGCCAAUAAUUGCACCCUCUCGAUAUUGAAAAACCUAUUGUUUAUUAUUAUCUUCAAUCCUGAAUGAUGCACCUAAAACCCAAGUGUCUCAGGCCAACCAUUGCGCUCAUACCACUUGUUGCAGUACACAUUCACCUGUUUUUAAAGAAAGAAAUUCUACCAAUCGAUAUUUUCUCAAAUUUAAUCACAUAGAUCUAUUAUGGUUAACCAUAUGUACUUUUAUCUGCCAUCCAGAGGUACCUUUUUCCAACGUGCAACAAUUGUAUUUGAUUCACAAUUAUGUCUGAUAUACAUCACAUCAUGCCACUUGCCUCAAAUGAAUUUAAUUGAGUGAGGCAAUGGGAAGUAAUUAAGCUCUAUAUUGGUGGGUGGAGUGUUACUUCUGGAACCCUCAUCAUUCGUCCAUACAGGGGAACAAUUCCCUUCCUUCUAUAAAAUGGGAGCAAUUCUCUCACUGUACUCUAUAUAAAGGAAUAAGUGUCGUCCACUAAUUAAUUACACUUUGUGAGAUUUGAUUUUAAUUAGAGUUCGAAUUAAUGUUGCAGCUAGCAGCGGUGGCACUGGCAAACCAUGCUGCUCAACCAGCACCUCCACUUUACUGGAAUUCCAUCCUGCCAAACACACAAAUGCCAAGAGCUAUCAGUGAACUUCUGCAUCCUGAUUUGUGUUGAAUAGAUAUAGUAUGUUACUGGAGUACGUAUGGCAACAUAUUCACAAAUGUGUCACGUAUUUUCCAUUAUGACGUUGAUAUAUAAUUGCAGACUCCACAAACGAAGAAAAGAGCACAAAUGUCAUGAAUGCUGUUGGGAAUGGAAAGCCAAUUGACCACAAGGGCAAACCUGAAAAUACUGUACUACCACAGCUUGCACGACGCCCAUUUUCUUACAAGAGUGAUGAUCGUCCCACUGACAAUCAACUCCAUUAUAAAAACGUAGCUAUUUUCUUCUUGGAGAAGGACAUGCGCCCUGGCACAACAAUGAGCUUCCAAUUCCCUAGAAAUUCAAACACGGCUACUUUCCUGCCACGAGAAAGAGCUCAAUCGAUCCCCUUCUCCUCUAACAAACUACCAGAAAUUUUCAACCAUUUUUCAGUGAAGCCAACAUCUGUGGAAGCCAAAACAAUUAAGCAAACAAUCGAAGAGUGUGAGGCUCCAGGCAUUAAGGGAGAGGAAAUAUAUUGCGCCACAUCUUUAGAAUCAAUGGUUGAUUUUAGCACUUCGAAGCUUCGAACAAGAAACGUUCAAGCAAUCUCGACGGAGGUAUUGGAAAAAGGUGCCACCAUGUCCAUGCACAAGCACACAACAAUGCCGGGACUGAAGAAGUUGGCAGGUGUCAAAGUCGUUUUGUGUCAUAAGCAGAACUAUCCCUAUGCUGUGUUUUACUGCCAUGUAAUAAAACCAACAGCAGCUUAUGUUCUCUCCCUGAAAGGCGAUGAUGGGGUGAAAGUUAAAGCAGUAGCCAUCUGCCAUCUAGACACAUCAGAAUGGAACCCAAAGCAUUUGGCCUUCCAAAUCCUCAAAGUUAAGCCCGGAACAAUUCCCAUCUGCCAUUUCCUUCCCACUGAUCAUAUUGUCUGGGUUCCGAACCACAAAUCUGCAUGAUCAUCACUUAGCACUGUACGUAUAAUAACCUUUACCCCUGUAUAAUUAUCUCCCUACUCUACUUAUUUCUGCCUCUUCAUGUGGUGUAAGAUAUAUGAUGAGAUGAAGUUUUUGGGAUUAGUGGUCGGGUUGCCUUAAAAACACAGAUUACAGAAACUGCUUGAACUUAACCCGAUCAUGUUUUCUCUUGUACUCGUAAAGCAUGCUGUUGUGGUUCUACUUAAUUUCGUCCUCCCCAAUGUUUGAGUGUUUAAUUGUUACGUUGGAAUAGGCUGCUAAUGCAUGUAGUUAGAGAAGCUUUCAUUUAUAUCAAAGUCCUCAAACUAUCAAGAAUUAAUGCAUCCAGAAACAUAUAUACCAAGACGCAAAACAACAUAUUUUCCAUGCUGUGUCGGUAACACCAAAGCAAACUUCCUUUAUCACAAAAGGACCAAAUUCCAAUACUAAUCUAAUCCAUCAUGUAAAGCAUACAAUCUACAACUGCCUCCCUAAAUUUGUCCAUUGGAUAUAUAUGUCACUUUUUGGUAAUUUGGUAUAGCAGCACCACGUAGUAUGCAUUUAACAGAAAAGUAAACAAAAUUGACAGUAGAACUAUUUGUCCUAACGAAACUGAAGUUGAAAGACCAUGAGAACGAUUUUGAAAAUUAAGGGACUCAAAUGAAAAUUGGGUCUAAGUUCAGGGACCAAUAAAACGAUUAACCCAUAGAUUUUGGAUCCAGUACCACAUCCCAAAGAGAAAACCACAAGUUUGCAAGCAAGUUUGUCCAUACUAACACUACGUACAGUAUGGGCAAUGUGCUAGACUCAUCUCACUUUCUCAACCUAUCCUAUACUUGUCUAAAAGAGUUUCUAAUUUAAUGUACUGAGAUUUACGAAAGAAAUAUCAGAGAAACAAUUUUCAGGCAAUAAAAAAAUGUCUUGGCAAGAAAAUGCACAAUUUGUUACAUAACUUAUUAAAUAUGAACAGUUGAAAGAAAAAAGAAUUUGGAUGAGGGAUUUGCAAAUUCCUAUGGCCCAAUUACCUUUUUUUCUUUGUUUUUUUUUGGUUCUUUUGAUCCAGUAGCAUAUUCCAAAGAAUGAAAACCACAGGCAUGCAAUGCAAGCUCUUUUCCCAUGUUUUCCUCUGUUUUUCUCCUAUCAUGGAAGUGAUUAAAACACACCUCUAAGCUUGUUUUGCGUUUGGUAGCCGAGUGUAAAAGCUCAAUGCAAGAUAGUUUGAGGUAGAAUUUUCUCCUGUUUUAUUAGGACAAUGAUGAGCUAUAUGUGACAACAAAUUGCUUUAAUAAUGAAAAUUAAAAAAGUGUGAUUCAUUGAAUAUUUGCGGGGUUUUGUUCAGAGCUGACAAAGUUCUAAGUCAACACAUCAAAUUCCUUUUUCCAACAAUCGUAUUUGAUUCACAAUUUUGUCUGAUAUACAUCACAUCAUGACACUUGCAUCAAAUGAAUUUAAUUGAGUGAGGCAAUGGGAAGUAAUUAAGCUCUAUAUUGGUGGGUGGAGUGUUACUUCUGGAAUCCUAAUCAUUCGUCCCUACAGGACUCUAGAACUCUCACACUUCUUACAAGGACUACUUAACUCUAUAGCUUAUUGCAUAUAGCAUAUAUAUGCAAACCCAAUUAGAAAUUCUACAACAGAAGCAAGAUCAAUCUCACUAUGCCUUCUAAACAAACAAACAAAUAAAACAAGCAUAUUAAUUGCUUUAAUCACUCUACUAACAUCAACACAGCACACUUAGUUUACUAACAGAUGAUAUAGAAAGGAAAAAAAAGGACCAAUAGGGAGAAAAUGGUGAACUAAGGAGAGACUAAUACUUCUGGUCCUUAGAAGGCAUAACAGAAAUAAUAGAGCACACUGCUUGAAUGCAAGUCAGUAUUAGGAGCAAAACAGCUGCAAUGAAAGAAAUAGUUGCCCAAGGUGUAUUGAAAUAAUGUUGCCUCAAAUUUGCCUUCCAUUUGUUCCAAGGCUUUCUGCAGUAGCUAUUAAGGCGCUCAGAAAGAGUAGCAAAGUAGAAGCUUUCACGAUACACUGCAAUUCCUUUUCCGAGGUUGUUAAUCAGAGUGCACACCUCAUUGUAGUCACCAAGCAUAUUUUUGACAAUCCCAUACUUCAGAAGGAACUCCACAUCCUUUUCGGUGUUCACAAACUCAUCCAUGAGUGAAACAUAAUCACUUAUGUAAUUCUUACGGCAAUGGCACUAUUCAAAGGCAAUGAGGUUAUGGAGUGUGAGCUCUGUGUAAUCGUUUAUUUUUAGUUUUGGAAUUUCUAGAAUCCCAUCGUUGAAUCGUGUUAACGCAGCUUUCCUUUCCUAGCCUACGCGGAAGUCAACUUCACAAUCUCCUCCUAGCAAUUAGCCUUUCCUACUGUAAAUCGGAUUGUAUUCAUGUCUAUAUUAUUUCCUACCUUAAAUAGAUAUCCUGUACUAGUAUACAUAGGGACUUUGUGUAAUCUGUUAAAUACAAGGAAAUAUAUACUCUACAUGGUAUCAACCUAACCUAGGGUUCUCUCUCUCCCCCUUAUUCGAUCCUCUUCUCCUUUAGGUCCACCUCAUGGCUUCGUUUGAAUCCACCAUCUCCCUCCCAAGCCCUAACUCUUCUCAUUUUAUCAAGCUUACUAACUCCAACUAUCUUCUUUGGCUCCGCCAACUCAAACCCUUUUAGUUGGCCAUGACCUCUGGAAAUUUAUCGAUGGCAUUCAUAAACAACCUUCUGCCCACACCUCCACCUCUACCACCACAACACCCACAACCACCACCACUCUUACCGAAAUCAAUCCUACCUAUGCUCAGUGGUACCAACAAGACCAACUCAUUGUUAGCUACAUCACCAGUACACUCUCUGAGUCCAUUUUCUCUCUCACUGUCGGUUGCAUCUCUGCCCGGGAUCUCUGGGAGUGUCUCCAAUGCCACUUCUCUUAAUCCAAUAUGGCCAGUGAAUCUGCUCUUCGUUUUCAACUCAUGGAUUUGCAAAAAGGCUCUCAACCCAUUGAUGCUUACCUUCGUCAUGCUAAGUCUCUUGCCGAUUCACUAGCUGCCAUCAAUUAACCUGUCUCCCCAAAAGAACUUGUCACUGCUGUGCUUCGGGGUUUAGGACCCGAUCACAAAAUGCUCAUCACAGCAAUUCUCAAUUUCUCUCCGCUUCCAGACUUUGCUGAUCUUCGUGCUCGUUUGUUAGCUUUUGAUGCACAGACUCCUCGAAUCUUUCCUGAUCAAAACACAACGCUAAUGGCCACCCAAUCUUCUCCUUACACCACCGGUCAUACUUCCUUCCCUUCUCACCGUGGUUGUGGCUCUUCCAGCAAUAGGCGCGGUGGCUGGUGCAGUAUUGGCCGUGGUGGCUGGCACAACUUCUCAUCUUCCUAGAGCAACCCGUGGAAUGGCUUCCAGCAGCCCUAAUGACCUAAUCAACUGUGGCCUCCUUUUGCUCUAAGUUUUGGAUCUCAAAGCAACUGGCCUUCCUUUCAACCUCUUUGGGCCCAAUCUGCCGCUUCUAGCAAACACUCUGCCCGACCCAACUCAGCUCCUGGUGUCUUGGGACCCGCUUGGUGCACCACAUGCAAUACCAAUCGACAUACUACUACAACAUGUCCUUAUUGCUACAAUGGCCCAGAAUUCUUCCUUUGCUGGGGCUCAAUUCAUGCAGCCACCUAACUCUACAUGGUACCCUGACACAAGUGCCACUCAUCAUAUGACUGGUAGUUCUUCUAAUCUCCAAAGGAAAUUAAAUGAAGGAGUCCUACGAAGGCUCAAGGCUCGAAAGCACACGAUCCGGCUCUGCUGCGGAGCUCACUCAACUACUGGCUGAGGGGGCGCAAAACAGAAAAUUGUGAGUGGACAAAAAUAAAAAUUCAGUUCAGUGUAAACCAACGUAAUAUAACCCCACCGUUUAGAAAACCAUGCAAGAAAUCCAAAUGCAUCUCAAAACCAUCAUAAUCAUCAAAUCAAAAUCAAAUACUGGAUGCCAAGUCCGAAAUCCAUAAAGAAAGCUUUACAAACCCACCAUCCAAAUCUUACAAUCCCACAACUAAACUCUCGAAAGCGUACCCAUUGGCAGUACCAGCAAGGAAGUAUCCUCACCGAGAAACAAGAACAAAAGAAUAGCUAUAUAUAUAAUUAUAUAAUAUAACCACACCUAGUUGUACCGGGAAAACAAUCCAACCGGGGGAUUGUUUGACUAGUCACCAUGGCAGAGUCAAAGUAAACAAAUUCCUCAAUUCACCAUGUGACUAGGGAACGAGCUGUCCAACUGGGGGACCAACUCUCAGCCAGCAUGUACCGUCGAUAGCCUCAAAACCCGUACGUCUGUGACCAGUCCUACGCGUGCAGACUACCCAAUCAAGGGUUUACAGCAACAUCCCAUCAAGGAUGCCCUAGGUUCCCACAAUUCCAAGUAUCUCAAGUUUGCGUAUCCAAGUUCCAAAUCCGGGGAGGUACAUAGGGUAGUGCUUAUAGCACUCCAAAUUGACAUUCUAUACUCAUCACUUUCCACAAUCUCAUCUCAACAACCUAAGUACCCCACACAUAGCCAAACAUAUAUAGAAAUUCUCAAAAUCCAUAUAUACAUACUCAAGAUACUCAAAUAUGUCAAAAUCCAAAAUAUAUUUCCAAUGCAUCAUAAAAAUAUCACUUUUAACAAUUGAAUAAAUAAUAUAUAUCCAAUAUACCAAUUAAAACAUCAUGCAUAAUAUUUCCCAUCAUAAAAUCAUGCAUAAGAUUUGAAAACAAAGUCCACUCACAAGUAGUCCCACACUGCUUGACCUUGAGAGGGUCCCGCCUACUGCGUAUGCGUGGUUGGAGUACCUAUUUCAGAAUACGUAUACGAGAUUAAUAAGAAGCGUUUCGAACGAGAACUUUGAAUUAAAUAUCCUAAUUUCCCAGGUUUCUAGUAAGUGUACUAGGAACGAGACGUUCUAAGGUUCCACUACCCAAUUCGAACCAUGGAAGAGCUUCGGGAGACACUCGGUCAACCGGCGGUCAAAUUCCCAAAUCGGGUCAACUGGCCCACGGGACCCACGACCUCCGUUUUUAAAAUCCGUAAGUUCCUAAAGGUUUCACAAUGUCUAAGAUACUACUAUCACAAGUUUGGUCCGAAACGGACUGUUAGAUCGCUUACGAUCGCACGAUCAGACGGUUAUUGUAAAACGUAAACUUUAAGUUAUUGAAUCAGAACAUCCGGGGCUCCGAUUCACGAUCCGCGAAUUCCUACACGAUCCUAGGAAGGUCUAGAGUAACAUAUAUUGGAAUGGAGUCGAUCCAAAGGUCCGAACAUAUCGAACCUAGACCGGAUAACUCCUAAUAUGUGAGAUUCGUUCGGGGUUCGAACAUCAACCAAAUUGGAAUCCUAAGGUACCUACGUGCUCGUGACAUUAAGGGGAUCAAUUGGGACAAAAAUGCCCCUCUGCUACAGUGCCCACGUGCCACCACACGCGGCGGUAGAGAGUGGGUGUCCAAAGCGAUUUCUCUUCGCCGGAAAAUCUCCAAAUUACAAGCCACUCUCCUGGCUACAGGUUCUACUCAACGAGUGGAACACUUUAUUCAACUACAGCCAAGUCCAAUUCGGACGGCAAGUGGCCGGAAACUCACGGUUUAACCCGGAACUUCAUGGCUUGGAUUGGGCGACCAUCGUCACCAUUGUCGUGGCACAACCUAGGAAAUAGCUAAAAGGAGAGGAGGGCUACCUAUUCCAAGCGAUGGCGCAGCUCGCGGUAGCCGAAAAUGUAGCCGAUGACGUUGGCAGUUUUGGCCGGUUUUUCACGUCGUUGCCAUCGCCGUUUGUCGAGUUUUCGAUUGGAGAAAAGGGGUGGGGUGAGUAGAGGAGGAAGAGAGGAAGCUUUUGCAAGAAAUGACACUUGUCAGGGAGGGGGGGGUUGGGGGAAGAGAGAGAGAGAGAGAGAGAGAGAGAGAGAAAAAAAAAAAAUUUCAGAUUUUCAUCCAAACCCUUUUCGAAAUAUUUACAAGUUUGCCACUAAACUACUUUUGGUUGCCAAAUCUUCGUUAUAACUCCGAUUCAAGCCUACCACGUGUCUACGGAUUCGUCUCAAUACAACCUACCCAAAAAUACCAGUCACUGCCCCAAACUCUUUUUGGGUAAGAAAAUGACCAAAAUACCCCUACCCCAAGGGUAAAUUCAUAAUUUCACUUCAAUAAUUUAAUAAAGAAUUAAAUUUGGAGUCGGGGUGUUACAUUAACUACCUGUUUAGUAGGUGUGGGGUUUUAUACAAAAAGCAUCGAUGUUAUUGGGAGUGGAACCACUUAUUAUAAGUUGUGAUUUAUUUAGUCAAGUUUCCUAUGUGGGAUUUUCUAUUCUUCAACAAGCCCCCUCAUGUGGGACCACCACAUAGUGGGCCACAUGUAAAGCUAAGUCCACAUCGGAGUCAAUCAUUCAAGCCCAAUACCUAAACACCACGUAUUGUGUGAGGGGUAGGGGUAAACAUUCAAGCCCAACAUGUGAACCACCAAAUAUUAAGUAAGGGUAAAGGCUCAAUUCAGGCCCAAUCAAUGAACCCAUUAUGAUAUCAUGUUAAAUUUCAGAUAGACGGGACUGUGGCCCACCACUAGCAACAUUGAUAUUGUCCCCAACUUAACUACAUGUUUAGUAGGUGUGGAGUUCUAUACAUAAGGUCUCGAUGUUUUUAGGAGUGGAACCACUUAUUAUAAGUUAUAAUUUAUUUAGUCAAGUUUCCAGUCAACCUGACUUUGAUACCAUGUUAAGAUUUUAAAGGGACGAACUCUUGGCACUAUUAGUAACAUCGACAUUGUCCCCAACUUAACCACCUGUUUAGCAAGUGUGGGGUUUUAUCCUAAAGGCCUCGAUCUUAUUAAGAGUUGAGUCAUUUAUUAUAUGGAACUUUCUAUUUUGUUAACUCUGUGUAUUCUUCAUCAAUGUGAACACCCCUAAACCAAUCAUACCUGAUACGAAUUGAAACACAAGUUUGUUUUUUGCCUUUGGUAGAUGAGUAGCUAGAAAAGCUCAAUGCACUUGCUCUUCUGCUACAUUUCAAUAUAAGAACAAGGUUUGGAAGUCAGGUCAACUCCUCAUAGCUUCCUUGCCUUUGCUUUGACAUGUCUAUGCACUUCUUGGGGAAGUUUGAAUAAUCCAUUGCAGGCCCCAUGACAACUAAGGAACCAACAUUUUGUAGAAGGUUUUGUCUAUACCUUUUGACUAUAAGUAAAAUCUUUUGUAUCUGCUCUUAUGUUUCGGUGAAGUUUCUAUGUGUCCUUUGUGCCGAGUUUCUAUGCGUCCUUUGUUGAACCAAAAAAUGAGGUUGUUUCUUACUAGAUUCAAAUACUUAAAAGAAAAAAAGAAAUUGUUGUUUCUUAAUGGAUUUUAUGAUGAACAAUAUCAAACUCUCCUCUUAUACGUCUGUUGGUAAAUUUUAACAACAAUAUUAAAACCUUGCAAGUGCACAAAUCAAAUGAUAGUAUAGUAAGCAAGCAAGGGUCGAUCCCACGGAGAUUGUGAUCUAAAGAGAUGUUUAUCAAUGUCACGCAAUGAAAAUCAAAACAAAGGACUUCCAAACACACGCCAACACCAAGGGGGGUUUUGAUUUGUUUUUGUGAAUCAAACAAAAUAAGGAAAAGGAAACAAAAGAGAAUUUAAAUUAGAGUUUAAGAGAAAUUGGUUUAAAAUCAAUCAAGAUCAAUAGCUAGGACUUACUAUCCACCUCCAAACAAUCAAUCAAUCCAUAAACAACAAUAGAUAAUCAAUUUCUAGUAAGCACACUACUACAAAAAAGCAAAAAGACGACGGUAAAUCACCGUCGUGUAUUCGGUUUUUCAAUGGUCGUGGAAUCCACCGUCAUCUUUUCCCUCAUAAACCACGACGCUAAAUCACCGUCGUUGUUACAAUAUACAACGUCAUCAACAAAUACAAAACGACGUCUUUGUACUGCAAAAAGAUCUAAAAAAGCAAUCGAUGAUGAGAAAAGACGACCAACUCUCUAAACAAACCGUCGUUAAAAAGAAAAAAUAUGACACAUAUUAACAGAACAUGGCCGCAAGAUAGACAUACAACGACGAAAAUUAAAAUAAGACGCCGUUAAAUAUCAUUUUCACGACAAUAAAAAAUAUGUCGUCUUUAAAUACAUUAGAAGACGACGUUAUUGAUACCUACUACGUCGCCUAUAUAAAAAUAACCGUCGUAAAAUAAAUUUUCCACUUCGAUUUUUCUAUAAAAGAUGACGUGGAAAUAGUUGUCAGUGUCAUUAUUUACGACGUAUGUAUUUAUAGAGUAGACGUUGAACAACGAAACAACGUCGGUUACAAAUAUAUGAGAGUCGUAUUACAAAAUUUAUACGUCCUAUUUUCAGAAACAAACAACGACGAUAAAUAUUAGACGUUGUUAAAUAAAACAACGUCGAAAACAAAUAAAAACAGACGUGUUUAGUCUGCUAAAGUUCUAAAAAAUAGUCGAGGAUGAGAAUAGACGACCAACUCAAACAAAUCACCGUCGUUAAAAAGGAAAAAUAUGACACAUAUUAAAAGAACAAGGCCGCAAGAUAGACAUACAACGACGACAACUAAAACACUACGCCGUCAAAUAUAAUUUUCACGACAAGAAAAAAUAUGACGUCUUUAAAUACAUGAGAAGACGACGUUAUUGAAAUAUACUACGUUUCUUAUUUACAAACAACCGUCGUGAAAUAAAUUUUCCACUUCGAUUUUUCUAAAAAAGAUGAUGUGGAAAUAGUUGUCAGUGUCAUUAUUUACGACGUAUGUAUUUAUAUAGUUGACGUUGAAAUGCGAAACAACGUCGGUGGCAUUUAUAUAGUCGACGUUGUAUUUAUAUGUAUUCAUUACUCACGACGCACUUAUUAAUAUAGACGACGUUGAACUUCUAAACAACGUCGGUUCCAAAUAAAUGAGAGCCGUAUUACAGAAAAUAUAGAUGGCGUUGAUUAUGAUGAGAGCCGUAUUACAAAUAACGUCGUUUAAUUGAUAUUAGACGGCGGUUAUAAUGAAUUACCGUCGGAAUUCAUUUCGUUCCUCUUCGUUUAUAAAAGAACUUGCGACGUGGAAAAUGUAUGAUGACGUCGUAUUUUUUAACGUUCAGAUUAUAUAUCUCGUUUUUUAGACGUCGGUAUUAUGGGAUUGGAGUCGUGUUAUUUUGAAUUACAUGGCGGUUCUUAAUCCUUCCCCGACGUGAUAUCCUGAAUAAUUGCUUCAUAAUAGCGUCGUGGUUCUUCAUUGUUACGUUGCUUUAAGACGUCGGUAAAUAUGCUGAAUAACUGGUUCACAAUAACGUCGUGUUUUAUUUGAACGUAGAAAGUGAAGAAAUCACAUUACAAUAUAUUACAAAAUUAAUGUCAUACACUGCCAAUUACAUAAGCAUCAUUCAAUCCAUAUAUCUUCACACCCAUCUCGAAUAUUUUGACCGCCUAACUCACCCACCAGUUCAUCAAAUGUGUCAACAUUUGGCAUCCCUCUAGUAAAUGGCUCACACUCAAUUAUCACAUCACCUAAGACUUCAUCACCAAUAACAUUAUUAUAUUCUCUAUUAGGCAUUGAUAACACUACCGACCAACCACGAUGCAUCGGGUCGUCAACAAAAAAUAUUUGUUUGACUUGAGAAGCCAAAACAAAUUGGUCAUUCCUAUGUCCAAUUUUACUCAAAUCUACAAGGGUAAAUCCAAGUUCGUCGACUACAAGACCAGAACUAUCUAUCCAAUCACACCUAAAGACUGGGAUUGUAAACUUUUGGUAGUCAAGGUCCCAAAUUUCUUGAAUGACACCAUAGAAACCCAUAUUUGAGAGAAUUGAGUUUUUAUCCUUGGCACUAGCAACUUGCAUGGUAUGUGCAAGUAAAUAAACUCCACUAUUUUGAGUUGUCCGCACAUCAUCUUGUGCCUUGAUAUUGAAUUUAAUACCUUUAAUAAGAUAGCUCCUAUAUAAUGGCACAGCCAUGUUUGGACCAGCUGCUAGCCACCUUAAAUUUUCUGAUACGCCAUGAUUGUCUUCCUCAAGUUCACUUUGAACCUGCAAAUUAAUCAUAUAUCUUAAUGCAAUCUAACAUAGAAAUAAGAAGAAAAUUAAAAGAGAAAUAUGUUAUUCAACAACAUAUACCUUGAAGCGUAGCCAUUGAAUGAAAGUGUUAUUGUGCUUAUCCUGCAGCCACUUUGUGAUUUAAGGUAUGACAAUCAUGUGAUUUAAGGCCAAGAAGUCUUGAAUCUUGUAAAGAUACAAGAUUUUUAAUAUUUGAAGAAUAACCUUCAGGGACCUUCAUACCAUAGAAAGAAUUGCAAACCUCUCUCUUCUCUGCUCUUGACAAAUUCCAAGGCCCAGGAGGCAAACGAGUACGUCUUUCUCCAUACUCGGGUUGCAAAUCAGUUUUGACCCCCAUGUUCAAUAAAUCUAAUCGAGCAGCAAUCCCAUCUUUAUUUUUUCCAGGGAUCUCCAGCAAUGUACCAAUGAUACUAUCGCAAACAUUCUUCUCAAUGUGCAUAACAUCUAGGGCAUGCCUCACAGGAAGGUAUUUCCAAUACUCGAGAUCAAAGAAUAUUGAUUUCUUCUUCCAACAAACUCUGUCACCAUUUUCAACCAUGUGCAGCACUUCUUCUCCGGUUAAUGGCUCGGGAGGUAUGCCAUAUUCAGGUUUCCCAUUAAAAGCUGCACGUUGCCUCCUAUAUGGAUGAUUGAUUGGUAACCAUUUUCUAUGCCCAAUGUAACAAAUUUUGUGGCCAUUUUCAACCUGUGACUAGGUGUAUCAUCGCCGCAUAUUGGACAAGCUUUAUAUCCUUUAACAACACAACCAGAUAAGUUUCCAUAGGCGGGGAAAUCAUUAAUUGUCCACAUUAAUGCAGCUCUGAGUGUAAAGUAUUCUCCAUUAUGUGCAUCAUACACUCCUCUAAUCCCAUCCCACAAAGAUUUUAAAUCAUCAAUCAAAGGCUCCAAGUAGACGUCUAUAUCAUUUUCGGGUUGUUUAGGACCGGAAAUCAAUAAGGUUAACAUCAUGAACUUUCGUUUCAUGCACAGCCAUGGAGGGAGAUUAUAUGUAACUAAGAUAACCGGCCAACAACUAUAUCUGCUACUUAGAGAACUGUGGGGAUUGAAUCCAUCAGAUGAAAGAGCCAAUCUCAAGUUUCUCGGCUCAUUACCAAACUCAGGCCAUUUAUCAUCAAGAAGUUUCCAAGACGGGGAAUCCGCCGGAUGAGACAUCUGACCGUCAAUUGAUUUUCUAGCAGCAUGCCAAGUCAAACUCUUAGCUGUCUCAUGUGAUUGAAACAUCCUUUUAAACCUUGGAAUUGGAGGAAAAUACCACACCACCUUCGCUGGCACAUCCUCUUUCAAGAUUGAAUCUUUGCCUUCCUUCCACCUUGAGAUACCACAAGUAGGACAAUUAGUUGAAUCCUCAUACUCCUUCCUAUACAAGAUGCAAUCAUUGGGGCAUGCGUGCAUUUUCUCAUAACUCAGCCCCAAUGCACACAAAGUCUUUUUUGCCUCAUACAUAGAGGUUGGUAUUGUAUUUCCUUCUGGAAGCAAAUCGCCUUGAAGUAUCAAUAAUUCUGUAAAACAGACAUCACUCAUCCCAUGUUUUGCCUUCAAAUUAUACAACUUCACUAAUGCCGAUAACUUCGUGUACUUUCUACAACCAGGGUACACUGGUUGAUCUCCAUCCCCAAUCACAUUGGCAAACUCAUACGGAUCGGAACCAAAAUCACCAAAAUCAUUAUCAUCCAUAUCAAUUUCUUCAGACACAAAACUGUACCUACUAUGGCCAUCAUCUUCUUCAACAUUUCUACUAGCAUUAGUAGUUGCUUCCCAAGGUUCUCCGUGAAAUGUCCAAUUCUUAUAGCUUUGGUCAAUUCCAUUAAAGUAUAAGUGAUCCCUUAUAAUUCCAACCCCAAACAACUUCAAAUUAACACAUUUAACACAUGGACAACGGAUAUGUGUUGUAGUUAGAAGAUUUUCUACAGCAAAGUUCAAAAAUGCUUCCACCCCAAACUCAUAUGCCUUCGAUCUUCUAUCCGAGUGCAUCCAUGACUUAUUCAUCUCCGACACUAUAACCUAUUAUCUAUAAUAAAGUGAAAAUACAGGCAAUGACCAUCACUAUAGCAGAUUAUACAAAGAUCUAAUAGCAAGUAAUACAUAACAGAGACGACGGGUUUUAAACAAAAACAGACGUAUUUGGCAUAUAUAGACGACGGAUUUUCAACAGACGUCGUCUAAUAUAAGUAAUACAAACGACGGUUUAUGAAAAAACCGUCGUGUAUAAGUAAUACAACGACGGUUUUUUCAUAAACCGUCGUGUAAUCGUCGUCGUAUGCCUAAAAAGGCGUCGUGUCUCAGUUUAUUUUCAAGAACCCAAAACCCAUUAAGAACACAACAUAUAUAUGAAACCAAGCAAGAAACCAACAUAUACAUGAAGCCAAGCAUGAAAACAAUAAAUCCAUUCCCAAUUCAACAUAACAUAGGGUGAUUAAAAGAUCCGACAAAAUUAAAACCAUUCCCAAUUCAACAUAACAGAUAAUGUAAUCCAUGAACCCAUUAAACAGAAAAUCCAUGAACCUAUACCUAUAAGCACAUUAUUAACAGAUCGCAAAGCAUAUACCUAAAACCCUUUAACAAAACAACCUAAUAUCAUUCAAUGAAUUUACAAAGGGAAGAUAGGGUUUGUACUUACAGGUUGGACGAGCUCACAGAUUCGACGAAGCCUGGAGAGUGCAACUUUUAAUUAGAGCAGAAGUGAGAGAGCGAAUGUUAUGUUGCGCGAAAUCUGAAAAUUUUAGGGUUCAGGGUUAGAAGUAUAAGAAUAAGAGCCAAAUAUAAAAAAAUUUAGGGCGCGCGAAAAUUUUUAGAGCGCGCGCUCUUUAAAACGUCGAAAGAAAAACCAUGGCGAAAGUUCUACAAGAACCGACGUAAAUGUAAUAUUCCACGACGAAAACACUUAACGUAACGCCGUUUAUUUUGACGUUCAUUUUUCGGAUUAAUUUUAAAUUUAUUUUGAAUAUUUUGAUAUAAAGACGACUGAAAAACCACGUCGAAGUUAAGAAAUUGAAAACGUUGUAAAUUAUAAUAGACGACUUACAUAUUAAAAUGACGUCGUUUAAAGUGGAAACCAUGUCGGAUAUUUUACUGCACGACGUAACAUAUGUAUUCCACGACUCAACCACCGUCGUUAACAAUUAAUACCCUAAACCCUUAAAACUAAAUUAUAUAAUUUUAAAAAUUAAGUUUAUAAAAGGGUUUAUGGUUUUACAGCCUAAUAUAUACCCUAUACUACCCAAAAAUUAUACUUUAAAAAUAAACCCCAAUAAAUAACAACCCUAAUCUCUAAACCCUAGACUCUAAACCCUAAACCAUAAAACUAGAAGUGAUUUUAUGACUCAUCAAAACAAUUUUGUUUUGGAUGGUCAUUUUAAAUUUUUUUUAUUCAAAAUGAAUUUUUUCAAGGUUUAGGGGGAAGAAAAUAUAUCAAUGACUUCAUAGGAGUUGACUUUUCAUUUUUCUGAUUUAUUUUAAAUUUAUUUUGAAUAUUUUGAUAUAAAAAUAAUAAAAUAUUCUUAUCACAAUAACAAACCACGUCGGUGUUAAUAAAUUUUAGACGUUGUAAAUUGUAAUAGACGACUAAGUUGUUAAAAUGACGUCGUUUAAAUGAGAAACCAUGGCGGAUAUUUAACUAUCCGACAUAAAAUAUAUAUUCCACGACUUAACCGCUGUCGUUACAAAGUACUACCCUGAACCCUUAAGAAAUUGAAGACGUUGUAAACCAUAAACGACUCAAUUGUUCAAAGAACGUCGUCUAAAUAUCCUUUUACGUCGGAUUUGGUUAAAACGAAACAACAAAAAACGACGGCUUUUGACUUUAUUACGUCGUUGGAAAAGUAUUACACGUCGGUUACGCAAUUUGUAUGUUUGUUUUUUUUUUUAAUUUAAGAAAACCUCAACAAAUUUUUACAUUAUAUAUUAUAGACAAAAUUUGUACAUUAUACAUAAAUAUCAAGUGUUCAAUAAUUCCCCUAUUCCAGGUGAAGGCAAACAAACUCUGACCAUUCAUUCCGGACUUCAUCAAUUGCUUCUUGGGGGUAUGGCGCUUCCUGUUUUCCCUUGGCAUACUGCAUAAACAAUGACUAUUAGGGUUUAUAAAUAAAAAGAAAUUCAAUCACAGACGACGAUAUUUUUCAUAACCGACGUACUAUAUCUAUUCAACGACGGUAAUUUUACAUGACCGUCGUUGAUAAUACAAAAAACGACGUAAAAUGUAUGAAGGUAAUUUCUUCUUACCUUCUUCUCAAACCCCAAGGAAGGAUCCAUGAUGAUGUCCCUCAUGAAGCGCAUCACAUAAUACCCGCAUUCGACAUUGCUGGGUUGCUUUGGUGUCCCUGACAGAGUUUUCCAAAUGGCUGCCUUACGGCCUGGUCUGGCUAUGUGAGAAUUAUAAAUUUUUAUAGCACUGUUCACAAUGUUUUUGGCCUCUUCAUCGACCACACGAUUUCCUGGCAGAGGAUCCAGAAAAUAGACGGUUUCUCUCUUUGCUCUUACAAUCAGCAAGAUCCAAUGACGGCUGCACAAAAUUAAUAUAAAAACGACGGUUAUUUACAAUAACGACGUAUUAUAAUGUUUCACACGACGAAAUAAAGUAGCAAUCGACGACAUUUUACAUUUAUCACGACGAUAAAUAACUACCGACGUGGUUAGUAGUUUCAAACGACUCAAUAAAAUAAAACACCGACGUGGUUAGUUUAUACGCUGUAAUUUAUUGAAAAUCAUAAAAACAAAAUCCUGUUAAGGAGACUAACCCUGGAUUGUAAGGCAUCAGGAAAAUCUGUUCACCGUCAGUCUUUUGAAGUCGAGCUGCUAGUAAGCGUGAUCUGUCAGCUAUUGUGCCAGAGUUGGCACUAACUGUAGCAAGGUCGAUAAAGCCAACCAUAUUGCACAUAUUUGCUCGUUUCAAAACAUCGUGCAAGUGCCUAAAUAUAUAAAAUAAUAUAAACAAGUCAGCACAAAAAAACACACGACGGUUAUGUAUAACAAAACGACGUAUUAUAAAAUUUCACACGACGUACUGAAAUAGACAACGACGUUAUAAUAUAUUUAUCACGACGGUAAAUACUAACGACGUGGUUAGUUAGUUAAGACGACGUAAUAAAUAAACCAACGACGUAUUAUUUUAGAAUGACAAACCUCAUAUAUACAAAAAAACACGACGGUUAUGUAUAACAAAACGACGUAUUAUAAAAUUUCACACGACAUACUGAAAUAGACAACGACGUUAUGAUAUACUAACGACGUGGUUAGUUGGUUAAGACGACGCAAUAAAUACACCAACGACGUAUUAUUUUAGAAUGACAAACCUCAUAUAUACAGCAAUGACAGUGGCUCCUAUUUCUUCCAUGCCUGCAAAUUGUGUAAUAUCUUCAGGCAGGAGGAAGGUAUCGCGCUCUAGACCAAACACCUCCUUAUCAAUUGUAAAGUGCAGGGUCUUAUCCUGAGGCACGAGUGUCGUUUCCACAUAACGACAAAGGGAGUUUAAAGAAGAUGGCGCCUCCAUAUUUGAAUAAUCAACAACUUUAAUAACCUGUUUAAAGAAAUAUAAAAAAUGACGUGGUAAUUCAAUAAAAACGACGGUUUAAGGAAUAAAACGUCGUCUGAAAAGAAUUUAAACGUCGUCUGAAGAAACCGUCGUGGUGAAUAAUUUAUUACGUCUUAAAAAAAAUUCCGCCGUCUAAGUUGUAAACAAACGACGGUUUAAAGAAAAAUAUCGACGUCUGGAAUUUUGAAAAACAAAUAAAAAAGGCAAAGUUAUGUGAACAUACCUGGUCGUCAUCUUCUUUCUCCUUUUCAUCAUGUUUUUCUUCUGUCUUCCCUUCAUCUAUUACGUCGAGAAUGACUAACUCCGUCGUCUAAAAACCACAAAGUUUUAAAAUAACGACGUUUAAUGGCGUGUAAAACAAGUAAACUAAAUACGACGUGGUAUUGAAAUACAAACGACGGUUUAUGUUUAAAAUCGUGGUGGUAUGUAUUUCAAACGACGGUUUUAUUAAUAAUAACGACAUCUAAUGGUUUUUAAAAAAACAGAGAAUUCAAAGUUCAGAUAUGUUACCUUUUCUUCCUGAUGUUUCCCAUUUUUGGCAGUAUCAUCCUCAAAAUGCUGGGAUCUCACAUCACCUCCAGAGCAGCUUGCUUUGUCAGACAUUGGAUUUUUGGGACUUUGGCUAAUUCUGGGUUUAAGCAUGCUUGGAUCAAAAUUGGGAAUUAAUUGGGAAAGCUGACUCAGGAAAUGCUCCCUCUCAGCCUCUACCAAUUGUUUCGUUCUAGCCUCCAUCCUUAAAGCCUCUUCCCUUGCCUUAGCUUCCAUCUUUUUAGUCUCUUCUUGAAGGAGAACUCUUAAACUGUCCUUCAAACGGUCGUCAAAGCUCACUCUCUGUGGUUUGGGUAAAUUGAAAUAUUGCCUUGGUGAGAUCCCAGCACCUACUCCUCUCACUCUGCCUGGAUGCUCGGGGCCCAAAGCCAUGGUCAGCACAUCAUUGCUGCCAGAAACAGUGACUUUGCCUUCCGAGACUUGUUUUUGCAAUUCAUCCUAAAACAAAGAUAUAUAAAAAAGUAAGAACAAAAACACACGACGGUUAUUUAUAUACAAACGACGUAUUAUAUAAUUUCACACGACGCAAUAACAUAUAAAUCGACGUUAUUAUAAUUUAUCACGACGGUAGUUUUUAAACCGACGUGGUUAGUUUUUAAAACGACGAAAUGAAUAAACCACCGACGUCUUAUGCUUUAUUUACAGAUAACAGAGGGAUGAUUCAAUAUUCACACCUUUAACGACCUUGUUUAAAAUAUUUCGACGUAGUAAUUCAAUACAAACGACGCGAAAAUGAACCACCGACAUCUUAUGCUAUAAUUACAGAAAACAGAGUAGUGAUUCCUGAUUUAGACCUUUAACGAUGUGGUAAUAUCAUUCACACGACGCAAAAUAUAACAUAAGACGUAAUAAGAAUUAUUCACAGUUUAAUAAAAAUUUAAAACAGAGUGAGUAGGCUUACAAUUAAUUUUGCUUUCUCUGCCACCUUUGGAUCCGGGAUGUUACCAUGUUUGUCCUGUCUAGCUCUCUUCCAUAAGGUAGAUCGAUCAAUUUCUACCCCAGGCAUGGUUUCCUCCAAUUGAUCCUCCAAACCAGCAUAUCCUUUUCGAGACAAUCGAUGAUUGUACUCAAGUUUCUCCCUAAUCUGUGCAUGUUGAGAAUGCACAGACUCAAAAUCUUUGGAUAACCUUGAAGCUACAAAGGCAUCCCAUUGUGCUUUCUCUAUGAAUUUAUAUAUUUCAGGGGGUUGGCUUAAUCUCUCCCUGUCAUUAGUGUAUGGAAGGAUAUAUUGCCUCGUUAGUGUAGACUUGAAAUCCUUCCAUUUCUUGGCAGCAGAAGCUAACACAGAGCUCUUGCCCCCUUGACCUACCACAAAAGCAAUGUCAACUGCUUCCCAAAUCUGCUCCUUUAUAUCCUUGGAGAUUUGAGCCUAUUUCAUGUCCACAAGUGGAACUCUGGAGCGUGCCAACACACCAAUGUAGGACUGCAUCUCACUAUGUGCUUGGCCAAUUCCUUUCCCCCUUUUAUUGUACUCAACAAUUGGCCUCAGUUUCUGAAGUUUUCUCUUCACAACAUGAGGCAUUGUGCUCAUACCUCGACCAGACUUUGAAUCAUCAGAGAUUGUUGUCGUGCUGGUUCGUUCUGUCUCAGCAGAUGAUGAAGCAAACUUCAUCUUCUUCGAAGGCUUCACUUGAGGAGGUACCAUUCCAAGGUCCUUACCUCCAUUUUUCUUGGAGCCAGAAUCCUUACUUUGGUCUUAGUGAGAAACCAUUUUUACAGACAAAACUGCAAGUGAAAAUAUUUCAGGAAAAGAUUAAGAACACAAACGACAGUUAUUAAUAAAAUACGACGUAUGAUAUGAUUUUAAACGACGCAAUGAAAUAAUCUCAGACGUAAUAAAUGUUUAAAACCAAGGUAAUUAAACAACGACGAAAUAAUUAACUAUAAACGACGUGAUAAUUAACUAUAAACGACGAAAUAUUUAUAUAACGUCGUGGUAUUGAUGUUCACACGACGUCAGUCGUAAUAUACCGUCGUCUAUAUAAGGAUCCAAAACCCUUCUUUCUUUCUCUGUGAAUGUUUGAUUGCAGAUUUGAUUUUUCUGAACCAUGGUUUUUGUUUUCUAAUUUGAUAAAAUACAAGGCCAAGAAAGAAAGUUUUGGAAUCUUAUAUAGACGACGGUAUUUUAAUAUGACGUCGUGGUAUUAACAUUCACACGACGUAAAACAAUAAGAUACUGUCGUCUAUAUUAGAUACCAACCCUACUUUCUUUUUCUUUAUAUUUUAUCAAAUUAGGGAAAAACAAAAACCAUUGUUCAGAGAAAUCAAACCUGCAAUUAAACAAGCAAAUAAAAAAAAGACUAUAAUUUUAAAAACAACUUUGUCAAUUUUCAGACGACGCUAGAACGACUGACGAACCGUCGUGGUCUACAUAUUUAACCACGUACAUAAGAAGCUACCGUCGUCUUAUUUAGUUGAGGUAGUUGUCUUCAAAGUUGGAAACUUUCCCUCUUUGUCUGUAUAUUUUAUUGAACUUGGAAAGAAGUAAAAUGAUUUUGGCCAGAAAAAAGGUAAAAAGAUUUUUCAAACAAAAAACGUAUGAGCAUGCAAAACAACAACCAAAAUAGUGAAAAUGAAAGCUUACCUUUUGCGUGCAAUGAAAGCAAGAGGAAGAUUAUGUUUAAGUUCAGAGACGACGAAGAAGAAGAGAGGAAGACGAUGAGAUACUCUGACAGUGCUCUGACAAGGAAAAAAGUCUAAAAGUUUUCUCUGGGAGAUUGAACUUUUUAAUCGGGUUUGAAAACGGCGCAUGUGUAUGUCAGGUAGACGAAAAGUUGCUUACAUAUAAAACCAUUUCAAAAAAAUAAUACGGCGGUUACAUAUAACUACGACGUAUAAAUUACAAAAUACGACGGUACAUUUAACUUCGGACGUGGUAAAUAAAUACGACAGUAGUGUUGUAGGUACCGUCGUAGUAAACUCAAAAAUUAAAGUACAUAAGUAAUAACUCGCGUCAUGGUAGAUUAUUUAACACGUCGUUUUUAUUAAUUUACCGACGUGGAUUUCUGUAAUAUACGUCGAUAAUACCGACGUUGAUUUUACAAUUUAAACGGCGGUUUUUUUGUAAGGACCGCCGUUGGUUUUAAAAAUUUAUUCUAUAAAUUUGUCGCUUUCAUUCAUUUUCGGUUUACAUUUAAGGUUCCAAGUUCUUCCUCUCUCAGUCUCUCACGUCUCAAAGACAAUAAUUUGGAUGUCUUUCUCAAAGAGAAAUUGAGCUUACUCGCAUCAAAUAUAUGUCCACAAGAAGAAGCUUGUCAACUAGCCUUCUCACUUCCUUGAUCAAGCCUGAUAGGACACUUAGUGCUUCUGAAUACUCCUUGCUUUCCAUCAAAAGAGAUGCAAGCCUGGCCUCCACUCGCUGUCGAAGGAAAGUUCGCUUCUCAGGGAAAUCUUCUUGAUUUUCUUGGCUAAGAAGAUCCGUCAGAUUUGUGAUAGCCUCUUCCUUUAUCCGUAGAGCUUCAGAAGAAGAAGAUGGGUUUCAAGAAUGCGAUAAAGAAUAGAAAUGGCUUCAGAUGGCCUCUAAAGCAUGAGCAAUCGAAUCAGUAGUUGUUGGGAGAUAUGAUGAAGACAUUGUCAAUGCUUUGAACUAUACAAGUCCUGCAGAAAGAUAAAGGACCAAACUGUUAAAGAAACUGAAACAAUGGCGGUUUUCUGUUCUACCGUCGUCUUUUCUCGUCGUCUAUAUUAAGGUAAGAUGGCGGUAGAUUUAUAAUUACCGACGUAGAUUAUUUUGUUAAACGUCGUUAAGUGUACUACAACCGACGUGGAUUUUAUUUUUAAAUUAUAAAUAGAGUUUUUUUUCCCCUAUUCUUUCAGUUUUAGUUUUCAAUUACAAAGCGUGAUAAAUAGAUUUUUCUUUCCCGAGGAAAUUUAAAAUGAGGGAAAUUAAUGUUCUAGAAUUUGUAAACUAACACGACGCAAUAUUUGCAAAUCUGUGUCAUCUGUUAAGAUUAUGAUGUGGAACAGAGUUCCAUCUGGUAAGAUUUCGUAACCCUUGGGAUCUCAGACAAAUCUGAUUAUGUCGGCGGUUUUCUAUAUAAAUCGUCGUGGUUAUUUCAAUUCUUGUCAUUAAGUAGAUCUACCGACGUAGGAUAAGAAAAUCAAAGAAAAAAAUUGUUAACAAAAAUUCUUAUUAAGACGACGGUUAAAAUUAAAGGUACGACGUAUAAAAUGAAUAAAUACGACGUUAAAUUUUAUUGUACGAUUUAAAGAUAACGUCGUAGAACUAUAAGAGAAUGACGUCGAUAUAUUUAUAUUUUCCGUCGUUGUACAUUAAUUUAAUACGGCGAUAUUUUGUAUUUUAAAGCCGUGGAUUUGUUUGUAAUUAUACGGCGUCUUAUACGAAAACCUCGUCGUGUUAUUUUAUGAGUAAAAACGGCAGUUUUUAUUGAAAUCGUCGUCUUUACUUUCUACGUCGGUCGAUUCAUAACUUCUGCCGUUCUUUGUUGGCAUUGAUUUUACACUGCGAAAAUCUGUUUCAAAUAGACGUCGGUUGUUUAAUUAUGUACGUUGUUGUUUUUGAACAGCCAUUUGAAUCUCCAUUUUUUAGUUGUCUAAGGUUGUAUUACACGACGGUGUUUUUAGAACCGUCGUCUUUUUAAAAACCACGACGGUUUUCACUUAGACCGUCGUUGUUUUCUGGUCGUCUUUUUCACUUUUUGUAGUAGUGGCAUAUGAUGACGACACUCACAACAAGAUCAUGGCAUUUGACUCGAGUUGUAUGAUUCUCUCUUAAGUGUAUGUAAAGUGUAUGACAUUUACAUCAAUACGUGUAUUCUUAAUUGAAAUCUACUAUGGCAUUUACUCAAAUUAACAAUCAAGAAUCCAUUAAGAUCAAAGAGAAUAUGAGUGUCACAAAAACCCUAAAACAUGGCAUUUGUUAUUAGGAAUUCAAGAAUCGAUUUCUCAUAACUAGUUCUUAACCCAAUUAUUCGUUGCAAAUAAGAACACAUUCAAUAUGGCAAUUGACCUAUGUUCUACAACAAUUUAAUUCCAAUACAUGCUUCUAAGUUAGCUACUCAAAGAAACAAAAUAUCAGAAUUCACAUAACAUAUAGAAACCGAAAACAUCACGCUUGUAGAAACUAAAAAUCCAUUAACCUUGUUUAUAAAAUUGAAAUCAUGUUUAGGGCUUCAAGAUUAAGCCCUAACUAACAAGAAAUUAGUUACUCAUGGUCUUGGAUGAACUCAAAAAUAAAUACAUAAGAACUGAAAAUUAAAGAAGGAAGGAAAAGAAAGAACUCGUUCGCAGCUUUCUCCUCUUGCGCUGUUGAUCUCUUUAGGACGUGAAUCCUUUUUAUCAGCCUUGCCUCGUCUUUUAUAUCACUUAUAUCAGAGUUCUAAACCCUAAAAUUGACUGAAAAGUCGUCCAAGAAGUCUUGGUAAACAAGGAAUCCAAAUAGGAAAGUAAAAAUCACAAUUCCUAACUCCACUGGGAAAUACAGCUCAGCCCAAUGUUCACACGAUUUUGGGAUCUUCGACCUUGUAGAAAAAUCAUUAAAAAUAUAUUUUAGAAAGAUAAAUGUCUUAUCUUUCCAACCAUAUAUAGCACGUAACUUGAAAAAUUCGGAAAGGCUUCCGUUUCUUCACAUUCACGUAGCAUGUACGAAACUGUCCUGUCUGCACGUGGGCUAACUUUACUUGUAAUACUGUACCAAUUGGCUCGGUAGAAAAUUCUAGAAAAAUCAUAGAUUGAACUUCAAGAUGUUAGCUUUCAUCUCCAAUCAGGGGCGGCCUUGGGGAGGUGCAAGUGGCGCCACCGCACAGGGCCCCCGAAAAAAAAAAUAUUUAUAUUAUAUAUAUAUAUUAAUAUUAUAUGAAUCGUAUAUAUAAUAUAGCGUCUGGAUAUUUGCACAACAGCGUGUUCAGGGGAGUUGGAUGGAGCACAUCUCUCUUUGGCAAAAGGGCCCGAGUUCGAUGCUCCUUGAUGUCGUUCUACUGGCUAGCCUUUUGUGAUAUUAUUUUUGCAUUCAAACUUUACAUAAUUAUUGAACCAUUGGAUUAAUAUGCAACGAUGGGUGACCACAAUCUCUUGGACUCCUGUGGUCCAUGAGAUCGGGACUGAUAUUACAUGACUUAUUUUAUUAAAUUAUUAUCAUGUUGAUGAUUGGUUGUAUGAGAAUAUAGUUUGUAGAAAUAUUUAUCUAUUUCUUGUUGGGGUUUUCUUCCAGGUUAUAGGGUUUUGGAAUUUUUCUUUGUAAUCUAAACAUGCCACCUACUAGAAAAUACGUUUAUGGAUAUACAAAACGGCUUAGAAAAAGAAAAUUCGAGGAAUUGACUCAAUCUCAAAGAGGAGCUCUUGAUAGAUUCAUUGUUAGAGAAUCACAUGCUACAAUUGAUGAAAAUAUUUAAAUUUUUAUGAAUUUAAUUUCUGAUUUUCAUUGCAUAUUUAUUGAUGGUGAAUUUUAGUUAUAAAAAAAAAUUGUUUAUGACAUUAAGUUAUGGCAAAUUUUUAUAGUAUUUUCGUAUUAGAUUAUGCAAGGCCCCAAUUUAAGUUUCGCACAGGGCCCUCAAAAUCUCAGGGACGGCCCUGUCUCCAAUUGGUCUUGUGCUAAAAUUCCUCCGAAAAGUUGAUUUUCCCUUAAAAACCUUCUAAGAGUGCAGAAAAGCUGAAAAUCAGAAAAAUAAAGUAAUAAGCCAUUUUUAAAUCUAAUUCUCUUACAAAACCAAAGUAAAAAGAGUACAUAAAUGAGUAUAUUUAUGGACUUAUCAACGUCUUCUUCGUUGGACUUGGGGUUGUUUUCCUUAUAUGUCCCCUAUAUAUAUAUAUGGCCUUUAGUUGAGCCCACAAAUACCUUCAGUUAGUUUUUGGGUUUAGGGGCCUACAGAACCUGCACUAAACAAUAAAAGAAAAUACCUAAUUAGUUUAGUACGAAUUUAUAAUGAAGGCUUUAUUAGGUGAAGUUUUAUUUCUUAAUCGUUAGAUCAAAUUGGUUAGCAUCUGAAGUCGCCCAAAGAUUUGAGAGGGAUUCCACAAACAUAUAAUAUAAAGAAAGAAAGCAAUAGUAGGAGAUGAACCAGUACAAAAAACAAUAUAUAAAUAGUACAUAAUAAUUCCAUAACCUUGUCACAAACGCACUCACAAAUGCUUUCCAUAAACCUUGCCCUAACAUAUAACAAAUAAAGGCAACAUUGCAUAUGAUGCAACCAUGUCCAAAUCUGAUACGUGAUAAAAAAAAAAGGACAUGGCAGCAACAUAUGACUGAAGUAGAUGGGCUCUUUGCAUCUCGUGUUAUCGUAAUUAAAGACAUCAAAAUAUUAAGGUUGAAAUCUUCUAUAGUAGCAAGCAUUAAAAUAGGUUUGAAGCAGAGUUUAAAGAAAAUUCCAAUUCCACUGAUUUGCCUCUGCUCAAAGACGAGAACCAAAAUGGUUACUUCCCUUGCUGAGUAUAUUUGUUAACGUCGGAAACGGUAAUAGAUGACCAAUCAAACCCAAGUACGACGAGUUUUGCAUAGGAUCAGAAGUAGUUGAAUCCAGCUUGCAUCACACGCUUCUUUGACUCCAUUGCAUUAGAUGAGUUUUUGUAUUUUUGAACAGCUACACUCCGAAGUCGUUUGUGUCUACGCUUCAUGCGCUGCAACUUCGCCCUAUCCAGAUUGGCCUGCCUUUUGUCAUCUUCAAUUUGGCCUUCAACAAAUUCCAAACGUGCCCUUGCCCUUUGGAUUUCAUCACCAAGUUGAAGAUGCCUCUCCUUCCAAAAAGCAAGAACUCUUUCAGACUCAAAACUUCCAACAAAAUGGUCAUUCUAUCUAGGAAUGUGACAUUGCUUGUCUGGUGACUCACCUGCGUUUCAAAGGCGGUCUUUGUUUGGAGGGGUGUUUAUUAUGCUCACAUCAAACUUGGUUAGUAAAUCCAUUCUAUGGGGGGAGUGAGUUUCUGUGGAGGAGAGAGUUUCAGUAGAUGGAGACAGAUUCGGUGGAGGAGUGAGAUUUUUGUGGAGGGAGAAUUUCUAUGAAAUGGGUGAUAGUAAUACCAAUAAAAGGGUUCCCGCCAAAAAGUAUUUGGUUGACAAUGUAUAAAUUAAUUUUUGGUCUGAUACAAUCUAAGUUUAAUCCUAACUAGUUUGGUUAGUUUGGUUGAAUUCACUAACUAGAUGUCACUUCCAUUGAGUUUCUUUCAACCACUAUCAGUGGUGUAAGGAGAGUGUGAGGUUGACAUGCUUGAAAAGCAAAACCUAACACCUCUUUUUUUUAAAAUUGAAAGAAAGUACAUAUGUUGACUACACACAAGCUUUGGUAUGUUGGUCUAUAAAGCUAUGUUCCCUUUCUCAAACGAAAUUGCAUAUGCAAUCCUCGUCCUCCCAAAACAAAUAGAAUUAUUCAAGCAUGUCAACCUCUUCAGGCGCCAACAACACAAUCAAAGAUGACAAAUUGGAGUCGCAGGUUCUAUUUCCACAUUGUACUCGCCGACCCCUUCCAUUUUCAACAUCAUUUGGGAGUGAGGGGGACUCCGAUGAUCCAUUAGAGCUAAUACAUGCAGUCAAUAGCAAGCUGGAUUAUAAUUCCAGACUGAUCAAUUCAUGGCGCGAGAAAUAUGUUGAAGACGAAGCCAUUUUGGCUGAUCUUAACAUUAGAGUGAACAAAGCGUUCUCCCAAAAGAACAAGUACUUGAAGCUGAGUCAUAAAAGGAAGCUGAAAGCUGAGGAGUUAGAUACAGUAAUGAAUGAUGAAAUUAAAGGUUGUUUGAUGAAUCAUAUGCGAUGCGAAGAGCACCACAGUGAACUGGAGUUGGCAUUCAACGAAGGAUUCGAAAAAUUACGAGCAUUUGCAGCAACUACUCAUACAAGUUAUAAUUGGGACUAUGUGUCCCCUGAUGUUGUGAGAGAGAUACUAGACGAUGGUGGUGACAUGAAUGAGCAUAAGCACGUCAAAGCUGCUUGGAAGAAGCCGACCGAUACGACUAAGUGAUUGCGGCUACAGUUGUUCAGUUGGUUGAGAGUGAUCGUGGUAUUGCACAAAUUAGAAGUAUAUUCCCAUAAUGUCAUUAUCUAAUUUAAAAUAACACAAAUAUCAGUUUCAUUUGCUUCAUAUUGUAACACCCCGACCCCAAAUUUCCCCAAAAUUUACCCUCAUUUAAUUAAUUAAUUAUUUAAGGGUAUUUUAGUCAUAUUUUUAACCGGAGAGAGUUUGGGACCAUGACUUGUAUUUUUGGAUAGGUCGUACUGAGACGAGUUCAUAGACACGUAGUGGGCUCGAAUCAGAGUUGUAACGAGAGAGAUAUGGUCAAAAGAAACCCAGUGGCACAAUCGUAAAUAUUUCAAAAUGGGAUUUUUAUAAAAAUCUGGUUUUUCUCUCUCUCUCUCUCUCUCUCUCUCUCUCUCCCGCGACUUCUCUCUCUCUCCCGUCGGCUCUCUCUCUUUCUCUCCUUGUAUCUCCGGCCACCGACCACGGCUGUGGGCGGGGCCGGUACCAAACUGACCGGGACGACGUCCCCUUCCUUCCCCGACCAUUCCCCGCCGGCAACGCGGCCGUUGCUGGCCGGAAAAUGCAGAAAACCGCCGGGAGGUCGUCGAAACUUCAACGCCGUCGAUCUCCCUCCUCCGGCCACCAUUUUCGUCGACCCAGGUAUGGAUCUUGAACCUCUCGAGCUGUUCUAGCUGUUUGUUGGUUGGGUUUUGAUCGAUUCGAUCUCUAGAUCACUCGAUUUUCGAAUUGAAAAUUGGCCGAAACUUCGGCCGCCGUGAUCGGCCAUUUUCGGCCACUUUUUGUGGUAGGUCCAAGAACAAAAGUGGCUCCAAAUAGGGUGUUAUACCUAGGGUAGAAGUUUGGAGCCGAGAUGUUGAGAUUUUCCGGCGAAGCGUUAUCGCUUUGGGCACCCACGCGUGCGGCGGCGCGUGGGCACUGUAGAAAAAGUAGAUGUGUUCCGAUGAGAUCCUUAGGUUGUCACGAGUGCGUAGGAUUUGGCGGAUCUCAAUUCGGACGUCGUUUGACUAUCGAACGGAUAAUCGCAUAUUAUGCGUUAUCCGGGUUCGAUAGGUUGAGACCGUCGGAUGGUCCCAAAUUUAAUAUAUGUUGAUCUAGGUAUUUCUAGGAUCGUGUAGGAUUUCACGGAUCGUGAAUCGGAGCCCCGGAUGUUCCGAAUAAUAAUUUAAAGUUUAUAUUUUAUAUUAACCAUCAGAUUAUGCGAUCGUGAGAAAUCCGACCGUCUGAUCUGAACCAAACUGGCAGGAAAAGUGUCCUGUACCUGGUAGAACCCAUAGGGACCUUCGGAUCGGAAAUUGGAGGUCGUGGGUUCCGCAAGUCUGUUUGACCAGGGUUAGAGUAGUUUGACCCUUGGUUGACCGUGAGUCUCCCGGAGUAAUCUCACCCUUCCAGGGGGAAUUAUCGGGAGCUAGACUAUUGUGGAGGGUUACACAAUAUUAGAAUUAUUUAUAUAAUUAUAUAUGGUUGUACAAGGGUACAACAAAGUCUAGAAUGUCAGUUUGGAGUGCUAUACGCACUACUUUAGGUACCUCCUCGGAUUUUGGAUUCGCUACAAGCACCACCAAGUGAAAGUUAGGUCCCGCGUGGCGUAGGUUAUCCGGCGUUGGGACAGACCCCAUACGUGGCGUUGGUUGUACCGGCGUAUGGGGAGAUUUGCAAUAUGAUGUUCAGGUCUCACGUGGCGUAGGUUAUCCGGCGUUGAGACAGGCCCCGUACGUGGCGUUGGUUGUACCAGCGUACGGGGAGAUUAUGUGAUAUGAUGUUGAGGUCCCGCGUGGCGUAGGUUAUCCGGCGUUGGGACAGGCCCCAUACGUGGCGUUGGUUGUACCGGCGUAUGGGGAGUUAUAUGAUAUGAUAGUAUGGCAUGGUCGCACAUGGCGUAGGUUAUCCGGCGUGUUGACAGGCCCCAUACGUGGCGUUGGUUGUAUCGGCGUAUGGGGAGAAUAUGUGAAAUGCAGAGAAAGGAAAUAAGGUAUCACCGAUGUGUGGAAUUGGGUUUUAGGGAAGAACUACGUGUGGCUUGAUCCCUCAAGGAGGGUACGUAGGCAGCCUAAGGUUAUUGGGUGCAGCCGCAGACUAAAUAUUAGUCAUAUUUGGUAUUUGAAUUGUAUGGUAGUUGUUUGAGAAUUAUUGGAAGGCCAAAGGCCAUUUAUGAGAAUUUGCAUGAAAUUAUAUUGUGCAUGCUGCUAGUUGUGGAUAUUAAAUGUGUUUUUAUGCAGGUUGAAAUUUUGGGAAAUGUCCAAUUUAUAGGGGAGACUCUGCUGAAAUUUCGGCAGGAAGUCUCGGUUUUUAGUAAGUGGGCCUGGCAUCGGGGUGAUGUCAGGAAUUCCAAAGGGUUCGUCUCGGGUUUUGAGAAAAUUCGGGGCGGGUCCUUAAACAUAUAUAAUUAUUGGGACUAUGUAUUGCAAGUCAUCAUGUGUUCCUUCUGUCUAACAUUAUAUUUUGCAAAUAUCAAAAUAUUAUUCAAUAAGCAGUCAAUAUCACAGCAAGUUGGGAAUUAGUAAAGCCCCAUUAUCAUGUCCGUUCACAUUAAAGAGCUGGCGUACUUUUUCUCAAAAAACUGACACGUGAGUCAUAAGUAACAUAACAUGUGCUAUACAUUGUUUAGUGAAUGGUUUAUGGUUUAUUUAUAUAUAAUAAAAUUCCAAAUAUUGCUGAAUAUUUGUUUUUUCUAUAUCCCUGGGAACAUGAGUGACCAUAAGCAUGUAAGACCUGUUAAGAAGAAGCUGACUAAUACGACCGAGUGAUUGUGGCUACCGUUGUUUAGUUGGUUGGGGAGAUCGUGGUAUUGCUAAGAGGGAGCACAUAAUGUGCUUUGCAAUCAAAUUUUCUUUUGUGUGUGGAAUUAUGAGUAGUUCAAAUGUUAGUGUACCCUUUAAUAUUCUUCAACCGUUUGAAAUGUGAUUAGCUGCAAUGUACUUUUUUACACGCUGCUUUCUAAUCACUCUGUUCCAACAAAGUGCUUUAAGUAUCCUUCAGUUACAAAUGUUUACAAAAUCGUGCAUCUAAUAACCAGUCGAGCUCAGAUCUUAAUAACAAGUAAAACACUAGAACAUAACAUUCGGAAAAAGUGGGUGCUGCUGGAAAUCAUUACUGGUAAUGGAAGCAAGAGCUGGCUGCUGGAAAUGCUGCAUUAGCCUGUGAUAUAAUCAAUGAAUCUCUGUUAAAACAUAAUUCACCAUAAACUACCCAUUUUACAUGGUAAAAGUCAUUGCUUCUUCACAUAACUCAAAAUUUGAUACUUUAUCAAAUGUCUAUGAAAAUUUCUAAAUAGGGGAAAGACGUAAAAUUAACAUGUGUCCAAAUUUCAUGCAAGAAUGAAACCAAGCAAAUUUUUAUUUCAAUUAUCAGUGGACAUAGUAAGAACUCAUCGGUGGACAUGAACAAAAAAAUAAUAAUAUUAAAAACUGAAUCUAGAAAACUUCACCUGAUCAUUAGUCUUCAUAACAACCGAAUUUCGUCUAAUAGAAACAUAAAUCAUUCAGUUGGUCCGUGCAUCGUGUCAAAUUCAUAGAAUAAUGGGUCACUACGAUCUAUUGGAGUUGAUUCGUCAUUGUUCGACGGUGAUGUCCUGCAUAGACAUCAAACACAAGCACAGAAAAAAUUUACCUAUUCAAAUUUUAGGUGUUAUUAUAAAUAGUGUUAGCAUCUUACGGUGUGUUCAAAUUUCUUGCGCAUUGUCUUCUAUCAUGACCAAUGUGUCCACACUCCAGACAGUGUCUAAUCCCUCGCUUCAUUGCCUUUUCUUUUGCUCCCGUUACUCGUUUCGACCUUCUUUUGCACCUCACUCUCUUAGGGUCUUUCAUAUAUUGUGUUUGAGAGCUGGACCCUCCAACUUCGUUAUUACUUGGUCCAUCCUUCAACAACUUCAACUUCACCUGCAAACUUUUUAGAGUCUCUGACAGUAGCUCACAUCCUUCUUCACUCAUUAAUGCACCCUCAACCACAUCUUAAGCAAGUCGAGACAUUGUACUCCGCCUUAUUAAAAGACCAGGAUCUGCAGAGUCUUUAAUUUCGUUGCCAUUUGCAUCUGACACCAAUUCAGAUUUUGCAGUUUUCUUCCACCUCUUUAAAAUAUAUUUAUCGGGCAUAUAUUCAAUCUGGUCCCUUCUGAACAAUGCUAGGAUGUGCUUGCAAAUAAUUCCAACAAAUUCAAAUCUUUUGCACCCACACGAUGCGUGGUCAGAAUCUUUAACAUAUACGACGUCUGCCACUCUUGUUUCCCAAUUUUUCCUUUUGCUCACGCGAAAGACAACUUUAGAAGCACCCUCUGUUUUGAGCUCUAGGAAACAUGUUGUACUUUGUAUUAGUUCUUGGUCAAACUUUUGAAACAUUGUCCUUGUGUACAAGGUAGCCAUUUGUUUGUUCAUUGGCAUCGGUAGAAUACAUUGAGCCACUUCAAAUGCAUCUACGUGAUCAGCAACUAACUCUUUUUGACGUUGAUGAGAAAGUGCCCUCUCAAAUCGUAUUAUGAAAUCCAUCAACGAAUUUCUCCUUGAUAUGUAUUGCUUGAAAAAACCAUGAGAACCUUCCACUCUUUGGCUGCUUGACAUUCCAGCGGCAAAAAAUUGUUGUGCGUAGGCUGGAACCCAAGAUUCUCUUAAAUCAAACAUUGAACUUAGCCAUGGAUGGUCAGUCAAACCAGCCUUUGUAACCACAAUAUUCCAUUUUGUAACAAACUUAUCCUUAUUGUCAGUAUCCCAUACGGCUUUCUGAAAUUCACGCCAAUACUCCUUAUAAGCAGAAUGUGGUAACUUAACAGAGAACUUUGAUGUGAUGUGCAAUAUGCAAAGUCGAUGAAAUGUAGUCGGGAAGGGUAUUGAAAUCGCUCUGGUCAUUGCCGCAUCUUGAUCUGUAAUGAUCGUUUUAGGUCCGCCACUUGGCAUGGCUUUCUUAAACUCCUCAAACAUCCAAAUAAACGACUCAGUCGUUUCCUUGCUCAAAAAUGCGCAUGCUUAGACAAUUGUCUGACCAUGGUUAUUAACUCCCAACAUUGGUGCAAAUGUCAAGUCGUAUCGAUUCGUGUUGAAUGUGGUAUCGAAUACAACAACAUCUCCAUAAAACCCGUACGCCCAUCUAGAAGUUGCAUCUGCCCAAAAACAUUGACUAAACCUGUCAUGGCCAUCUCUCUCAAUCUUGAAAUAAAAAGCCUCAUUUUUUUUUUCUGUUCAGCCAUAAAAUACUCGGUCACUAGUUCAACAUCGUGGUUCCUCAACUUCCCAUUCACACUACAUUCAAAAUUGUAGAUAUCUUUUUUGAUAAAACCGAUUUUAUCCAUUCCUCCGGAUUGCACCUCGAAAAUACUUACCUUCUGAUGAAUGAGAAUAUUAACCGAACCCAACUGUUUUGUGAGUACUUUUGUAGAAUCUGAACUAUGACGGUGUGAUCUCAAUAAAUGCAUUCUUUCUGAGGGUGUCAUCUUAUGAUUGUGUCCCUCUGCAAAAAGAGAGAUGGUAUACUUCUUGCUCCCAUUUGUCUUCACAACCACAAUCUUAGCUUUGCAAUUGCAUCUACUUAUUCCCCGCUGUCUUUUUCUCUCCCGAGUUUCAUCUCUCCUGUAUUCACCUUGUUUGCAACAUACAAAUUCUUUCCUCAAAAUCUCUUUCUUAUUUCCCCCCCAAAAGCUGGAAUGAAGUCGAAUACCAAAGCCAGCCAAGAAUGCAUAUCUAUUAUAGAAAUUGUAAACGAGGUCAAGCAAGUCGAACUUCAUCCCAACUGCUGGUGUUUCCUCAUUUCUUACUUCAAGAAUGUAAACCCUCCCAUUAGCUGUUACACAGUCAUCACUCUCUGAGCCCCCAGACAUUUUAUCCACGUAUAUUAUUGAUCCACUUCUAUAUUAUUGCAUAGCAAAUAUUAAUUCAUUAAUAAAUCAUUACUGCAUCACAACAUAUCAAUGCAUUCCACUUACACAAAACAUUGCCCAAAUUGACACAAAACACGCAUAGCCUAACUUGUUGGAUUCCGAUUACACAAAACGCAAGCAAAAUUUAAUAAUAGUUACGUCAUCUCUUGUGAAAUAAUCUAGAAAAAAUAACAUUAGAACCAACAUGUUCAACUAAGAACACAAAUGCAAUUCAAACCAGCAAUCACAUAACUUCACCCAAUAUCCUCUCCAAAUGCUUACUCCUAAUGUCAUUAAGCCUAAGUUUAGGAUCUUUUACCUACAUUUCAUAAUUUUUCACCCCCACCAAAAAUAAUCAACUAAGUAUACUGAAUAUUCAUAAGGAAAUGACGCAUUAUUGAUGCCACAAAUGACGAAUUUCCUACCCUCACAAAAAACAAAUCAAACCCAAUUAAAUCAAUCCAGCAAGAGUGAACUUACCUCUCAAAAUCAAUCGGGAGCUCCGAAGUCAGUAAGCUUGAGAGAAUGUGGUGGACAUUAGAGAAGACUCUUUGGUAUUGGAGACUCCAUCUCUACCAAAAUCGAGGAACGAACUGCUGCUACGGCGUCUAGCUACAGAAAAAGAUAUGCUACUUUACUUUCAUCUGGAAUCUUGUUUGCUGAACGAAAAAGAGAAAGGGUUUUCACUUGAGCCAUAGAAUCAAAACAAGGCAACAUCUAGGUAAGAGCCAUUAAUCGUCAUAUCGAGGAUACCAUAGAUCGCAGGCCUCCCAAGGAGCUGAUGACAAUGGAGCGACUAUAGGGUUUGGGAGCUUUGGAUCCUUCUAAUUGUGGGUUUGCGUUACAUUCAAAAAAAGAGGAGUGUGUUGUUGAGUUUUUCACAUAGAGGGAAAGAGGGAAAGAUCUUCAACUGAAGUUGGGUUUCCAACGGGUCAAAUUUCAACCCGGUUCUACAUGCACCCUCUUUUAAAAACUCACCGUUGGAUUUCAUCCAACGGCUCGUACAUACCCCUCAAAAACACCCCUUAUAACUUUCCACUCACUAUAGAAGCUCUCCCCAGGAAAUGCUUCGAGGUAGAUUUUAUGUUUUGGGCCUUGGGACCCAACUUCACAAAAAGAAAACAAAUUUGACCAAAAAACAAAGUUGAAGGACAUUGAUAUUGUACCUGUAGGAUAGGUUAAAACACUAAAAGGAAGGUAAAUAGUACGUUUACAGAGUUUAAGUGUAAUAAAGGAAUAAAAACAUGCCCAGAGAAUUGAUAAGUGAUAUCAAUUCUUGAAUAUAUAGAACGUAAAAUAAAGGAAUACGUAGAAAAUUAUUUUAUGUGGUAAAACUCAAUCUAUGGGGCCACGGGACUUCUUAGUCCAAAAAAAAUCCAUUGAACGAUGAUUACAAGAAGUACUCACACACUUAUCCUAGACACAUUCUAGAUAAUUUUUACUAACAUCUUUGUAACUCAACUUCUGUCAUAGGAUGAUUUUUUGACACUCCUUAUGUUGAACGCAAUACUGGUCACGAUUUCUUCAAGCUCGCAGGAACUCUCCUUAUAUUGAAUAUGAUACUAGUCACGAUAGAUUCAAGCUCAUCGGAGAAAAACAGCCACAACGGUCUUGGUGCCCUCAAUGGUAUGAGUCACUGAACAUGCAAAUAAAUACAAUAUGAAUGAUAAAAGUGUUUGAUAAAUCACCAAGUUAUGGAACACUUGAUGAUUUAUCUCAAAUAAAAACUCAGCUUUCCAAAGUUUAUGAAUUGAAAAUAUGAUCGUUAAAGCUCUCUAAACAAAGAAGACGAAGAUCUUAUUUUAUAGAAUUUUUCUUUAUAAGAAAGAAAACACAUUGAAAACCAAAUCUCCAAGGCUUGACAGAAAAUCACAAAAGUAUCUUUCCUAUUCUAGAGAUUGGUCACAUGUAGUCCAACCAAUAGGACAUGAGAUAUUUAAGAAAUGAAGAUUUUGAUCAAUAUCAAUAUCAAAUGAAUUCUUAUACGCCUAGUCAACUAUUAAGGGUAUCUUGACUCCUUGAUAUUGUGAUAUGAUUGAAACAUGAUUUCCACGUUAGAAAAUUAAGGGGAUGUUAAAACAUGAAAGUAAUAGGAGAAUCAAAUUGAUUUCGGCCAAAAUUGCCUAAAAAGAAAACACUCCUAAAUAAACUCAAUUCACUUUUAAAAACAGUAAAACGUGAUUGAAUUGUUCUUUAAAACAAUUCCCUAAUAUACAUGCAUGAUAAUGACAUCACUUACCUCUGAAUCAAAUGCCUUUCAUAGGUCAAGCCACAAGUCUGUGUUUUGGGGAUUGCUGAGCUGCAUCAAUCCUGCCAAUGUCAAUGCUGCCCCUAUGCUCUCUCAAAGCACGUUUACAACCUAUGCUAACAUAUACCCUAAACCCUAGUAUCAAGAAAAUGCCAACACUAAUUUCGUAACACGUAGAAAUUGUUAGAGAUUGGAAGUUUUUUUUCUUCAAGUCUCUCCACCACUCACUAAUACAGAUUGCUCAUGUGAUGAGUUUACAAAACCUAUUUCUCUACUCUCACAAAGACUAUACUUCUUCUCAAAAGACUAUAUCACUUUACCUCUAUCUCUGUGAAAUGUAAAAAGUUGAAACUUUAAUGUCAAACCUCGACAAAAGAUGAACUUCCAUAAGUUACGUUGAAUUUGGAUUUGUUGAACUUAAGUGGUUUUACUUUUCUGUCAGUGUUUGAUGACUUAAUUUGGUAUUUACUUCUUCUUUUUUUCCUUGGAAAUGUGUUCCACCAACGUGAGGAAGAAAAAUAUGCACAAAUUAAUAUAUUUAAUAGAAGCCCAAGAUUUCGGAAGCACAUAAUUUCUACAAAAUUCUACAAAGUGUUCUACUUUACAAACUUCAUAUGUCUACCAAUUUUUACUAAAAUUAAUUUAUCUGCAGUGCUCAAAUUCAUCAUAUGUGUGUCCUUAAUUUUAGUGAAAAUUGGAAGUUUCCAUUAUUUUUGUUUUACGGGAAUUUUUUGAACCAAGGAAAAUCAAGUAAAAUUAAUAAAGCAUAAAUUGGAAAGGGAAAAUAUCUAGAGGAUGCAUUGUAGGAUUGCUCAUGCCAAUAAUUGUACCCUCUAAAUAUAUAGGGACAUAUUUUUUUUGCUCAUACCACUUGUUGCAGUACACAUUCACCCGUUUUCAAAGAAAGAAAUUCUACCAAUCGAUAAUGUCUCAAAUUUAAUCACAUAUUUUAUGGACCAUCCAGCUAUGAGGUUUUAUCUCAAAAACCUUCGGUACAUUUCUCCCACAUGCCACAAUUGUAUAUUCACAAUUACGUCUGAUACAUCACAUCAUGCCACUUGCCUCAAAUGAAUUUAAGUGAGUGAGGCAGUUGGAAGUAAUUAAGCUCUAUAUUGGUGGGUGGAGUGUUAGUUCUGGGUACCCCUCAUCAUUCGUCUAUAAAAUGGUGAAGCCAGUUGCUACUGUUACCAUAAGAGCCAGCUCCGACUUUCUUUAAUUUCUUGCUUCAUAUCCACUAGCUACAUCUGUUGCUCUUCUCAGUGUAAGCUCUGCAAUUUGAUUAACUUUCCCAUUAUCUCUCACUGUACUCUAUAUAAAGGAAUAAGUGUCGUCCAUUAAUUCUCUCCGAAAGUGUCGUCCUGAUUUUAAUUAGAGUUCGAAUUAAUGUUGCAGCUAGCAGCGGUUGCACUGGCAAACCAUGCUGCUCAACCGGUACCUCAACUUUACUGGAACUCCGUCCUGCCAAACACACAGAUGCCAAGAUCUAUCAGUGAACUUCUGCAUCCUGGUUUGUGUUUGAGCACUUUAGAAUCUUAGAUAUCUCUUCUACCUGCCAUUUUACUAAAAUAUGUUCAACCACAUAUUUAUCAGUUAACUACUGUCAUUACAUGAGUGACACAUAUUCACAAAUCGGCUGAUCACUUAUUUUCCAUUAUGACGUUGAUAUAUAAUGUUGGGAAUGGAAAGCCAAUUGACCACAAGGGAAAACCUGAAAAUACUGUACUACCACAGCUAGCACGAAGCCCAUUUUCUUACAAGAGUGAUGUGGGGACCAAAUCUCAUGUAUCAUAGCUUAACCCAUAUGCCACAACUAAAAGACGUGGGAUGAUCGAACAGCAUACCCACAUGGUCAUGGAUCUCUUCAGAUAAUCAAUAUUAAACAACCCAUAAACUUCUCCCUUUGAAGAACAAAUUAAAACCAAUUUCUAGAGGAAGGUUACAAAACAUUUUAGCCCGUGAAGAACAAAUCAAGACAAUAUAACCCAUUUGAUAACAAAAUCAAAAUGAGAUUUACCAAUACUAGAUGACCACGGCGCCAGUAUAAUGGUACGACGGCGGCGUUAUUGUAACGGUGGAGAAGUGGAUGGUAUGACGACGGUGUUAGUGUGACGGUGGAGGAAACGAUAUUAUGAAGGAGGCGUUGCUAUGUUCGGUGGAGGAGUCGUGUGUUUCACAGUUCAAUAUAUCCUUUUUAGUCAUUUUAUAUUAGGGUAAAUCAGUAAUUCAAUAAAUAAUUUGAUAGUAUGGUGUACUCAGUUAAUAUUAGGGUUCAUUUAACAGCACUCAAAUUAACUAGUGUAGAGUCUAUCUAUAUUAUUAAUACUAAAAAUAAAUAUAUGACUAAAUAACUCAAAAAAAAAAUAAAUCUACAAUCUUUUUUUUAAAAAAUUUUUUUUAUAGAAUUUUAUUAGAUUAAUAGGCACUACUAAAAAAUCUCCUUAUAAACUACAAAUACACGCAUAACUUAUACUAAUGUGAGCUACUGACACCACCUGCCACAUGACAGUUGUCCAAGCAUAGUGUUGUCAUUCAUUAUUCCCCACAGCAACUAACAUCCAAUAAAGGGUUGGGGCCCACCCAUACUCCACCUCUCUGUAUGUAGCUCUUUGAGAAUACAGAAGAAAUAUUUUUUAGGGAAAUAGCUUAAAAUGAUACCCAUUUCAUAAUUUUAAUUAAAAAUACCACCCCUUUCCAAUUUUUGUACAACUAUCACCUAUAAAUAUAAAAUUAUUGUCCACUUAUUGCUGAUUUUUCACAAGUUCAGAAAUUUUGGAAAGAAGAAGCUCACACAGCUCUCUCUCUCUCUCUCUCUCUCUCUCUCUCUCUCUAGCACAACUCUCUUUCUUUGGUAUCUGUCUAUCACAGCUCUCUGUGUCUCUCUUGGCUCUCUCUAUCUUGGCUCUCUCUCUCUCUAGCACAACUCUCUGUCUCUCUCUUUGCUCUCUUUCUCAUAGCGCAGCUGUUUCUCUCUCUAGCUUCGUUAUGUCUCUUUCUCCCCUAUUCGAUCUCUUGCUUUCUGUUUGGAAUCGCGAACCCCUCCCUUUAGCUAUGUCUUCUGAAUAGCUGCUUGCAACCUUGAAGCUCUAGUGGAUUGCCGACCUCGAAAAGGUAGUGUUGAUGGUUAUUUUCUUAAUAUCAGUGGGAUUAUGUGAAAUGGGUUAUAGUUUGAUUGUUUGGGUUUGUGUUAAAUUCGUUUUGGCUUUAAUUUCUUUGGGUUAGGUUUUGUUGAAUAUUCAUACUCAUUCAUCUGGGUUUGUACCAAUUGCAUUUAGAUUGGUCUGGAUAUGUGAAUCUUGAAACUUGGGAUUUUCUAUUUGAUGUAGUAGAUCUGUAUAGUGUGAUUCUGUUGUGUUCCUCUUAUUUUACAGUCGUAUUGCUGUUAUAUUGUCAUUAUAUUGCUUAUAUAUUGCUGUUAUAUUGUGGUUAUAUUGCUAUUGUAUUGUUUGGUUAUUGUGGUUAUAUUGUGUUAAUGAAAUGUUGUUUUGUCAUGGUCAGAAAUGGAGACAAUUGUUAUUCUCGUGUGCUACAAUGGAAAAUGGGUCACCUCGAAGAAGAUGUGCAAAUACGAAGGGGGUGACUCAAAAGGCUUAAUAGUUCCACGGACCAUCAAAUUUGUUGAACUGUUGGACCGUGUGCAUUAGAUUGGUAAUACAAACAGCAGGGAAGACAAGGUUUGCUUAAAAUUCUCAGUUUUGGUGGCCUCGAAUGAGUGGAAGCACAUAAAUAUUGAGGACGAUGAUGAUAUCAAUUUUUUUAUGAAGUACAAUUCCGAGGUAACACCUUCAAAACUAGCUCCCUUACUCGUGAGUAUAGAAGAUAAAGGAUUGACAAAUGAUGUAGUUCAUAGUAUGCAUAUCACGACAGAUAGUAGUCGGAUGGGUCAUUCUUCAGUUGCCAUUGUUGAAAGCAAUGAAGUAACUUGGAAUAAUACGAAUGUCACUGAUGUGGGAGGUGAAGUAGGGACAGAUUUUGUGGAUAUGAUUGAUUUUAGCGAGGUGUAGGAGAUGCAUGGUGGUGAUAAUAGUACUGAAAGAAAUGAAGUGUCAGUGUACUCUGCCCCUCCUAAUUUGGGCUGCUUCAACAUAGCUGCCCAGUUGCCAAUAAUGCGUUUAGGAGGAGAAUCUGAACCCACUCGUCAACAUUAUUGGAGUCAAAUAGGUGAACAAAAUCGGUACAAUGCAGCCGGUGUAAAUGAUGAAGAAGCAUAUUUGGACAGCGGGUUUUCACGAAGUGAUUGGAAUCCGAAAAUUACAGUUGGGCAAAUUUUCUCUAGUAAGAAAGCAUUGUUGACGGAGUUACGGUUGACGGCAUUAAGAGGCCACUUUGAAUUUAAGGUGCAAUUCUCUUGCACUAAAAGGUUGCUUGUGGUUUGUUGUCAACGUCCAUGCCCAUGGCGGGUCCGAGCAUCGAGAAUUGGAGAAUACAGCUUCAUGAUUGUGAGGUGUACAACUGUCCAUGAAUGUGAUUUGAGGUUCGUAAGUGACAAGCAUCGUCAAGCAACCGCAGCACUUGUAGCCACUUCACUUAAAAGGAAGUGACAUUAUGAGAGAUGUGAAACACAACUUUGGUUGCACCAUCCAUUAUUCGAAAGCUUGGAAAGCAAAGGAGUUAGCUCUAUUGUCCAUUAGAGGAUCAGCGGAGGAGGCAUAUUAUAUCCUUCCAGCUUAUUGCUAUGAAUUGGAGCGUAUGAAUCCCGGCACAAAAACACACAUCCAAACUGAUGAGAACAAUCACUUUGUGUAUUUAUUUAUGGCGGUUGGCGCAUGUAUUAGAGGGUUCCGUUCUUCCAUGCGCCCAGUGAUAGCCGUGGAUGCCACUCAUUUAAAAUCCAAGUACAAGGGUGUUAUGUUUGUAGCAAAUGCAUUCGAUGGUAAUUGAAAUAUAUAUCCUCUUGCUUUUGGGAUCGGGGAUUUGGAGACGGAUGCAUCAUGGCAUUGGUUUUUCACUAAACUUCAUGAAGCCAUUGGUGAGUGUCCCAAUCUUGUUAUUAUUUCUGAUCGCAAUGUUAGCAUAGAGAAUGUGUGGAACAAAAUUUUUCCAACUGCACAACGUGGCAUAUGCUUUUAUCAUAUGAAGGGGAACAUGAAACGCACUUGCUAGUUGAAAAAGCGUGAUCACAUACUUAUGCACUUUGAGCAGGCUGCGAAAUCUUAUUCCAUUGCUGAAUUUGAUUGUCAUUUUUGCAAGAUCAAGCGAAAGGAACAUGUUGCUCAAUAUCUUGAAGAGACAGGGUUACAUAAGUGGUCUAGAGCUCACAUGGAUGGACGCCGCUACAAUGUAAUGACAACAAAUAUUGCAGAGUCAAUCAACUCAGUCCUUAGGUUUGCAAGGAUGCUGCCAGUGGUUCAUUUGAUAGGGGAAAUUGUUAAUCUCCUUGUGAAAUGGUUCACCGAACGUUGUGAGUUGGUUUUGAAUUGCACAACAACAUUGUGCCCCAAUUUUGGAGAGAAGAAGUUGAGGAACAGGUUGGAGGAUGCUGCAAGGAUGAAUGUGGUUAAAGUAAAUAAUGCACAGUUUAAUGUUUUGGACGGUGAUAUGGACGGCCUCGUAGAUUUGGCGAACAGCAGUUGUAGUUGUAGAAAGUUUCAGCUUGAGCAGCUACCUUGCAAGCAUGUAGUUGCAGUUUGCCGCUUCUUGAAAGUAAAUGUAUACGCAAAGGCUUCUCGGUAUUACACUCAGAAAACCUGGAUGAUGCUUAUUCGGAUAGCAUCUACCCGGCACAACCUCACGGAAUGUGGGAUAUUCCUGAAGAUGUUCGAAGUCGAGUUGUGCUGCCUCCCAUGGCAAGGGUCAUGCCAGGCAGACGAAAGAAGAUCAGAAUUCCCUCGCAAGGAGAGGGCACCAUUAGAAGAAAGUGCUCAAGGUGCGGUUCCGCAGGCCACAAUAAAAGCACAUGUAAAAACAAUAUUCCAUUGCGCAAUGUAUCUUAGACAAUAUGAUUUGUGUUGCUUUGGUAGGUCAUGUAAACUCUACUUUUAUUUGUGGUGGGUUUCGUGUUAUGUUGAAUGGGAAUUCUUUUAAAUUUGCAUAAUUUGGGUUGCAUUGCUACAGCAUGCUGUAUUGCUGACAGAUUGCUAUUAUAUUGGACUUUUAUUGUACUGGUAUUGCUUCCAGAUUGCUAUUAUAAUUUGAGUGCGAAAUUAAAGGGACUGGAAUGUAAUUCCAAAUGGAUCCAAAUCAUUAAAGUUCUUAGAAUUCCUAUAUUACACAGUUACUGUGAUACUCCGACUAUACCUUCUUUUAUGAUUACAAAUUCGGCCAAUGCAUAGGCCAGAUGUGGGGCAAAUACAAGGUGAAAUGUCCUAUGUGUUUGACUACAUAUACUUGUUGAAGGAGCAUUACGAAUGCUAACCUCAAUAGAUUGCUCAUGUCUUGCCAAGAACACUCUUGAAUUUAUGCAAUGUGCCCAAGCCAGUCCCAAAGCUGGACUCACCCGUCUGCCUGAUGUGUCCAGGGACUCCAAGUUUCCCAACCUCACCUCAUUCACUUUAUCAUGUGGCCCAAUAAAAUCCACCACUUGGUUGGUGACAACCACCGCCAACCCAAACUUAUUUGCUAAACCCUUCAAUGUCCCAGAUAUGUUGAAAAAUAUUUCAAACCGCCAUUUCAAAUCUGCUGGUGUUGUCUGAUACUGUGAUCGGAACAAUGCAGCAAUGGAAUCAAUGACAAUGAGUUUCACAGGUAGGUGGGUGUGAUCAAUGGCAAUAAAUGCUUCUAUGUCUCCAAGGACAUGGAUGAGUUGUUGAGCAUCAUGAACACCAUGAACAUAUAUGUCUUCCAAUGGCUCCAACCUUAUUAAGUUGGGGUAUGAUGCAUGAUAAAGGUUGCCUAGUUGUUGCAAUCGACGAAAUGGGAAGCUGAAUUCUGUGAAUAUGUAGACGGUGGAGCCCUCUAGUCCGCCAUGUGAGGGUGGGAGCUGAGCUGGUACCGUAAGUUGGAGACAAAGUUGCGUCUUCCCAGAACCACUCUCCCCUACCAAUUCUGUUAUAGAGUUGCAGGGUAUCCCACCCCCCAAGCAGUCAUCUAGUAUUGGGCAUCCAAUGGAUAAUUGAGGGGUUGAAAGAGGAAGGAGCAUGAGGUUUUAGGGUGUCAUAUUUGUGUAAUUUAGGGGGGGAUGUGAUGGUGCUACAAGGCAUGCAUUAUAUAUAUAUAUAUAUGUAGAGUUCAUUUUGAAGGUCUGUAUUGUAGGCCAUAUGUCUUUUAAGGGAUGUAUAAUCCAUCCUUUUUUCAGGUUGUAAUUAAUUUUUUGUUUAUUUAUUAGUAUUUUUUUGGACCAAAUAAUUUAAAAAACAUUAUGAUGCAGUACGUACUGUAAUAGGAUCAUAUUGUAACUCUAUCAUCACUCUAUUGUACUCUUAUUGACAUAAUAUUGCCGUUAUAUGCAUGUUUAUUAUAUAGUUAUUACUGCUAUAUCGCCACUGAACUGGACACCGAUAAACUGUAUACGCACAAAUACAAAAAGAGGCUUCAUCAUUCCAUAAAAUCCUAUUUCCAAACUUACAUAAUACAACAACAGGCCACCCCAUCGUUACAUAAUACAAAAAUACGCCACCUCAUAGUUCCAUUUCCCUACUGUUGACAAAUUCGAAGUUGCAUACUCUUCAAGUGCGGUGACCGCGACGCAUGAAAUUCAUGACCCCGGCCACAGUGAUGUUGGCCUAGUUUCCUGCCGGAUCCACUAUUUUUGCAAACUUACGAAAUAGUUCGAAUCCGCUUUCCACUUCUUCUUGCUUCAACUUGGCCGUUGCUUCUGAUUCCUUGAAUACCAUAAUUGCAGUGGUAGGGGCAAUUUCAAUUUUUGCUUUCAUUGUCUUUAUAUGUAGGAGAUGCAUGCGCGCAUGAUAACGAGAGCGAAUUGUGCGGUUUUUUAUGACACCCCAUCUAGUUUGGCCCUCCACAAUUUUGAAACUAUGUCUGCAUGAAGAUUUUUCCAAAACAUGGUAUUGCCUCGACAUUGCUGCAUGCCAUGGACCAAGUCUGCAGGGAGUGAAUUGGGUGACUUGGCUUGUGUUUCAGUCUUCUCUCCUUCAGUAAUUGAAAGUGUUGGGUGUGGUGUGAGGUUAUGGUCCAUGGUCUUCGAUAUUUAUUGUAGCCUAGUGUACAACUUAAUUGGAAAAAAAGGGGACUAAAUGCGAUGGGAGUGAAAUCAGUGGGGAAGGUAGUGGCUGUAAGCAGGAGUUAAUGUGAUGGAAGUUUUCAUUUCAAACAACUGGGUUGAUUAAUAUAGGCAAGUUUUAAUGACCUGGAGUAACUCAGAGAGUUAUUGGUGGGAGGGAUUAGAGGGAGUAAUUGGCGGGAGGGAUUGGCGGGAGUCUUAGGCGGGAUAGUAUUGGGCGGGAGUUAUUACCCAGUUGACUGUAUGCCUUUUUGUAAUAUAUUUGUAUGUUGGACGUUCCAAACUUGGUAAUUUUCCCAUUAUGUAAUUCAAAUAAGGGAUUUGCCUAUUUGCCUAAUUGACCAACUCAUUCAAAUUGACCAAUAUGGUUAUUGUCUUAUUUCUCAUUUCAGCAAUCUCAAUUCGUUUCCAUUUUUCCAUUCUUCAUAUUUUCCUAUUUUCCAUGUGUCAUCCAAUUUUCCAAUUUUCCAAUUUUUCAUUAUUUUUGCCUAUUUUUUCCUAUUCCCUAUUUUCCUAUUGUGCAAUUUCCCAAGUUUCCUUUUGUUGUAUUUCUAGUUUUCCAAUUUUUCAAUGUUCCCAUUUUCCCAUUAUGUAAUUUAAAAAAAGUUGCCUGCUUUGCCUAAUUCAGAAAGUAAUUAAAAUGGUCCAAUAUGGUAAUUGUCUUAUUUUCCAUUUCCACAAUUUCAAUUCGUUUCCAAUUUUCUUAUUUUCCAUGUGUCCCUAUUUCCUAUUUCCAUUUUUCAAAUUUUAAGUUUUUGUCCAAUUAUCCAAUUAUCUUUUUUCCAAUUGGACUAUUUUCUAAGUUUCCUUUUUUUCCUAUUUCCAAUUUUCCAAUUUUUCAAUUUGCUAACUUUCCUUUUGUUCUAUUUCCAAUUUUGCUAUUUUCCAAGUUGCCUUAUUUCCUAUUUUUCAAUUAUCCAGUUAUCCAAUAUUCCAAUUUUCCAAUUAUCCAAUUUUCAAUUUUCCAAUUUGCGAAUUUGCCUAUUUUCCAAGUGUCCUUUUUUCCUAUUUCCUAUUUCAAAUUUUCCAAUUUUCAUGUUUUCAGAGUUUCCUUUUUUUUUCCUAUUUUCCAAGUUUCCUUUUGUCCAAUUUCAAAUUUUCCAAUUUUCCAAGUUGCUUUAUUUUCCAAUUACCCAAAUUUCCUAUUUUCCAAGUGUCCUUUUUUCCUUUUUCCAAUUUUCCAAUUUUCCAAGUGUCAUGUAAUCCUAUUGCCUAGUUUCCUCUUUCCAAUUUUUCCUUUUUUCCUAUUUCCAAUUUUCAAUUUUCCAAAUUUCCCAAAUUUCCAACUUUCCAUUUUUUCGUAUUUCCGAUUUGCCAAUUUUCCUUUUGUUCUAUUUCCAAUUUUCCAAGUUUCCUUAUUUCCCAUUCUCCAAGUUUUCACUUUUCCUAUUUUUCAAUUUCGCUAUUUUCCAAUUUUCUGUUCUGAAAUUCGCAAUAAAUGCUUAGUUACACAGUCCUAUUUUGGGUUGAAAUCCACAAUUUUCAAUUUCCCAUUAAGGUUUGCUUUUUUGUCGUUUGGAAGCCAAUUUUAUUGUUGUUAAUGUAAUGUUGUACUGUUGUAAAUUACAGCCAAUGAGUUAAUGAUGUAGUUUGCAAUCCCAUCAAUUGAAUGCACCAACUAAAUACCCAAUAUACUUCAUAUAAGUUCGUACAUAUAACUCAACCUUCCUAUACAGAACUGCAACAGAGGCACCUUCUUAACGGGAAAGGUAAUUAGUCUUACUAAAACGCAAAUAUUCUCCACUACAGCUAACCAAUUGUCGUUUACAACUGGAGACUGAAUCUACCUUUAUUUGUUUUGUUGCAGGCAACAGCUGUGAAUUGUCCCCGGCAAUACUUAAAGAUGUCGGAUGUACGCCCUCCAAAUGAGCAUGUCACAGUUACCCGGGGGACCAGCCGUGGCAUGUGCCAUUCCCAUCUCCACCUCGGACUCCCAAUCAUGAUCCCACUUCAUCUGGAAGUGAGGCUGAGAGCAAUGAUCCGCUUGACAAAAUCUCUGCCGUCAAGCACCACCUCCAAUAUAUGUCAAAGGCAACGGAUUGGUGGGAGAGUAAGUGCGAUAUUCAUGGCCAAGUUAUGGGAAACUUGGCCAACAAGUUGAACAAAGCAUACGCUGGAGAGGUGAAGCAAACUCUAAAAGCAAAAAGUCGGAGCAAAGAGUUAGAGUCCUUGAAGUUGAAAUUGGAAGAGAGAAAGAAAAAUGCUGUCGAAAAAUUCACACAAUCUGAAGAAUAUAACCAUGAAAUGGUUGAAUGUUUCAACAACGGCUUUGAAAUGUUCCGAGAUUAUGCUUCGGUCAUCUCACCAGACUACAAUUGGAGUGAAAUUGAUGUAGCUGGUGUUUGGCAGGUGCUGAAUAUGGGUGCUGAGGGAAUGGCUCAUCAUAGCCUCGUGCAUGCAGCAAGGAGAAAGGACAAAGACUUGGAUCUUUUGAUGGACCUGUAGUAACAGUGAGUGCUGCUUCAGUUCAACUCACCUGAGUACAUGGAUCUUUUGUUGCCUUCAUUUUCCCUUCGCAGGCUAGUAUUGUUAAGGUUCGGUGGCGAUUUCUUUUGCAUGUGUAAAAUGUUGUCUGUAAUGUGUAUGUAUUGUAUGUAGAUUGACUUAAUAUUGUAGUUCUAUUGUAUGUAUAUUGCCUUAAUAUUGCCUUUGUAUAGCAUAGAUAGUGUAUGCAUAUUGCCACCGUAUUGGAUGUAUAUUGUAAAACUAUUGGUAUCGUAUUGCCCUUAUAUUGCUCUAAUAUUGCCUCUAUAGUGCACCUAUAUUGACCUAAUAUUGCUCUUAUAUCGUAUGUCAAUGGCAUGUGCUCUAAUAAGUCUCCAGUUCGUUGAAAGUAAUCCUGAAUUCAAAUAUGAUGGACAAGACAAUUGUUAUCCAUCCUUAUAUUACCAUGAAUUGAUUUGGACCUUUCAAAUGAUAGUUGGAGUUGCACAUGGAUUCAUAUUCAAAAGGAAAGUAAUUCUCUCCCUCAAUGAAUUGUCGUUCAAAAGAAGGCAGCUAUCAAAUUUUGGGUACAAAAAGGCAACAUCCACGGUAAAUUAAUUGGGCACAAACCACAUAUUACAAAACCAGGAUGAUUUUUGGCAUGCUUCAAAAGAGAAGGGCCAAAUACAACAGAAAAGAAAAUCCAUUCAAGCUUGUACAAUAGAAUGCACAAUAACCCUUUUACAUGUCCUUCCAACACCAGUGUUUUGCCUACUUUAGAGUCGCAGGAGGAGAGCUUAUUGCCAUUGUGCAAUUCGAGGGGGCAGUCAAUUUGGAAUGGUGGCAUAAACAUGUUUACUCCACGGAUCACCUAUAUGGGACAGAGCUUCCUUCUUCCCUUGUCGUCUGUAGGUUUCAACUUCACACUUUUUAUAUACAUGUAUGAGAACUUGUGGCUAUUUAUUUAUGGCCUUCUAACACUUGUUCUGCCAUUCCAAAGUGGGUUGGAGACUUUUUGAGUUGAAUGACUGGAAAGACUUCAGAUGACAGAAACUAGAGAGUUUGAAGAAAAAGGGUUACCAAGAACAGCAGUCAUGCCCACGACAUAAACUAAACAUGCUAUAAGCUCCACAGUAAUAUUUACUUCAUCUCCAUAAUCAGAAUAUUGGGAAAAAAAUACCACGGAGAAAUACGUGAAAUGAAAAACAACUCGGCAGUUACUGUGAGAUUGUGUACAUAAAACUUGGAACAACCAAACCAAUUAAAGCUAAGCCAUCUCAUACGUAUACCUACAUCAAAUAACAGUGUAUGGUCAUCUUGUUUAGAAUAUUGCAAUCAACACUUGGUUGAGACCGACCUGCAAAAACAACUGGGUUAAGUACAGAUGAAGCCAUUUAUGAAGGGCAGUUCCAGAAUUAAGACCUACGUUAAUUUGUAACUGCCACCGAAUCAGUUCAUAGUGCCAAAUGCAUCUACCAAGCACACAGAUAUGACCAGCCAAAAGAAAAAAAAGCAAAGUAAAAAAGAUAAAAGAGGCAUGCCAUAAAUGGGAACCUCAGCAGAAAUCAUCAGAUAUGCAUACAAGCAGAUUGAGUAACAUCUCACUAAGUAGAGGUCAUGUUGGUAAUCGCAUGUUGUGUUUGCACACAGACAUUUGGUUUUUGCAAACACAACAUGCAAUUGCAUUCCAUGAUGUGUGUGUUGUGUUUGCACACAGACAUUUGGUUUUUGCAAACACAACAUGCAAUUGCAUGAUGUGUGUGUUGUGUUUGCACACAGACAUAUGGUUUUUGCAAACACAACAUGCAAUUGCAUAUUGUGUGUGUUGUGUUUGCACACAGACAUAUGGUUUUUGCAAACACAACAUGCAAUUGCAUAUUGUGUGUGUUGUGUUUGCACACAGACAUUUGGUUUUUACACACACGAUAUGUAACAUUUAGUUUUACCCUUUUAUUCUUAUUUUCUUCGUUCAAACAUGGUGGUGAGAAAAGCACCAAACCAUCCCAUCAUAUAAAGCAAAACUCAUACAAUAUUUUAGAUGCAAAAGUUAUAUAUUUUAUAUAAAUGCAUCAUCCGCAUGGCUUGAAAUUACAAAUUCACGUUCACAUAUUACUUUUCACAAGCGCACAGACUAACAAUAAUAAUAAUCAACCAAGUAGUUGCGACAUUCAUCCUAUUACGUCCAUAUUGAUAAUGUCAGAAGUUUCAUCGAUAAGCCUCAUCAAACUACAAGUUUUUUAAUUUGAAUUAUGAAUUCAGAACUAAAAGCUCAUGAUAUGCAGAAAAUGACAUACAUUGUCCACAAUCGACUUUUCGAUAUAUUUCUGCUCUAGCAAUUUAUCGUCCAAAUUCUGGACUCUCUGUGUCAGGUGCUUCUUUGUGUUCUAUCCAGCAUAAGAAUAUUUAAUAGUGUGAUUUCAAUUGUUUAUACAAAUUCUAUAAGUAAUAUUGAUGAGUGCUGUAAAUCUAUUUGAUAUUGGGAACAAACAUGGUCCCACUAACAGAAACUCAAACAAAACAGGAAUUUUUUUUUAUUUUUUUUGGCAUAGACAGCCGAAAAGAAACUUACAGCAAUAGCCUCUGUCACGCUCUCCAGACGUUUAUGCAAUUUUGAAACAGCAGCAUUCAUACUACGCUUUGUCACAUACAGAAGAUCUGAGAAUUUUAGACCCUAACCAUUUGUGAAGAGCAAAUAUUAGAUUUGCUUAAAGAAGACAACAACUCACAGAACCAAUGGAUGAAAUAAUAUGAACAUAAAUAUAUCAUUUGGAUACCUUCCACCACAUGUAACCAUAACCCAAUGCCCCCAAGGUAGCUGUUGGCAUUAUUAGUGAUGUCAAACCUAUUAAAAAAAUCAAAAAAAAAAAUAUAACCAAGUAUAAAAUGUUUCUAUUGCAUUAUGAAAUACAUACGUGUAAGGAAUUAAUCGUUUUACAACUUAACCAAAAAGUCAAGGCAGGAGCAUGCAUUCAUUGAGUGGUUAUAAGCAAGAGGAAAAAGCACAAAGCAUGCUAAGAAUUCAUUUGAACACAGAAGAGAAAGUAAGCUACCUUGGAAUUUGGCUGUCAUUCCCCUUCAGGACGGCUCUCUGUAGUGACGAGUCUAGUUGUCGGACCUCAGCUGCCAGUCGGCGCACCUAAAACAAAGUAACACAGGAAAAUUGAUAUCCAUUACAAAAAACAAAAAUUGAACACGAGAAAGCAUCCUUCGACACUAAAUUUAUAGCAGUUUUUCCAAUACCUGUGAUGCGAUCGCAUAAAAGUCACCUUCUGAUUGUUCUCCGGUUCCAUUGAACAAAGGCUGCAAACAAAACAGAAAUAGACACAAAUCCAUCAAUUUUUUGAGCAACAAGACACAAGCUCCGAAAUAAAUAAACUAUCUAACUGAUCAAAACCCUAGUUUACCAAAUGCAUUACAAAAUUAAAAACUCAUACAAAAAUAACACCAAAUACAAAUGUUCUGCGAGUUCCACUAGCAAAGCAGAGUACAAAUCAUGAAAAUGGUACCUGAAGUUCACCGAUCAAUUCAGAUAAUUGACCAUUCUUACGCAGGAUGGUGCUCGUAUACCCUGUAGAAAGAGAACAAUCACUCAGAUCAAAUGUAGCUAAAUACACAAGGAAACUAAUCCAGUAUGCAAGAUGAAAGAGGAGUGAUUGGUACCUACUCCAGCGAAGAUCAGCAAACACAGUAUGAGGUUCCAAAUUCAAAUAACAACAUAAUGCUAAGCAGAGAAGUAGAAUUGCUGCCGAAAUUAUUUAAAACGAACUAAGUCAAAACUAAAUGGAGAAAUGUUAACAAAGUUGUAUGCUUCAGUAAGUCCAGUAACAGAUUCCCAAAACCACAGAGACAAAAUGUGAACAAUGGCUACAAAAGCAUCCAUAAAGAGCAACUAUGUUUAUAUAUGGAGGUGUACAAAAUAGUUAACCUUCAAAAUCGAAACAGUGUGUGUGCCAUGUAAGGCAAUUAGCCACUGCUUCUAGACUAUACAAUAUUACACCUCACAAUAAUAACUAAACCAACUAGCUCUAGCAAAAAGGCAGGAUGACCAUAUAAAGUACCCCCAGCAAAGCAUCUACGUCUGCAUCUUCAUAUCAAGGAGUUCCUGACAUAAGUAAUGAGCAAAGUGAAUUCCCAAGUCAUAAGUCCAGAAUGAGGUGAAUUCACGGACAUUAAAACAUUUACCUCAUAAAUAUGCCUCCCCCCUUAAACCCUCAAUUGCAAGCCUCAGCCGGUAAUAUUUGAUCUUCAAAGGGUCAACUUUAUCUACCGAAAUCCCAGCACUGAGAUGCUCGAUGAAUUUGACGGUCAUGAUUCCGCAAGACGUACUGUGAGACCAAUAAGUUGGGAAAUUAGAACUGCAGUUAUGUAAGAUUUGGAUAAACUGCACUAAAUUCACAAAGCUUACCCAUCUCGUUGUUGUGGCACAUCUGCAAUGCUGCAAACUGAGAAUGGCGUAAACGUCAACAUCUUCAGCCCCUUUUGCUUAACCUUUUCAACCUCAGAAUCUUCAUAAAAGUGCAUAUCGUACAGCACUCGUGCCAGCGUAUCGCUAAUAGGGUGCAGAAGUGUAACCAGCUUCGAACAUUUGGUAAAAGCAACAUAUGAGUCAUACACAGUUGCAGUAUGUCAGACGAAAUCAAUUUCGAUUGCAACCCAGUAAGACCCUUUAAGAUUAUAUGGAAUAUAGACCUUCCGGACUUUUGUCCAAGCUUGGCCAUACCCGUGUUGCCACGUACCGCGUACAAAGUAAUGUAUAUUCUGCAGCUUGCUGGGUGGAAGGUCAACGGUGUUUGAAGCAACUGCCUUCUUCGAUCCACGUUUCUUGGCAGUCGGUUUGAACGGAUCUAGAAAUUGCUGCAUAAAUUGAAAUGAAGGCAUAUUAGAAAAUCACAACCGAAAGCAAAUGAAGCAGCGAAUGUAACAUGGUAACAUGUUUACCUGCAAGCAACAAUCUGCUGUUGUCCAGUCAGUUCCAAAUACCAACGGAUGAGAGAGUUGCCUUUUCCAGAUAAGAAAGGUUGCCAUGUCCAGGUGCUGAAAGUUGACACACAUAAUAUCAGCACAAUUUCAUACAACUGUACACUUAAAAAAGGUGAGAAAACAAUUUAAUUAUCGCAAUAAAGUAGAGCUUUGUGUAUUCUUACCCUUGAGCUAAUCCAUUCCGUUUCAUCGAUAAGUCUGUAGAAAAAAUCAGCGCCCACUGAAAAUAAUUCCAGCUGCACCUCCGCACUACAAAAGGCAAACUUGCAAUGGUUACUUUUAUAGUCAUCUCAUAAUUCUGACUUUGUUGAUGACAAAAAUACACAUGUAUAUUAAAGCAAACUCUACGUUUUCUCAUUAGUCUAUGACUACAUACUAGAAUAGGAUGAAGAUUGGAAUUCAAAGGUAAAGAAUCCUAACCUGAUAUCGUUUUUCCAGGCAGUACAAAACUCUAUUACUGCCUUCACAUCUUCAAUGGGCACGGAUUUUGAUGGAUCAAAACAUGGCGGGGUUGCAGUCGCAGCCAACACACUCAUCGUCCUCUUCUUCCUCAAAGGAUCAGUAAAUGGGCUCAACAAUGUCUGCGCCGGGCGCUUCUGUCUGCACCCUUUACCUUCCACUUCUUUUUUUUCCACACUCGAACUACCUUCUUCAUCACCAGCCAUACUAACUGUGGGUAGACUUGGAGGAUUCAUCGGACCUCCCGAUGGCAUACUCUUAGUCACUUUCCAAUCUUCUAACAGAGACAACACUUUUUGGCAGAUUUCGUCACACCCGGCCACAUCUUCCGGGGUAGGCAGCUUCUCGGAUUGUGCCUGCUCAGCUGCUUCAUGCACUUGUAAGUGAGGAACUGAAGCGGCCAUUUCUGCCUCUUCGACUACCAUGGCUGCGGAAGGUUCGGCUCCAUCACCGGGAACUUGUGUUUCCAUUACCGCCGGUUCUGUAGGCGGACUAACAUGGUCAUGUAAUGGCGACAAGUGAUUGUCGCCUCCUUCAUUCAUAUGAGGACUACUGAGGUCCUCAUGUCCUUUCCCACCUUCAUUCACCCCACCAUUUCGUUUUUUCAGCUGCUCUAUCUCCACAUUAAAAUAAUGCUCCAUUAAAGCCAGGGUGUUGCGGAAAUCCUCCACACACUUUUUAUUUUUUUCGAACUCUCUUUCAACUUUCAAUGACUCCUUCCGUACCAUGUCUUCCAACUGAUGCACUCUGUUGCGAAGCGCUCGAUUUGAUAUGGCAACUUUGGCCAAUUCAUCCUUUGUCCUUUGAAAGUCACGCUUCAAAGUGCGUAACUCUCUGGACGCGACUGUACCCUGCAUUCAGUUAUAAUGCAAGUGUUACAAUAUUUUCAAAAUAUAUUGCAACAAUACAGCAGUUAUUUUCCUAUUGUAUUAUGACGUAUAUCUUGGAAAAAAAUGUAAUGCUUGCCUUAGAAGACGACGGAAGGCUAGCAGUUUCGUCAAUGUCCUUAUCUUUUUCUUCUACAGAGGCAGAAGUGCUGGUUUUUUGUUCAGCGUCAUCGCCAAACAACUGAACAAGUUCUUCAGUGUCGUCAACACUGUCACCCCAAGUCCAAUACGGCUGCUGCUUGUCGAUUACAGAUGGCCGGAGAAGUUGCACAUCAACCUGCAAUUUACACAUACAAUAUACAUAUCAGUAAACUUAUUAUAUUAUAUUUUCAUAUGCCUAACAUUAUCAUUAAAAACUUAACUAACCUCACGGUUCUCGAAUACUUGGCUCAUUAGCUCAUAAAAACACGGCGAACUAUUGCUCCUCCAAUGUAGUAAACGAGGGAUGUAGGCAUUAUCUUCGUGCACCACCAAAUGUAGUGCAGCCAACGCUGGAAAAACCUCAUAAGCCCAAAUCUGGUUUGAGGAAUAAAACGUGAGUCACUGUAAACAAAUGAAAUUUAACUUCAACAUGAAUGGAAAUUUGCUCACCUGAAGUGCAUAGGCAAAACCUUUGAGGUGGUACUCUCUUGGUCUACCAGUUGCCGUUGUUUUUGCUUUCUUUUCAGAUUUUUUUGUUUUUGCAGCUUUUUUGGGCACUUUCACUCGCUGGUAAUCUGUACAAAGUGCCCUCAGAAGUGACACAAUUGUCUUGGCAUAACACACAGCACCCCAUGGAUACUUCCCAAACUCUUCAAGGUCUUCCACCAACUUCAAAUAUCGCAUGUCAAUCUGGACAUGUUUUUCACUGCCCAACAGCACAAACACAGCAAAGUAUACAAAUCUGAGCUUCAAUACAUCGUCCGCAUCAACGCAUUUGAGGAAGGCCUUUUCUAAUUCCAAAACAUUGACAGUUUUAUAGUUGCCAAAGUACUUCCUUUUCAAUGAGCAGUUCUCAUUAGUGGGAAUCGGAAUAAAGGGAAGGUUUCCAAACCUUAGCCCUGUCACGAUGCAAAAUUGCUGCGCCGUGAAUUGGAUCACCUUAUUGCCAACGAUGAAUUUGAUCCCGUUGAGUUGGGAAACUGUCUUUGGAUCAGCUUUCCUCAGCAGCAAGCCGUGGACAAUUGGCGAAGUCCACUUGAGGUCCUCAAUCAGUAGGAGAUGCCCAAAACAACUCUCUUCAAACCUUUGUAGCUGUUGUUCACUGAAUUUCUCCUUUAUCGUGCUGAUUGCAGUCUUCGUAUGGGAUAGGGACAAUGCUUUUCCUUGGAACUUUUCUUCCUCUGCAAUCAUCAACUUCAUUUGAGCAACCAUCUUUCCCUGCAUGCCAAUAUUAUAAAAAAAAAUUCAGUCCGUUGCAAUCUAGACAAUAACAAGCAAUAAACAAUCAGCACUUAUCUACAGCCUAUUAUAGGAUAUUAAGUGAAAACAAAAAAACAAAAAAUACAGGGCAUAAACAAAACCCCAGCUAUUUACAACUGACCUACUAAUUCAAUAGCUCAAAGCCACAUCCCAAGACACCCAGUACUCUACCACUCUUGCAUAAUAUAAUAUCUAAAGACACAUCUCAACACACCAGAUAAUCAUGACACAGCUUCAGCUAGAAUGGGAAUGUGCGGUAGCACAAGCCUAAUUGAGAACAAUUCAAGACUAACGAUAGAAAUCUAUCUGACUAGAAAGAGUUUUAAAAAAACAAGAAGACAUCGGGAAAGAAUUGAUUGACUUCAAGGUAUAAUGUAAUGGAACAUCCUAUGAAUUAGUGGCAACCAUAAUAAUGACUCCACUAUGGCCCUCCUUUCAAAUGUAAGAAAAUGAAUGAAAUUGGCACCAUCCCUUCAGUUUUUUCUUAACAAAAUAAGAGAUUUGUAUGUAUUCUCUGCUUUAUCGAUAUCAAAGAUAAAUUAAUAAAUAAACCAUCAAAACUGUAUAAAAUGUUUGUUAGACAUGUACAAUUACAAAAUUAUAAGUUCUCCUCAGAAACAAAGUUCUCUAAGUACGCAAACAAGAAAAGCAAAAGCUUAAAGAGUUAGCUUAUAGCAAAAUCAAUGUCCCCAUUUCUCUAAACCACACCUGCUGGUGGUAGGUUCCCAUCUUCACUCAUUUCCCGCUUUCUUUUAAACAGACAAUGAUCAAGCACAAAAGAGCAAACUUUUAAAUAACUCAUAUUACACCACAAAUAGUUCUAAAGAAAACUUAUUCAUAUCCAAUAUGCAACCCCUAAAGUUAGUAAACAGAGUUAUAAAAAAAUAUGUCAAAUUAACAAGCAUUAUUCUCAAACAAAAAGUAUGAUAUGGUUGGGAGUUUACAAGUUCAAAAUGAUAUACACAGGUUAAUUGUCUUAGACUUUAGAUAUCAUCUUCAACAAAGAAAAUAGAUACCGAUUAGACUUGUAAGAAGGUUAAAUGCAAUGGUCAUAAAGACCCAUAGUAAGCCACCAAAUACCAAUCAAUAACUGCUAUAAAAACCAUAAUAAAACCAUAAUAAACUAAAAAUACAACAGCACUAAAAUGCCAACACAACAUCACUACAUUAGCAAUAUAGUAGCAACAAAACCACAAUACGACAUCAAUAGCAACAGCAAAACAACAGCAGUGCAAGCAUCAGUCCACAAAGAACAAACCCAUUCACUGUUUCAAACAAGGAAUCAUCAUACUAAGAUCAUUUCAGAGAAACCCCAAAACCAAUUUCAGUGAAACCCCUAAACCAAUUUCAGAGAAACCCCUAAACCAAUUUCAGAGAAACCCCUAAACCUUCAACCAAUUUCGAACAAAUCCCUGAACCAAUUUCAUAGAAAUGCAUAAACCCUAAACCAACUUCAAAGAAACCCUAAACUGUAAGAAAAUGACGAUGAACAGUACCUGUUCAAGGUGAACGAUGGAGUUGAGCUUCGAUGAACAAAUUUCGCUCGGAGAGGAAGAGAGAAGAGAGAGUCAGAGCUGAGCGACGAGAGAUUAAGGGCUGAGCGACGAGAGAGUGAGAGCUGAUCGACGAGAGAUGAGAGAGUGAGAGCAAAGUGACGACAGAGUGAAGAGAAAUUGAGAGAAGGAGCCAAGAGAGAGAGCUGAGAGAGAACUUCAGCAAAACUGAUAGAGAACUUCAGCAAAAGUGAUAUGUGUACAAUAAGGGGACAAUAAAUAUAUAUUUAUAGGUUAUAGUUCCAAAUUUUUUUAAAAAGAGUGGUAUUUUCAGUUACAAUUAUAAAAAUGGUGGCAUUUUGAGCUAUUUCCUUAUUUUUUAUUCAACAUGGACGCAGAAACUGUUGCUAAACUGCAAACUUCUUAAAAUAUUUGUCUCACUUUCUCAACCCUAUAUUUGUCUAACUUUCUAGAUCCAUGUACUGAGAUUUAUUAGGGAAAUAUUGUAGAAACUGAUUAUUUUGAAAUAUUAAAUGUGAAAAACUGAACAAAAAUUUGAUGGGUUACAUAUUUCAACUCAUUUCAGCAGCUUAGAUUUUGAAGACCUCGGAAGAGGCCAUGCAGUGAGCCUAGCUAGUGCACUGUUGAUCACUUCAGUGUCUACCGAUCUGUAAUUUUUCCAGAUUGGUUAUAUUUUCCUUUACAUAUUCUUAUAUUAUUCCCAGCUGUAAGUGUUUUACACACUUGUCUAUUAGAAAAGGGGAGACUUAUAAAUAAAUCCAAAAUGGGUACAGUAUUUAUAAAGAAUGACAAAAUUAAAGUGUUUGGGCAAUAAUGCCCUUAUUCAUUUUGAGAUUGCCUAAGGAAUAUUUUUUCUGAUUUUCAGAAGAUGCCAAAGGACCGUUGUUUGAUGAUUGCCGUAAGGAGCUAAGAAAACUUGCUUUGAUAGUUUUGGACAGAUGCAUGCUACUGUUGCUGGGAUGAUCUCUUCACGUGAAAUGAGGAUGAUGAUGCUUCUACACUACACAAUCCAACGAAUUCACAUGUCUAUUUCAGAUACAAGUAUAAACUAACAAGGCUUUAAAAUAUGGGCUGAUGCACUGUUGUUGAUGUUGCUGACACUGUUACUGUGUUGUUGAUACUGUCACUGCGUUGCUGUUGGAAAAAGCACAAGGACUUCACAUGUUGCUUUCGUCUUUUGUGGAGGAGAGAGACCUAGGACUUGCAUGUCUUAGAUAUUUAAGAUAAGGGGCUUUCGUUCCAUUUUGAAAAUACUUUGGGUGUUUUUGAAAGGUGAUUGUUUCUUUUGGGUUUCUCACUAAAUUUCGCUUUAGAAGGGAAAAUAAUAAUAAUAAUGUCAAACAAAGUAGGGUAAAUAUUCAGAUAUGCUCAUAUUAUUAUUCUUCUCCAAUAUUGAGGUAUUUAUACAAGUACAAAGAUGUGUUAACCCUAAAUAAAAUAGGAAAUAUAUCUAAAUUAUAAUAGGCAGUAAAUCUCUAUUACAAUAGGACUAAAUAAUAAUUGGUAAGUAACCAAAAUUCUAAUGAAAUAAGGAAUCAAAAUCCUAACUAAGUAAGGACUCGCCAACACUCCCCCUCAAGUUAGGGCAAACAUAUUUCGCAUGCCUAACUUGACAAGCGAGUCAUAGAACACCAUACUUGAGAAGCACCAAUUGUAGAGAAGGUCUUUUCGUCAACCACGAGUGAAACAAGUGACAAACUAAAGCAAAGUUCGCAGCGGAAACACAAGAGCGAAUCCUAAAAAAUAGGGCACAUAGCAGAACACAAAAAUCCUGGAGCACGACAGUAGAUAAGGCAGAACACAGAAACCCUGUUAGCACGGCAAUAGGUAAGGCAGAAAAAGUCAAGAGCAAAGGCAAGGUCAACAGGCGUGACCACAACGAAAACACACCAGCAAAGACAUGAGCAACAAUAUUAGCACCAUAAUAGACAUGAGCAACAAUACUGGUACCAACAACAGCAAUACAAGGCACUGGCACCAGCAAGAGCAACAAGGCAUGGACAUAACAUGCAUAAUCAAUAGUAAUCAACAUUGUCCCCAACAAGAGUCAUAAUAGGCAUGAGCAAUAACAUUGUCCCCACUAAGAGACUUAACAGGUAUGAGUAACAGUACUGGCACCAGCAAAGGGCAUAGUAGUCAGCAGCAAUAACAAUGACAAAUACUUCUAUUAUUGCAGAGACAACUUCUCUUCACUCCCCAUCUCCCCUUGAAGAGAAGGGGUCAUCGGAACCAUAAGAAAAGUGGCACUUAAGAAACAGAAGUUGACUGACGCUCAAAUGUAGAAGAAUCAGCCAUGGCAAAUAGGUAGCUGAAUUGCAGCGGAAUAGAUGAGCAGCGGUGUCACUCCCCCUCAUAUCUGAUAAUGUAUGAGAGUCGAGAUUUGGAGAAAGCAAUAUCGAAAAAUAAAGUUGCAGAACCCAAAUAAAGUUGCAUCUAUCUCCCCAUCAAAUCCGACACUGGUAAAGGGUCGAGAUUUGAAAGAGGAGAAAUUGAAAUAAUAGUAAAGAGACUCAAACAUGCAGUCUCAUGGCAGAAACAAAUGCAAGAGGGGAAGAUGGUAGCAUACGGUUGUCCCAUGAAGAAAAAACUUCAGAAAAGGAGAAUAGUAAGGGAGGAAACCUAGCAAAUCAUGAACAGAGACAAAGACAAAGAUGCUCAAACUGAGAAGCGGAAAGGCAACUCAAGAGAGCAACCGAAGAAGACAGAGGCCCGCAGAACAGUCAAAGUUAAGGCUCGGCGAGUGGUGACGAUGCUCGCGGAGGAAAGCAACGGCUCGGUGAGCGGUGAUGAGGCUCACGGAGUAAAGAGACUUGUUAUGAAGUUUCAAAGAUAGAGAAGCUGAGACAUCAAGAAAGACCAUCUGGCAUACAAAGAUGAAAAAUAAAAAUUUUGGAACAGUAGCAAAGAAGCAUGUGAAGGCUGGUGCGGUGAAAACACAUAUGAAAGGAUGAACAAAAGAAGAUGACUAUACAAGAUGAAGACCCAUGAUGGGUUAGGAAUGAGGAGUGCCAACGACUCUCAAUUUGGCAGAGGUUAUCGCAGGUUAGGAACCUGGCUCUGAUACCAUGUCAAACAAAGUAGGGUAAAUAUUCAGUUAUGCUCAGAUAUGCUCAUAUUAUUAUUUUUCUCCAAUAUGGAGAUAAUUAUACAAGUACAAAGAUGUGUUAACCCUAAAUAAAAUAGAAAAUAUAUCUAAAUUACAAUUGGAAGUAAAUCUAUAUUACAAUAGGACUAAAUAAUAAUUGGUAAGUAACUAAAAUUCUAAUGAAAUAAGGAACCAAAAUCCUAACUAAGUUAGGACUCGCCAACAAAUAAUAGUACAACUCUUAUUAGCAACAGGUUACAAACUUCUUCUACAACACACCAACAUGAAUCUAGCCCUGAUCCACUCUUUUACAUACUUGAAAACAAAACAAAACACGAAAAACAAAAAACAAGAAACAAGAUAGGGAGAAAAUGGCUACGGAGAGACUUCCUGCUAAUCAGGGGCGGCCCUGGGGUGGUGCAAGUGGCGUCACCGCACAGGGCCCCCGAUUCUUAAGGGCCCCCAAAAAAUAAUUCUUUAUAUUAUAUAUAUAUAUAUUAAUAUUAUAUGAAUCGUAUAUAAAGUAUAGCGUCUGGAUGAUAAAGAGACUCAUUAUCAUUAUCUUAGUCAUAAGAUUCAAAAUGAAUUGAUACUUUUGUUAGCUUCUGAGCUCAAAAGUGCAAUCAUUAAAAAGAUUGAAGAAGCUAAAUAUUUUUCUGUGAUUCUUGAUUGUACUCCAGAUGCUAGAAACCAAGAACAAAUGAGUUUGAUAGUAAGAUGUGUGGAUGUCUCUACUAAUUCAAUAAAGGUUGAAGAAUUCUUUUUGGAAUUUUUGAUUGUGAAUGAUACAACAGGACAAGGACUUUUUGAAGAGUUGCAAACGGUGUUGCAAAAACUUAAGCUUGAUAUUGAUAAUGUGAGAGGACAAGGCUAUGACAAUGGAUCAAAUAUGAGUGGGAAAUAUCAAGGUGUCCAAAGAAAAUUUUUGGAUGUAAAUCCUAGAGCAUUGUACACACCUUGUGGUUGUCAUAGUCUUAAUUUAACACUUUGCGAUAUUGCAAACUCUUGUGGAAAAGCAAAAGAUUUUUUUGGAAUCAUACAACGUAUUUAUACAUUGUUUGCUAAUUCUACAAAGCGGUGGAAGAUAUUGAAAGAUAAUGUUAAACACUUAACUCUGAAAUCAUUGUCAGUUACACGUUGGGAAAGUCGUAUUGAAAGUGUGAGAGCAAUAAGAUUCCAAGCUGCAGAUUUAAGAGAAGCUUUACUUCAGUUAGCAGAAAGUGACGGUGACUCCAAAAUAACAAGUGAAGCUAAUUCUUUGGCAACAUAUGAACUUGGAAAUUUUGAGUUCUUAUUGGGCAUGGUUAUUUGGUAUGAUAUAUUAGGUGGUGUCAAUGUAGUGAGCAAAAACUUACAAUCUGAAGACAUGCUUAUUGAUGUUGCUAUUGAUAAAGUGAAAGGGUUGAUUACUUUUUUUUUGAAAAGUAUAGAGAAAAUGGGUUUACAGAAGCUAUGUGUACUGCUAAAAAAAUUGCUACUGACAUGGGAAUUGACCCGGUGUUUCCUGAGAAGCGAAAAAUUCGUAGAAAAAAACAUUUUGAUGAGAAUACUUGUGAGCUAUCCCAAUCAGUUCCUGAAUCAACUGAAGAAAAGUUUAGAAUUGAUUAUUUCUUGUAUUUAGUGGACCAAGCUAUUGGUUCUUUACGAAGAAGGUUUCGACAAUAUCAAGAGUAUGAGAAUUUUUGGGUUUUUGUUUACUUCAGAGAAGUUAAAUUCAUUGGAUGAUUGCGAUUUGAAGAAUAGUUGCAGUCAUCUGGAAAGCAUUUUGAAAAAUGACAAGUUUUCUGAUGUCGAUGGGGAGGAUUUAUUUGUUGAGUUGAAAGUUUUACAAGAGCUUUUACCAAAAGUAAAUACCACAGCUACUGCAAUAUUAAAUUUCUUGAAAAGAUUAAAUUGUUUUCCAAAUGCAUUCAUUGCAUAUAGAAUCCUAUUGACUAUUCCUGUUACUGUUGCAUCUGCGGAAAGAAGUUUUUCAAAAUUAAAAUUGUUAAAAUCAUACUUGAGAUCAACUAUGUCGCAAGAAAGAUUAAAUGGACUAGCUUUGAUUUCAAUUGAAAGUGAACUUCUUGAAAAACUUGAUUAUGAACAUUUGAUUGAUGAUUUCUCUUCUAAAAAUUCAAGAAGAUCAAUUUUCAGACAUUAGUAUUGUACUAGCUGUGUUUUUUUUUUUCUUCUAGGGUAAAAGCUCUCAUAAUAAUUUUAAUUCUUCAAAUAAGACAGCAAAUACAAUGUGAUGAAUUUUGGAUAAUCAGGUAUGUUUUUGUUGUUGCUUUUGUGUUUAAUGCAAUAUAAUCUAAUUUUUUUAAUGACAUUUGUGUGCAACUACUCUUUGAUUUGUGAUUGCCAAUUUUUUUUUCUUUCUAUUAAACACAGAUUGCUUAUUGGAGGCAGCAAGAGACCUUAUAGGGGCACAAGGAGCUUAUUUUUGUACAAAACAUUUAACUUUAUCAAAUGGAAACAUUUAAAUUUUUAUGAAUUUGAUUUCUGAUUGUCAUUGCAUAUUUAUUGAUGGUGAAUUUUAGUUAUAAAAAAAAAAUUGUUUAUGACAUUAAGUUAUGGCAAAUUUUUAUAGUAUUUUCGUAUUAGAUUAUGCGAGGUCCCAAUUUAAGUUUCGCACAGGGCCCUCAAAAUCUCAGGAACGGCCCUGCUGCUAAUACUUGAUCAAUAACAGAGAUAAUAGAGCACACUGUUUGUAUGACAAUGAGUAUCAGAAGAAUAAUAGCUGCAAAGAGAGAAAUAGCUGCCCAAGGUGUGUUGAAAUACUUUUGUCUCAAAUUUGCCUUCCGUCUGUUCGUGGUCUUCUUGCAGUACUCGUUUAGUUUGCCAGCAAGAUCACCAAAAUAGUAGUUUCCGUGGUUCGGAGCAACUUUACUGCAAAGCUUGUUAAUCAUAAUGGAAACCUUAUUGUUGUCACCUAGCGUGUUUACAACAAUUCCAUUGUCAACAAGCAACUCUACAUCCUUUGGGGUGUUUACAAAUUUAUCCAGGAUGAAAACAUAAUCGCUUAUGUAUUUAUCCACGCAAUGGCCUUGUUCAAAGGCAAUGAGAUUUCUAUGUGUAAGCUGUGUAAUCAUGUAUUUCAAUUUUUGGAAUUUCCAAGGUGUUUUUCUUGAACUGUAUAUCGAAUAAGUUCUUGCUUGAUCCCACGUUAAACUUAACUCCGGCCUGGUGUAGUUUUGUCAUGCUGGGUGUACUUUGGAGCCCUCCAUUUUUUUUUCUUUUGGCAGAUGUAAAGUUCUAAUAAAAUCAACAAAAUGUAAAGGUUUUUUAGGAUCAGGAGGCAUAAAAGACUUACGGAAGGCUGGUGAGUUCUCCAAGUUUUCUAAACGCAGUGCCUGUUGGAAGAACUUGUAAGAGAGUUCAAUUAUUGAAGGCUCCCCAGUCUGAGCACCUGUGAGAUUGUAAAGAUCCUCGAGAAUGAAAAAUGGCAGCUGAUUUACGAGCAUAAGCAUGUCAGGCAAUAUAUUUUGUAGCACCCAUGGUUUUUUAAAUAUCCAAGCAUCAUCAUCCUGCAAUUUUUCUUCCUGAAAUUUUUCUUCGGAUUUAUUCCUCAACAAUAGCUCAAUGACAAAGGCGGCAUCAACUAGAAUGAUAUUCACAAAAGUAGCAAUGUUAAACUUCUUAGGGCUAGUUUGGCGGCGUUGUGCUUUUAAAAAAAUAUGCUUCUGCUGUGCUGUGAAAAUAAUUAGCUGUGAAAAAAAGCUACUAGGCGUUUGGUAAACUGUUUUUGAAAAACUGCUGUGAGUAGUCAAAGUGUUUGGUAAAUUUUUAUCAGAAGUACUUUUAGUGUGUAUAAUGACCAAAAAGGACAUGAUGAUGAAAUUGUUUGUUAUUUUCUUCAUUCUUUUUCUACUUUAAAAAAAAAAAAAACCCAAUUUCACUACAUAAAUUUUUAUUCUUUUUUAAUUCACACCUUUUUAUCAAAAAAUUUAAUCUACAAUUAACAUACAUAUUUUACCAUAAAUUAUAAAUUACUAUUAUAACAAAAGUAAUUCUAAAUAUUGUUAUAUUAAUAUGGGCUUCGGACAUGACAAAAAUACAAAAAUUGUUCAAUUUUAAAAUGCCCCAAUAGAUCACUACAAUAUAAAAGAAGCUAAUUAGAUGCAUUCAUUAAACUUGUAGCGAUGCUAUUUCUUAAUGCAUUCAUUAGCUUCUUUUUUUGGUUUCCAAUGGUUCUCUAACAAUUUUAACUAAAAAAACAACCAUAAUGCUUUGUGAACAAUAAAUUCAAGUCCAAAUCUGCUAUUGCCCACACCAUACAUAUAUACAUAAUUGUUCCUUUCAUAAAACUUGAAGAUUCAAUAGUAAUUACACAGUUUACCAAUCUUGAUUCCAACUAUAUCCAUAAAAUUAAACUAUAAUUAGAAAUAGAGGAGCUACAUGUGAUUACUCAUAAAUGCUUCCCACUCUCAUCAUCAUCAUCAUCAUCAUCUUCCUCCUCUGUACUUUGCCUUUCACAAAUGGACAAGACCAGAUGGUAACGUACACGACAUGGUCCACAUAUAGAUAAAUUUUGGGUUCACUGGAGAACAUAAAAGAGUUUUUACACGAAUACAAAGUUAGUUAAGUAGUGAAUAAAGUAAAACUAUUCUGUACAAUUCUAGCUGAUGCAGUCCAAAAAGAAUAUAUGUCUAAUAACUUAAAUAACAAUAAAGAGAAACAAAAGCCUCAUGAAAAAUGCUAGAGUAAAAGUUACAUAACUGAAUCGAUGGACAGAGAACUCCACAGGCAGAGAAACAGCAACAAAAAUUGUCAAAACAGUAGCAAGACCAUGUUGGAGUCAAGGCCAAAGAUCAUAUUUCCUGUGUAUCUUCUUCCAUUCUGAAUUAUUCUCGUAUUCAAAUACUGUAACUCUAUUUCAAGUGCACCCCAAAAUACUUAUCUAAGGCCAGUACAUAGGACUUCAUAAAGGGUGCGAUAAAAAAUAUUGCCCCUUAAUUGAUAAACAGAACCAAGAUCCCAACAGCACACCAAAACUAUACCAACCACACCUACAUAAUAUGGACAGAAAAUCCUGUUGUUCCGAUCUCUAACCACACCAAUGACAUUCAUUAGGAAAAUACAAAAGAUGGGUACCCUGCAUUUCUAACAUUUAAGAUAAAAUUCACUGCCAGCUAAUCACAAAUUUGAAAAGAUGGCAAGAAAAUUGGCUAAGCUUUAACAAAAACCAGAGCAGUCCUUGCAUAGACCUGACUUUUUGCUCCAAGCUUUAGCAGAUCACUUACUGGUAGAGAGCAGAGAACAUGUAUGUGAAUAUCUGAAGUUGGAAGGGUAAGCCAUCACAAACACCAAGAGAUCUGAUUCUCAUCUCUUGUUACAACAACAAAUCACAAACACCAAUACAUCUGAUUCAGAAUCUCAUAAACAAUGGAGGAACAAACACAUAUUCACACACAUAUAAAUCCCUAAACAGAAAAAAUAAAAAAUAAAAAAAAAACCAUGAAAGUCAUAGGAGAAUCAAAUUGAUUUGGGCCAAAAUUGCCUAAAAAGAAAACACUCCUAAAUAAACUUCAAUUCACUUUUAAAAACAGUAAAACAUGAUUGAAUCAUUCUUUAAAACAAUUCCCUAAUAUACAUGCAUGAUAAUGACAUCAUUUACCCCUGAAUCAAAUGCCUUUCACUGGUCAAGCCACAAGUCUGUGUUUUGGGAAUUGCUGAGCUGCAUCAAUCCUGCCAAUGUAAAUUCUGCCCCUAGGCUCUCUCAAAGUGCGUUUACAACCUAUGCUAACAUAUACUAGAGUUUGUUUUAGUAUCUAGAAAAUGCCAACACUAAUUUCGUAACACGUAGAAAUUGUUACAUAUUGGAAGUUUUUAUCAUUUUUUCUUCCAGUCUCUCCACCACUCACUAAUACAGAUUACUCAUGUGAUGAGUUUACAAAACAUAUUUCUCUACUCCCACAAAGACCAUACUUUUUCUCAAAAGACUAUAUCACUUUAUCUCUAUCUUUGUGAAAUGUAAAAAGUUGAAACUUUAAUGUCAAACCUCGACAAAAGAUGAACAUCCAUCAUCAAUUACAUUGAAUUUGAAUUUGUUGAACUUAAGUAGUUUUACUUCUCUGUCAGCGUUUGAUGACUUGAUUUGUUAUUUACUUCUUCUUUUUUCCUUGGAAAUGUGUUCCAUCAACGUGAGGAAGAAAAAUAUGCACAAAUUAAUAUAUUUAAUAGAAGCAAAAAUUAAUAUUUACAAAAAUAUGCACAAAUCAAGUAAAAUUAAUAAAGCAUAAAUUGGAAAGGGAAAAUAUGUAGAGGAUGCAUUGUAGGAUUGCUCAUGCCAAUAAUUGUACCCUCUAAAUAUAUAGGGACAUAUUUUUUUUUGUUUUCAUGACAUGUGGUCCUAAAAUUAUUGUUCUUAGCGGGCUCUCCACCCCUCUCGACUGAAAACCUAUUGUGUAAAUCUUCAAUCCUGAAUGAUGCACCUAAAACUCAUGUUGCAAUACACAUCCACCCAUUCUCAGGCCAAUUAUUACUCCUAGUGGGCUCUCCACCCCCUCUCAAAUUUAAGUGGUCCAUUAUUAUUAACCGUAUAUUUUAUGGACCAGCCAGCUGUGAGGUUUUAUCUCAAAAACCUUUCUCCCACAUGCCACAAUUUAUGUCUGAUACAUCACAUCAUGCCAGUUGUCUCAAAUGAAUUUAAGUGAGUGAGGCAGUGUUACUUCUGGGUACCCCUCAUUAUUCGUCUAUAAAUUGGUGAAGCCAGUUGCUACUGUUACCAUAAGAGCCAGCUCCGACUUUCAAAAUAAAAAUUCCAACAACGGUCUUAGUGCCUUCAAUUGUAUGAGUCAUUGAACAUGCAAAUGAAUAAAAUAUGAAUGAUAAAAGUGUUUGAUAAAUCACCAAGUUAUAGAACACUUGAUGAUUUAUCUCAAAUAAAAAUUCAGCUUUCUAAAGUUUGUGAAUUGAAAAUAUAAUCGUUAAAGCUCUCUAAACAAAGAAGACGAAAGUCUUAUUUUAUAGAAUUUUUCUUUACAAGAAAGAAAACAUGUUGAAAACCAAAUCUCCAAUUUCCAAGGCUUGACAGAAAAUCAAAAAAAUAUCUUUCCUAUUCUAGAGAUUGGUCACAUGUAGUUCAACCAAUAGGAAAUGAGAUAUUUAAGAAAGCAAGAUUUUGAUCAAUACCAAUAUCAAAUGAAUUCUUAUACGCCUAGUCAACUAUUAAGGGUAUCUUGACUCCUUGAUAUUGUGAUAUGAUUGAAACAUGAUUUCCAUGUUAGAAAAUUAAGGGGAUGUUAAAACAUGAAAGUAAUAGGAGAAUCAAAUUGAUUUGGACUAAAAUUGCCUAAAAAGAAAACACUCUUAAAUAAACUUCAAUUCACUUUUAAAAACAGUAAAACAUGAUUGAAUCAUUUUUUAAAACAAUUCCCUAAUAUACAUGCAUGAUAAUGACAUCACUUACCCCUAAAUCAAAUUGUCACGCCCCGGACCUGGGGGUCAGUGGAAACCCCACGUUCGGUGCGUGAGAAAAUAAAAAGUAAAAUAAAAUAAAAAGAAUGCCGAAACAAGGGUUUAAAAUAAACUUCUCUUAUAAAAAUAACUCCAAAAUCUUACAACUUUACAAGAAAUAAAUAAAGCCCUAUCAUUCUUAUCUAAUUCAGCCUCAACUGGUUUAGUCCUUGUCUUGCCCACUAAUUCAUCUAAAAAAUGAAGAGUGUUGCUAAACGAACCCUAAAAUUAAUUGAGUACACCCUACUACCAAACGAUUUAUUGAAUUUGUCACAUCUCGGGAUCAACUCCGCCGUAGCACGAUAUUGUUCGCUUUGGGCCCUCCCUCUCUGGCUCGCAUGGUUUUGUUUCUGGGAACUCACGAGUAACUUCCCAGUGGGUCACCAAUCCUGGGAUUGCUCUAGCCCACAACUCGCUUAACUUCGGAGUUCCUACGACUCCGAAGCCUGUGAGCUCCCAAAAGGUCUCGUGCUAGAUGGAUGCGGGUGUGCACAUAUAAGGCACAUCACCCCCUCUCCGUUGGUUGAUGUGGGAUCUUAUAGAAUUACUAAUUUAUCCUAAUAUAAAAUGACCAAAGAAGAUAAAAUAAUAUUGGUAUCUAUUGCUUUGAAUCCAUGCCUUCAAACAAAUUGACUUAAUUUUUAACAAACAACACGGAGUCCAGGAGAAGUGUAUUGAUCCAAGUUGAUUUUUGUAUGCGUAAAACUUAAACAAUCAAUAACACAAAGCAGUUCAUGCUGAAAUAUUGGAAACCCACACCCAAAGAGUUCUCCGCUGCGAGGUUGAAGGCAGGAGAGAUGGGUGACAGAUUUUACUUCCACUGCGAAGUUGGAGGCUAGGAGAGUCUGUGACUGCCAUGGUUGAGGGAGAAGAUGCGUUCAAAAUGCCUAUUGAUAUUUUACAUUAUUGGCUUUUUUCAAAAGUGAAAGUUUUUUUAUGGGUAAAACCUAAAUUUACUUUUUCUAUACAAGUUAACAGUGUUUGUGUAUUGUGAAAAGGUGGAGAGACGUGUCAAAAUUUUAGACAAAGGACAGGAGGAGAUAGGGAAUUUGGGGACAGCAGAUCUCAACUCCCUUGAGACCCUAUUCUCUACGCCACCCCUCCCCCUCAACAACCCUAGUCACCAUUUCUCCUUCAACUCCAACGGCAACUCAUUAAAACCCAAUUCUCAAAUGCAACAAUCUAAUCCCAAUCCCAAUUCAGAUGUUUCUAAAAAACCCAUUGUCGUGGUGGAGAACUGCAAUUCCAGGUGGUGGUGGUGGUACCACAUGGGAGAGAGAAAAAAGAAGAAGAAGAAGCAGGAGAGAGAGAGUUUUUUAUUUUAUUAUUAUUUUACUGUAAUUUUUUAAUUUAAAUAAUUAAAAAAAUUAAAAGUUAAAGAGGAUGUACCAUGGGUAUUUUUGGUAGUUAAAUAAGGUGUACUUAGGGUCAGUUUGGCAUUGCUGUGCUGUGAAAAUAAUAGCUGUCAGAUUUGCUGUGAGAGAAAUCAGCUGUGAGAGAAAUCAGUUUGGCGUUUGAUAAAAUUUUUGUUAAAAGUGUGUUGAUAUUGAUUUUAUGCUUAAUCCGAAAAUGAUUGCUGCAUAAUCAUUAAACCCAGCGCCUCUUCGAAACUGAUUCCUAUAUAAUCAGAAAAUGAAAGCACCUCAUUAGCUGCUUUCCUUUAUAGCUUUCUCUCACAGCAAUUUUUAACAAUAAGUGAUUUUCUCACAGUUUACCAAACGGGUUGGGCUUCUCAAAAUUUUUUAAAAAUCACUUAUUACCCCAAAUAAGCAAUACCAAACGGGCACUUAGUUAAUUUUACAUUUUAAUUUAAACAUUAGGGUGUACUCAGUUAAUUUUAGGGUUCGUUCAGCAGCACUCAAAAUUAAACAAGGUGAGGGAUGAGCAAGUAGGGACAUGAGACAUUGCCACAGUAGAUUGAUAUAACUAAAUAUUAUUAUAAACAUAGAAAUAUAUAAGUAUUAUUAUAAUAGGAUUCAUAAUAAUUAAUAUAAAAGUAUAACAACAAUAUUUACAUUUAUGUACCAAGAUAAUUACACAUAUAAAUAUAACCAAUAUAUAUUUUUAUAUAUUUUAAAAUAUAAGUCUUUACGUAAAUGCCUUUCACGGGUCAAGCCACAAGUCUGUGUUUUGGGGAUUGCUGAGCUGCAUCAAUCCUGCCAAUGUCAAUUCUGCCCCUGAGCUCUCUCAAAGCACGUUUAAAACCUAUGCUAACAUAUACUAGAGUUUAUGCUGUAUCUAGAAAAUGCCAACACUAAUUUCGUAACACGUAGAAAUUGUUAGAGAUUGGAAGUUUUUAUCAUUUUUUCUUCCAGUCUCUCCACUACUUAUUAAUACAGAUUACUCAUGUGAUGAGUUUACAAAACCUAUUUCUCUACUCUCGCAAAGACUAAACUUCUUCUCAAAAGACUAGAUCACUUUACCUCUAUCUCUGUGAAAUGUAAAAAGUUGAAACUUUAAUGUCAAACCUCGACAAAGUGUUCUACUUUACAAACUUCUUGUGUCUACCAAUUUGUACUAAAAUUAAUUUCUCUACAGUGCUCAGAUUCAUCAUAUGUGUGUCCUUAAUUUUAGUGGAAAUUGGAAGUUUCCAUAAUUUUUGCUUUAAGUCACUCUUCUGAAGGAAGUUGAGGUUCCACUUCAUAAUCCAAAAUGUCAGGUUGACUUAUGGCAAACAAUGUAAAUAUGUAGGAGUACUAUGACCUUUUAUAGCAUUUUUAGUUUGAAUUUGGGUUUUAUACAUAGAUUUCAAAAUUAAUAGGUUGAUGCCUAGGAAAUAGAAAUUGUAAGGGCCUAUAUUAGAGUAGCCCUCUUAAAAAUAAUAUUAAUUAAUGAAUAUUUGUUCUUCUUGUUGUUUUGAAGUAGUGGUGGGAGGCAGACCAACAAAAAAAAAAUAUAGUGAAGGCUUAUAAGAGCAUUUACAAUCAUGCUCCCUAUUUUUUAGUUAAAAUUUAGCUAAAAAUAGAAAAAAAGUUAUUAUAGGAGCUCUUUAUAAAGCUCCUUUAUAAAAUUUGAACUCCAAUCAUACUCCCUAGUUUAGGGAGUCAAAAAUACUAUAGUUAUUUUUUAAUUCAAUUUGAUUUUGGUUAAUCUCUAUAAAUAUGAAAAAAUAGUUAGCAUUAAUUAAAAGUUUAAACUAUGCAUAAAACAAAGAAACAUUAAAUUAUAGGGAGCCACUAUGAGUCAUUACUCUCUCCUCAGAUUUAGGAGCUCCUAAAGGUCUCCCUAUUUUAUGAGGUGGAUAAGGAGCAUGGUUGGAGUUGUAUUUCUUCAAUUUCCUCCCUAAAAUUUGUCUAAGGAUGUGGUUUAGGGAGCCCAUUGUGAAUGCUCUAACUCUGGUAAAACACGAGUGACAUGGACAACAUAUGUUACGUCGUACUGAAGAUUUUUGGGUUUCUUUAAUUGGUUAAGUAGCAUCCACACAGCUUCCUAAAUCAUCUCCUUAGACAAAUUUUAGGGAGGAAUUGGAAAAGUACAACUCCAACUAUGCUCCCUAUCCACCAACUAAAAUAGGGAGACUUCUAGGAGCUCCUAAAUCUGAUGAGAGAGAAAGGACUCUUAAUGACUCCCUAUAAUUUAAUGUUGCUUUAUAUUAUUUUGUAUACAGACGGGUCAAUUAUAUUAAAUUAAAAAAUAAUUAAAGUAUUUAUGACUCUCUAAACUAGUGAGCAUAAUUGUAGAUCAUCUUAUAUACCUUAAUUUGAAGAUUCUUUAUUUGGGUUUCUUUCAAGACUUAUCACCUUAGCCACGCCACCUACACGUCUGCAAGCUUUCCUAACAAGGAAGGGGAGGCUGCGCAAUACUUAUCACCUUAGCCACACUACACCAAAUUGACGUCUGCAAGCUUUCGUAAUCUAACAAGGAAGGGGAGGCUGCGCAAUACUUAUCACCUUAGCCACACCAACACCACAAGACCAAUAUGUGUAGUCCAGGAGGCUUUCCCAUUUUAAUAUAUAUUAUCAAAUAAAAUAAAAAUCAAUCUAUUAUCAUAUAUAUUAUAAAAUAAAGAUUAUUGCUCCAUCCUCCAUGCACUUGCAUGCCUCUUACAAAGUGUGAAGUAGAUUUUGUGUGCUCCAAGUCAUUGACGAGAGCUGUAACAUGGUUAGCUGGAUUUAUAAGAUCUUUUCUUUUCUGGGAAUUUUCUGAAUCAAGAAAAAUUAAGUAAAAUUAAUAAAGCAUAAAUUAGAAAGGAAAAAUAUCUAGAGGAUGCAUUGUAGGAUUGCACAUGCCAAUAAUUGUAUCCUCUAAAUAUAUAGGGACAUAUUUUUUUGUUUUCAUGACAUGUGGCCCUAAAAUUAUUGUUCCUAGCGGGCUCUCCACCCCCUCUCGAUUGAAAACUAAUUGUGUAAAUCUUCAAUCUUGAAUGAUGCACCUAAAACUCAAGUGUCCCAGGCCAAUUAUUGCUCUCAUACCACUUGUUGUAAUAAACAUCCAUCCAUUCUAAAGGAAAGAUAACCAUCGAUAUUAUCUCAAAUUUAACCACUUAAGUUCAUUAUGAUUAACUAUGUAUCUUAUGGACCAAUCCAAUCAUGAGGUUUUAUACCCAAUUAGAUCGACUAAUACAAAGUUCACACGUGGAUUGAAAAGCGCUAUCAGUAGGGGAGUGUUCGGCACCCUUUACUGCCGAACGCAACACAAGACCCCUUGCAUGCCUUCACUAAGUUGAGCCUAUCUAUUUUUUAGCAUUAACAAUAUAUAUAGAUUGAAAAAAUAAAAUAAAAAUCAAUCUAUUAUCAUAUAAAAUAAAUAUUAUUGCUCCAUCCUCCAUACACUUGCAUGCCCUCUUACAAAGUGUGAAGUAGAUUUUUUGUGCUCCAACUCAUUGACUAGGGCUGAAACAUGGUUAGUUGGAUUUAUAAGAUCUUUUCUUUUCUGGGAAUUUUCUGAAGCACGGAAAAUCAAAUAAAAUUAAUAAAGCAGAAACUGUACCCUUUAAUUAUAUAUGGACGUAUGUUUUUUUGUUUUCAAGUCUUAGAUGACAUGGGGACCUAAAAUUAUUGCUCCUAGUGGACUCUCGACCCCUCUCAAAUUUAAGUGGUCCAUUAUUAUUAACCACAUAUUUUAUGGACCAUGCAGCUGUGAGGUUUUAUCUCAAAAACCUUCGGUACAUUUCUCCCACAUGCCACAAUUGUAUAUUCACAAUUACGGCUGUUACGUCACAUCAUGCCACUUGCCUCACAUGCAACAAGUCUGUGUUUUGGGGAUUGCCGAGCUGCAUCAAUUCUGCCAAUGUCAAUUCUGCCCCUGGACUCUCUCAAAGCACAUUUAAAACCUAUGCGAACAUAUAUUAGAGUUUAUGAUGUAUGUAUCUAGAAAAUGCCAACACUAAUUUCGUAACAUGUAAAAAUUAUUAGAGAUUGGAAGUUUUUAUCAUUUUUUCUUCCAGUCUCUCCACCACUUAUUAAUACAGAUUACUCAUGUGAUGAGUUUACAAAACCUAUUUCUCUACUCUCGCAAAGACUAAACUUCUUCUCAAAAGACUAGAUCACUUUACCUCUAUCUCUGUGAAAUGUAAAAAGUUGAAACUUUAAUGUCAAACCUCGACAAAGUGUUCUACUUUACAAACUUCUUGUGUCUACCAAUUUGUACUAAAAUUAAUUUAUCUACGGUGCUCAGCUUCAUCGUAUGUGUGUCCUUAAUUUUAGUGGAAAUUGGAAGUUUCCAUAAUUUUUGCUUUAAGUCACUCUUCUGAAGGAAGUUGAGGUUCCACUCCAUAAUCCCAAAUGUCAGGUUGACUUAUGGCAAACAAUGUAAAUAUGUAGGAGUACUAUGACCUUUUAUAGCAUUUUUAGUUUGAAUUUGGGUUUUAUACAUAGAUUUCAAAAUUAAUAGGUUGAUGCCUAGGAAAUAGAAAUUGUAAGGGCCUAUAUUAGAGUAGCCCUCUUAAAAAUAAUAUUAAUUAAUGAAUAUUUGUUCUUCUUGUUGUUUUGAAGUAGUGGUGGGAGGCAGACCAACAAAAAAAAUAUAGUGAAGGCUUAUAAGAGCAUUUACAAUCAUGCUCCCUAUUUUUUAGUUAAAAUUUAGCUAAAAAUAGAAAAAAGUUAUUAUAGGAGCUCUUUAUAAAAUUUGAAUUCCAAUCGUACUCCCUAAUUUAGGGAGUCAUAAAUAUUAUAGUUAUUUUUUAAUUCAAUUUGAUUUUGGUUAAUCUCUAUAAAUAAAUAAAAAUAUGAAAAAAUAGUUAGCAUUAAUUAAAAGUUUAAACUAUGCAUAAAACAAAGAAACAUUAAAUUAUAGGGAGCCACUAUGCCAAUAAUUGUAUCCUCUAAAUAUAUAGGGACAUAUUUUUUUUGUUUUCAUGACAUGUGGCCCUAAAAUUAUUGUUCCUAGCGGGCUCUCCAACCCCUCUCGAUUGAAAACCAAUUGUGUAAAUCUUCAAUCUUGAAUGAUGCACCUAAAACUCAAGUGUCCCAGGCCAAUUAUUGCUCUCAUACCACGUGUUGUAAUAAACAUCCAUCCAUUCUAAAGGAAAGAUAACCAUCGAUAUUAUCUCAAAUUUAACCACUUAAGUUCAUUAUGAUUAACUAUGUAUCUUAUGAACCAAUCCAAUCGUGAGGUUUUAUACCCAAUUAGAUCGACCAAUACAAAGUUCACACGUGGAUUGAAAAGCACUAUCAAUAGGGGAGUGUUCGGCACCCUUUACUGCCGAGCGCAACACAAGAUCCCUUGCAUGCCCUCACUAAGUUGAGCCCAACUAUUUUUUAGCAUUAACAAUAUAUAUAGAUUGAAAAAAUAAAAUAAAAAUCAAUCUAUUAUCAUAUAUUUUAUAAAAUACAUAUUAUUGCUCCAUCCUCCAUACACUUGCAUGCCCUCUUACAAAGUGUGAAGUAGAUUUUUUGUGCUCCAACUCAUUGACUAGGGCUGAAACAUGGUUAGUUAGAUUUAUAAGAUCUUUUGUUUUUUGGGAAUUUUCUGAAGCAAGGAAAAUCAAAUAAAAUUAAUAAAGCAGAAACUGUACCCUUUAAUUAUAUAUGGACAUAUGUUUUUUUGUUUUUUUGCUCUCGACCCCUCUCAAAUUUAAGUGGUCCAUUAUUGUUAACCACAUAUUUUAUGGACCAUCCAGCUUCGGUACAUUUCAAAAAGCUUCGGUACAUUUCUCCCACAUGACACAAUUGUAUAUUCACAAUUACUUCUGGGUACCCCUCAUCAGUCGUCUAUAAAAUGGUGAAGCCAGUUGCUACUGUUACCAUAAGAGCCAGCUCCGACUUUCUUUAAUUUCUUGCUACAUCUGUUGCUAAGUUAAUUUCAGUCCUAAUGGGGUUUCAUCUCCCACUCAUCUUUGCUAUUCUCAGUGUAAGCUCUGCAAUUUGAUUAACUUUUCCAUUCUCUCUCAUUGUACUCUAUAUAUAUAAAUGAAAGUUUUGUGUUCCUAUAAUUCUCUCCGAUUUUAUUUAGUACGUACUUAAGUGUCGUCCACUAAUUAAUUACACUUUGUGAGAUUUGAUUUUAAUUAGAGUUCGAAUUAAUGUUGCAGCUAGCAGCGGUUGCACUGGCAAACAAUGCUGCUCAACCAGCACCUCAACUUUACUGGAACUCCGUCCUGCCAAACACACAGAUGCCAAGAUCUAUCAGUGAACUUCUGCAUCCUGGUUUGUGUUCAGCUCUUUAUAAUCUUAGAUAUCUCUUCUACCUGCCAUUUUACUAAAAUAUGUUCGACCACAUAUUUAUCAGCUAACUACUGUGAUUACAAGAAUGACACUUAUUUUCCAAUAUAAUUUGCAGACUCCACAAAUGAAGAAAAGAGCAAACCUGAAAUUUUCCCAUUGCAGGGCAAUAGAGUUUACACUCAAAGCCAUUAUAAAAAACGUCCUCCUCCUCCAUCUGACGAGGGCAAACCUGAAACUUUCCCAUUGGGCAAUAGCCAUUACACUCAAACCCGUUAUAAAAAACGUCCUCCUCCUCCAUCUGACGAGGGCAAACCUGAAAAUUUCCCAUUGGGCAAUAGCCAUUACACUCAAACCCGUUAUAAAAAACGUCCUCCUCCUCCAUCCGACGAGGGCAAACCUGAAAAUUUCCCAUUGGCCAAUAGCUUUUACACUCAAACCCGUUAUAAAAAACGUCCUCCUCCUCCAUCUGACGAGGGCAAACCUGAAAAUUUCCCAUUGGCCAAUAGCUUUUACACUCAAAGCCAUUAUAAAAAACGUCCUCCUCCUCCAUCUGACGAGGGCAAACCUGAAAAUUUCCCAUUGGCACGUUCUCCUCCAUCUGACAGUCAACUAAAGCAUUACAAAGACUUAGCUAUUUUCUUCUUCGAGAAGGACAUGCGCCCGGGCACAACUAUGAAGUUCCAAUUCCCUAGAAAUUCAAACACGG
rnacentral:lncRNA from 1 species